ACAUGAUUAGAAUUGCCUCCUAAACCCAAACAAAAGGAUUACAUAUACUAGAAUUCAGAAGUCUCAGUAGUAUAUAUGGUUAGCGGUGCAUGCUCUCUCAUGCAAUAUAUAUAAACUUAAUUAGCUUGCUGCUGCAGGUCCAUAGCCCACCGCGCCGGAUGAAUCGAAGGGAAUUCAAAGUCUAGUAGAAUUGGACGUUGGAAGUGUAGACGGCAUCGGGUCUCCAGUUCGGCGGGAUGACGUCUUUGGCGAUGACCUUCUUGCCGGACUCGCUGGUGAGGCGGAUGGAGAAGGGGCCCUUGAGCGCCUUGGCAGUGUCCAUCCUCCAGAUGGCGCCCCAAGAGAGCUUCAUGGGCUUCCACUCAGCCGACAACUUGUCCUGGAUUUCCAUCAGCACGAUGUCGCCGUCGUCCGCCACAUACUUCACCAGCACGGCCAGGUAGUUGGGGUUGCAGCCCUUCUCGAUGUGGAACACGAUCUUCUGCCCGGCGGGGUACUUGCAUCGCACCCUGCAGGAGAGGAGGUUCAUUCAACAUGCAUUAUCUUCUGUCCUGUCCACCAAGAUAUACGAUGCAUGAAUUACUAUGUACCUUCUGAACUCGACGUCCAUGAUGCCGCAGUGGCGAAUCUUGUCGUUGAGCCCGGGCUUUGCCAGGGAGCCGAAGGCCUUGCCGCUCAAGUCGAAGUGGUAGGGAGCGAUAGGCUCGUAGUUCAUGUCAGUGAUGUACACCGUGACUGGAUUGCCCGAGCACUCAGGUUUUUCCUUGCAUCUCACCUGAAGAGUAAAUUAAUUAAGCAGUUAGCUAGAUAUGUCCAUGCAUGCAAACUAAUUAAUGCAUGCUUAUAUAUGCACCUCGUAGCAUGAGCCGCAGCCCUUGCCGUCCUUGAAGAUGGGGACGUUGCCGCACGCCGUCAUGCCGCUGUAGGGUGGCAGGUUCACGUUCUUGAUCCCGCACGCACCGCCUGCGCACCGUUUUAAUCGCAUCACAUUACAUGAAGGAGCGACCUACAGGAGGAGUAUAAACAUGUAUCCCGCUCGUACCGUUGUCAGGAGCGCCGGCACCGUUGGGCUGACCGUACCAGGUGGCCCUGGCGGUGAGCCACUUGCCGUUGUAGUUGGUGGUGAUGUUGGGACCGGGCGGCACCUUCGGGGGCCCGCAUGACCCGCCGGCGACGAGCGCUGCAAGGACGACACCCACGACCAUGAUGUUAUUAGCGAGGGAUCCCAUCGUCGCGCUCAACUGUGUUAUUCGAAAUGUCGCUCUGUGUGUUGUUGAUAGACGACAGUGAUGGGAUGUCUACUUAUAUGGAUGACGAGUGGCUCAGGAGAGAGUUCGCCGGCAACGCAUGCAGCGGCCUGCCGUUAGCGUCUGACGGACGACGAUGCGACACGCGGGCUUCACGUAGGCCGCUGCAUGCUCUAGGGCUGCCCGGGCUUACCGGUGGUUAGUUUAUUUCACCAUGAUCGGGCCUAAUCGAUCCGCACAAGACCACUGUGACGAUCGAACAUAAUAUUUGUCAGAACAUCAAUACAACUCCUUAGCUAGACUGCGAGUCCCCUAAUAAAGCCUAAAAUCAAAACUCAGGCUCAACACACACUAUAGAAGAAGAACAUGCAUGCCUUUUGAUCUGUCCUUUAAUAAUUUUAGUUCUAAUUUCCUGAUUGUUGACGCUUUUUUGGACCAAACACUAUCUAACCUUAAAGCAUGCGUGCAUCGUGGAAGAUCUUAAAGACUUCUCUGUGGGCUUGGCAAACCGUCCAUUUUAGAUCACCAGAUUGGACCAUCUGUGAUGUCCCACAGAUCGAGCUCCGGGAAAAAACAUAAAUCCUGCGUCCUAGGAGACAGUACUGGAGAUGACUUCUUUGUCAAGUCCAAAAGGCAGCAAAGAGCCCUCAGUGAACCAAACGUCGGCAACGGUCUCUUUGCCGAGUACUUUCUAUCGGGCACUCAGUAAAGUCUUAACCGAGUGCCAACUGGUACACGACAAAGAAAAGACAUCGUGACGAUGACAGAGCUGUUGCUGAGUGUCCGAGUUCCUCGCUUAGUGGCACUCGGCAAAGAAAGCUUCCGUGAGGCCUAGUCGUAGUUCCAAUGUCGAGUGCUUGAGAUGGCACUCAACAAAGGAGCCUAGUUUGCCGAGUGUCUUGGCCAUAGCGUGCGGUAAAGCAAGUUUCCCGAUGUUUAUGUAUGUCUUUUCUACCGAGUUCUAUGACCAUUGCACUCAACAAAGGCACCCUUUGCUGAAUGCAAUGCUCGUCAAAGUGAUCAGGGACCCCUUUUAUUUGUUUUUAAUAUUUUGUCCAAACAAACAUAAGAUAUUAUCAUAAACAUCGAUGCCUAGGUGUCCUUCACAUGAAAUCAUAGAACUUCAAUGUAGACGGGCUAAGUUUCUACACAUAGUGUGUGACAACUUUCAUGAAACAAUCUCAACUUUUUAUUAGAGUCUCUACAUAUGAUAUCAUGACAUGUCGACAAGUUUCAUGAUUUUCUGACUUUGUUUUUGUUUUAUAUAAUUUUAAAACAACUGGAUCGCAAGUUCAAGGUCAUGUUUUGUGAGAAUGGUGUUCGAAAAUUCCGGCAUGUUCCUGAAAUAGAUCGUAACUUGUGCUAAAUAACACGAAUGUCAUUUUUGUAUUCACUGUUUUCCAUUUUUCGAGUAACUUGUAGUUUAAAUCUAAAUUAUCCGAAGAAAUUCAAUUAAGCGAACUAAAUCUGAUAGUUAUAGCAAACACUUUUAUAAUUAUGCCAAAAUUGAACAAAUAGGUCCAUAUAUUGUAGAAACACACCACAAAAAGUUUGGGGAAAAAAGAAAAAAAUAAAUAUACUUUGUCGAGUGUCAAGGAAAGACACUCGCAAAACAUAGGUUUGCCAAGUGUUUGCCCGGUGACACUCGGCAAAAAAGAUAUUUUGUCGUGUGUCAACGCCUGACACUCGCGAAGUUAACAGCCAUCAACUAUAGACGGCUGCUGACGGUCCUUUGCCGAGGGUCGCAUUUCGUUGAGGGUUUGACACUCAGCAAAGCCAUCUUUGCUGAGUGUCUUUUUACGUCGAGUGUUUCGCCCUCGGUAAACAAGGUCUUUGUCAAGAGUCUUAUUUCGCCAAGACUAGCACUCGAUAAAGAAUGCUUUGUCGAGUGCCUGAUAAAGUGCACACGACAAAGAGCUAGAUUUCGGUAGUGCUAGUAGCUAGAUUUCACCAUGAUGAUUGCGAAGUGAGAAACAAAAUGCAUAAUACUUAGUCCAUGAUUCAUUCAUGUGAUACUACAUCAAACAUUUGCUUGUCAUAGAUUAAUUAGAAUAAUUUAUAUCAUUUUUAGUCUUCACUUGUAUAAUUAGUUUUGUAGUUAUACUAUAUUUGAUACUCAUAAUUGAUAAUCCAACGUACACAUGCACUAAACUUUAGUAAAAAAACCCAAACACCCCAUUAGUCAAUGAGCGCAACUCGAAGAAUUUAGGCUACGGUUAGCUGAUUGCGCAUCAACGAAUAUGGUCGUGCAAAACACAGUUUUGCAUUGUAGACGAUAUUGUAUGUCGAGAGGAAAUUAAAAUGAGAAAUGUAGAUGAUUAAGAUGCUGGAGAUAGUCUAAGGAGUCAUUUGGUACUUUUGCUUUCGGGAGAGUCUCCAUUUGUUCUAUGCUUAUGGAUGGAGAUACUUACAUGAUAGGUCAAAAGAGAUAGCAACUUAAUUUUUGGGAUGGAAAGAGAUCAUAGUAUAAAGUGGUGCGUUGCAUGCUUUAAUAAAUUAAUUUUAAAUAUGUCACUCAAUUUUUAUAAAAUUAGAUAGCUAAUUUAUGUAGAUGUAACCAUAUAACAUCUAAAUAAAAUUAGCUAUAUAAUUGUGCAAAAAGUUGAAUGAUAUAUUUCUAGUUGACCCUUUUGUUGUUAGUAUGAUUGUUAUGUCAAGAGAUGAGCAAACAGGAAGACCAACCAAUUUGCUUGUCCACCAAAAGCCCGUGGAGAAAAUUUCCAGGCAGUUCGGCCCAAGAAACAUACAAUACACAUACACUUUUAUCUAAGAGGACUAAACUCUAAUCUAGCAAGUUGUUAAAUAUAUAUUAGGAAAAAAAAUAACUUUAGUCUACAACAGUUUUCAAUUUUUAGGUUAUUAAUUAUUGUGAUUUGUGGGUCAAUAUUCGUGUGUCCCACUUCUAGCAUACACAUACACUUUUAUAUAUGCUAUAUGAACAAAGGACCCUUUACAAAUGUUCUAACUCCAACAACACUCCCCUCAAGAUGGGUAAAAGAUAUCAACCAUGCCCAUCUUGUUACAUAUUGACUCGUUCUCACUUGGGCCUAAACCUUUUGUGAGGCAAUCAACUAAUUGGUUACAAGAAUUGAUGUGCUCUAAUCUUAAUACCCCACUAUAUAUCUUCUCCUUGAUAAAGAACUUGUCAAUCUCCACAUGCUUAGUGCGCUCAAACUGAACUGUAUUGUUUGCAAUAUUUAUUGCAGCAACAUUACCACAGUGGAGUCUCAUAGUUCCAUUCCUCAAAACUUUCAACUCCCCUAAUAAACGCUUUAGCCACAUCAUUUCACAUAUUCUUAAUGCCAUUUCCCUAUAUUCAGCUUCUGAAGUUGACCUAGCCACAACUGCUUGCUUCUUGCUUCGCCAUGAGACAAGGUUACCUCCAACAAACACACAAUAUCCAGAUGUAGAUCUUCGGUCAUUUCUACUACUUGCCCAAUCGGUAUCACAAUACCCUUCCAAGUUCAUGUGCUUGUUCCUUUUAAACCACAAUCCUCUCCCAGGAAUUCCCUUCAAGUAUCUCAAGAUGCGAUAAACAACAUCCAUAUGUCCUGUCCUAGGAUCAUGCAUAUACCUGCUGACCACACUUACAACAUAGCAUAUAUCAGGUCUUGUGUGGCACAAGUAGAUCAAUCACCCAACCAAUCUUUGAUAUGCCUCUCUAUCGACAGGAUCUCCUAAAUAAGCAUGGAUCUGGUGAUUUUUAUCAACUCAAGAACAACAUGGACGACACCCUAGCAUUCCAGUUUCUAUCAACAAGUCAAGGACAUACUUCCUUUGGGAAAGAACAAUUCCCUUCGAUGACCGAGCAAUUUCAAUCCCAAGGAAAUAUCGAAGGUGUCCCAGAUCUUUUAUCUCAAAUGCUUUCCCUAGCUUUUCCUUCAACCACUUGAUCUCUUCCACAUCAACUCUAGUGAUCACAAUAUCAUCAACAUCAAUAACCAAUAUAGUGAUAGAUGAACCCUUGUUCUUGAAGAAGACUGUAUGUUCAACAUUACAUUGAGAAUACCCCAUACCACAAACAGCACGUCUAAACCUGUCGAACCAUGCACGUGGUGACUGCUUCAGGCCAUAGAGUGACUUCUUAAGUUUGCACACUUUCCCAACAGUCUGUUCAUUUUCAAACCCAGGUGGAAUUUCCAUAUAGACCUCUUCCUGUAAGUCACCAUGAAGAAAUGCAUUUUUCACAUCUAGUUGGUGAAUGGGCCAUCCAAAAUUAACUGCACAUGAGAUCAAAGUUCUAACAGUGUCCAUCUUUGCCACAGGUGCAAAAGUCUCAUCAUAGUCAAUCCCAUAUGUUUGACUGUAUCCAUUUGCAACCAGUCUUGCUUUGUAUCUGUCUAUCUUUCCCUCAAGGGUCUGUUUUACAGUGAAAAUUCACUUACAGCCCACAGCCUUCUUCCCUUCUGGGAGCAGAGCAAGUUCCCAUGUUUUGUUCCUCAUGAGAUCAUGUAAUUCUUCUUUCAUAGCCUCCUUCCACCUUGGAUUCUGUUUUGCACAUCUCCAGUCUUUCGGAACACACAGUCUGUAGGGAUGCGAUGAAGGUUCUAUAUGCAGACGACACAUGACAGUAUGACAUGUGGUUAGCUAUAUUGUACUCAAAGCCAAAGCGAGAUGGAGGUUUGCCAGCAUUGAUUCUAUGAUCCCUACGUUGUGCAAGGGGUAAAUCAACAUGUUCAAGAGAAGGUGCAAUAUUACCCAUUUUAGGUAGAGGCGAGGAGCUUGAUGGAGAGAGACUUGAGGAGAGAUCUAGGAGUGGAGAUGCAGGUGAUUGAGGCUCUGGCUGCAUGCUUUUUCCCCCCUAAUUUUUAUACCGCCUUCUUUGAUACACUAUUACUCAUUUCUCAUUAGUCUUCAUAUGACCUAUCCUUACUUCUUUAUCAUGAUUCCCUCCUGUGUAGUCUCUUGGACAUGGGAUUGUCCCAACGACUACCACUUCAUUGUCAUCAUGAACAUCAUUCCUUUCCUCGGAACCAUUAGUCUCUGAAAUAGUCUCAUCCACAAGAGAUGGGAUUCUUCCAACAAUUGUCUCUUCUUGUGUACUAUUCUCUCCUUCUUUAGAAUCACUUCCACCCUCUCUACAAUCACUUUCAUUGACUGAAGAGAACUCAUCAAAGAAGUGAUCAAGAUCACACUUGUUUGAGUAGUAUGGUUCAAACUCACAGAAAGUCACAUCCAUACUUACAAAUAACCUUCUUCUAAUAGGGUCCCAACAUUUGUACCCCUUUUGUGUAGAUGCAUAACCAACAAGUACACACUCAACGGCUUGCGGAUCCAAUUUACCCACUGAAGGUCGAUGGUCGUGCACAAAGCAAACACAACCAAAAACUCUAGGUGGGACUUUAAACUCUCGUUGUUCCAAUAGGAGUUCAGCAGGUGAUCUCAUACCCAGUACCCUAGAAGGCAUGCAAUUGAUCAGAUAUGCAGUUGUCAUCACUACCUCACUCCAGAGAUACUUAGGCACAUUCAUUUGAAACAUCGGGGACCUUACCACUUCUAAUAGGUGUUGAUUCUUUCUCUCGGCCACACCAUUCUAAGAAGGUGUACCAGGACAUGUGGUUUGGUGAAUAAUCCCUUGAUCUGAAAUGAAUGAGAUAAACUCAUUGUUCACAUACUCAGUUCCAUUAUUAGUGCGAAUGAUUUGAACCUUGGCAUUAAAUUGAUUAGUGACCAAUUUGUAAAAAUCCUUGAAACAUCGAAGAACCUCAUUCUUGUGCUUCAGCAUAUAUAUCCAUGUCAUGAGAGAAUAACAAUCAAUAAAUGUGGCAAACCAUUUAAAACCACUCACAGAUGUAAUUGAGCAAGGACCCCAAACAUCAGAAUGUAUUAACAUAAAUGGAUCACAGCUACGAAGUCCAAUACUAGGAUAAGUAGAUCUGGUAUGCUUGGCUAGCUCACAUGCAUCACACACAAGAGUUCCUUUCUCCAUUCCCUUAUAGGAUUUAGGGUACAAUUUACUCAAGCUCUCAAAAGGUACAUGUCCUAAUCGACUAUGUAGCAGCAUGAUUUCCCUUUUAUUUCCUUCUGUUGUUGCUGACAAAGCUUGCUAAAAGGGAAAUCGGGUUAACCUCUUCCUACAAUUAAUUUUGGUGGUUGAAUGCCCAACGCAAAUGUUUGGACUAACUAGUUUGCUCUAGAAUACAUGUUCUACAGGUGCAUAAGGUUCAACAAAGACCAAGAAAAUAUACAAGUUAGGGACCCAAUUCAAAAGGAGCAAAAAGGACUUGAGUGUGCUAUGGACUGGCGCACCAGACUGUCCGGUGUGCCACCGGACAGUGUCCGGUGCACCAGGCCCGUACAGGGUUGAACCAGCCACUCUCGGGAAAACGCAGGCGCGCUCCGCUAUAAUUCACCGGACUGUCUUGUGUGCUACCAGACUGUUUGGUGUACCAGCGAGCAACGGCUAUCCAGCGCGCAAUGGUCGACUCUGACAGGAGCUACAGUGAGCAACAAUGCCACGCAGAAGUCAGAGCAGCGAGUCAGAGGGGCACCGGACUAUUCGGUGUCACAAGAGGACAAAGCUCCAACGGUCGCCCGAGCUCCGAACCCUAACGAUUGGGUGACGUGGCGGCGCACCGGACAGUGCACAGUACCUGUCCGGUGGCGCACUGAACUAUCCGGUGCGCCCAUUGCCAGCAGCCUCCCCAACGGCUACUUUGGCGGUUGAGGGUUAUAAAUACCCCCCAACCACCACAACUCCAAGCAUCCAAUAUUUCUGAACAUCACAUUCAAUACAAGAGCUCUAGCAUUCACUCCUAGACACAAUUCAAAAGAUCAAAGCCUCUCCAAGUCCCAAAUUCACCUCAAAUACUUAGUGACUUGUGAGAGAGUGAUUUUGUGUUCUUUUGAGCUCUUGCCUCUUGGAUUGCCUUUCCUCUUUCUCAUUCAAGUGACUUGUAAUCAAAGCAAGAGACACCUAAGAGUGUGGUGGUCCUUGCGAGGUCUUAGUGACCCGAUUGAUUAAGGGAAAGGUUCACUCGGUCUAAGUGACUGUUUGAGAGAGGGAACGGGUUGGAAUAGACCCAGUCUUUGUGACCUCCUCAACGGGGACUAGGUUCUUAGGAACCGAACCUCGGUAAAACAAAUCACCGUGUUCAUUCGCUUGAUUUCCAUUUGAUUUGUUUUCCCCUCUCUCCUGGACUUGCUUUUAGUUCUAACGCUAACCCCGGCUUAUAGUGUGUGUUUAAAGUUGUAAAUUUCAGAUUACAGCUAUUCACCCCCCUCUAGGCAACUUUCAAUUGGUGUCAGAGCCGGUGCUUCAUUGGAGUCUAACAACUCGAAGUGAUGUCGGGAGAACAUGCCAAGAGGGAGAUCGUGACCGGCGACAAGCCCGCAAGCUCGGGGAGAACCCUUUCAAGGGAGUCCGACAACAAGCAUAAGGAGGAAUCCUAUUCCUCCACCAAGUCGCAUCGGAGAGGUUACAAGAAGAAGAAGAUGAAGAAGGUGGUCUACUACGAGACUGACUCUUCGUCACCCUCCACAUCAUCAAGCUCCGACUCGUCCGUCCCUUCUGAAAGUCUCCUAGAGGGGGGUGAAUAGGGCGAAUCUGAAUUUUAUAAACUUAAGCACAACUACAAGCCGGGUUAGCGUUAGAAAUAUGAACGAGUCCGAGAGAGAGGGUGAAAAACAAAUCGCGGGCAAAUAAAGAGUGAGACACGAUGAUUUGUUUUACCGAGGUUCGGUUCUUGCAAACCUACUCCCCGUUGAGGUGGUCACAAAGACCGGGUCUCUUUCAACCCUUUCCCUCUCUCAAACGGUCACCUAGACCGAGUGAGCUUCUCUUCUCAAUCAAAUGGGACACAAAGUCCACGCAAGGACCACCACACAAUUGGUGUCUCUUGCCUCGGUUACAAUUGAGUAUGUCACAAGAAUAGUGAGAAAGAAAAGAAGCAAUCCAAGCACAAGAGCUCAAAUGAACAUAACAAAUCUCUCUCUCUAAUCACUAAAGCUUUGUGUGGAGUUGGGAGAGGAUUUGAUCUCUUUGGUGUGUCUUGUAUUGAAUGCUAUAGCUCUUGUAAGGUGUAGAAGUGUAGAAACUUGGAUGCCAUUGAAUGUGGAGUGGUUGGGGUAUUUAUAGCCCCAACCACCAAAAAUGGCCGUUGGAAGACUGCUGUUGCAUGGCGCACCGGACAGUGCGCCACCGGACACUGUCCGGUGCGCCAUCCACGUCAGCCAGCCGUUGGGGUUCAACCGUUGGAGCUCUGACUUGUGGGGCCUCUGGGCUGUCCGGUGGUGCACCGGACAGGUCCUGUAGAUUGGCAGGUGCGCCAACUGCGCGUGCUCUGACUCUGGCACGCACUAUAGCGCAUUGAAUGCGGUUGCAGUCGACCGUUGCGCGUGAAGUAGUCGUUGCUCCGCUGGCACACCGGACAGUCCGGUGGCUCACCGGACAGUCCGGUGAAUUAUAGCGGAGCGCCCUCUGAAUUUUCCCGAAGGUGGCAAGUUCAGCUUCGAGUUCCCUGGUGCACCGGACACUGUCCGGUGCGCACACCGGACAGUCCGGUGCGCCAGACCAGGGUGCCUUUUGGGUUGUCCUUUGCUCUCUUUGUUUGAACCCUUUCUUGGUCUUUUUAUUGGCUUAUUGUGAACCUUUGGCGCCUGUAGAACUUAUAGACUAGAGCAAACUAGUUAUUCCAAUUAUUUGUGUUGGGCAAUUCAACCACCAAAAUCAAUUAGGAAAAAGGUGUAAGCCUAAUUCCCUUUCAAUCUCCCCCUUCUUGGUGAUUGAUGCCAACACAAACCAAAGCAAGUAUAGAAGUGCAUAAUUGAACUGGUUUCCAUCAUGUAAGUGCAAAGGUUGCUUAGAAUUGAGCCAAUAAAUAUUUUCAUAGAAUAUGCAUGGAUUGUUUCUUUAUAUUUAACAUUUUGGACCACGCUUGCACCACAUGUUUUGUUUUUGCAAAUUCUUUUGUAAAUUCUUUUCAAAGUCUUUUUGCAAAUAGUCAAAGGUAAAUGAAUAAGAUUUUGAGAAGCAUUUUCAAGAUUUGAAAUUGUCCCCCUGUUUCAAAUGCUUUUCCUUUGACUAAACAAAACUCCCCCUUAAUAAAAUUCUCCUCUUAGUGUUCAAGAGGGUUUUAAGAUGCCAAUUUUGAAAAUACUACUUUCUCCCCCUUUUUGAACAUAAUAAGGUACCAAUUUGAAAACAUCAAUUUUUAAAAUUAGGUGGUGGUGCGGUCCUUUUGCUUUGGGCUAAUACUUUCUCCCCCUUUGGCAUGAAUCGCCAAAAACGGAUACUUGAGUGAAAUAUAAGCCCUUUCAAACUACUUUCUCCCCCUUUGGUAAAUAACAUAUGAGUGAAGAUUAUACCAAAGACGAAGAGUUGCUCGGAGCGACGGCGAAGGAUGAGUGAUUCAAUGGAGUGGAGUGGAAGCCUUUGUCUUCGCUGAAGACUUCAUUUCCCUUUCAAUCUAUGACUUGGUUUGAAAUACACAUGAAAACACAUUAGUCAUAGCAUAUAAAAGAGAUAUGAUCAAAGGUAUAUGAAUGAGCUAUGUGUGCAAAACAUCAAAAGAAGUUCCGAGAAUCAAGAAUAUUUAGCUCAUGCCUAAGUUUGCUAAAAGUUUGUUCAUCAAGUGGCUUGGUAAAGAUAUCGGCUAAUUGUUCCUUAGUGUUAAUGUAUGCAAUCUCGAUAUCUCCCUUUUGUUGGUGAUCCCUAAGAAAAUGAUACCGAAUGGCUAUGUGUUUAGUGCGGCUAUGCUCAACGGGAUUAUCCACCAUGCGGAUUGCACUCUCAUUAUCACAUAGAAGAGGAACUUUGGUUAAUUUAUAACCAUAGUCCCUAAGGGUUUGCCUCAUCCAAAGCAAUUGCGCGCAACAAUGUCCUGCGACAAUAUACUCGGCUUCGGCGGUAGAAAGAGCUACGGAAUUUUGCUUCUUUGAAGCCCAAGACACGAGAGACCUUCCCAGGAACUGGCAAGUCCCCGAUGUGCUCUUUCUAUUAAUUUUACACCCCGCCCAAUCGGCAUCCGAAUAACCAAUUAAAUCAAAUGUGGAUCCCCAAGGGUACCAAAGCCCAAACUUAGGAGUAUAAACUAAAUAUCUCAAGAUUCGUUUUACGGCCGUAAGGUGAGCUUCCUUAGGGUCGGCUUGGAAUCUUGCACACAUGCAUACGGAAAGAAUUAUGUCCGGUCGAGAUGCACAUAAAUAGAGUAAAGAGCCUAUCAUCAACCGGUAUACCUUUUGAUCUACGGAUUUACCUCCCGUGUCGAGGUCAAGAUGCCCAUUGGUUCCCAUGGGUGUCUUGAUGGGCUUGGCAUCCUUCAUCCCAAACUUAUUUAGAAUGUCUUGAAUAUACUUCGUUUGGCUAAUGAAGGUGCCCUCUUGGAGUUGUUUUACUUGAAAUCCUAAGAAAUACUUCAACUCCCCCAUCAUCGACAUCUUGAAUUUUUGUGUCAUGAUCCUACUAAAUUCCUCACAUGUUGAUUCGUUAGUAGACCCAAAUAUAAUAUCAUCAACAUAAAUUUGGCAUACAAACAAAUCAUUGUCAAGAGUUUUAGUAAAUAAAGUAGGAUCAGCUUUUCCGACUUUGAAGCCAUUAGUGAUAAGAAAAUCUCUUAGGCAUUCAUACCAUGCUCUUGGGGCUUGCUUGAGCCCAUAAAGUGCUUUAGAGAGUUUAUAAACAUGGUUAGGAUACUCACUAUCUUCGAAGCCGGGAGGUUGCUCAACAUAGACCUCUUCCUUGAUUGGUCCAUUGAGGAAGGCACUUUUCACGUCCAUUUGAUAAAGCUUGAAGCCAUGGCAAGUAGCAUAGGCAAGUAAAAUGCGAAUUGAUUCUAGCCUAGCUACGGGUGCAUAGGUUUCACCGAAAUCCAAACCUUCGACUUGUGAAUAUCCUUUGGCCACAAGUCGGGCUUUGUUCCUUGUCACCACACCAUGCUCAUCUUGCUUGUUGCGGAAGACCCACUUGGUCCCUACAACAUUUUGGUUAGGACGUGGAACUAAAUGUCAUACCUCGUUCCUAGUGAAGUUGUUGAGCUCCUCUUGCAUCGCCACCACCCAAUCCGAAUCUUGAAGUGCUUCCUCUAUCCUGUGUGGCUCAAUAGAGGAAACAAAAGAGUAAUGUUCACAAAAAUGAGCAACACGAGAUCGAGUAGUUACCCCCUUUUGAAUAUCGCCGAGGAUGGUGUUCACGGGGUGAUCUCGUUGGAUUGCUUGGUGGACUCUUGGGUGUGGCGGCCUUGGAACUUGUUCAUCUUCCUCAUCUUGAUCAUGGCCAUCUCCCCCUUGAUCAUUGCUCUCCUCUUGAGGAGGCUCAACUUCUUCAUCUUCUCCUUUAUCAUUUUGAGCCUUAUUCUCAUCUUGAGUUGGUGGAGAUGCUUGUGUGGAGGAAGACGGUUGAUCUUGUGCAUGUGGUGGCUCUUCGGAUUCCUUAGGACACACAUCCCCAAUGGACAUGUUCCUUAGUGCGACGCACGGAGCCUCUUCAUCACCUAUCUCAUCAAGAUCAACUUGCUCUACUUGAGAGCCGUUAGUCUCAUCAAACACAAUGUCACAAGAAACUUCAACUAGUCCAAAGGACUUGUUAAAGACUCUAUAUGCCCUUGUGUUUGAAUCAUACCCUAGUAAAAAACCUUCUACUGCCUUAGGAGCAAAUUUAGAUUUUCUACCUCUUUUAACAAGAAUAAAGCAUUUGCUACCAAAGACUCUAAAAUAUGAAACAUUGGGCUUUUUACCAGUUAGGAGUUUGUUGGGGCGAAGGCAAAGACGCCACCCUUCGCUCGAAGCCUCCGCUGCGGUCGCUGGUCUGACAAAGACAAAGCGGGCAGGGACACCUUUCGCUUCAUUCAGCACCAGACGAAGGCCUGCGGUGACGUCUCCCCACAGCGCGGCCUCGUCCUGCUCUAAGGCCCACGCGUGAUCUGGCCCAUUGUAACGGGCCCCGCGUGGCCGCCUUUGUGUUACGGGCCCAGCUUGUAAAGGCAUUCUUGUAAUUACAGCUUGUAACCCUGCUUUAUGGGAAUAUUCUGGGGAUAAACUAGGUGUCUGAGGGCACAUGCGUCCUUAACACAAGGCGCUGGGCACUCAGAUACCUAUAAAUACCCCCGCACAGUGCCCGUGAGAGGCUAGAUCAACAGAGCUAUUGCCCCCGUGCACGUAACCCUGUUGUCACCACCGCUCACCCUUGUUGGCCUCCUUGCUGCUGAGAGCAAGUUCCAACAUUUGGCGCCCACCGUUCGUGCUACGACCAAACCACCCGCGAUGGCACCCAAGAGAGCUAACCCGAAGGCUGACGAGGCUGCGAAGGCAGCACUGCUCGCCGCAAGGAAGGGCAAGGCCCUCGCCCUCACCCAAUCCACCCACCAAGAGCCCACCGGCGACAAUAUUCCCCGCAUCAGCGAAGACGACACCUUCCGCACCUGCGGGCCCGAAGGACAAUCGCAGCCGCCCCCAGGCUUCGCCCCGCUGGAGGGCGCGGAUCUCACCGAGGACGGUGAGGUCCUCAGCGUCUCAACAGAAGAACAGCUACAGCUACGCGCCCUGCGCCUCAAGAACCGCAACCUCCAAAGGCAGAAAGAGAUACUGGAGGCCAAGCGCCAGCGUGUGUCCGCACUAGCCAAGGUGCGGCAAAUGAUACGCGAUGAGGAGCAGAAGGCCCAAGACCUCGAGCGCGAGAUCACGCUGAUGCAGCGCGAAGGCCACCUCGGUCUACAGCAAGAGCCACCCCUCCAACAGCGCGUGCAACCGGAAGACACGCGCGAAGGCCACCUCGGCCUGCAACAUGGCCCACCCCUGCAGCACCGGGCGCAGCCGGAGAACCCGCGUUUCCCCCACCAUGACUACGCCUUCCAACACGGCGCGCCAUUCCAAGGGGUCAACUACCUCGACGAGCGAAGUCCCCUGGCGCCACACCUGCAAGUGACGCCUUGGCCAGCCAACUUUCGAGCAGGGGCGUAUCCCAAGUACAACGGCAGCACCGACCCGGCGCAAUACAUAAUGAGUUAUCAGGUCGCCGUCGCAUCCGCCGGAGGGGACGACGCCACAAUGGCGAAGUCUUUCAUCAUCGCCCUAGAGGGCCCAGCACUCACCUGGUUCACCAGAUUGCCUCCGCUGUCCAUUGAUUCGUGGAGAAGUCUCAGGGACAAAUUCCUGCUCAACUUCCAAGGGUACCGCCCAGACACCGACGCCUUGGCCGAGCUCUCGCUUUGCAAACAGCUGGAAAAGGAGACUCUGAGGGAGUACUACCGCAAAUUCUUAACACUCAAGUCACAGCUGCCCUCUGUCGAUGAUCAGAUCGCUAUCCACUACGCCAUCAACGGCCUUCGGGCCGGCGUCCUCUACAGCCACUGUAUCAGAGAUCCACCCAAGAGCUUGCAGGAGCUAUAUCAGCUCUUCGAAAAAUAUGCCAAAUCCGAAGAGCUCCACCAGCGCAAGGUUGAGUCACAGCGGAAACCCAAAGAUGCCCCGCAGUCCAGCCGCACGUGGACGAGGACUCCGCAGCCAGACUCCGGUCGAGACGGCCGCAGUCAGCAGCAAGUGCACAACAUCGCCAACCAGCAGCCUGCUGCGGACCCCCCCCCCCCCGUCGCCAGGAAUAUCCCCCCCAGGGCCGUGGAAAUGGAACUCGUGGCAGGGGCCGAGGGCUCGCGCAGCCACCGCGCCGGUUCUACUGCCUUUUCCACGGCGAAGACUGCGCCCACCAAACCAAAGACUGCCCCGAGACGAAGGCAACCAGAGACAGAAUGGCGUGGGCGCAGCCAGCCGACAAUCCCAGAAUUGUCGCGCAUAAUUACCAGCCACCCCCUCCACCAUAUAUCCACGCUCCCGCCCCGCAUCCACCGCACCACGCUUACCAACACCAUCAGGAAGUACAAAUCGUACCUCCUCCACCCCCACCGCCACACCAGCAACAUCAAAACAUCCCCCAUGCCCCAAAGCAGGAAGACUUCGCCGAUCAACCAUAUCGCGGAGUCAUUCACAUGAUAACAGGGGGCUCCAGCACCGACUUCGACACCAAGCGGCAGAAGCGGGACCACUACCGCAGCAUCAACCACGUCGCCGUCACUGGCCCAGUCGUGCAGACGAAGUGGUCCCACAUACCGCUAACCUUCGACGCGCGAGACGUCGACCUGCGCAGCGCCCCCCACAUCGACGCUAUGGUCAUCAAUUGCAGCGUGGCAGGCUGGGACUUACACAAAGUCCUAGUCGACAACGGCAAUCAGGCGGACAUCAUCUUCCUCCAUGCCUUCGACCGCAUGGGUAUAAGCCACAGCUUGCUGAAGCCUUCGGACAACCCCUUGUAUGGUUUCGGCGGCAAGGGCACCUUUCCAGUUGGCAAGAUAGAGUUGCCCCUCUCCUUCGGUGUAGCACCCAAUGCCCGAAGUGAGCAAGUAACCUUCGACAUUGUCGACAUGGUAUAUCCAUACAACGCCAUCAUGGGCCGGGGCUCCAUCAAUAAGUUCGAAGCUGCCAUCCACGGGCUGUACCUAUGUAUGAAGAUACCAGGUCCGCUAGGCGCCAUUACAAUCUACGGCAACCAGCAGACGGCGCGCAACAUAGAGCGGGACUUCGUGCCUGGCCAGAGGAACGUACACUGUCUCACGACCCAGCGCGAGGUCCCCGCGCCCGCCAGCCCAACCGAUAAGCAGCACGACAAGGCACAGUUGCAGAGCCAGGACGGGACCAAGACUGUCCCCCUCGAUCAGGCCACGCCCAAGCAGACAGUCACUAUCAGCGAAGACCUCACCUCACUUGAAGAAGAGAGACUUCUCCGCUGCCUGGCCAAGAAUAAAGAUGUCUUCGCCUGGUCCGCCCUCGAUCUGGUCGGAGUCAGCCGAUCCAUAAUCGAGCACAGCUUGGGAAUUGACCCUUCGGUGCGACCCAAAAAGCAGAGGCUUCGCAAAAUGUCAGACGAAAAGACAGAGGCCGCCAAGGCGGAGGUGCACCACCUCCUGGAGGCUAAAUUCAUCGAGCCAGUGGCUUACCCCACGUGGCUCUCCAAUGUUGUAAUGGUGCAGAAAAAAGCGGGAAAUGGCGAAUGUGCAUAGACUUCACCAGUCUCAAUAAGGCCUGCCCAAAGGACAAUUUCCUGUUGCCACGGAUCGACAAAAUAGUCGAUAGCGCGGCCGGAUGCGAGGUCAUGUCUCUCCUCGACUGCUUCUCCGGCUAUCACCAGAUAUACAUGAAGGAGGAAGACAAGGCUAGCACCAGCUUUAUAACACCCUUCGGCACUUAUUGCUUCGUCAGAAUGCCGGAGGGUCUCAAGAAUGCCGGGUCCACCUUCUCCAGACUCACCAAAACAGUACUCGACGGGCAGGUCGGCAGAAAUAUAUUUACAUAUGUGGACGACAUCGUCGUCGCCAGCAAGAAUAAGGAGGACCAUCUCGCCGACCUGGCCGAGACAUUCGCGAACAUGCGAGAUGCACGACUCCGCCUAAACCCGGAAAAAUGCGUCUUCGGUGUUCGUCAGGGCAAGAUAUUGGGCUACCUGGUGUCGCACCGCGGCAUCGAGGCCAACCCAACCAAGAUCCAGGCCAUCGUCGGCAUGUCGCCCCCACAGUCCGCCAGGGACGUCCAGCGUCUGACAGGCAGACUGGCCGCUCUCAACAGAUUCAUCUCCAGGUCCGCUGAGCGAAGUCUCCCCUUCCUCAAAACACUCCGCGGAGCGAAAGACUUCGCCUGGGGACCGGAGCAAGCAGCGGCCUUCGCCUCACUAAAACAGUACCUGUCGGAGCUGGCCAUCCUCACAAGCCCCGACUCCUCGCUCCCCCUAUUGCUCUAUGUCGCGGCUUCGCCGCACACGGUCAGCGCGGCACUAGUGCAGGAGCAGACAGUCGAGGGCGCAGUCAGACAGUGCCCUGUUUACUAUGUCUCCGAAGUCCUGACACCGUCCAAAUGCAACAUGACAGAGCUGGAGAAGAUCGCCUACGCAGUUGUUAUGUCCUCGCGCAAACUGCGCCAUUACUUUGAAGCAUUCAAGGUCCGAGUCACCUCAGACAGGGGGCUCGGCGAACUAUUCAGAAACCCGGAGGCAUCAGUGAGGAUUGCCAAGUGGGCAGCCGAACUCUCCGGCUACCACAUCAGCUUCGAGCCCAGGACAGCCAUCAAGUCGCAAGUCCUGGCAGACUUCGUCGUCGACUGGACUGGGCCAGUAACACAGCCGGACCCGUCCACAGAGAAGAUCUGGACCAUCCAUUGCGACGGCGCAUGGUGCCAUGCGGGGGCAGGCGUCGCUGCAGUCGUCACCUCACCAGCCGGAGUCAAACACAGAUAUGCAGCACGCCUCAACUUCGCUCUGGAAUCCGACAAGUGUACAAACAAUAUAGCAGAGUAUGAAGCGGUUAUCCUCGGCCUCCGCAAGCUAAGGGCCCUCGGAGUCACCACAUGUAUCAUCAAGACAGACUCCAAGAUAGUUGCCGGCCAGGUCGAGAAAGACUAUGCAGCAAAAGACCCCGCGCUCAUGCAAUACCUCGCGGCUAUCCGAAGUCUCGAGAGACAAUUCAAGGGAUUCACCCUGCAGCAUGUGGAUAGGGCCAAGAACGAGGAGGCCGAUGCAUUAGCCAAGGCCGCCGCCAGGGGCGAGCCCCUGCCCUCCGACGUGUUUUUUCACACCAUCGGCACGCCAGCCGUCCGGAGCCCCGAAGGGCUCCAGAUAACUAAUGAUAGCGAGGGCCACCGUAUAGUCAACCUAAUCAUGACCGAAGACUGGAGGGCACCAAUAACCCUGUUCCUACAGGGGUACUAUCAUCCAACCGACGUCAGUGAGGCAAAGCGCCUCAGACAUCGAAGCUGGGACUUCGCACUAAUCGAGGGCCAACUAUACAAGAAAGGGGUCAGUCAGCCAAUGCUCAAAUGCGUCACCGAAACCGAAGGCAUGCAGAUCCUACGCGAAGUCCACAGUGGCACGUGCGGCUCGCACGCAGGGCCAAGGGCCCUGGCAGCCAAGGUGAUCCGACAAGGGUUUUACUGGCCUGCAAUGAUCUACGCCGCAAAUCGAGUCACAAGGUCCUGCGAAGCCUGCCAGAAGUUCUCUCCUCGGUCAGGCAACCCCUCGCAAUACACAAAGCUGAUCGCCCAUACAUGGCCUCUCCAGCGCUGGGGCCUGGACAUUGUCGGGCCCCUGCCCACCGCUCAGGGGAACCUUAAGUUCGCCUUCGUAGCCGUCGAAUACUUCACCAAAUGGAUUGAAGCGAGGGCUGUUUCCACAAUCACAUCAAAGACUGCCCAAAAAUUCUUUUGGCAGAACAUUGUUUGCCGCUUCGGAGUACCGUCCGAGCUAACAGUUGACAACGGCAAGCAGUUUGACAGCCAAGAUUUCAAGGAUUUUUGUUUCUCCAUCGGCACCAAGCUUGCCUUCGCUUCAGUCUAUCAUCCGCAGUCCAACGGGGUCGUGGAGCGUGCCAAUGGGAAAAUCUUCACAACUGUCAAGAAGAUGCUCCUCGAUGAAAAAAAAGGCAGAUGGACCGAUUUGUUACCGGAGGCAGUCUGGGCGCUAAACACAACUGAGUGCAGGGCAACCGGGUUCACUCCUUUCCGCCUUCUAUACGGAUCGGAGGCAAUGACCCCGCAAGAAAUAAAGCAUGGGUCCCCGCGUACAGUUCCGUCAGUCGUCCCUGACGUGGACGAGCCAACCUAAAAAAAUCUCAUUGACGGAGACCGGUUCUUCGCCCUACAGGCCCUAAACAAAUACCAAGCCCAGACCAAAGCAUGGCGCGACCACGCAGUCAUCCCGAGGGAGUUCAGCGCGGGGGACCUCGUACUCAUCCGAACAGCUCGGACGGAGUCCAAGGGCAAGCUGGAGCCCAAGUGGGAGGGCCCCUUCAUAGUCAAGUCAAAAGCUUCCCCCAGCGCUUACAGGCUCACAACGCCAAAUGGCGAGGACCUGGAGCACUCCUGGAACAUCGACAACCUUCGCAAAUUUUUUGUUUGACCCAUUUAGGGCUGAUUUCGCCCUUGUAAUUCGCUGCAACCAAUCAUGUACCGGCCCGCACUCUUUUCCUCCCGGGGGUGAGGUUUUUAACGAGGCGGAGCCAUGUAAUAUAUGUGAGAAAAAUCCCCCGCAAAAACACGUGUCGAAAAAAGACCGCGACAACGGUCUUCGGCAUUCGACCAAUUCGAAGUCACCGCGAGGCUAAGCGCUAGCCACCCUCGCGUGCGACAAAUCCGCGCAGAAGUCGCCUAAGGGUGCAGCCGGACCAAGCACAACAAGCGCGAAAAAAUCCGAUGUCUAUCGCGAAGACUAUCCGCGCAGAAGUCGCCUAAGGGUGCAGCCGGACUAAGCACAACAAGUGCGAGAAAAUCCGAUGUCUAUCGCGAAGACUAUCCGCGCAGAAGUCGCCUAAGGGUGCAGCCGGACUAAGCACAACAAGUGCGAGAAAAUCCGAUGUCUAUCGCGAAGACUAUUCGCGCAGAAGUCGCCUAAGGGUGCAGCCGGACUAAGCACAACAAGUGCGAGAAAAUCCAAUGUCUAUCGCGAAGACUAUCCGCGCAGAAGUCGCCUAAGGGUGCAGCCGGACUAAGCACAACAAGUGCGAGAAAAUCCGAUGUCUAUCGCGAAGACUAUCCGCGCAGAAGUCGCCUAAGGGUGCAGCCGGACUAAGCACAACAAGUGCGAGAAAAUCCGAUGUCUAUCGCAAAGACUCCGCGCAGAAGCCGCCUAAGGGCGCAGCCGAACUAGCACAACAACAGCAGAAACGAUAGCAUCAAACCAUCCGUGCUAAGAACGACUAUAAUCACAACAGCACAGCAUAACCAACCAUACCAGACAAAGGCACACAACGUCCUCGCAGGCACAGGCACGCGAGGGCACACAACUUCAUCGUACAAACCCCCACACAUAUACAAGCGAGGGCACCACACUCUACAUCGGCUCAACCUUAGGAAUAAGUCCCAUCUCUCUAUAAUUAAAUAACAUCAUCCUAAGCUCCUCACCCGCAAAAAGACUUCGCAGUUCCCUUUCCCCUGUACUCGCAGCGGCCGGCAAAGACAACAGUUCCUGACGACCAGCCCUACUCACACGAAGCCGAGCCCCCUCCUCCGCGCUAACCCUACGUUUUGCAACCGCCCUUCGUCGUCGGCGCCCGGUGCUAGGACCUGGCACGUCUAGCGCGUCCGCGGCGUGUAGCGAAGCCUCCGCCGCAGCCACGUCCAAGGCCGCAAAAUAAUCCAAGUCCUCCGACGACUCCUCAGUCCACUCAACCGAGCUCCCAGAGUCAGUAAAAUCAGAAAACUCAGAUACCGACCCACCAUAUUCAUUCCCACCUUCCGCGGUCGAAGCCGCCAAAAACUCAGUAGUAGCGGUUGCGUACGCAGGCCCAAAAUCUUGAACCUGCGCAGCAACCAAAGUUCAGCACAGCAUCCAAAAAUUCCCCAACCCUAAACACCUACUACGCCACCUGCGAAGACCCUGACGCUGCGGGAGCCUCCGCCGUUGGCUCCGCCGUUGGCUCCGCCGCCACCGCCGCGGGAUCUUCAGCACUCGGCACUGCAGCUGCGGGGGCAUCAGGGGCGCCUUCGGCCACCUUCGGGGGCAGGUCUUCGCCGGCCACAGCGGAUGUGGGGGCAGCCGUCGCGAUCGCUGCGGUCUCCGGGGUUGGCUCCAGGGCGACCCCAGUCACAGCCUCCGCGGGGGUCGACUCCGGGUCUGGCAGCGCACUGUUCAGAGCCCCGAAGUCGUCCACCCGCUCGCCGCGCUCCGCCUAGGACAAGACACACAGAUUCAGCAAACACACGCACAGCCUGCAUACAGCAAACGCCAAACAAACAAACAACGUUACCUGAGCCCUCGCAGUCUCGGCCCGCUCCCUGACCACCUCACGACCGUACAGACCCCACAUCCGGUCAUAAAGGGCCCCGGCGGAUUCCUUCACAACGGGGUCUUCGACCUUAUAGAUAUCUCGCUCAAAUUCUUCAUCCACCUGGUCGAAGGCCUCGAAGUGUCGGCACCCUUCGCGGGAGAGAGCGUUCAUCGCCCCCUCGCAGGUGACCAAGGAGGCGUACGACAUUAACCCCCCCGCAACAGCUGGAAGUUCCAGCAGCUCCUCCUGCACCCACUGCAGACAGCGAAGCCCGGGCUCUCGGUCCGGCACCUCGAAGUCACCGGUCCGCGCACCCAGCUCACGAUAUGUAUCCAUGAGCUGCGUGCGCGUCCGUUCGGCCUCCGCAUGCAUCGCGGCCUCGGCCUCCUUCGCGCGGCUCUCCAGGGCGGUGAGCCGCUCUUGCAGAUGUUCGGCGAGCUCCUUGGCAAGAUUGCCCUCCGCCCGCGCCAGCUUGGCCUCCGCCUGCGCAGCCUGCCCCUUGGCGACGGCCUCGUUGGCUUCCCUCCUCUCCGCCGCCAGCUGGCGCCGGAGGUCGGCCUUCUCCCUCUCCAGGGCGGCCACCCUGUCCGCCAGCUUACGGCACUUGCUGUCGGAGGCCGACUUCUCACGGACAGCGUUAGCAUGUUGUGUCCGAAGUCUCUCGACUUCGGCAGACACAGCUGCCGUGAGGGCCCCCGAUGCAGUACGGCUGGCGAAGUCAGCCACCUGCAGAACAUACGCAAGGCCAUUGACGUAAAAAAAAAGAGAGAGAAAAGGGGGGGGAGAGACUAUAGCUCAGCGGACCUGACUCAGCGCCUCCGUCGCCUGACUCAGCGCCUCUGUCACUCCCUUCAGCCGGCGGGUCGCCACGCCCGCCUCGUCCCUGACCAACGCGAGGGCCGACACCUCGCCUUCGGCGCCAAGCGCCUCGCCCCUCGCCUUCGGCACCAUGACGGCCGUCGCGAUCGCCGCGCCAGGCGCAGCUAUAGCAAGCUGGCCCUCGCCCGGCCCUGCAACGCGUCAACAAAUUAAAAUAUAUAUAUAUAUAAUAACAAUAAUAGGCCAGCGACUUACCACCAAGAUAGUCGUCCACAGUAAUAUCGGUGCCGAAGUCGGCAACACGUUUGCCCGACAACGGCAACGCUUGGGCCGCCUUCGAAGCCUCCGCCACUCCGCUGGCCGGCGGCACCGCCUUCGUUGACUUGGAGCCUCCGGCGCCUGCCGUCGCCUCCGGCGCCUUGCUAGGAGCAGCGGCGCCCGCCUUCGCCGCCAGCGGCGGCUUACCUCCACCGGAGGCUACAGCCUUCGCAGUUCCCCGCUGCCUUUUCGGCCGAGCUUCGUGAAUCCUGACAGUCGCCUGGCGUUUUUGCGCCGCCCCUUGGCGAUCCUUGUCCAUCACUGUCCACACAACAGCACCGAUAUUUCGCCCGUAAGGAAAAACUCUCCACUGAUGAACCAUACGAGAUGUAAAACAGUCCUCCUCAGCCGCGCAGGGGAUAGGAACAUUUUUCGGCCAGCAACCCCCGGUAACCCUCAGCAUCCGAGCCGAAGACUCCUGGAGCUCGGGCGAAGACAUCCUUUCCCCCGGGGCCGCACACGUCCUCAUUAACUCUCUAGCAAAACUAUCAGACACCCCAAGUCCUCCCAUCGCAGUACCUAAUUUUCUCUUUUUUGAGGAGGGGGCGGCCGCCAGCGCAGGGUCGCCUCCAGUCUCCACCGCCGGCUUCUUCCCACGGCGGUCCGCUUCGUCUUGACCAGGAUAGCCGUCGUACGGCAAUUGAUUUAAUUCGAAGACCCUGUUCAAGCGCUCAUUUGACCCGCGGAUAUCAAAGCUGCGCUGGCCUUCAGUCCUCGGCACGUAACGUCCCACGAGCCGCACCGCCAAGUCCUCCGCAUCAUGCACAAAGGCGGCCGGGUCACGAUUUCGCAAAUUCAGUGCGAAGGCAGGACUUCGCACCACCCUUCCUCCGUGAAAAGGCAUCUGGCGAGGGCACACUUCGCCCAGCGCCCAGCCGUGCGCCAAGGGCCAGACCCCGUACGCCACGAACUCUUCAACUAAAUCACGCCCACUGCUCUGACCGGCGGCGCAUCGGAGGGCCCCUUCGUCUGCAUCCUCUUCUGCCACUUCAAAAGGCGGAUACGCAGAAUAAUAAUGAGAGCACAUCUCAGACACGGGGAGUCCCUCAUGGCCUUCGACAGUACCCUCAGCAACGUAAAACCAAAAUUCAUUCCAACUGCCCCACUUGUUGCGGGCGCACGGAACCAACUCCACUACUGGCAUUGUGGUCUUGCCGGUCUUCGGCGUGAAUGUGCAUGACCCAAACUGGGCAACUCCGUCCCCAACCAUCCUCUUCUGCCAAUGCAAACAAUAAUUCUUCGCAAAAACUUCAACAGACGGCUGCCCGCCGUACGAAGUCGUCGCCCAGACAUACUUCGCCAGCGCCACCAUGGCAUUCGGUGUCAGCUGAUGUAUUUGAACAUUGAAUCUACGCAGGACUUCGCCAACAAACCGGUGGGCAGGCAAGCGGAGACCGGCGGCGAAGAACGCCUCGAAAACGACCAACUCACCCUCCGGCUCGGGGACUUCCUCCGUCCCUGGAGCACGAGCAACUCCGCCGCCAAAGUAGCCCAACCGCUGCAUAUCUUCAACGCGGGCUGACAUCAUCCGUGACACACCAAAAUCAACAGAGUCGCCGGCGCGCAACUCCUCCACCAUCACGCUACUCAAUGUCUCCUCAGACGAGGCGGCGGCCGGCGGCGUGGUGUCGGAGGAAGAAGAAGAGGACGGCAUUGCUACGUACCGUCGGCGGCGGCGGGCGGUUUGCUUCACUCGAGCCAGAACUCCGGCGAGCAAAAGGAGCAGCGGAAGAAGAAGAGCAGCAAGACGGCGGGAGGCUAGGGUUUUUACGGAGCGCGGAAGGCAAAGUUCAAACAGCGCCGACCCUCGCCCCCUUUUAUAGGCAGAGCGCGGCUCUUCGGGAAACCCGCAAUCCGAAAGGGCGCGGCGCUUCGGGAAACCCGCAAUCCAACAGUACGCCGUCCAUCAACGGUCACAUCAAAAACCCCUGCGGAACCACUUCGAGCGAGGGCAGCGUCUCCGCCAUCUAGCGACAUCUUCGGCACCAGGUGACUCUGUCGAACUGGUCCCUCGGAGGGCAAAUGUUGGGGCGAAGGCAAAGACGCAACCCUUCGCUCGAAGCCUCCGCCGCGGUCGCUGGUCUGACAAAGACAAAGCGGGCAGGGACACCCUUCGCUUCAUUCAGCACCAGACGAAGGCCUGCGGUGACGUCUCCCCGCAGCGCGGCCUCGUCCUGCUCUAAGGCCCACGCGUGAUCUGGCCCAUUGUAACGGGCCCCGCGUGGCCGCCUUUGUGUUACGGGCCCAGCUUGUAAAGGCAUUCUUGUAAUUACAGCUUGUAACCCUGCUUUAUGGGAAUAUUCUGGGGAUAAACUAGGUGUCUGAGGGCACAUGCGUCCUUAACACAAGGUGCUGGGCACUCAGAUACCUAUAAAUACCCCCGCAUAGUGCCCGUGAGAGGCUAGAUCAACAGAGCUAUUGCCCCCGUGCACGUAACCCUGUUGUCACCACCGCUCACCCUUGUUGGCCUCCUUGCUGCUGAGAGCAAGUUCCAACAGAGUUCAUAUGAUGUCUUCUUGAGGAUUCGGUGUAGAUACAAUCGGUUGAUGGCGUAGCAAGCGGUGUUGACCGCCUCGGCCCAAAACCAAUCCGAAGUCUUGUACUCAUCAAGCAUGGUUCUUGCCAUGUCCAAUAGAAUUCGAUUCUUCCUCUCCACUACACCAUUUUGUUGUGGGGUGUAGGGAGAAGAGAACUCAUGCUUGAUGCCCUCCUCCUCAAGGAAGCCUUCAAUUUGAGAGUUCUUGAACUCCAUCCCAUUGUCGCUUCUAAUCUUUUUGAUCCUUAAGCCGAACUCAUUUUGAGCCCGUCUCAAGAAUCCCUUUAAGGUCUCUUGGGUAUGAGAUUUUUCCUGUACAAAGAACACCCAACUGAAGCGAGAAAAGUCAUCCACAAUAACUAGACAGUACUUACUCCCGUCGAUGCUUAUGUAAGCAAUCGGGCCGAAUAGGUCCAUGUGUAGGAGCUCGAGUGGCCUGUUGGUCGUCAUGAUGUUCUUAUGUGGAUGAUGAACACCGACUUGCUUUCCUGCCUGACAUGCGCUACAAAUCCUGUCUUUCUCAAAAUGAACAUCUGUUAGUCCCAAAAUGUGUUCUCCCUUUAGAAGCUUGUGAAGAUUCUUCAUUCCAACAUGUGCUAGUCGGCGAUGCCAGAGCCAGCCCAUGUUAGUCUUUGCAAUUAAGCAUGUGUCGAGUUCAGCUCUAUCAAAAUCUACUAAGUAUAGCUGACCCUCUAACACUCCCUUAAAUGCUAUUGAAUCAUCACUUCUUCUAAAGACAGUGACACCUACAUCCGUAAAAAGACAGUUGUAACCCAUUUUACAUAAUUGCGAAACUAAAAGCAAGUUGUAAUCUAAAGAGUCUACAAGAAAAACAUUGGAAAUGGAAUGGUCAGGUGAUAUAGCAAUUUUACCCAAUCCUUUGACCAAACCUUGAUUUCCAUCCCCGAAUGUGAUAGCUCGUUGGGGAUCUUGGUUUUUCUCAUAGGAGGAGAACAUCUUCUUCUCCCCGGUCAUGUGGUUUGUGCACCCGCUAUCAAUGAUCCAACUUGAGCCCCCGGAUGCAUAAACCUACAAAAUAAGUUUAGUUCUUGAUUUUAGGUACCCAAAUGGUUUUGGGUCCUUUGACAUUAGAUACAAGAACUUUGGGUACCCAAACACAAGUCUUUGACCCCUUGUGUUUGCCCCCAACAUAUUUGGCAACUACCUUGCCAGAUUUGUUAGUUAAAACAUAGGAUGCAUCAAAAGUUUUAAAUGAAAUUUUAGAAUCAUUUGAUGCAAUUGGAGUUUUCUUCUUAGGCAAUUUAGCACGGGUUGAUUGCCUAGAACUAGAUGUCUCACCCUUAUACAUAAAAGCAUGAUUAGGGCCAGAGUGAGACUUCCUAGAAGGAAUUCUCCUAAUUUUGCUCUCAGGAUAACCGGCAGGGUACAAAAUGUAACCCUCGUUAUCCUGAGGCAUGGGAGCCUUGCCCUUAACAAAGUUUGACAAUCUUUUAGGAGGGGCAUUAAGUUUGACAUUGUUUCCCUUUUGGAAGCCAAUGCCAUCCUUGAUGCCAGGGCGUCUCCCAUUAUAGAGCAUGCUUCUAGCAAAUUUAAAAUUUUCAUUUUCUAAGUCAUGCUCGGCAAUUUUAGCAUCUAAUUUUGCUAUAUGAUCAUUUUGUUGUUUAAUUAAAGCCAUAUGAUCAUGAAUAGCAUCAAUGUUAAUAUCUCUACAUCUAGUGCAAAUAGUGACAUGUUCAAUGGUAGAUGUAGAGGGUUUGCAAGAAUUAAGUUCAACAAUCUUAGCACGUAAAAUAUCAUUGUUAUCUCAAAGAUUGGAAAUGGAAGCAUUGCAAACAUCUAUUUCUUUAGCCUUAGCAAUUAAUUUUUCAUUUUCAAUCUUAAGGCUAGCAAGAGAGACAUUCAAUUCUUCAAUCUUAGCAAGCAAGUUAACAUUAUCAUCUCUAAGAUUGGGAAUUGAAACUUCACAAACAUUUGAAUCAACCUUAGCAAUUAAAUUAGCAUUCUCAUUUCUAAGGUUGGUAAUAACAUCAUGGCAAGUGCUUAGCUCACUAGAUAGUUUUUCACAUUUUUCUACUUCUAGAGCGUAAGCAUUUUUAACCUUUACGUGCUUCUUAUUUUCCUUAAUUAGGAAGUCCUCUUGGUUGUCCAAGAGUUCAUCCUUCUCAUGGAUAGCACUAAUUAAUUCAUUCAAUUUUUCUUUUUGUUGCAUGUUAAGGUUGGCAAACAAGAUGCGCAAAUUAUCCUCCUCAUCACUAGCAUUAUCCUCAUCACUAGAGGUUUCAUAUUUAGUGGAGGAUUUUGAUUUUACCUUCUUCCUUUUGCCGUCUUUUGCCAUGAGGCCCUUGGUGACGGCGAUGUUGGCGGCGUCCUCGUCGGAGGAGGAGUCGGAGUAGCUCUCCUCGGAGUCCCACUCGCGGCACACAUGGGCAUCGCCGCCCCUCUUCUUGUGGUACCUCUUCUUUUCUCUCCUCUUGCCCUUCUUGUCGUUAUCCCUGUCACUGUCACUAGAUAGCGGACAUUUAGCAAUGAAAUGACUGGGCUUACCACAUUUGUAGCACACCUUCUUGGAACGGGGCUUGUAAUCUUUCCCCUUCCUUUGUUUGAGGAUCUGGCGGAAGCUCUUGAUGAUGAGUGUCAUUUCCUCAUUGUCGAGUUUAGAGGCGUCGAUGGGUUGUCUACUUGAUGUAGACUCCUCCUUCUUCUCCUCCGUCGCCUUGAAUGCGACCGGUUGUGCUUCGGACGUGGAGGGGCCAUCUAGCUCGAUAAUUUUCUUUGAGCCUUUUAUCAUUAACUCAAAGCUCACAAAAUUACCUAUUACUUCCUCGGGAGAAAUUAGUGUAUAUCUAGGAUUACCUCGAAUUAAUUGAACUUGCGUAGGAUUAAGAAAAACGAGGGAUCUUAGAAUAACCUUAACCAUCUCAUGGUCAUCCCAUUUGGUGCUCCCGAGGUUGCGCACUUGGUUCACCAAGGUUUUCAAGCGGUUGUACAUGGCUUGAGGGUCCUCGCCUUGGUUGAGUCGGAACCGACCGAGCUCCCCCUCGAUUGUCUCCCGCUUGGUGAUUUUGGUCACCUCAUCUCCUUCGUGCGCGGUCUUGAGUACGUCCCAAAUCUCCUUGGCGCUUUUUAACCCUUGCACCUUGUUAUACUCCUCCCGACUAAGAGAGGUGAGGAGUAUAGUGGUGGCUUGAGAGUUGAAGUGUCGGAUUUGGGCGACCUCGUCCGAAUCAUAGUCUUCAUCCCCCGGUGAUGGUACCUGUACUCCAAUCUCAACAACAUCCCAAAUGCUAGUGUGGAGUGAGGUUAGAUGAUGCCUCAUUUUAUCACUCCACAUAUUAUAAUCUUCACCAUCAAACAUGGGUGGUUUGCCUAAUGGGACGGAAAGUAAUGGAGUACGUUUGGAAAUGCGAGGAUAACGUAGGGGAAUCUUACUAAACUUCUUGCGCUCAUGGCGCUUAGAAGUUACGGAAGGUGUGUUAGAGCCGAAGGUGGAUGGCGACGAAGAGUCAGUCUCAUAGUAGACCACCUUCCUCAUCUUCUUCUUGUCACCGCUCUGACCCGACUUGUUGUGUGAAGGGGAUCCCUUUACCUUGUUGGCGGACUCCCCGGAUGGAGCCUUCCCAUGGCUUGUAGCGGGCUUCUCGCCGGUCAUCAUCUCCUUCUUGGCGUGAUCUCCCGACAUCACUUCGAGCGGUUAAUCUCUAAUGAAGCACCAGGCUCUAAUACCAAUUGAAAGUUGCCUAGAGGGGGGUGAAUAGGGCGAAUCUGAAUUUUAUAAACUUAAGCACAACUACAAGCCGGGUUAGCGUUAGAAAUAUGAACGAGUCCGAGAGAGAGGGUGAAAAACAAAUCGUGGGCAAAUAAAGAGUGAGACACGAUGAUUUGUUUUUCCGAGGCUCGGUUCUUGCAAACCUACUCCCCGUUGAGGUGGUCACAAAGACCGGGUCUCUUUCAACCCUUUCCCUCUCUCAAAUGGUCACCUAGACCGAGUGAGCUUCUCUUCUCAAUCAAACGGGACACAAAGUCCACGCAAGGACCACCACACAAUUGGUGUCUCUUGCCUCGGUUACAAUUGAGUAUGUCACAAGAAGAGUGAGAAAGAAAAAGAAGCAAUCCAAGCGCAAGAGCUCAAAUGAACACAACAAAUCUCUCUCUCUAAUCACUAAAGCUUUGUGUGGAGUUGGGAGAGGAUUUGAUCUCUUUGGUGUGUCUUGUAUUGAAUGCUAUAGCUCUUGUAAGGUGUAGAAGUGUAGAAACUUGGAUGCCAUUGAAUGUGGGGUGGUUGGGGUAUUUAUAGCCCCAACCACCAAAAAUGGACGUUGGAAGACUGCUGUCGCAUGGCGCACCGGACAGUCCGGUGCGCCAGCCACGUCAGCCAGCCGUUGGGGUUUAACCGUUGGAGCUCUGACUUGUGGGGCCUCUGGGCUGUCCAGUGGUGCACCGGACAGGUCCUGUAGACUGUCCAGUGCGCCAACUGCGUGUGCUCUAACUCUGGCGCGCACUAUAGCGCAUUGAAUGCGGUUGCAGUCGACCGUUGCUCGUGAAGUAGCCGUUGCUUCGCUGGCACACCGGACAGUCCGGUGAAUUAUAGCGGAGCGCCCUCUGAAUUUUCCCGAAGGUGGCAAGUUCAGCUUCGAGUUCCCUGGUGCACCGGACACUGUCCGGUGGCACACCGGACAGUCCGGUGCGCCAGACUAGGGUGCCUUUUGGGUUGUCCUUUGCUCUCUUUGUUUGAACCCUUUCUUGGUCUUUUCAUUGGCUUAUUGUGAACCUUUGGCACCUGUAGAACUUAUAGACUAGAGCAAACUAGUUAGUCCAAUUAUUUGUGUUGGUCAAUUCAACCACCAAAAUCAAUUAGGAAAAAGGUGUAAGCCUAAUUCCCUUUCACCUUCUAAGUGCCAUGAGCGCAAGAAGUAUAGUAAGAUGCCCCUACGCUAUCCUCGUAUUUCAAAGCGCGCUCCAUUACUUUCCGUUCUGUGACGGAACCUCCCAAGUAAUUAGGCCCACCUACAGUUGUCCUUGUCCAACGGACCUCAGACAACACUGUAGGUGCCCCUGAACUACUUGACAAGUUCGGUAUCUUCUUUCUUACCUUUCCAGGAACGUUUCACCCGUCUUGUAGACAUUACAGCACAUCGGAGAUAUAGAAAUGCGGAAGCGAUUACAUAAACUUACAUUUAUUUAGAAAGUAAGAUCAAGUUACUUAUUACAGACCAGAGUUAUCCUAGGAGUGCAGAGUAAUAUUAUUACACAUACCAAGGGAGACAGAAAACUCCUCCCGAUAAGUUCUUAAACAAAAGUCCUAAUGGAGGAUCCUUUCCUCUCGCAGCUUCACUCUUGUUUUUCUUCCUUGGGAACCACCUUGGUACAGAAGCAACAGAAAUCUGCUACUUCUUCACCUAAAAACAACGAAGGGAUAAACCCUGAGUAUGGAAUUACUCAGCAAGUCUUACCCGACUAAGGAAAACACUCUCAAGGGUAUGCUGGAUAAAUAGGAAUCAAGGAGAGGCUUUAGCAAGAAUCAACUUAGAUACUUUUGCAGAAAUAGCUUAUUAAAGUGAGUCCUUACUUUCAAUAUUUUAACGCCAGAUUGAAUAUUAAUAGACACUGUUUGCAUCUAGUCUAAUUUCAUCAUCUUAUCAAUACAACAUCCUUUUUAUUCAUAAUGUUCACAUCUUGACUUAGGUUGUAGGGAAGUGACCAAGUCUUCAUAACCGCGAAGGUACGGCAAUCCGAAUCGAUUACACUCAGCUGAGGAUCUCCAAUCACAGGACAUAUGUAGCACUUAACCCUUGCAUAUGUCAACCCGCCACCGGGGUUCUUAAGACCAGAUCAGGUUCACGCAAACCGAGAGCACAGAUACACCACCGUCCAGCCUCUUGCCACGGAGGGUACACGCUACUCUCGCCACCGCUCCACGCCCAUUUCGUGUUAUCUUAUUCUGGCCUUAGUCUACCCGAGGCAAGGCUUACCCAUGAUGUAACACUCCGGGUUCCACAAACACCCCGGAAUGCUACUAAACAACACUUCUGACAUCUAUAUAUAAAAUUUCGGCAGCAUCCCCUUUGCAAAAUUGCAUAAAUGAGGGGGGGCAACAAUGUAUAAACAUAUAUCAUGACAAAAACAUACUAAGUAUUAUUAAUCGGCUAGCAAAGAGAAGUUAAACAUACGACUUGAACUGAAUUAACUAGUGCGCCUGGGCAGCGUUAUUGUGAGAGUGAAAGUGGACGUGCUGCUACUCCCCUCAUUCCCAACAUGUAUCAAGUACCUGCAUUGAGUAAUGCAAGAGUGAGAUGACACAUCUCAUCAAGUAAUAAUAUCAAACUGUUUAACCACAUAAGAACAUUGUUUUACCACCACUUGAUUCCACAACUUUCUUAUUACGAAGGUGCAGCACAUAUACAACGUACAACACACCUAGUCACCACACCUCACGGGUAGAAACCACAAUAGUAACAUAGUAAUGUCACACUUCAUAUAUACCUCAUGAGUGCAAAUGUCUGCAAAUGCAAGGAUGACUUCUGCCUUCAUACCUCUAAGGAUAUGAAGCCGCAUCGUACCCCUCCUCGGGCAACGUACGAUGCUAAAAAUGUACCGGUACGGUAGGACCAUAAGAUCACGACAUAACUUCAAAAUGCAAGAUGGAUGAUGCGAUGUGCAUGUCAUACCUACAACACUUCAUAUAACAUGAUUCUAAAAGAUACUUCAACUUCAUCCAAGAUGGGAAUCAACCACAUAUAUCAUUACCAAAUUAUGAUCAUCCACAAUAUUAGACAAUUGAGAAUUAAUACUUCCAAACAAAUAAACUUCAUCAUAGAAUCCAAUGAUUAACAUAAUUGAAACUUUUGCAUACUCAAUGACAGGGAAUAGGAUGCAAACCAAACGGUAGCAACCACCACUGUAUUUACUUGCCUUUACCGGAAGUUCGGGCAAAUCCCUAAGUACGAUCCGGAAGUCCACCACCUGUUUUUUACACCCAACUUAGUGCACCAAUUUCACAUAAUCAGACUCAUAAGCGACGCCGCAACUACGCACAAACUCAAACCCCGCCGCGGGUUACAUCUCUCCCUACACCCACCAAACUGCAGCGGCGCUGCUUAAUAAUUUCAUAACUUUAAAAUUAUGACAGCAGUGGAAACAAACAAAAACUCCAGAGGCAUCUACAUAAAAUUCCCCAUAAGUUUUGUAUACAAUUUAUAGUUAAAUUCCAAUAUCUAAUUAGCCCAAAACAGUCCACAAGAUGAACCCUGUAAUCUGUUUUUCUUUGUCUUUUGGACAGCGACAUACCCGGAUUCAAACAGCGAUAUCUUUUAAAAUAUAAUUCCAAAUCAAGCGCAUAAGUACUCAUUGGAAAGAUAAGACAAAUCCCUACAUGAUUAUCAUACUGGUUAACACUAAUUACCCACGAAAAAUUCCCAGAAACUGCUAAUACCACUGCUGUUCACCCACCUGAAAAAUCUGUUUUUUUUUACAGCAACAUAACCGGAUUCAAACAACGAUAUCUCCUAAAAUAUAACUCCGAAUCGAGCGUAUAAGUACUUGUUGGAAAGAUAACAUAAAGCCCUACAUGAUUCUCAUACUGAUUAACACUAAUUACUCCCGAAAAAUCCCCAGAAACUGCUAAUACUGCUGCUGUUCAUCCCCCUGAAAAUCUGUUUUUUUGGACAGCCACCUACCCGGUUUCAAACGGUGAUAACUUUUAAUUUAUAACUCCAAAUUGAGCGCAUAAAUACUCGUUGGAAAGUUAUGCCAAAGUUCUACAUGAUUCCCAAACUGAUUCCCCUUAAUUCUCCACGAAAAAUGCCCAGAAAUCACUAAUUCUGCUGCUGUUCGUCCACCCCCUUAAAAUUCUGGACAGCCCUUCUACCAAAUCGCACACGCAACAUCUAAACAAUUGGAUUGCCGCAUAAAAUGAACAAGAGAUAAACACAAAAAUCACCUUGGGUUCUCCCCCUUUUCUUCCUCCCUUCCUCCCUUCACCGAAAACCGUUGAAGAUUUGCACCACGCGACGGAGAUCCGAGCGGCAACGAAUGGCACCAUGGGAGGAGGGGAUGGGGGGCGGCUAGGGUUUGAUGUGUGGCUGCAAGUGCUUGAGAAAGGAGGAGAUGGGAGGGGGGGCGGCCAAGAGGGUAGGGGAAUGGGGGGGGGCGGCUGCACAAAGAAUGGGGGGGUUAGGGGGAGGGUGGCUAGGGUUAUGGGGGUUAGUGGGCCGAAACAAGAUUUGCGGCCCAACACGACCACGCGACGGCUCCCGACCCCGAUGCAAGCGCCUAACCAAAGAAAUUCUACUGCCCUACUGGUGAAUGUUUUUCCUCAAAUUCCAAAUUCCCAAAACGCAACCACCGAAAGAGAGAAAAAAAAACAAAAAGAAUACCCUCCAACUUCUCUUCUUCGCAAACCGGGUGUCACACUCUACCCCCCUUAAAAAGAAUUCGACCUCGAAUUCCGACGCUUCUAUCGGAACAACAAAAGAAAGAUUAAUGAAUCAACAAAACUCACACAUAAAGAAAAGUUCGAGUACUUCUGCUGCAUCAGCUCCUCAAGCUCCUAGGAUUCUAAGAUACGCAGCAGACGACACUCUAGAGUCUGCUCUUGCUACACAGGAAUCGGCUCUAGCUCGAUUUGAUGGUCUGGAUUCCGCAAAUACUUCCUCAACAUAAAGACAUGGAAUACUUGGUGUACUCUGAUCAUAGAUUCCGACAAUUACAUGUGCUAAGCCCAGCUACCAACUCGGCCAAGAUAGUAGACGGUCCUAUAUACCUCGGACCAAACUUUCCUGACACCAAAUCAAUCAUUGACAUAUGCAAGUACUUCAAGGAAUGUAUAUAUGAAUGCAAGGCAUAUAAUGUUCCUAUAGCCUAAACCAAACUUAGCCAAACAAGAGCAACUUCAAGAGAGCAACUUAAUGCUUGCAUAUUUCUAGAUAGCAGCACAGCGAUUAAUUGUUUUGCUCCUAACUCACAAAAUAUGCAUCGAAAAUUUAGUAAACUAGGACUUUAUGGAAAGCUUAUAAAGUCCCCUAUACCCUUGGUAUUAACAUCACAACAAGAUUUGACACUUAGAAAGGUCAAACAAUGCUAAACGUAAAUUCUGUCCAGACUUGGACAUAAUUCAACUACUCAAUUCAAAAAUCCAUAAUUGGAGUCUCAAUCAUCCAAUUCAGGUGCUCCCAGACUUUUUAGAAAGCUAGUAGAAUUGUCUAUAAUUCAUUUAUAAACAUAUCAAGUUAAUUCAAUGCAUAUUAAGGUCAAAAGACACGAGAAAGGCUCUGCUGUCCAAAUUUGGACAGAUUCAGAGAUCACACUUAAAACAGCUGUAACUUAACUUAUAGAUCUCCAAAAAAAUUCUUAACUUAUAGAUCUCCAAAAAAAUUAAUCCAAAAUUUGUUGAAACUAUUAAGAAAAGUACUACAACUUCUUUAUAAUUUAUAAUAAGUUAUUCGAAGUUUAAAUUGGGCAAACAAGGUCAGCUUCGAAAUCUGUACAGAAUCUGCACAGAUUUUAAGACUGGACUUGAUAAAAUCAUAACUCCCAAACUACUAGACCUAUGGUCAUGAAAUUUUUACACAAAUAAGAUAAAGAAGUUGGCUACAACUUUUAUAUAUAACAUCUCUAUAGAAAAGAUGGUUUACUUCAUUGUACUAGCUGCAUAACUAAAACUGGUCAUGCAGUCCCAAUAGCAAGCAAUAGAUUUUAUCAGGUUCAUUACUCUUCUAAGAUUAAGCGUUCAUUGAAAGAUUAAUAACUUUAGGUUCUUCAUUACGAGACACCUAUAACAAAUAUAAGUAUAGAAGCAAUAUGAUAACUUUUUAAAUCAUUUAAGCCUAAUCUCACAUCAUGCAAACAAGAAUCAAUUUAAGCAUGUUAUGUCUGCCCACAUAUUCAUCCAAGCACAUUCUAUACAUGAUAUCAUAACUCCCUGCAGCUAACAAAAUUUUGCAAAUAUAAACUCAUUGAAAAGAUUAUAACAUUCUCUAGAACUUUUAUUAUAAUGAGUGUCUCGGAAUUGGUUUCCAAACUGAUAAAACAAUGCAACUCUUUUGUUGCAAAACUGAUAGGAUUGAAACAAUGGACAACUAAAAUUCAAAAACCUAUAACUCCUGCUAUACUCAACUUAAACUACAACGAACACGCGUUGGAAAAGUUUUGAAAAUUGUCCACGACUUUUGCAAUAAAGUUGCACCCAAAUUAAUUCUUAUAGCCCUCAACUCUGCAUGACCUACAGCUAAACUCAGCCUGAGAUACUACACAUUAGAGAUUCGACUUAUAUCCAGGCAACCACCUCUCCAAAUCUAUUUAACAGACAGUUACAAGUAAAUACCCAUUAAAAAGGUACUGAAAAGACCUACAAGUUUUGCUUAAAGAGAAUUCGCAAAUUUGUGCUCUGCAACUAUCGAAACGCGGUCGAUUUAUUGGUGAUUAUAACGACGCCUAAAGUUCAGACACAACAGUGCAACAACUUCAGAGCAACCUAACUCCAAUUAUAUGCAAUGAGAAUUAGAAACCCAUACUCUUUGAAAAGAUCAUGAAAUUACUAAAACUUUCAUAAUCCACAAAGACCAAAUUAUACCGUCUUCAAGGUCUACUCUUCCGUACAAAAUUAAAGACUCACUCUGCUAGAGACACCAACAAAGAUGUUUUAAGAAACCCAUAUCUCUUAAAUGUUUAGACCAAACAUGGUGAUUAAGCAUCCUAUGGAAAGAUGAAGAAACAUACUACAAAACAUUCUAGAUAAGUGAAGCCUGAUUCAGCCUCCAACUAAUUUAAAAUGCCUCCCGAAACCAAACAACACAUUAUCAACAAUAAAAAAACAAUAUAAAAUGAAACCCAAGUCAUAGGCAGGUGCAAUCAACACUAGGAUUUUUGAGAGCACCUAGAGGGGGGGGGUGAAUAGGUGAUCCUGUAAAACUUAAGCUUAUAGCCACAAAAACUUGUUAAGUGUUAGCACAAUAAAUGCCAAGUGGCUAGAAAGGAGUCUCAACAAAACACAAUACCACAAGAGAUCAAUCACAGAGAUGACACAGUGGUUUAUCCCGUGGUUCGGCCAAGACCAACGCUUGCCUACUCCACGUUGUGGCGUCCCAACGGACGAGGGUUGCACUCAACCCCUCUCAAGUGGUCCAAAGACCCACUUGAAUACCACGGUGUUUUGCUUGCUUUUUCUCAAUCCCGUUUGCGAGGAAUCUCCACAACUUGGAGCCUCUCGCCCUUACAAUUGAAGUUCACAAAGAACACAGAGCAAAGGGGGAAUGAGCAAUGCACACAAGACUUCAAAAGAUCAGAGCAACAACACGCACACAAGUCGCAACAAGAGCUCGCAACACAACUCAAAGAGUUCGCAACUCAACAAGAGCUCUAGAUGCUAUCACAAAUGAAACGAAUGCGUGAGAUCGAUGUCUUGGUGCUUAGGAAUGUUGUAGGAAUGCUUGGUGUCCUCCUCCAUGCGCCUAGGGGUCCCUUUUAUAGCCCCAAGGCAGCUAGGAGCCGUUGAGAGCAAUUCUGGAAGGCUGAUCUUGCCUUCUGUCGUCGGGUGCACCAGACAGUCCGGUGCACACCGGACAUUGUCCGGUGCCCGAUCUCCUUCCUAAAAUGGCACAGCCGACCGUUGCAGAUCUGGGAGCCGUUGGCGCACCGGACAUGUCCGGUGCACACCGGACAGUCCGGUGCCCCCUUCCGACCGUUGGCUCGGCCACGUGUCGCGCGCGGAUUCCGCGGCCGACCGUUGGCCCGGCCGACCGUUGGCUCACCGGACAGUCCGGUGCACACCGGACAGUCCGGUGAAUUUUAGCCGUACGCCAUGAGCAAAUUCCUGAGAGCGGCCUCUUCGGCCGAGGCAGCCUGGCGCACCGGACACUGUCCGGUGCACCACCGGACAGUCCGGUGCUCCAGACCGAAGCAGCCUUCUGGCUGUACACAGCCAAUUUUUUCUUUUCUAUUUCCAAUACUUAGACAAGUAUAUUAGUACACAAAACCAAUGUACUAAGACUUAGAAACAUACCUUUGCUCUUGAUUUGCACUUUAUUCAUCCAUGGCAUAAAUUCACAUUUAAGCACUCGAGUUGGCACUCAAUCAUCAAAAUACUUAGAAAUGGCCCAAGGGCACAUUUCCCUUUCAAUCUCCCCCUUUUUGGUGAUUUAUGCCAACACAACAUAAAGCAACUAGAACAAGUGCAAAAUCACUUCAAAUAAAACUCAAAUUGUUUUGAUUCAAUUUUGACAUAUAUGGAUCACUCUAUGCCACCACUUGGUUUGUUUUUGCAAAUCCAACUCAAAUUUCUAUCUCUAAGUCACAGAGAGGUUUUCCAAAGAAAAUUGAUUCAAGAUUCCAAAAACUCCCCCUUUUUCCCAUAAUCAACACUUCUCCCCACAAGAGGCCAACUUUUGACAAAAGAGACAAUGCAAGAGUUUUGACAAACCAAAAGCUCUAUCCUACUGUUUUCAAAGUUUCUCAAGUGGUAGCUGAUCCAUUUAUUGCUUUGGCCUUUAUUUUCUCCCCCUUUGGCAUCAAGCACCAAAACGGGAUCAAUCUUGGCCCUUUAACCCCAUUUCCUCACCAAAAUCUUCAAUUAAGAGCAAAUAGGCAAUAAGAGUUUAAAGAUGAACUUGGAAAAGUUACUCUUUUCAUCGGAGUGCAGUGGAAGUCUUGCAUGGUCCAAGUCCACCUUUUCCCUUUCAAUCCUUCUUUGAGACUAAAGCAUCAAACUCAAGCACAGGGUUAGUCUCAAAGGGUCAAGUUGUAGCACAGCUCCCCCUAAAUAUGUGCUUCACUUGCAAACAGGACUUGCGAGGUCCAAGGAGUGUUUGUACAACUUGAGCACCACAAUAAGCAACAAAAUGCAGAAUGAACAUGAUCAAAGGCAUAAACACAUGUAUGCUACAAUUCAAUCCAAGUUCCGCGAAUCUAAGACAUUAAGCUCACUACGCAACCUACAAAAGGUCUUCUCAUCUAGAGGCUUGGUAAAGAUAUCGGCUAGCUGGUUAUCGGUGCUGACAUGAAACACUUCGAUAUCUCCCUUUUGCUGGUGGUCUCCCAAAAAGUGAUGCCGGAUGUCUAUGUGCUUUGUGCGGCUGUGUUCAACAGGAUUUUCCGCCAUGCGGAUAGCACUCUCAUUAUCACAUAGGAGUGGGACUUUGCUCAGAUUGUAGCCAAAGUCCCGGAGGGUUUGCCUCAUCCAAAGUAGUUGCGCGCAACACUGUCCUGCGGCAACAUACUCGGCCUCAGCGGUGGAUAGGGCAACGGAGGUUUGUUUCUUAGAGUUCCACGACACCAGGGACCUUCCUAAGAAUUGGCACGUCCCUGAUGUACUCUUCCUAUCGACCUUACAUCCAGCAUAGUCGGAAUCUGAGUAUCCAACCAAGUCAAAGGUAGACCCUUUUGGAUACCAGAGCCCGAAGCAAGGCGUAGCAACCAAAUAUCUUAGAAUUCGCUUCACCGCCACUAAGUGACACUCCUUAGGAUCGGAUUGAAAUCUAGCACACAUGCAUACGCUAAGCAUAAUAUCCGGUCUACUAGCACAUAAAUAAAGUAAAGACCCUAUCAUUGACCGGUAUGCUUUUUGAUCAACGGACUUACCUCCUUUGUUGAGGUCGGUGUGUCCGUCGGUUCCCAUCGGAGUCUUUGCGGGCUUGGCGUCCUUCAUCCCAAACCGCUUUAGCAGAUCUUGCGUGUACUUCGUUUGGGAGAUAAAGGUGCUGUCCUUGAGUUGCUUCACUUGGAACCCAAGGAAGUAGUUCAACUCGCCCAUCAUCGACAUCUCGAAUUUCUGCGUCAUCACCCUGUUAAACUCUUCACAAGACUUUUGGUUAGUAGAACCAAAUAUUAUGUCAUCGCAUAAAUUUGGCACACAAACAAAUCACCAUCACAUGUCUUUGUGAAAAGAGUUGGAUCGGCUUUCCCAACCUUGAAAGCAUUAACAAUUAGAAAGUCUCUAAGACAUUCAUACCAUGCUCUUGGGGCUUGCUUAAGUCCAUAGAGCGCCUUAGAGAGCUUACACACGUGGUCGGGGUACCGUUCAUCCUUGAAGCCAGGGGGUUGCUCCACGUACACCUCCUCCUUAAUCGGCCCAUUGAGGAAAGCGCUCUUCACGUCCAUUUGGUACAACCUGAAAGAAUGGUGAGCGGCAUAUGCUAGCAAGAUACGAAUUGAUUCUAGCCUAGCCACAGGAGCAAACGUCUCCUCAAAGUCCAAACCUGCGACUUGGGCAUAACCUUUUGCCACAAGUCGAGCCUUGUUCCUCGUCACCACCCCGUGCUCGUCCUGUUUGUUGCGGAACACCCACUUGGUUCCCACAACAUUUUGCUUGAGACGAGGUACCAGUGUCCAAACUUCAUUGCGCUUGAAGUUGUUGAGUUCCUCCUGCAUGGCCAAUACCCAAUCCGGAUCUAGCAAGGCCUCCUCUACCCUGAAAGGCUCAAUAGAAGAGACAAAGGAGUAAUGCUCACAAAAAUUAACUAAUCGAGAUCGAGUUGUUACUCCCUUGCUAAUAUCACCCAGAAUUUGGUCGACGGGAUGAUCCCUUUGAAUCACCGCUCGAACUUGGGUUGGAGGUGCCGGUUGCGCUUCUUCCUCCAUCACGUGAUCAUCUUGUGCUCCCCCUUGAUCACACGCCUCCUGUUGAUGAACCUGUUCAUCGUCUUGAGUUGGGGGAUGCACCGUUGUUGAGGAAGAAGGUUGAUCUCGUUCAUCAUGUUCCUGUGGCCGCACUUCUCCAAUCGCCAUGGUUCGUAUAGCGGCCGUCGGAACAUCUUCUUCAUCUACAUCAUCACAAUCAACAAUUUGCUCUCUUGGAGAGCCAUUAGUCUCAUCAAAUACAACGUCGCUAGAGACUUCAACCAAACCCGAUGAUUUGUUGAAGACUCUAUACGUCUUUGUAUUUGAGUCAUAACCUAACAAAAACCCUUCUACAGCUUUGGGAGCAAACUUAGAAUUUCUACCCUUCUUCACUAGAAUGUAGCAUUUGCUCCCAAAUACACGAAAGUAAGAUACAUUGGGUUUGUUACCGAUUAGAAGCUCAUAGGACGUCUUCUUGAGGAGGCGGUGAAGGUAGACCCUGUUGAUGGCGUGACAAGCCGUGUUCACGGCUUCCGACCAAAAGCACUCGGGGGGUCUUGAACUCUCCAAGCAUUGUCCUCGCCAUAUCAAUGAGUGUCCUGUUUUUCCUCUCUACCACCCCAUUUUGCUGUGGUGUGUAGGGAGCGGAGAACUCGUGCUUGAUCCCCUCCUCCUCAAGAAACUCCUCUACUUGAAGGUUCUUGAACUCGGACCCGUUGUCGCUCCUUAUCUUCUUCACCUUGAGCUCAAACUCAUUUUGAGCUCUCCUGAGGAAGCGCUUGAGGGUCCCUUGGGUUUCAGACUUAUCCUGCAAAAAGAAUACCCAAGUGAAGCGGGAAAAAUCAUCAACAAUAACUAAACCAUACUUACUUCCUCCUAUGCUUAGAUAGGCGACGGGUCCGAAGAGGUCCAUAUGCAGCAGCUCCAGUGGUCUUGACGUGGUCAUCACAUUCUUGCUGUGGUGUGUUCCUCCCACUUGUUUACCUGCUUGACAAGCUGCACAAGGUCUAUCUUUUUCGAAAUGAACAUUGGUUAGCCCUAUCACGUGUUCUCCCUUUAGAAGCUUGUGGAGGUUCUUCAUCCCCACAUGUGCUAAGCGGCGAUGCCACAACCAGCCCAUGCAAGUCUUAGCCAUUAAGCAUGCAUCUAGACCGGCCUCUUCUUUUGCAAAAUCAACUAAAUAAAGUUUGCCGUCUAAUACACCCUUAAAAGCUAGUGAACCAUCACUUCUUCUAAAGACAGACACAUCUACAUUUGUAAAUAGACAGUUAUAUCCCAUAUUGCAUAAUUGACUAACUGAUAGCAAAUUAUAUCCAAGAGACUCUACUAAAAACACAUUAGAGAUAGAGUGCUCAUUAGAAAUUGCAAUUUUACCUAACCCUUUUACCUUGCCUUGAUUCCCAUCACCGAAUAUAAUUGAAUCUUGGGAAUCUUUAUUCUUGACGUAGGAGGUGAACAUCUUCUUCUCCCCCGUCAUAUGGUUUGUGCAUCCGCUAUCAAUAAUCCAGCUUGAACCCCCGGAUGCAUAAACCUGCAAGGCAAAUUUAGGCUUGGGACUUAGGUACCCAACUCUUGUUGGGUCCUACAAGGUUAGUGCAAAUAUCCUUAGGGACCCAAAUGCAAGUUUUGUCUCCCUUGCAUUUUGCCCCUAACUUCCUAGCAACUAUCUUCCUAUCCUUUCUACAAAUAGCAAAGGAAGCAUUUAGGGCAUGAUAAAUUGUAGAAGGUCCAUGAACUUUCUUAUGAGCAUUAACAACAUUUCUCCUAGGCAUAUUGUGAAUAACAGCCUUUCUAUCAUGCACAACAUGAGAACUAGAAGCAGUCAUAGCAUAAGAAUCAUAAGCAUGUGAAUCAAAAGCAUCAUAACUUCUAAAAGCAUUUCUAGAAUUUUUCCUAUCAUGAUACAAAAAGGCAUGGUUCUUUUUAGCACUAGUAGCCAUAGGGGCCUUCCCUUUCUCCUUAGCGGGAAUGGGAGCCUUAUGGCUUGUUAAGUUCUUGUCUUCCCUUUUGAAGCCAAGUCCAUCCUUAAUUGAGGGGUGUCUACCAAUCGUGUAGGCAUCCCUUGCAAAUUUUAGCUUAUCAAAUUCGCUUUUGCUAGCCUUAAGUUGAGCAUUAAGACUAGCCACUUCAUCAUUCAAUUUAGAAAUUGAAACUAGAUGUUUACUAUAAGCAUCAACAUUAAGAUCUUUACACCUAGUGCACGUUUCAACAAUUUCUACACAAGAUGUUGAUUUACUAGCUACUUCUAGUUUAGCAUUUAAGUCAUCAUUAACACUCUUUAAAGUAGCAAUGUUUUCAUGACAAGAAGAUAAUUCACUAGAAAGCACUUCAUUUCUUUUAACUUCUAAAGCAUAGGAUUUUUGUGCCUCUACAAACUUAUCAUGUUCAUCAUACAACAAAUCCUCUUGCUUUUCUAAAAGCCUAUCCUUUUCAUUCAAGGCAUCAAUCAAUUCAUUGAUUUUAUCAAUUUUAUUUCUAUCCAAUCCUUUGAACAAACUAGAGUAAUCUAUUUCAUCAUCACUAGACUCAUCGUCACUAGAAGAAUCAUAAGUGACAUCAUUACGAGUGAUUACCUUCUUCUCUCUUGCCAUGAGGCAAGUGUGACGCUCGUUGGGGAAGAGGGAUGACUUGUUGAAUGCAGUGGCGGCGAGUCCCUCAUUGUCGGAGUCAGACGAGGAGCAGUCCGAAUCCCACUCCUUGCCAAGAUGAGCCUCGCCCUUUGCCUUCUUAUAAUUCUUCUUCUUCUCCCUCUUGUUCCCUUGGUCCUGAUCACUAUCAUUGUCGGGACAGUUAGCAAUAAAAUGACCAAGCUUACCGCAUUUGAAGCACGAACGCUUCCCCUUGGCUUUGGUCUUGCUUGGCUGUCCCUUGCGACCUUUAAGCGCCGUCUUGAAUCUUUUGAUGAUGAGGGCCAUCUCUUCAUCAUUAAGUCCGGCCGCCUCAAUUUGUGCCACCUUGCUAGGUAGCGCCUCCUUGCUUCUUGUUGCCUUGAGAGCAAGGGGUUGAGGCUCGUUGAUCGGUCCAUUCAAGGCGUCGUCCACGUAUCUUGCCUCCUUGAUCAUCAUCCGCCCGCUUACGAAUUUUCCGAGUACCUCCUCGGGCGUCAUCUUCGUGUACCUGGGAUUCUCACGAAUAUUGUUCACGAGAUGAGGAUCAAGAACGGUAAAUGACCUUAGCAUUAGGCGGACGACGUCGUGAUCCGUCCAUCGCGUGCUUCCGUAGCUCCUUAUUUUGUUGAUAAGGAUCUUGAGCCGGUUGUAUGUUUGCGUCGGCUCCUCGCCCCUUAUCAUCGAGAAUCGUCCGAGCUCGCCCUCCACCAACUCCAUCUUGGUGAGUAAGGUGACAUCAUUCCCCUCAUGAGAGAUCUUGAGGGUGUCCCAAAUCUGCUUGGCAUUGUCCAAACCGCUCACCUUGUGAUACUCGUCCCUGCACAAAGAGGCUAGCAACACAGUAGUAGCUUGUGCAUUUUUAUGGAUCUGUUCAUUAAUAAACGAAGGACUAUCCGAGCUAUCAAAUUUCAUUCCACUUUCCACAAUCUCCCAAAUUCUUGGAUGGAGAGAAAAUAGGUGUGUACGCAUUUUGUGACUCCAAAAUCCGUAGUCCUCUCCAUCAAAGUGAGGAGGCUUGCCAAGUGGAAUGGGGAGCAAAUGAGCAUUUGAGCUGUGCGGAAUGCGCGAAUAAUCAAAAGAAAAGUUUGAGUUAACCGUCUUUUGUUUGUCGUAGUCGUCGUCCUUGUGGGAAGAAGUAGACUCGUCGCUGUCGUAGUAGACGAUCUCCUUGAUACGUCUUGUCUUCUUCUUCUUCCCAUCUUUACGUCUGUGGCCCGAGCCAGAGUCGUUGGAUUUGUCAUCUUUUGGCUCGUUGACGAAGGACUCCUUUUCCUUGUCGUUGAUCACGAUUCCCUUCCCCUUAGGAUCCAUCUCUUCGGGCGGUUAGUCCCUUUCUUGAAGAGAACGGCUCCGAUACCAAUUGAGAGCACCUAGAGGGGGGGGUGAAUAGGUGAUCCUGUAAAACUUAAGCUUAUAGCCACAAAAACUUGUUAAGUGUUAGCACAAUAAAUGCCAAGUGGCUAGAAAGGAGUCUCAACAAAACACAAUACCACAAGAGAUCAAUCACAGAGAUGACACAGUGGUUUAUCCCGUGGUUCGGCCAAGACCAACGCUUGCCUACUCCACGUUGUGGCGUCCCAACGGACGAGGGUUGCACUCAACCCCUCUCAAGUGGUCCAAAGACCCACUUGAAUACCACGGUGUUUUGCUUGCUUUUUCUCAAUCCCGUUUGCGAGGAAUCUCCACAACUUGGAGCUUCUCGCCCUUACAAUUGAAGUUCACAAAGAACACAGAGCAAAGGGGGAAUGAGCAACGCACACAAGACUUCAAAAGAUCAGAGCAACAACACGCACACAAGUCGCAACAAGAGCUCGCAACACAACUCAAAGAGUUCGCAACUCAACAAGAGCUCUAGAUGCUAUCACAAAUGAAACGAAUGCGUGAGAUCGAUGUCUUGGUGCUUAGGAAUGUUGUAGGAAUGCUUGGUGUCCUCCUCCAUGCGCCUAGGGGUCCCUUUUAUAGCCCCAAGGCAGCUAGGAGCCGUUGAGAGCAAUUCUGGAAGGCUGAUCUUGCCUUCUGUCGUCGGGUGCACCGGACAGUCCGGUGCACACCGGACAUUGUCCGGUGCCCGAUCUCCUUCCUAAAAUGGCGCAGCCGACCGUUGCAGAUCUGGGAGCCGUUGGCGCACCGGACAUGUCCGGUGCACACCGGACAGUCCGGUGCCCCCUUCCGACCGUUGGCUCGGCCACGUGUCGCGCGUGGAUUCCGCGGCCGACCGUUGGCUCACCGGACAGUCCGGUGCACACCGGACAGUCCGGUGAAUUUUAGCCGUACGCCGUCAGCAAAUUCCUGAGAGCGGCCUCUUCGGCCGAGGCAGCCUGGCACACCGGACACUGUCCGGUGCACCACCGGACAGUCCGGUGCUCCAGACCGAAGCAGCCUUCUGGCUGUACACAGCCAAUUUUUUCUUUUCUGUUUCCAAUACUUAGACAAGUAUAUUAGUACACAAAACCAAUGUACUAAGACUUAGAAACAUACCUUUGCUCUUGAUUUGCACUUUAUUCAUCCAUGGCAUAAAUUCACAUUUAAGCACUCGAGUUGGCACUCAAUCACCAAAAUACUUAGAAAUGGCCCAAGGGCACAUUUCCCUUUCAAUUUUCCACUACCAAACUGGGAUGCAACUCCACAAAGUCUUUAAAUAACACUCUACCAAAUAGGUUAGAACACUAAGCACAACAAUCAAUGAAUUCAACAACCUCGUUUGUUAAUGCCACUAAGGUCAAACAUCCAUGUAUCGACAAUGUAUGAAACACCUGACAUACCCGUCUCCAGCACUAUAAAACAUGGUUGUUAUUACACUAGAAUCCAACUACUAGAAAUCUCCAAAACUAUUCUGUUGACAUGAAGCAAAUGGUGCUCAUGUCAUAUAACAUCCUUUUCUCCUCUCAAAAGAGAUAAAAUUUGCAAUACUCAUAAAGCAAUGGAGGGAUAACAACAAGAAAAACUAAUGUACUUCUUGACACAGACUCAUGCAAAAGCUUCAUAAAUAUUACUUUCAACACUAAAAUAAUAACACGAUACUAUGCUCAACAGGAGUAAUUGGACUUCAAUAAGACAAUCCACCUAACCAAACUACCUUGAUUAACCUCACAUACAACAAUACCUCCUAUUAUUGCACUUGAACAAUUUGUACCUAGUGAUGUCAUAGGAUGAAUUCAAAGUAGUAGACAUACAUGAUCUAUCAAACCAUCAUUCAUAUAAAAAAAAAUCUCCAUCUGAUGCAACAACCACAUCAUUAUAGAGAUAGAUGACUAACAAACAUAAGCAACUUCCAGUUAAACAUUGACUUUGUUUAAGAUAAAGCGGUCCAAAUAAUAAUUCAACAAGCAUGCAUAGAGAAACUGCUCAUAAAAAAAUCAAACUGCCAUACAAUGUUGGCAAACAAAAAAAAAUAUAAAACAGGUUGUCAAAUCGCCCACAUGACUAGCCUGCAAUAACUAAAAAUUAUGCAUAGCCUUUAUGGCUAUUGAAACAAGCCAUAGAAGGAAAACAUGCACGACAUAAAAUCCACUUGAAACCACCCUAUUUAUUGUUAAAAAUAAGGUUGCACAUAAUAAAAAAAUCUAUCAGGUAGACAUGGUUGGACUUAUCAAUCUAUGUCAUCUCACAAAUUCACUCGGGUUCUACCAGUCUAAAGAUUUCAUAGACAUUACAACGUUGCCUCUGCUCUAUAGAGACAAACCAAUUUUAUACUAAGAUCAAGUUAGCAAGUAGCCACACUAGCCUAAAAAAAAGUGAGGCGCAAAGCAUUGCACCCAUGCAAAUAUUACAUUGAUUAGUUGGGUUGUAACCCAACAGUUAAUCAAACUCAACAACACCAUAAAACUACAUUAUAUAGUGUUUUCACACUACAACAAGUCGGAUUAGACCCACUAUACACAAGCUCAAAAAAAAACAAUCGGUCCUAUAAGUACAAGAACCCAAGAAUCCUUGUGGGAAAAAACAUUCACAAUCAAGCAUAUAGAAAUAUAUGAUGGUAAUAGCUCAGAGAUUUGAAAACAUUACAUCCAAAAAACAUCAUGACGAUAUAUAUAUAAAACAAGUACACUAGUAGCUUCACUUGCAUAAUAUCUUCAAUAACAACCACAUCAAGAAACCAAUAUUAAAUAGAAGUAACAUAUCAUAUCAAGCAUUACGUCGUUAACGACAUACCCCAUCAAACCAUAAAGGGAUUUGUAGUAAGGAAGUUCUAGUCAUCUAUACAAUAAAAUACUAAUAUGAAAGAUAUACGAACCCAUACCCUUCCUAUAUGUGCAAGUGUGUCAAAUUUAUCUUCAAAUUGCGUAGAAUCUAAAGCCUAUCCUCUGAUACCAACUGUAACACUCCGGGUUCCACAAACACCCCGGAAUGCUACUAAACAACACUUUUGACAUCUAUAUAUAAAAUUUCGGCAGCAUCCCCUUUGCAAAAUUGCAUAAAUGAGGGGGGCAACAAUGUAUAAACAUAUAUCAUGACAAUAACAUACUAAGUAUUAUUAAUCGGCUAGCAAAGAGAAGUUAAACAUACGACUUGAACUAAAUUAACUAGUGCGCACGACUAGUUUAAAAAAACAAACUUUCUUUGACAAUAAAUUUCAAAUUAAAUCAUGGUUGCGCCUGGGCAGCGUUAUUGUGAGAGUGAAAGUGGACGUGCUGCUACUCGCCUCAUUCCCAACAUGUAUCAAGUACCUGCAUUGAGUAAUGCAAGAGUGAGAUGACACAUCUCAUCAAGUAAUAAUAUCAAACUGUUUAACCACAUAAGAACAUUGUUUUACCACCACUUGAUUCCACAACUUUCUUAUUACGAAGGUGCAGCACGUAUACAACGUACAACACACCUAGUCACCACACCUCGCGGGUAGAAACCACAAUAGUAACAUAGUAAUGUCACACUUCAUAUAUACCUCAUGAGUGCAAAUGUCUGCAAAUGCAAGGAUGACUUCUGCCUUCAUACCUCUAAGGAUAUGAAGUCGCAUCGUACCCCUCCUCGGGCAACGUACGAUGCUAAAAAUGUACUGGUACGGUCGGACCAUAAGAUCACGACAUAACUUCAAAAUGCAAGAUGGAUGAUGCGAUGUGCAUGUCAUGCCUACAACACUUCAUAUAACAUGAUUCUAAAAGAUACUUCAACUUCAUCCAAGAUGGGAAUCAACCACAUAUAUCAUUACCAAAUUAUGAUCAUCCACAAUAUUAGACAAUUGAGAAUUAAUACUUCCAAACAAAUAAACUUCAUCAUAGAAUUCAAUGAUUAACAUAAUUGAAACUUUUGCAUACUCAAUGACAGGGAAUAGGAUGCAAACCAAACGGUAGCAACCACCACUGUAUUUACUUGCCUUUACCGGAAGUUCGGGCAAAUCCCUAAGUACGAUCCGGAAGUCCACCACCUGUUUUUUACACCCAACUUAGUGCACCAAUUUCACAUAAUCAGGCUCAUAAGCGACGCCGCAACUACGCACAAACUCAAACCCCGCCGCGGGUUACAUCUCUCCCUACACCCACCAAACUGCAGCGGCGCUGCUUAAUAAUUUCAUAACUUUAAAAUUAUGACAGCAGUGGAAACAAACAAAAACUCCAGAGGCAUCUACAUAAAAUUCCCCAUAAGUUUUGUAUACAAUUUAUAGUUAAAUUCCAAUAUCUAAUUAGCCCAAAACAGUCCACAAGAUGAACCCUGUAAUCUGUUUUUCUUUGUCUUUUUGGACAGCGACAUACCCGGAUUCAAACAGCGAUAUCUUUUAAAAUAUAAUUCCAAAUCAAGCGCAUAAGUACUCAUUGGAAAUAUAAGACAAAUCCCUACAUUAUUAUCAUACUGGUUAACACUAAUUACCCACGAAAAAUUCCCAGAAACUGCUAAUACCACUGCUGUUCACCCACCUGAAAAAUCUGUUUUUUUUGGACAGCAACAUAACCGGAUUCAAACAACGAUAUCUCCUAAAUUAUAACUCCGAAUCGAGCGCAUAAGUACUUGUUGGAAAGAUAACAUAAAGCCCUACAUGAUUCUCAUACUGAUUAACACUAAUUACUCCCGAAAAAUCCCCAGAAACAGCUAAUACUGCUGCUGUUCAUCCCCCUGAAAAUCUGUUUUUUUUUGGACAGCCACCUACCCGGUUUCAAACGGUGAUAACUUUUAAUUUAUAACUCCAAAUUGAGCGCAUAAAUACUCGUUGGAAAGGUAUGCCAAGGUUCUACAUGAUUCCCAAACUGAUUCCCCUUAAUUCUCCACGAAAAAUGCCCAGAAAUCACUAAUUCUGCUGCUGUUCGUCCACCCCCUUAAAAUUCUGGACAGCCCUUCUACCAAAUCGCACACGCAACAUCUAAACAAUUGGAUUGCCGCAUAAAAUGAACAAGAGAUAAACACAAAAAUCACCUUGGGUUCUCCCUCUUUUCUUCCUCCCUUCCUCCCUUCACCGAAAACCGUUGAAGAUUUGCACCACGCGACGGAGAUCCGAGCGGCAACGAAUGGCUCCAUGGGAGGAGGGGAUGGGGGGGCGGCUAGGGUUUGAUGUGUGGCUGCAAGUGCUUGAGAAAGGAGGAGAUGGGAGGGGGGGCGACCAAGAGGGUAGGGGAAUGGGGGGCGGCUGCACAAAGAAUGGGGGGGGGUUAGGGGGAGGGCGGCUAGGUUUAUGGGGGUUAGUGGGCCGAAACAAGAUUUGCGGCCCAACACGCCCACGCGACGGCUCCCGACCCCGAUGCAAGCGCCUAACCAAAGAAAUUCUACUACCCUACUGGUGAAUGUUUUUCCUCAAAUUCCAAAUUCCCAAAACGCAACCACCGAAAGAGAGAAAAAAACAAAAAGAAUACCCUCCAACUUCUCUUCUUCGCAAACCGGGUGUCACACAUGACGAGGCAUGUGACCAGUUAAAGGGUCCUCGAUCAGCACGCCUACAUACGCAUUCAAUCCUUAAUCAACCUGGGUAGAACAUCACCUGUUCCUAACCCAAGUCUCAAUUUAAGUAUUUCCAUCCUUAGGAUUGUUUCUGUUCCUUAGGAUGAAAAGAGCAUCACAGGGAACUUUGCAGUAAGAUCCCACCAUUGCUCCAAAUGAAAAUAUUCUUGCAGGUAGAAGCCAUCCUUUCUCGAGCUAGGAUAAUGACAACCUCUAUCCACAAGAUCUAAGCAAGGCUAAGCAUUUUUGCAAAUCAUAUUUUGAUACUUCACAGAAGUAUCUAUAAAGGUAUGGAUAUCAAGGAAAGCAAUGCAUCAAAGGGUUCCAAGCAACUCCUAUGAACCUAAUGCACAUUUCACUAGACUUAAAGUGUGCGAAAAUUAUUUAAAAACUCAAGGAAAGGGGUUGCAUGCACCGGGGCUUUCCUUCGUUAGUAGGUGAGUCUGGCUCGGAUCCACAAAUAUCAAAGUAGAAGCAGUUUCCUGCCUGAGAAUCCGAGGGUGGUGAUGUCUUCUCUUCAGUGACUUCCACUUCUUCUUCGCGUUCUAACAUAACCAUAUAUAUACAUAUAUAAGAAUGAAUGCCAUGUAAUGCUCAUGAGAGUGCGAAGAUAAUAAAGAUUUAUUAUCUAAGUCUUGAAUACAACUUUCCUUCACGGAACUCCGAGAACUUAGUGUUUCCGGAGUCAGUAAAGGAGUUCAAAGGGCAGGGGGUAGGGUUUUGGGUUCUAGUUAUCAAACAUGGUCUAAAUCAAACCAAAUUCUACCCAUGGCUUGUAAGUAUUGUUUUAAGUUCAUAUACAAAGUUUGGGCAUUUUUGGACUUAUUACCUAUUUUCUAAAAAUCCAGAACUAAUGUUUUAGCUAUUUUAAAUGACCCAAAAUUCCCUAUUUAUCCUAAAAAUCAUAAAAAUAUUUUUAUUAAAUGCUAUGGAAAAUUAGAAGUCUAAGAAAAUUGGUUUCACAAUUUUAGGAUUUUUCUACCAUUUUCUAGAAUUGUUUUAGCUCUGGAAUAAAAAGAAAAAGAGAAACUUGUGAAUAGUACUGGGCAACAUCUGGCCCAGAUCGGCCCAGCAAUAGCAGAAGCGCGUGCGCGCCCGCGCCCGCGGUGGCAAUCUUGCAGAAGGGCCCUCGGGGUUUUGUCUAACUAAAACUGGGUUCGCCGCACUAUUGUUAGGAGUCGCUGACAUCUUGCAGAAACAUCCUCUUAUUUCUAUUUCUUCUCCAAGGAGCUCCCCGACGGCGUACCAAACAGAAGGCCGAGCUCCAGCGAGCUGGACUAGCCGGAGGGAGCCAGGAUCGGUGUUCCCGAGUAGCGGACACCAAAUCGGACCCCGCCCGCGCAUUUCCCCUAACAUAAUUUCACCAGAGGCUACCUGGUUUGCUCUAGCCGCAGUGACCGUAGACCAUGCGGUCGGAUGAACGCAUUCCCGACGAUUGGUGGACUCCUAGUUCAAUUGGUUGGGUCGGCGAGCAUCGCAGACACACGAGAAUACUAAAAUGGGGAAGCAGAAGGCAUGGACUGACCUGAAUCGCGUUGGCCGCGGCGAGGCUAAACUGUGCAGUGUUCUUGAGCAGAUUGGGGGAAAUUCGAAAUUCAAGAGCUCUGGGGAACGAUUCAAGGCUCGAAUGACUCCACUGGUUGCGCAAUUACCUAACGGAGCGAGUGGUGGCGGCUAUUUAUAGGAGGCUUAGGCGGUGGUGCGCAAUUUGGUCGGACAGUGCGGGUGGCCGGAGAGGAAGAAAGGACUCUGGCACAUGACACAGGUGGCCUCUCACCGUGGCAGGUGCUCCGGUGAUCACCGGACAUGCACCGCAUGAUUCACUGUGACGAGAGCCAGCGCUAAGGCACGUGGUGCGCGACGGCGACAACACGACGGCGGUGAGGGUUAUCCGAGCGACCGACGCUGGGGGGAGUACGGCAUGCUUAGCCGCAACCGAGCUCGAGUGGAUCAGACGCCGAGAUCUUUACUGGGUUAUGCUUAUCCAUGGCCACGGCGCACGAAUCACGGCAAGCAAUCGAUCAACGGCGACGGGCCACCGGCGACGAGAUCUUUUUGGCGCUGGCGGUCUGAUCAUCAAUAGAGCACUGUACCAUGGCUAGUGCUUCUUCAAUAAGCCUGUCAGUCCAUGUUUGGGGUGGAUUUUCUCCAAUUUUUAUGUGGUGACUAAGGCAACCUUCUGUAUCAAAGUUAUACACCUAUAAUCCAUGUUAAACUUUGUCACAAUGCUUACCAUCAAAUAGUUACCGAAGCCCAUUCAAAAUCGAGCUCAAAGUUCAUCCCAUCACACUGUUACUGAAAAUUCAGUCCAGGGAUUGAUUGACAGCCCGACUUUGAGCUUAAUUAUCUCUAAAUUCUUCUUAACAACUAGGCUUACACUCUUAAGCAAAGUUGUUCUCCUUUGUUUGAUCUAUAACUUUGAUGUGGUGACCUAGGGCAAAAACCCUAUAUUUUAAAAGUUGCAAGGCUCCAAAGUUGAGCUCAUCAAUCUGAAAUUCAGACAGCAUGAAAUCACAACUAGGGGCCUUUUUGCAAUUGAAUCCAAAGCUUAGGGUUUGGCUUCCAAAUUCACACCUUAGUGAAUCAAGUGACUUAAGAUACUUUAUUAACUUGGUUUUUGCACUUUAGUCCAAAUGUGCAUCAAUUUUGCACAUAAGCCCCUAGGUUUUAGUUUUAGGGUUUUCCAGGGUUCAAAUGGGGAUUUUUGGUAUCCCAGGGGUAUAAAAGUGAUUCAAGUUCAUUCUUGGGAACAUUUUGUGACUAUUCCCCUAAAGCCUUUAGGUUUUCUCAACUUGGGUUAAGUUUUACCCCUUUAAUCCCUAUUUAGGGUUAAGUUCCCUAUCCAGGGUUCCAUUUGCAAAAUGCUAUAACACACAACUUGUUUGAAAUUUUUACCUAGUGAAUGCACUCUAAGUGUAUCAAACAUAUGCAAUGCCAAUGCUUAUGAUGCUAUGCUCAAGUUUUAGUUACAGUAACACCAGGGGUGUUACAUCUUUCCCCCCAUAAAAGAAUCUCGUCCCAAGAUUAAAAGUCCUAGGGUAAGUAAUGGAAAAGGAAACACGACAUACUUUUAUUUCCUUAUUUCUGGUAUAAGGCAGGAGUGGCUUGGGAAUUUACUCCUUUAUUACACAGUUAUACAUGCUUUACAAUUCACAAGAGGCUAAAAAGCCUGGGAAAUUCUUAUCUAAAAAGUCUUGAGUUUCCCAUGUAGCCUCAUCUUCAGAAUGUUGGUUCCACAGUAUCUUAUAGAACUUGAUAGUUUUUCUUCGGGUAACCUUGUCCUUUUGAUCCAAGACUCGAAUAGGGUGUUCAGAAUAUGUCAAGUCCGGUUCAAGGACAACAUCUGUCACUUCAACGGUUCGAUCAGGAACUCGAAGACACUUCUUCAAUUGUGACACGUGGAACACAUUAUGCACGGCAGACAAUGUUUCGGGUAGUUGGAGUCGGUAUGCUACUGGUCCACAUUGCUCAAGUAUAGGGAAUGGACCAAUAUACCGUGGUGCCAGCUUUCCUUUAACCCCGAAACGCGAUACUCCCUUCAUUGGUGAAACCUUCAGGUAGACAUAGUCUCCCUCAAGGAAAUUUAAGGGCAUUCGCCGUUUGUCUGCAUACUCUUCUGACGAGCUUGGGCUUUCUUCAUAUUAUGAAUUAUUUUCUGAACCUUUUCUUCAGUCUCUUUCACCAUAUCAGGCCUGAAGAAGUACCUUUCACCAGGUUCAGACCAAUUUAGCGGAGUACGACAUCGUCGUCCAUAUAAAGCUUCAAAGGGUGCCAUCUUGAUGCUUUCUUGAUAGCUAUUAUUAUAUGAAAACUCCGCUAACGGCAAACAUUCAUCCCAUUUUGGUGGAAAUCCAGAACACAUGCCCGUAGCAUAUCUUCAAGUAUCUGGUUUACUCUCUCAGUCUGUCCACUGGUUUGAGGAUGAUAGGCCGAACUGUGGAGCAAUUUAGUACCCAGGGAUUUAUGAAGUUCUUCCCAAAAUUUGGAUACGAAUUGCGAUCCAUGAUCCGACACUAUGGUCUUCGGAACACCGUGCAGACUAAGAAUACGAGCAAUGUACAAUUGGGCAUAGACAGUAACUGGGUGAUCUGUCUUGACUGGCAGAAAAUGAGAAAUUUUCAUAAGCCGAUCAACAAUAGCCCAGAUAGAGUCAUACCCUUGUGUAGUCCUGGGUAAUCCCACAAUGAAGUCCAUACUAAUGUCUUCCCAUUUCCAUGUUGGGAUUGGCAAAGAUUGUAAUGGACUAGCAGUCUUCAUGUAUAUGGCCUUGACAUGUUUACAAGUGUCACAUCUAGCCACAUAACGUGCAAUUUCAAUCUUCAUUGUCGUCCACCAAUAAAGACGAUGUCAGCCAGAAGAACACAUAAGGUUACAUGUGUGCAAUUUGCUUCUUCUGAUGACACUGUACUAUCUGAGUCUGUUGGGCGGGCGACAAUUACGCAAUUUUACCCAAACAGAAUCAGAUGCACCAUCUUGGGUAAAACACUCAGAAAGAGGUUUAUCAACAAGUGGUUACAGCAAGUUCAUAGCACACGAGACGGGUGUGAAUGUCGAAUAACAUCACGGUCAACUCGUGUUAGCCAGGGAAUCCAAGUCCACGAAAGGUGAUAUAGAUUCACGAAAAUCACCAGCGGAGGGAUCUGUAAAUGCGGACUUUGCAUCCAGUCCAUUUUAUCCGGCACUAGUCAUGGAACGGCAUGAUCACACACGCAGGAAAAGCACGCGUGAGGCGGUCGAGGCGCGACUAGAGCGAUAAUUAUGUGGUUACUGGUCGACUUAAUUUGAUUUUGGUAGGUACUUUCUUUAGGGUGGGUUGAACCAAAGUGAGUUUAGACAACUCGAUAAAAUGAUCUCUAAACUCAGCCUUCGUUCAUUGGGCAGUUACAAGUUAGUCAAAACCAACUUGUUGAACUACUUUUGACAUUAAGCAAAUCCUCUCAAUACCAUUGGUAAACCAAGGGUUGAGAGUUCACUCUUUGUAAAUAAGAGGUUAUGUAUGUGGGUAAAAAUUUAUUUGGUCAAGUUGUUCAUCCGUUUUCUCAUGCGAGAUGAGUUAUCCACUUGGUUAGGGGAUACAUGGAUUAAAUAAGAAAGCGAAUGAACAAACUCCAGCAUUUUAGCAGCAGGGGAAAGCAGAUCUCUAUUUUGAGAGCUAAUCAGUUGUUUUCCAACACUAAAAAGCUCCAAGGCUUCACCUUUACACAAGGAUGCAAAGGGAACUUGUGUGAGUAGUCACUACCAAGAUCAAAAGAAAUAAGACCACACAUGAAAGUGGUAUGCCCUUUUGAUCCAACGGAAAUGACAAAUGUUGUUUGAUCUCUUUCACAAACAACAUAGAAAUUGUUUCAAGGGAAAGGUCAACGGAAGAUAACACAUCAGUGUAAUUCCAUAAUGGAUCAUGACCAGAGACCUUGAUACCGACAUGCGCCAAGCAGCAAAAUCCUGGGUGCACAUUCACAGGAGGCUCUCAGUUUCGCCGCGGUACCAUAAGUCCUCAACCAUGACACCAUUACAAAACUGGCACCAAUAAUGAAUCUCACGAGGUAAGGACAAUUUGCGCAAGGAUAACAUAUCGAUAUAGUCUAAUAAUGGAUUAUGACUACUAACGAUGAUACCAGCAGGUGCCAAGUAGCGCAACCAUGUGUGUGCAUCCACAGGAGGCCCUCGGUUUCAUCGCGGUGCCAUCGGUUUUAGUCAUAACACCAUUGCUAGACGUAACCAAUAAGAAAUCUCGCGUGACACUAAUGGAUUGAGCAAGGGUGACUAUACAAAGAGAUACUCUACCAGUAAAGAUGGUUACAAGUAGAGGGCCAAAUAGAUCAUGGCCCAAGGCAUGGCCAUAAUCUGAACUUGAUGAAAGAAGUACGAUGGGAGACUGUUAAUUCAGCCCCAGGCAUAUUUCUAUGCCCAUCAUAGAGAGCACAAGGUCAAGGAUUAAGUUGGUAUGCCUUCGAUAGAUAUGAAGAAACCAAAGGCAUCAAAUUCAAGAAAAUGGUCGGACAGGUCUUGCCUAGGUUGGGUUAAUAAAGCAACAUGGCGAUCCGCAAGGAGAGGCCAACUAUACUAGAGACCACAACCUGUAUCAACUGAAUAAGAGAAUGGUUCUAAAGGGAGACAUGACUUGAGAUCCUUGUUUGAAGUCUAGGUACUAUUUAGGUCCGACAAAGAAAUUAUCUAGGCAUUGAUUUGUAUGUGUUUGGUCAUGGAGUGAUAUCAGAAAAUUCAACUUUGGGUCGGGUCAUGGUUCACUAAAUACUAAUAUAGCCUAAUCUUGGAUUUAGGCAAUCAAAUCACCAACUCUCUAUUGGUCAUAACUCAACCUGAUGGUUCUCAGAUCAGGGUUGAGAAUUGUUUUAUGCUGGGCUAACCAGUUCAUGCCCAAGAUGACAUCUAUGUCUUGGCCUUUUGGAACAAUCAUAUUUGUAGGAAAGUCCUAUCCGGCCAAUGUUACGGGCAUCUGAUAAGCCACUUCCUUUCACUUUUGGUAGCUUUACUGUCAGGCGUAGAAGACCAUUCGUCAACCAACUUCAUAGAGGGAGGGGGCCUGAAAAGGUCCAGUUCACCAUCAAGUGCUUCUCCCGCUACACGAGAAGGUCCGGCUUCCAUCCCGACAGGAUCCACAGGGACGUUCGGGUGCAGUUGUGAAUACAACACAUGAACUUCUUCAUGUAGUGUAUUAUAACAGACCUGUAAGUUAUCCCUGGCUGAGCUAAGCUCCUCCACACGGGCUCGAGCUUUGGCUUCCUUAGCCCUGGCGAAUGGACGAGAGUUAACCGCCCAAUCGAGCGCUAGAUCUCGUUUCGCGAGUUGGUCUUGCAAGUAGCGGAUGGCUGCAUCCGCGACCCAUAGAUCAUUCCUGUGACGGAGUUCUGAUUGAAGCAGUUCGACUUGUGCUUCCAGAUCCCCGAUAGGAUCGUUGCUACCACUGCUACUUUCUUCAUGUCUUGGGGCAAGCUUAAUGGCGGGAUAUGCCAAUGGGUCUAGCAGAUUUGCGCACGGUCUUUCUGGUGCGCGACAACAUUUCUCUAAGGGGGAAAACUUUAUUUAGUAUAGUUCUUAGCAUGAUGCAUGUAUAAUUACAGAAUCAACCUUAGUUGAUUUACCCCUUCUAUAUGUUGCACUCUUACUACCUGGUCUUUAAGAUAGACUCUUCAGAAUACUUAGGUAAGAAGAGAAGAGAGUUUCUAGAUAAGACUUUUAGAAAAUCCUUUUGAAGAUGCCUCAUAAUAUAUGCAAAGAAGGACUUCGCUCCGAUACCAGCUGUGACGGAACCUCCCAAGUAAUUAGGCCCACCUACAGUUGCCCUUAUCCAAUGGACCUCAGACAACCCUGUAGGUGCCCCUGAACUACUUGACAAGUUCGGUAUCUUCUUUCUUACAUUUCCAGGAACGUUUCACCCGUCUUGCAGACAUUACAGCACAUCAGAGAUACAGAAAUGCGGAAGCGAUUACAUAAACUUACAUUUAUUUAGAAAGUAAGAUCAAGUUACUUAUUACAGACCAGAGUUAUCCUAGGAGUGCAGAGUAAUAUUAUUACACAUACCAAGGGAGACAAAAAACUCCUCCCGGUAAGUUCUUAAACAAAAGUCCUAAUGGAGGAUCCUUUCCUCCCGCAGCUUCACUCUUGUUUUUCUUCCUUGGGAACCACCUUGGUACAGAAGCAACAUAAGUCUGCUACUUCUUCCCCUAAAAACAACGAAGGGAUAAACCCUGAGUAUGGAAUUACUCAGCAAGUCUUACCCGACUAAGGAAAAGACUCUCAAGCGUAUGCUGGAUAAAUAGGAAUCAAGGAGAGGCUUUAGCAAGAAUCAACUUAGAUACUUUUGCAGAAAUAGCUUACUAAAGUGAGUCCUUACUUUCAAUAUUUUAACGCCAGAUUGAAUAUUAAUAGACACUGUUUGCAUCUAGUCUAAUUUCAUCAUCUUAUCAAUACAACAUCCUUUUUAUUCAUAAUGUUCACAUCCUGACUUAGGUUGUAGGGAAGUGACCAAGUCUUCAUAACCGCGAAGGUACGGCGAUCCGAAUCGAUUAUACUCAGCUGAGGAUCUCCAAUCACACGACAUAUGUAGCACUUAACCCUUGCAUAUGUCAACCCGCCACCGGGGUUCUUAAGACCAGAUCAGGUUCACGCAAACCGAGAGCACAAAUACACCACCGUCCAGCCUCUUGCCACGGAGGGUACACGCUACUCUCGCCACCGCUCCAUGCCCAUUUCGUGUUAUCUUAUUCUGGCCUUAGUCUGCCCGAGGCAAGGCUUACCCAUGACGAGGCAUGUGACCAGUUAAAGGGUCCUCGAUCAGCACGCCUACAUACGCAUUCAAUCCUUAAUCAACCUGGGUAGAACAUCACCUGUUCCUAACCCAAGUCUCAAUUUAAGUAUUUCCAUCCUUAGGAUUGUUUCUGUUCCUUAGGAUGAAAAGAGCAUCACAGGGAACUUUGCAGUAAGAUCCCACCAUUGCUCCAAAUGAAAAUAUUCUUGCAGGUAGAAGCCAUCCUUUCUCGAGCUAGGCUAAGGACAACCUCUAUCCACAAGAUCUAAGCAAGGCUAAGCAUUUUUGCAAAUCAUAUUUUGAUACUUCACAGAAGUAUCUAUAAAGGUAUGGAUAUCAAGGAAAGCAAUGCAUCAAAGGGUUCCAAGCAACUCCUAUGAACCUAAUGCACAUUUCACUAGACUUAAAGUGUGCGAAAAUUAUUUAAAAACUCAAGGAAAGGGGUUGCAUGCACCAGGGCUUGCCUUCAUUAGUAGGUGAGUCUGGCUCGGAUCCACAAAUAUCAAAGUAGAAGCAGUUUCCUGCCUGAGAAUCCGAGGGUGGUGAUGUCUUCUCUUCAGUGACUUCCACUUCUUCUUCGCGUUCUAACAUAACCAUAUAUAUACAUAUAUAAGAAUGAAUGCCAUGUAAUGCUCAUGAGAGUGCAAAGAUAAUAAAGAUUUAUUAUCUAAGUCUUGAAUACAACUUUCCUUCACGGAACUCCGAGAACUUAGGGUUUCCGGAGUCAGUAAAGGAGUUCAAAGGGCAGGAAGUAGGGUUUUGGGUUCUAGUUAUCAAACAUGGUCUAAAUCAAACCAAUUUCUACCCAUGGCUUCUAAGUAUUGUUUUAAGUUCAUAUAAAAAGUUUGGGCAUUUUUGGACUUAUUACCUAUUUUCUAAAAAUCCAGAACUAAUGUUUUAGGCUAUUUUAAAUGACCCAAAAUUCCCUAUUUGUCCUAAAAAUCAUAAAAAUAUUUUUAUUAAAUGCUAUGGAAAAUUAGAAGUCUAAGAAAAUUGGUUUCACAAUUUUAGGAUUUUUCUACCAUUUUCUAGAAUUGUUUUAGCUCUGGAAUAAAAAGAAAAAGAGAAACUUGUGAAUAGUACUGGGCAACAUCUGGCCCAGAUCGGCCCAGCAAUAGCAGAAGCGCGUGCGCGCCCACGCCCGCGGUGGCAAUCUUGCAGAAGGGCCCUCGGGGUUUUGUCUAACUAAAACUGGGUUUGCCGCAAUAUUGUUAGGAGUCGCUGACAUCUUGCAGAAACAUCCUCUUAUUUCUAUUUCUUCUCCAAGGAGCUCCCCGACGGCGUACCAAAGAGAGGGCCGAGCUCUGGUGAGCUGGACUGGCCGGAGGGAGCCAAGACCGGUGCUCCCGAGUAGCGGACACCAAAUCGGACCCUGCCCGCGCAUUUCCCCUAACAUAAUUUCACUAGAGGCUACCUGGUUUGCUCUGGCCGCAGUGACCGUAGACCAUGUGGUCGCAAGAACGCAUUCCCGACGAUUGGUGGACUCCUAGUUCAAUUGGUUGGGUCGGCGAGUAUCGCAGACACACGAGAAUACUAAAACGGGGAGCAGAAGGCAUGGACUGACCUGAAUCGCGUUGGUCGCGGCGAGGCUAAACUGUGCAGUGUUCUUGAGCAGACUGGGGGAAAUGCAAAAUUCAAGAGCUCUGGGGAACGGUUCAAGGCUCGAAUGACUCCACUGGUUGCGCAAUUACCUAACGGAGCGAGUGGUGGCGGCUAUUUAUAGGAGGCUUAGGCGGUGGUGCGCAAUUUGGUCGGACAGUGCGGGUGGCCGGAGAGGAAGAAAGGACUCUGGCACAUGACACAGGUGGCCUCUCACCGUGGCAGGUGCUCCGGUGAUCACCGGACAUGCAUCGCAUGAUUCACUGUGACGAGAGCCAGCGCUAAGGCACGUGGUGCGCGACGGCGACAGCACGACGGCGGUGAGGGUUAUCCGAGCGACCGACGCUGGGGGGAGUACGGCAUGCUUAGCCGCAACCGAGCUCGAGUGGAUCAGACGCCGAGAUCUUUACUGGGUUAUGCUUAUCCAUGGCCACGGCGCACGAAUCACGGCAAGCAAUCGAUCAACGGCGACGGGCCACCGGCGACGAGAUCUUUUUGGCGCUGGCGGUCUGAUCAUCAAUAGAGCACUGUACCAUGGCUAGUGCUUCUUCAAUAAGCCUGUCAGUCCAUGUUUGGGGUGGAUUUUCUCCAAUUUUUAUGUGGUGACUAAGGCAACCUUCUGUAUCAAAGUUAUACACCUAUAAUCCAUGUUAAACUUUGUCACAAUGCUUACCAUCACACUGUUACUGAAAAUUCAGUCCAGGGAUUGAUUGACAGCCCGACUUUGAGCUUAAUUAUCUCUAAAUUCUUCUUAACAACUAGGCUUACACUCUUAAGCAAAGUUGUUCUCCUAUGUUUGCUCUAUAACUUUGAUGUGGUGACCUAGGGCAAAAACCCUAUAUUUUAAAAGUUGCAAGGCUCCAAAGUUGAGCUCAUCAAUCUGAAAUUCAGACAUAGCAUGAAAUCACAACUAGGGGCCUUUUUGCAAUUGAAUCCAAAGCUUAGGGUUUGGCUUCCAAAUUCACACCUUAGUGAAUCAAGUGACUUAAGAUACUUUAUUAACUUGGUUUUUGCACUUUAGUCCAAAUGUGCAUCAAUUUUGCACAUAAGCCCCUAGGUUUUAGUUUUAGGGUUUUCCAGGGUUCAAAUGGGGAUUUUUGGUAUCCCAGGGGUAUAAAAGUGAUUCAAGUUCAUUCUUGGGAACAUUUUGUGACUAUUCCCCUAAAGCCUUUAGGUUUUCUCAACUUGGGUUAAGUUUUACCCCUUUAAUCCCUAUUUAGGGUUAAGUUCCCUAUCCAGGGUUCCAUUUGCAAAAUGCUAUAACACACAACUUGUUUGAAAUUUUUACCUAGUGAAUGCACUCUAAGUGUAUCAAACAUAUGCAAUGCCAAUGCUUAUGAUGCUAUGCUCAAGUUUUAGUUACAGUAACACCAGGGGUGUUACACGUUCCCUUAGGCAAACCACCAUAUUUUGAUGGUGAAGAUUAUUGUAUGUGGAGUGAUAAAAUGAGGCAUCAUCUAACCUCACUCCACGAAAGCAUAUGGGACAUAGUUGAAUUUGGAGCGCAGGUACCACAGGUGGGGGACAAAGACUAUGAUUUGGACGAAGUCGCCAAAUUAGGCACUUUAACUCCCAAGCCACAUCUAUACUCCUCGCCUCCUUGUGUCGAGAGGAGUAUAACAAGGUGCAAGGGUUAAAGAGCGCCAAAGAAAUUUGGGACGUCCUCAAGACCGGACACGAAGGGGACGAGGUGACCAAAAUCACCAAGCGGGAGACGAUUGAGGGGGAGUUCGGUCGAUUCGUCCUCAACAAAGGAGAAGAGCCGCAAGCGAUGUAUAACCGGCUCAAGACAAUGGUGAACAAAGUGCGCAGCCUCGGGAGCACCAAAUGGGAUGACCAUGAAAUGGUUAAGGUUAUUCUAAGAUCCCUUGUUUUUCGCAAUCCUACUCAAGUUCAAUUAAUACGUGGGGAUCCUAGAUAUAAACUAAUGUCUCCCGAGGAGGUUAUUGGCAAGUUUGUGAGCUUUGAGCUAAUGAUCAAAGACUCUAAACACAUCAUCAACUUGGAGCAAGGCGCCACCUCCACACCCAAGGUGCAACCCGUCGCAUUCAAAGCGACGGAAGAAGAGAAGAGGGAGUCUACACCAAGUAGGUUUCCAAUCGACGCCUCCAAGCUCGACAACGAGGAGAUGGAUCUCAUCAUCAAGAGCUUCUGCCAAAUCCUCAAGUAAAGGAGGGGGAAGGACUACAAACCCCGCUCCAAAAGGGUGUGCUACAAAUGUGGUAAGCCCGGUCAUUUCAUUGUCAAAUGUCCAAUGUCUAGUAAAAGUGACAGGGACGACGAUAAGAAAGGGAAGAAGAAAGAAAAGAAGAGGUACUACAAGAAGAAGGGCGACGAUGCCCACAUAUGUCAGGAAUGGGACUUUGACGAGAGCUCCACCGACUCCUCCGACGAGGACGCCGCCAACAUCGUUGUCAACAAAGGCCUCCUCUUCCCCAACAUCGGCCACAAAUGUUUCAUGGCUAAGGACGGCAAGAAAAAGAAGGUACACUCUAGAGGCACCCCCAAAUAUACAACAUUUAGUGAUGAGGGUAGCUCUAGUGAAGACUAAGAUGAUUUACUUACCGUUUUUGCCAACCUCAACAUGGAACAAAAGGAAAAAUUAAAUGAAUUAAUAGAAGCUAUUCAUAAGAAGGAUGAACUCUUGGAUAGCCAAGAGGACUUCCUUAUUAAAGAAAACAAAAAACAUGUUAAGUUGAAGAAUGCUUAUGCUCACGAAGUAGAAAAAUGUGAAAACCUAUCUAAAGAGCUUAGCAUUUGCCAUGAUUCUAUUUCUAGCCUUAGAAAUGAAAAUGCUAGUUUAAAUUCUAAGGUUAAAGAUUUAAAUGUUUGCAAUGAUUAUAUUUCCUGUCUUAGAGAUGAGAAUGCUAAAUUAAAUGCUAAGAUAAAAUAAUUAAAUGCAUGCAAACCCUCUACAUCUACAGUUGAUCAUGUUUCUAUUUGUACUAGAUGUAGAGAUGUUAAUGCAGAAGCUAUGGAUGAUCACCUUGCCAUGAUUGAACAAAAAAUGAUCACAUAGCUAAAUUAACUUGUUGGUCACUUGUUCUCAAAACCUACGAAUCAAGAACAAGGCAACACAAAUGUUAAUGGUUAAAGACCUUCGUCCUUCAUAACAUUAUCUCCCUUAGGAUAUAAUGAUCUUCGGACGAAGGUCAUGAAGGUCAUACCUUCUUCAUUGCAAUACAUCAAGAUAUAGACAUGAUCGUAUGAAACAUAGAGAAAGCAUGAAUAAUCAUUUCAGAUCAUUAGAUUAUUCAUAUUAUCAUCAUAUAUCUUCGAACAAACAUCAAUGAUAUUAGAUUACAUUUGUACCUUCGGCUAGAUAUAAUGUAAGAAUCCGAGAGUGACGUGCGAGUGAUUAUAAGUCAGCGUGAACAGUACGGGGAUACUGUUCAUCUAUUUAUAGGCACGGGAUGCAGCCCGGACAAAAUUACAUUUGUGUCCUUGAUAACUAAUUAUAACCAUGACAAAAAUUAUCAGGGACUAAGCGGUCUUUUUAUCUUUAAGUCGGUGCUGCCCUUCGUCUCAAGCGUGUCAUCAUGCCGAAGCUCCUUCGAUUGUAGCUUCGGCAUAUAUCUUCAUGUUGUGCCUGCUUGCAUAUCAUCUUGCGGAAGGUGUUUUUGCUUAGAGGACCUUUGGUGAAGAAGAAGGCCCCCAACAGUAGCCCCUUCGUGGUGCUAGAUCGUUUUUCGUAACGAGCUCGAUCCGCGAAAAAAACCCGAAGGCUUCAGAAUGUCGAAGGCCGGAAAAACACCUUCCCUGAGCUCGUUGUCGAGAAAUGAUUAUAAUAUUCCAAGCGUCGAGCGGUCCACCAUUCAGCGAGUGCAGGCGGACUAGCGGUUCGCCUUCCCCCUGCAGCACUAUAUAAACAGACAGGUUGGUGAAGAGUUACCACAUCAUUUAUUGCAAUUGCACAGUUGUGCUAUUAAAAAAUUUAACCAUAGCCGAAGCUUUCUGCACUGCCCUUUCAAGUGAACACUUCAUUGCUCAAGGUUAACUUCGUCAAAUGGGUUAGCUUCAUCAAACGGUGAAAAUCCAUCUAAAUGGCCAGAGUGCGACCAACUGCAAGGGUGUCUCGUGAGGGGGACGAAACCGAGGCCACUGAAACAGCACCAAUUUCAGAAGUAAUGAAACGAUUAGGUCUGGUUGUGGCUGACGAAGGUACUUCUAAUGUCGAAGCUGAGCAGACUGUGAUUGAAGGUGAAUAUGUUGAGAGUGCAGAAGACUGUAGUAUUCUGAUCCCAACGAAGCCUAGUCACCUAGAUUUUGAAAAAUCUACUAUUGGGGACUUGUUCUCAAAUGCUAUGAAUUAAGAACAAGGCAACACAGAAUGUUAAAUGUUAAUGCCCUUUGUCCUUCGAAGCAUUAUCUCCCUUAGGAUAUAAUGAUCUUCAGACGAAGGUCAUGAAGGACAUACCUUCAUCAUCGUAGCAUAUGUUAAUAAAAGAAGAAGUAUAUGAAAUAUAAGAGACAACAUGAACGAUCACAUAACAUUAUCAAUUCAUCCUUAUUAUAUUAACAUGGAAAAAUAGAGACAAUAUUGAAUUACAUAUGUACCUUCGGCUUGACAGAAGGUAAAAAGUACAAGCGUGACGCGCAAGCGAGUACAAGUCAGCGUGAACAGUACGAGGGUACUGUUCAUCUAUUUAUAGCCACAGGGCGCAACCUGUGCAAAAUUACAUUCAUGCCCUUUAUGUUUACUAUUGACAUUAGGACAAUCUAUCGAGGACCAAAUAGCCUUUUCCUCUUUAAGUCGGUUCCUUUUCUGCUAUUGAGCCGAAGCUUUCUUGUGCAUAGCUUCGAAACUGGUUCGACCAUCAUCCCAACCAUGCUUUUCAUAUUGUGGACAGCUCCAUCCCAAUUCCGAAGGUUCCUGUACAUAUAUUACACUUGGGGAAACAUUGUUAAUCAUGUUUUUAAGGACCUUCGGAAGACGAAGGCCCCUAACAGUAGCCCCUCGCAGUAUUAAUUUGUUAAGAUAACGAAUUCAGACUGCGACUUGGACGAAGGCCUUACACCGAAGGUCUGAAAAAACACCUUCCCUUUGCUAGAAUAGCAACAGUCAAUGACAGACGGGGCCCUUCAAUUUGGAGAGUACUGGGCGUAUAAAUAGGAACUUACAUCGACUGCACUUGAUACACUGCUUGUGCCAUUUGCCUUAUUUUCUCAAUUUCAUAGCUCUUGCUCACUAACGCUUGCUAGUUUUCAAGCUUUCUGAGCUUCGGUUAAAAAGACGCAUUUUCGUCAUUUCUAAAGGAGAAAUGUCUCAAGACAAGAAGGUUGCUUCUGAGACGAAACUGACUGAAGAGGAGAAGCUUUUUGAGGAGAAGAAGGCUGUGAAUCCUUACAUUGCUGGAUUUAUCGAGUCAAUGGCAAAAACAAAUACAAAGAAGAUUACUAAGGAGAUACUGGAGGGCCUGUCUGAAGAUACUUGUGACAGUGAUAGUUAUGAUGCGAAAAGUGGGGGCAAAGGUUCUGAGGAUCGGCCCUGGAGACCAAGUCAUUCGAUUUUCAGAAAAUCGACCAUCAAACAAAGUCAUCUUGAGAACAUGAGGGGAAGAUACUUUCGGGAUAUGUCUAUAGUAAGGGUUGGCGGAGACAACAACGUCCCUGCCCCUGAAGAAAAUGAAGUUGUGAUCUACCGGAGCUUCUUCAAGGCUGGACAUCGGUUCCCUUUGAGUAAGUUUGUAGUUGAAGUGCUGAAAACUUACCAAAUCUUCCUUCAUCAGCUCACUCCCGAAGCCAUAAUAAGGAUGGGGGUUUUCGUCUGGGCAGUAAGGAGCCAAGGGUUAGAGCCAAGCGCGAAAUGCUUCUGCAGCAUGCACGAACUUCUGUAUGAGACGAAGGCCAUGGGUAAAGAACAGUACCACAACAACUUCGGUUGUUAUGGAUUUAUCGCCCGUCCCAGUGCAAGCCACCCAGUGCCAACAUUUCGGAAGAGAUGGCCCGGAGCUUGGAUGGAAGAAUGGUUUUAUGUGAAGAACGAUUUGACAGCAAGGGAAGACAUUAAGGAAGUUAUCAUGUGCCCCAUAUGGUCCCGCUUUGGCCUCCGAAAGCCGAAGGUCGAAAUUGAUGACGCCGCCGAAGUGUGUCAGAAGGCCUUUGGUACUGUCUGCUUCUUCAUUGGUAUAAGAGAUUUAAUUCAAGAGCAUAUAGCAUUCAGAGUAUGGCCGCUUGUAGAAAGCUGGGAAAUGCCGAAGGAGACCAUCACUAAGUCUAGCGAAGGUGAACUGGUCCGGCUGAUGUAUACAUUCAAGUAUGGGGAUAAGUUUGAUGAACCAAACGAUUACUGGCUGAAAUGCAUCGAAGCUACAAGUGAUGACUACUUGGAGCAUAUUCCAAGGCAGAAGAUAAUGCACUAUCUGCAGCCUUCGGAGGUCGGGGAAAGAAGAGAUUAAACAGAGUUUUUGAUGCCAUUGGCUUCGUCUACCCCGACUACCGCUACCUGCUGCGGGAACAAGGGAAAAAGAAGAAAGCUGCUACUUCGGCCACCCCAGACGAACCUGUGCCGAAGGGAAAAAAGUUGAAGGUCCUAACUCACCGGCCGCAUUUCAUCGAACCGGCCGCGAUACCUGAAUUUGGCGAAGGGACCUCUUCGGCUGCCAAAACAAAAGGAACUCUUCCUUCCGAGCAGAGGACUGAAGAACCGACUAUAAUGCCGAAGGUGCCUACAGUGAAGGUAGUUGAAAUGAAGGUUGGUAAGGCUGAAAAGCCAAAAACUGAAGAAAUAACAAAGAUGCCAGAGGUUUUGAGCCCUCCAGUAAAGGCAACAGUACCGAAAGUACAAACGGGUUCUAUUGUGACUCCUAAAAGGAGAAGGAUGGUAAAUGUAUUAGAUGUGUUGGAAACAACCGACUCCAUAAGUCCCGCUCCCACAGGGAAGGUUGCCGAAGCUGCCAAAACGCAACCCAAAGUUGAUACUAAGCAAAUAGAAGCUGAAGCUACAAUAACCCAGGCUGAAACCGAAGCAGGGCCCUCAGUGCCUGCUAAGACGAAGCUUGCCACAACCGAGCAGAGGGCCGAAGGAAUAACUCCAGAUAGUAAUAUAGCUUUUGAGAAAAGUGCGGCCAAAGAAGCCGAAUCCCUUGCUCCCGAAGCACUCCCCAAAGAUUUUGAUUAUAUCAUUCGACAUGCUUCGGGAAAAAGAUUAUCCAAAGAAGAAAUUUUUGAAGCCAAACAUUAUGCCCGGGAACUAAAGUAUCCUAAGGGGGCCUUAGUGUUUAAUGGUACGGACGAAGAUGAUUUCCUAUACUGUCUUCCGGAUAACAAAGAAUUAUCUGUCUGCCGGGAGAUGGCUAGAAGUAUGGGUUUUUCGAAGCUCGAAGCUGGCCUUUGUGCCAUGACGAAGGACAAUCUCGCAGAUAGUCUUGCAUACAACAGUCUGAAGGUACAAAAGUUGUGAACUUUGAAGCUUAUGGACUUUGGAAUGAAGUCUUUUUAUUCUUAUGUUAAUCCUUUAUUCUAUCUUGUAGGGCCUAAUACUUAGCAACACCAUAAGGGCGCAAAAGAAUGCUGAAGAUGAGAGUUGCACUAUAGCUCUCUACAACCUUCGAUCAGAGGUUAUCAGGCUGAGAAACGAAGCCACGGAAAAAGACAAGAUUGUACUUUCAUUGGUGGAUAAAGUAAAGGAAGAUGAAGCUAGCUUCAAAACUCAAUCCGAGGCCCAAAAAAUUGAGAUUGAAGACCUUCAGAAACAGCUGGCCGAAGACAAAGAAAAAUGUGGUCUCGCGGAGGCCAACCGAGAUAUUAGUGAGUAUUGGAAAAACUAUUUAGAAAAAACAGUUGAAGAACUUCGCGCAUCCAAAGAAAGAUGCUUCGAAAAAUCCCUAGGCUGCAUGGAGAAGAUAAAGGCUAGCUUCACCAACGUGGGCGCCUAUUCCAAUGAAGAUAACUUUAUACGAGGCGACCCUGAAGGUGUUAUCGAGUGGAUAAGCGGAGAAGCUGAAGCUUUUGAAGAAAUUUUAAGUGAUCGCGGGGAUGUCUGCGCGUUCUUCGGUGCAAGAGGAAUUUCAGCCAUCCUGGAGAAGGCGGGUUGCGAUCAUGUCAAAACCCUAUCCCAGGCCGAAGCUGCCUUCUCCGUGGAUGUCACAAAGGAUCCCUCAGCCGAAGCAAGCUUAAUGGGCGGAAAAUUUUACACUGACAUCUGGGCAAAUGGUAGACGAGAAAUGGCUCACGAAAUUAUGAAGAAAAGUGAAAAAGAUAUUCAUGACGCUCGAGUGGCAGCGAAACAAGCUGAGGAAGCUGCAGAACGCGAGAAACACAUAGGUAUUAUUUUGUGGCCUUUAGCUUCGGUGUUUGUUUUUAUAACUUUGGACUACUGAACCUUUUCCUUCUUCAGCUGAAUUAUCUCUGCCACCGAAACCGUUCGAUCCCCUGGCCGACCCAGAGACGAAGGAAGCACUGGAGAUCAUCAAUAUGGCCGAAUCUAUUGUUGACGAAGUCGUCAAUAAAUUGCUAAAUGAAGUUGUGGAGAAGAUUCUGAAAGAGGAUUAGUACUUAUUGUAAAAACAUUUUUAGGUGGUCAAUAUAGCCUUGUUGUUACAAAACUGUAAUAUUCAGUGUGUAUAUCUUUGAAUCUAAUAUGUAAAUUAUUUGUAAUUCAUUUCUUUGCAAUGCAUGAAACUUUUAUAUACAUACCGUUUUGAGCCUUUUCGGCGAAAAAACACUUUUCCUUCUUUUCAUGCUUCGUAAAGAAAAAGAUCCAUGCUUUGUAGGAACAUCCAAGCUUCGUAAAAACAUCCCUUCUUUUGCAACAGAGCUGAUGAAACUGUAUUUCUCAGCUUACUUUGUGCCUUAGCACAUUUUCAUUUUUUUCAAAGCAUUCUCCGAAGAUCGACUUCAUAUUCAAUUCGUGUCUUUAGUGCGAUAUGAUGAAUGAUGUGAUGCUAUGCGGUAUGAUGUAAAAUAUGAUGCUAAUGCCGAAGACACGCACUCACACACCCACACAGUCUCUGCGUCCCCUUAGGAAUGAUCAAUUUCUCUUUGCCAUUUAUUUUUCGGCUUCACCGCUUAUUUUUCGAUGUAAGUUCUGCAUCCCCUUAGGAACGCCUUUUGAACUUCUUCUCCUUCUAUUUCGGCGGUAUCACUCUUGACUUUUCGGUGUAAGUUCUGCAUUCCCUUAGGAACGUCUUUUGAACUUCUUCGCCUUAUAUUUCGGCGGUAUUUGGCUCUGCAUUCCAUUUGGAACGACUUUUGAGCAGAAAACUUACACUGCGCUCCCUUAGGAAUGACUUUUUUGUAGCUUCGUCAAAACUUAUGAUGCGCUCCCUUAGGAACGUCUUUUUUGUAGCUUCGGCAAUUUUCUAGCUCUGCAUUUCCUUAGGAACGACUUUUUGAGCUUCGACAAUUUUUGAGCUUCGUAAGUCUGUGAAGAAGAUAUAUUACAUUUUAAUAGAAGCGAAACUAUUACAAGGAAUUAAAACUAAAUUUACAUUACUUGUUCCUUAUUCAAAAACAAAAUGAUAUUGAGCAUAAAAAUAUUUCAGAGGUAGGAUAUCUCUCAAUAGAUGUGCUUUGAUUCCGGCACAGUACUGUUGACUGUGCGAGCUUCGGAUUCCUCCUUGAAUUCUCGUUGCGGUUGAGAGUGUUGGCGCCCUUUUGGCUGCUGGCUUCAGGAAUAGGUCGGUUGUAGUGGUGGUGGGGGUGGGAGUUGUGGCUAGGAAGCCUGCGAAUGGCUAGCCAAAGCAACAGAAACUGCAGGAUGAUUGCCCACAUACUCUGGCAUGUAGGGAUAGUGGCACGAAGCAGUGUGCAAGACAUGCUUCGACUGAUUCUGCCGAGGUUCGGCUUCUGCUAUCUCCUUUUGCUUCUGAAUGGUGAUUCGCCACAUUCUUGUAGUAUGGCCCUUGUCCUCACCACAGAAUAAGCAGUAGAUCUUUCUAGGCUGAUACCCAAAUCUUCUUCCGAAGCCCCUGGCGCCUCUGCCCCUUGGAGCUGGUGGCCUGAAAGAGCUUUGUUGUUGCCCCGAAGAUUGUGAGGUGUAUUAUGACCUCUGAGGCUGACUUCCUUUGUCAUCACUCUGAGUGGAGUUAUGGAUUGACCUGACAUGCCUCGGGUGAAUUCUUCCUCCGAAGCCCCUGGUCAUCUCUGAGAAUCUGUAAGCUUCCUCCCUUCUUUGGCGGAAGUCGUUGUCAGCCCGGAUGUACUCAUCCAUCUUCUGAAGUAGCUUCUCCAGAGUUUGUGGGGGCUUCCUGGCAAAGUACUGAGCCAUAGAUCCUGGCCGAAGGCCCUUAAUCAUGGCCUCAAUGACAAUUUAAUUGGGCACUGUGGGUGCUUGUGCACUCAAUCGCAAGAACCAUCGGACAUAUGCCUGGAUGUAUUCCUCAUGAUCUUGCGUGCAUUGGAACAGGGCUUGAGCUGUAACUGGCUUCGUCUGAAAGCCUUGGAAACUGGUCACCAGCAUGUCUUUAAGUUUCUUCCAUGACGUAAUUAUCCAAGGUCGAAGGGAAGAAUACCAAGUCUGGGCCACGUUCCGGACUGCCAUGACGAAGGACUUAGCCAUGACAGCUGCAUUGCCUCCGUAUGAGGAUAUUGUUGCCUCAUAGCUCAUCAAAAAUUGUUUUGGGUCUGAGUGCCCAUCAUACAUUGGCAGCUGAGGUGGCUUGUAAGAUUGUGGCCAUGGGAUAGCCUGCAGUUCUGCUGCCAAGGGAGAAGCAUCAUCAAAAGUAAAGGUAUCAUGAUUAAAAUCAUCAUACCAGCCAUCUUCGUUGAAUAGGCCUUCCUGACGAAGCUCCCUGUGUUGGGGCCUUCGAUCUUGUUCAUCUUGAGCAAGAUGGCGCACUUCUUCAGUAGCUUUGUCGAUUUUUCUUUGAAGAUCAGCCAGCCGCGCCAUCUUCUCCUUCUUCCUUUGUACUUGCUGAUGGAUAAUUUCCAUGUCCCUGAUCUCUUGGUCCAACUCCUCCUCUUGGAGUGUUGGACUGGUAGAUUUUCUCUUUUGGCUUCGAGCUUCUCAGAGAGAAAGAGUUUCCUGAUUUGGGUCCAGUGGCUGCAACGCAGCAGCCCCUGGCGCUGAAGCUUUCUUCGGCGGCAUGACGAAGAUCAGUGCUUGCCGAAGGUGGUCGAAUGAGUUCACCGGAGGUGGGCGCCAAUGUUGGGGAUUUGUUCUCAAAUGCUAUGAAUUAAGAACAAGGCAACACAGAAUGUUAAAUGUUAAUGCCCUUCGUCCUUCGAAGCAUUAUCUCCCUUAGGAUAUAAUGAUCUUUAGACGAAGGUCAUGAAGGACAUACCUUCAUCAUCGUAGCAUAUGUUAAUAAAAGAAGAAGUAUAUGAAAUAUAAGAGACAACAUGAAUGAUCACAUAACAUUAUCAAUUCAUCCUUAUUAUAUUAACAUGGAAAAAUAGAGACAAUAUUGAAUUACAUAUGUACCUUCGGCUUGACAGAAGGUAAAAAGUACAAGCGUGACGCACAAGCGAGUACAAGUCAGCGUGUACAGUACGGGGGUCCUGUUCAUCUAUUUAUAGGCAUAGGGCGUAGCAUGUGCAAAAUUACAUUCAUGCCCUUUAUGUUUACUAUUGACAUUAGGACAAUCUAUCGAGGACCAAAUAGCCUUUUCCUCUUUAAGUCGGUUCCUUUUCUGCUACUUAGCCGAAGCUUUCUUGCGCAUAGCUUCGGAACUGGUUCGACCUUCAUCCCAACCAUGCAUUUCGUAUUGUGGACAACUCCAUCCCGAUUCUGAAGGUUCCUGUACAUAUAUUACACUUGGGGAAACAUUGUUAAUCAUGUUUUUGAGGACCUUCGGAAGACGAAGGCCCCCAACAUCUACUGUGUCUGAAGAUGACAUGCCCAUGAUGAUGAAGCUGGGCUAUUUUGGAGAGGUUGAAAGCAAACUCAUCCGAUUUGCUGGAGAAGAGACUACCCCAAAGCCGAAGAAUGAUGAAGUAGUGGUUUUCAAGAGCUUCUUCAGAGCAGGGCUGCUGUUUCCUCUGAAUGAGAUGAUUGGGGUGGUUCUAAAGAACUUCGAAAUAUAUCUUCAUCAGCUGACUCCUAACGCUAUUGUUAGGCUCAGCGUCUUUAUUUGGGCCCUCCGAAGCCAGAGGAUGAGCUCGGACGCCGAAGCUUUCUGCCGAGUGCACGAGAUGCACUAUCAGACGAAGGCCAGGGCAGAUGGCCUUCACGAGAAUUUUGGUUGUUAUAAUUUUGCAUAUCGAAAAGACACAAAGGCGCCAGUCCUCAGCUACCACACAAAGUGGCCAACCGGCUGGAAAAAUGAAUGGUUUUAUAUGAAAGCUAAUGAUAAAAAUAUGGAGAAGCUGAUGACCAUGGUCAUGAGUCCUAUAAGCUUGAACUUCGGAAUGACCCGGCCCUUGUGCAACAUGCAGCUGGGGUCACCCUGUCAGCUGGCCGAAGUGGAAUUUAGAGUGAUGGCUGAACAAAUCAGUAACAGAGACUUGGUGCAAGAAUAUUUGGCUAACAGAACAUAUCCUACAUCUAGUGGCUGGAGAAUGCCAAAGAAGAAGGAAGCGGGGAAGAAGCACGAACUCGUUCGACUUGCUUACCGCUUCAAAUUUGAGAAACAAUUCAAAAAUCCGUGCAAAGAAUGGUAGGACAUGAUCGAGACAAUGUGUAAUAAAAUACUUGGAAAUUAUACAAAAAAGGAAGACCAACUGAUGACCACAGCCUUUGGCACCUGGCCAAAACGAAGAUUGAACCGGGUGAUGGAUGCCUUGGAAUUUGAAUAUCCUGAUUAUAUAAAGUUGUCUGACAAAGGUGCCGAAGGGGUUAAAAGAAAAAGAAUUGUCAGCAUUCUGAGCAGGCAAGCUGCUAGAAUGGUAAAGGAGGAUGAUAAGGCAUCAAAGAAAAGAAAAUCCACUCCUGAGCCGAAGGCGGCAGCUUCGAAGAAGAGGAAGGCUGAAAGUCCAAAGCCGAAGAUAACUGAGGCAACGAAGGACACUCCUUCGACACCUCGUGCUGCCGAAAUAGCAGAAACUUUAAAGAUAAUGACUGAAUCUUUACCCAUUAAGCUGCUAAGUCCUCUGGGGCCAGAAUUGACGAAACUUUUACAAAAGAAGGAUGAGCCUUCGGCUACAAAGGAGAAGGAUGACGGGCAGAAAAAACGAAGAAUUGUUACUGUCAUGCAAGCCAUUGAACGGACGCCACCGUUGGCCUCGGCAUCCAAAAUAGCACCUAUCGCAAGUGCCGAGGCUACUGCCGAAGCUGAUACCUCUACCGAAGCUGCAGCUGGCGCCGAAGCUGAUACCUCUGCCGAAGCCGCAGCUGGCGCGGAAGCUGUCAAUCUUGAAAGGACUCUGUCUGGAAUUGAUAAACUUCUUUUGGAUAUGGCUACAGAAGAGACAGCUUGUAACACUCCAGGUGUUUAUAUUCCGCUCGACAACGAGUACGGAUUUAAGCACGCAAUAUCAGUGGAUAAAACGGAUUUUAAAUUUUAAUCAUCCUUGUUUAUCGCGAUUUUAAUAUCGCAUCUGUUUCGUCGGUCGUGAGUUCGACAUCGUUUUUAUUUUUAUCUAUCCGGGCUCUUCCGAAAUUUUUGUGAUGUUCGGAAUAUCGUCAUUCCGAAAAUCGGUGCGUCCGGUGAUUAUUUAAAAUUCAUCGCUCACACGGGUACGAAUUCGGAAGCUCAACCCACUCGGACGAUUUUAUCCCAAAUAAAUUAAUUUGAACUCGACGACUAAAAUAUCGAAUCUAAUCUCGUCCGGUUUGAACCCGUCUACAGCUCGCUCCCGUGACGAUGCUGACAUCGUCUUCGGGGAACUCCGAUUGUGAUGCCGUAUUCGGCUCGCACGGUUUAAAAUUUAUUCCUUUCUAAAGUAUCGAGCCUAGUGCCAGAUCAAAAAAAUAAUCGGUCAAGACGAGCUAAGAUUUUCGUUUAAAUAUUUCGCUCGAUUUAAGCCAUCUCUAUAAAUUCGGUACAUGCGCUAUUUGAGGUAGGCUGUUCAAAUAAACUGAAACCGGAACCAUUAUUGGCCAAUUCUGUUUCCUGUUUCAAAAUCCGAGAAGAAAAAUCUUCUCACAGUGCUCUCUUUCCUUAUCUCCUCACGUACGCUACGUAGUUUUUUCUAGUCUUCGUUCUCAUCCACGCACGGAAGGAAAAUCUUCUCUGCGUUCCUAUCCUCCACUCUGAUAUUUCAUCGCUCUGAUUUUUGUUGAAGUUGCUGGCCGCUCAACCUCAUCUAGCGCGCAAGAUCUCCUGGAGAUUUUUCCACCGCUUGCACGUCCAGCUCUUCUUCAAAUAUCCCAUACGUACAUCUUCCUUCCCUCGCCUUAUCUCUCCACCGCUUUCUCUCUUCCAUCUGAUAUGCCGCGUCGCUGUAUUCUGGAAAGCAAAAGAAAAUCCCGCCGCUGUUCUUCUGUUGAAAUUUCUGCCGUCUCUUCUUAUCUGCUGCUGGGAUUUUUACCGUCGUCAUUCUCCCAGCUGAGCUCUCUCUCUCUGCUCUUGCUCGCAUCCAGCCAUGGCGCCCCUGUUCUUCUCUUUUCCAGUCUGGCCAGCCGAGCGCUCCUUCUCCCAGCCAUGGAGCUCCCGGCCGUGCAGCUCGCCCAAUCCCCAACCCGACCGGAGCUCCCUUCAACUCGAUUUCCCAUCUCCCUGUAUCUCCCAUGGGAGAGCGUGUUAGAUCUUUUAUGGGCUUGACCCAUUUAUUGAAUAAACUCUAUGGUGUGUAAUGGUGGAGAAUACUAAUAGUACCACAUUGGAAGUCCAAGGGUCUUUUGCCUUGACUUAUAUGGUGGGAUUUAUUCCACUUAACUUGAGAAGUCAAGAAAUGGACAAGGGCGUGCCACACGCGCGCGCGCGCCGCCGCCGCCGGCCGGGCCGGGCGAGACGUGGCGAGACGUGGCGUGGCAGGCAGGCACAAUCCAGCCGCCGAGUGAGGGUAUUUCCAUCUCGUGACUCUGCGCGCACAGAGUAGCGAGAGGGCAGGUGCCUCCGAAGCCGGUGCCGUUCGAGACCUUGCACGGGGGAUCGGCAAUUAGGUUUUUGGGGAGCGUCUACGCGACUGCCCAAAACAUCUUCAACAUGACAAAGGAAGCUGGCCAAGGAUCUGGAUCAUCAGAGCGCAUAGGAGGGUAUGAUCAGUUUAUUUACUUACUGUUUUGUGUUCUGGAGAUUAUAUAUGUUUCAUAUUUUCAUCUAUGCUGUUUCAUAGUUACGAAUGAUUUUAUCUUAUCUGUUCUGUCUUAUUAUAAUAUGAUAGAUCUGUCUGUUUUAAUUUUUCAGUCAUGCUAUUUAAGUUUCUAUCUGUUUACUUUCAUUUGUUUAGUCAGUAUACAUGUUUAUCGUAUUUAUAUGAUUUAUAUAAUUCACAUGCUCUAUGUUCUCUUGAUUCAUACUGGUAUGGAUCAAUUUGAGAUCACAAUUUCUAUGGUUAAUUAUUUGUUAUAUGUCAUCAUCAUAAUGUUGAUUUAUGGAAUUAAAAUAAUACGGAAAAUGCCUAUAUUUCUAACAAUCCAAAAACCUAAAGUUAGGCAUUUUUCUGUCAGAGGUUUUGCUGCUGUGCUAAAGCCUGAUCCUUUUGAUGAUAAAAACUUCUUGAUAUGGAAAGCUAAAAUGGAAUUGUGGCUAACUGCAAUGUCUUGUUUUCAUGCCGCUGAGGGCAAGCCUGCAAACUUACCUCCUGAGGAUGAGGCUAAGUUUAAGGCUGAAGACAACCUCUUUCGAGGAGCAGUAAUUAGCGCACUGGAUACAAAAUUCCAGAAAAGCUAUAUCAUCCUUCCCACGGGGAAAGAGCUGUGGGAUGCUCUUGUUGGAAAGUUUGGAGUUACUGACGCUGGUAGCGAGCUGUAUCUCAUGGAGCAGCUGUAUGACUACAAGAUGGUUGAGAACCGAUCUGUAGUGGAACAGGCUCAUGAGUUUCAGGCACUAGCUAAGGAACUCGAACUUUUUCCUUGUCCUUUGCCUGACAAGUUUGUGGCUGGCGGUAUAAUCGCCAAGUUGCCACCUUCUUGGAAGGACUUUGCUACCUCUCUCAAACAUAAGAGACAAGAGUUCAAUGUGGAAGAGCUCAUUGGUACUCUUGAUGUUGAGGAAAGGGCUAGAACAAAGGACAGUGGAAAAGGUGUUGAGACCUCUACUGCUAAUGUGGUGCAGAAGAGAAACUUUCGCAAGUUUAACAAGAAGAAAAACCAGAACAAAUCAGAGAAUGCGAAUAAACCUGUUCAUACAGCACAGUUUAAAAAGAAGAACAACAAUAACAAGGGAAAGGGAGGAUGCUUUGUCUGUGGCAGUGAUCAACAUUGGGCAAGAGAGUGCCCUGAUCGCAAGUUCACUCAAGACAAGAAAUCAGCUAAUGUUGUAACCACUGAAACUGAAGGAGGAACAUCUGGGUAUGGUAAUUCUUUACCAUUCGUUCUUUCAGUCUGUAAUUCACCUGAGUGGUGGAUGGACAGUGGUGCAAACAUUCAUGUGUGUGCUGAUGCCUCUAUGUUCACUUCCUAUCAGGUCGGGAGGUCUGGCGCCUUGUUGAUGGGAAAUGGGUCGCGUGCUCAUGUUCUUGGUGUUGGUACGGUCAUUCUGAAGUUUACUUCGGGAAAGACUGUGCCAUUGAAGAGCGUGCAGCAUGUGCCCUCUAUCAAGAAGAAUCUCGUUAGCGCUUCUAUGCUAUGUCGAGAUGGAUACAAAGUUGUUCUUGAGUCUAAUAAAUGUGUUGUGUCGAAACAUGGUACCUUUGUUGGUAAAGGAUAUGAUUGCGGAGGCUUGUUCCGCUUAUCACUGCAUGAUGUGUGUAAUAAACUGGUGAAUUCUGUUAAUUUUUCUGAUGAGUCAGAUUUAUGGCAUUCAUGGUUUUGUCAUGCAAGCUUUGGCUGUCUUAUGCGGUUAGCAAAUAUAAAUUUAAUUCCUAAAUUUAACUUGGUCAAAAAGUCUAAGUGCCAUGUGUGUGUUGAAUCAAAACAACCCCGCAAGCCACACAAGGCUGCUGAGGCGAGGAGUUUGGCACCUCUAGAACUUGUUCAUUCUGGUCUGUGCGAGAUGAAUGGAGUGUUGACCAAAGGUGGUAAAAGAUACUUUCUCACUUUUAUAGAUGACUCCACUAGAUUUUGUUAUGUGUAUCUCUUAAAAACAAAAGAUGAAGCGUUCAAUUAUUUUAAGGCCUAUAAAGCUGAAGUUAAGAACCAACUUGAGAGGAAAAUAAAACGUUUAAGGUCCGAUCGAGGUGGAGAAUAUUUCUCUAAUGUGUUCGAUGAGUUCUGCGUGGAACAUGGAAUUAUUCAUGAGAGGACACCGCCAUUCUCACCACAAUCCAAUGGGAUUGCUGAAAGGAAAAACCGCACUCUAACAGAUUUGGUGAAUGCCAUGUUGAGUACAGCGGGAUUAUCCAAGGCAUGGUGGGGUGAGACGAUUUUGACAGCAUGUCAUGUCCUGAAUAGAGUUCCAACAAAGAACAAAGAGAUCACUCCAUUUGAGGAAUGGGAAAAGAGAAGAGUAAAUCUCUCAUAUUUGCGCACUUGGGGUUGCUUGGCUAAAGUGAAUGUGCCAAUCAACAAAAAGCGUAAACUUGGGCCUAAAACUGUUGAUUGUGUAUUCCUUGGGUACUCUUUUCACAGCACUGGGUAUAGGUUCUUAAUUAUAAAAUCUGAUGUGCCUGAUAUGUAUGUUGAUACUAUCAUGGAAUCAAGAGACGCAUCAUUUUUUGAGAAUGAGUUUCCUAUGAAGAAUACACCUAGUGAUAUAAGUCAUGAGACUAUAAUUCCCCAUGAGCACGAACUGUCGAUUCCUAUAGAUCAUGCUGAGGAUUCUCACGUGCACAUCCCUGAGGAGGAUGACACUAUAGUCACUCGAAAGAGCAAGAGACAGAGGGUUGCAAAAUCCUUUGGUAAUGACUUUAUAGUGUACCUUGUGGAAGACACACCAACUACCAUUAGUGAGGCAUAUUCCUCUCCUGAUGCUGACUUAUGGAAGGAAGCAGUAAGGAGUGAGAUGGAAUCUAUUAUGUCUAAUGGAACUUGGGAGGUCGUGGACCGUCCUUAUGGUUGUCAACCUAUAGGUUGCAAAUGGAUCUUCAAGAAAAAGCUUAGGCCUGAUGGUACAAUUGAGAGGUACAAGGCAAGGCUUGUGGCCAAAGGAUAUACCCAAAAGGAGGGUGAAGAUUUCUUUGACACCUACUCACCAGUGGCUCGAUUGACUACAAUUCGCACAUUAAUAGCCGUGGCAGCCUCUUAUGGUCUUAUCAUUCAUCAGAUGGAUGUUAAGACAGCUUUCCUAAAUGGAGAGUUGGAUGAGGAGAUCUAUAUGGAUCAGCCAGAAGGGUUUAUUGUGGAUGGUCAAGAGAACAAGGUGUGCAGGUUGAUAAAAUCAUUGUAUGGCCUAAAACAAGCACCUAAGCAAUGGCAUGAAAAGUUUGAUAAUACUCUUACAGCAGCUGGCUUUGUUGUAAAUGAAUCUGACACGUGUGUAUACUAUCAGUAUGGUGGGGGUGAGUCUGUUAUGCUGUGCCUUUAUGUUGAUGACAUUUUGAUCUUUGGAUCAAAUCUCAAUGUGAUUGAGGAAGUUAAAAAUCUUCUAUCGAGCAAUUUCGAGAUGAAAGAUUUGGGAGAGGCUGAUGUCAUUCUAAACAUCAAGCUUGUUAGAGAAGCUGAUGGUGGGGUAACUUUGUUACAAUCCCAUUAUGUGGAAAAGGUAUUGAGUCGCUUUGGUUUUAGUGACUGUGAUCCUGCUCCAACACCUUAUGACCCCAGUGUGCUAUUAAGAAAGAAUCGGAGAAUAGCAAGGGAUCAAUUGACAUACUCCCAGAUCAUUGGCUCGCUCAUGUACCUUGCAAGUGCAACAAGGCCAGACAUCUCUUAUGCUGUGAGUAAGCUAAGUCGGUUUGUGUCGAAACCAGGAGAUGAUCACUGGCGUGCUCUUGAGAGAGUGUUGCGGUAUUUGAAAGGUACUAUGACAUACGGUAUUCAUUAUACCGGAAACCCAAAAGUGCUGGAAGGCUAUUGUGAUGCCAACUGGAUUUCUGAUGCUGAUGAGCUUUAUGCCACAAGCGGAUAUGUGUUUCUGUUUGGAGGUGGCGCUGUUUCCUGGAAGUCUUGCAAGCAGACUAUCUUAACGAAGUCUACAAUGGAAGCAGAACUCGCAGCAUUAGACACUGCUGGGGCUGAGGCCGAGUGGCUUCGUGAUUUCCUAUUGGACUUACCGGUAGUUGAAAAACCGAUACCGGCUAUUUCCAUGAACUGUGACAACCAAACGGUGAUUACAAAGGUUAACAGUUCUAGGAAUAACAUGAAGUCUACAAGGCAUGUUAAGAGGAGAUUGAAAUCUGUCAGAAAGUUGAAAAACUCCGGAGUUAUAACUGUGGAUUAUGUCCACACAUCGAAUAAUCUAGCAGAUCAAUUCACUAAGGGUCUAUCACGCAAUGUGAUAGAAAGUGCAUCGAGGGAAAUGGGUAUGAGACCCAUGUGAGAUCUACUCUAGUGGUAACCUGCUCUAUGUGAUCGGAGAUCCCGUGAAGUAGAGUGGAGAAACAAGCUAGGAGUAGAUUGUGAGGAAAGAUCCCUUCUUUAACUCAUUUCUGAUGCACAUCUUUCCUAUCUGUAAGGCAGGAUGGUUUUUACCUUAAUGUAUUCCAAGAGUCUUAUAAAGGUGAGAUGUUGUCCUACAGAACAUCUUCUGAGGAAUACACCUAUAUGAGUCAGACUGCUAGUCACAGUCUAUGGGAUUUGGGUAAUCCCUAAAUACUCAUGAAAGGCACUGAAGUGUGACUUAUAUGCUUCUAACAGCGGGAAUACCCUUCUGCAGCCUAGUAUCAGCAAAGGAUUUGAGUGAAUCUUAUUUCGCACAAAACUGUCAAUUCAAGGCAUAGUCCAUUGUUCAGUUGUGAAUAAGUGAAACUCUUAUUCUAGAUGGAUGUUCAACUUAACAGUCUCCAUCGAAACACUGGUAUAUCAAAGGAUUGUGAUUCUGAUACUUCAUCAUUACAAACCCUAGAGUUUGGUGGGGAUUGUUGGAUCUUUUAUGGGCUUGGCCCAUUUAUUGAAUAAACUCUAUGGUGUGUAAUGGUGGAGAAUACUAAUAGUACCACAUUGGAAGUCCAAGGGUCUUUUGCCUUGACUUAUAUGGUGGGAUUUAUUCCACUUAACUUGAGAAGUCAAGAAAUGGACAAGGGCGUGCCACACGCGCGCGCGCGCCGCCACCGCCGCCGGCCGGGCCAGGCGUGGCGUGGCGAGACGUGGCGUGGCGUGGCGAGGCAGGCAGGCAGGCGAGCGGGCGUGGUGUGGUUGUGUUAAUUUUUUAGCACUCACUAACCGCGUAUGUCAGCCGAGUGACCCUGUCUCUUCGUCUGCCGAGUGACCCUGUCUCUUCGUCAGCCAGCCGAGUGACCCUUCUCCUUCAGCUGCCGACUUAUGGCGUGACUCGGCGAGAGCUGGCCGACUCAUGGCAUAACUCGGCUAGAGCUGGCCGACUCUUGGCGUGACUCGGCGACCUUUCUCCUUCAGCUUCCCUCUGCGAGAGGUUAAAUAGAUGAGCACCCAUGUCACUCGGUACACGCGAGAAACACUUUCAGUCUCACAAUCCAGCCGCCGAGUGAGGGUAUUUCCAUCUCGUGACUCUGCGCGCACAGAGUAGCGAGAGGGCAGGUGCCUCCGAAGCCGGUGCCGUUCGAGACCUUGCACGGGGGAUCGGCAAUUAGGUUUUUGGGGAGCGUCUACGCGACUGCCCAAAACAUCUUCAACAUGACAAAGGAAGCUGGCCAAGGAUCUGGAUCAUCAGAGCGCAUAGGAGGGUAUGAUCAGUUUAUUUACUUACUGUUUUGUGUUCUGGAGAUUAUAUAUGUUUCAUAUUUUCAUCUAUGCUGUUUCAUAGUUACGAAUGAUUUUAUCUUAUCUGUUCUGUCUUAUUAUAAUAUGAUAGAUCUGUCUGUUUUAAUUUUUCAGUCAUGCUAUUUAAGUUUCUAUCUGUUUACUUUCAUUUGUUUAGUCAGUAUACAUGUUUAUCAUAUUUAUAUGAUUUAUAUAAUUCACAUGCUCUAUGUUCUCUUGAUUCAUACUGGUAUGGAUCAAUUUGAGAUCACAAUUUCUAUGGUUAAUUAUUUGUUAUAUGUCAUCAUCAUAAUGUUGAUUUAUGGAAUUAAAAUAAUACGGAAAAUGCCUAUAUUUCUAACAGAGCGUCCUGCCGAGGUCUCUCCAUGGCCGACGCUCGGACUGCGUUAUUUCCUGCAGGCUGCCGCGCCCUACCCUCUGUUCUGCUCGCUGGUCCGAGCUCGCCCAGCUCAGCCACUCUUCUCUACUCGUCUAGUCUGCGCGCCGUCCCAUCCCCUCUCUGUCCGGCCAUGGCCGCUGUGCCGAGGCCUCCUUCCCCCCUCGCAGUUUUUCCCCUGCUCGGAGUUCCUCCCAUAGCAACCGCUCGUCCGUUUCCCUGAUGCUCGCCGCGCGCUUCUCUGUUGACCGGCGCGAGCCCUUUCUCUAAUGUUUUCCUGCUCGUCCGUCCGCUGCUCCGACGUCGUUCUCGGGUCGACCGUCGGCAGCUCCCCGGCUUCCGUCGUGCUCGGCAGCAAGUAAUUCAUGUCGAAGCAGCAGCUGCGAUCCCUUGCGUCAGCUCGCCAGACCUACAGCUCUAUAUAUGUCACUCUCUCGUAUCGUCGUCGAGCCCGGCGAACCUCGUUCAUCUCUGCUCGAUCUCGUCGCUCGAUCUCGUCGAACCACGAAUCCCGGACUUCAGACAAAAAUAAGCGAGGUCCCUGUGCAUCGCUUAUCAAGUACUCGGUCGAAGACUUCAAUCGAAGAUCGUCGUCAUUCCGUGCGUCAUCAAGAAAUCCCAAGAAUCGGGCGAAGACGAAGCUAGCAGCGCGAUAUUUCCCAAACGCUCGACAAAUUGCCUGGAUCGGAAAAUCGCUACCGAUCUCGUGGAUUCGUGUCAGCUGUGGAAACGGUAAGCUGAUAAAUUAUUCAGAAUAGUUCGAUCGAUGAAUAAAUUAAUAUGCUAGUGCGAUGCUCAUUAAGGUGCUCGAUAAAUUGCUUAAGUCACGAAACUCUCGUCGACUUCGCAGUUCUUGCGAUUAUCGAGCCAGGUUCAGUUAUAGCGAGUUAUUUCGCUAUUCCGGCCAAUUAGCGGAAUUAGUGUACCGAAUAGAAUAUUAAUAGGCCUGUGUGAUGAGGAAAUAGUUUAAUCACUUAUACAGAUGUGUAUAUAUUUACGAUAAAGAAAUAUUUAAGUAAUUGUUGACAUGAAAAACAUGUGAGGAGUAAAAUAAAAUUAAAAUAGUUCUUUGUGAGCGAUGUAGAAUAAUUCAUAAAACGAGGGAUAAGUUUAGAAUUCAAUUAAUUAACUGAUAAGUUGUGGUUAGGCUAAUUGUAUUAAAGGUGUAUAAUUUGUUGUUUUGUGAUGUUCGCAUUAGGUUCGAUUAAUCUAGAGAAGCGUAAUUAUUGCGCGUAGUCAUAUAUUAAUAACUAGUGUUUCCGUACAAAACUGUACAACGCCUCGCCGCUAGGUGUUUAAAUUCGCCAUCACGUAGCACUAUUUAGGGUUUUUGAUAUUCGUGUCUAUAUGCAUUCAUGUGCAUAAUGCAUUUCAUUCAGGUGCGAUAAUUAAUCACGUGAUGCGGAAGAUGACCCAAGUCGACCCCAAGCGCGGGCUACUCCGCAUGGUGAAGCUGAAGGACGAACGCAAGGAUGGAUGACCUGACAAGUGCCAAAACAAAGAAUGGUCGUCAAGUGCUCAUCGUCUAACAACACUAACCUAGUGUUACCCACGCAAGCCCCGGUGCAUGCAACCCCUUCCUUGUGUUUUUAAAUAAUUUUUGCACACUUUAAGUCUAGUGAAAUGUGCAUUAGGUUUAUAGGAGUUGCUUGAAACCCUUUGAUGCAUUACCUUCCUUGAUAUCCAUACCUAUAUAGAUACUUCUGGUGAAGUAUCAAAAUAUGAUUUACAAAAAUGCUUAGCCCUGCUUAGAUCUUGUGGUUAGAGGUUGUCUUUUGCAAUACUGCCCAGCUCAGGGGUUAUCCUGAGGAAGGAUGGCUUCUAACUGCAAGAAUAUAUUUUCAUUGGAAGCAUGGUGGGACCUUACUGCAAAGUUCCCUGUGAUGCUCUUUUCAUCCUAAGGAACACAAACAAUCCUAAGGAUGGAAGUACUUAAAUCGGGACUUGGGCUAGGAACAGGUGAUGUUCUACCCAGGUUGAUUAAGGAUUGGAUGCGUAUGUAGGCUUGAUGAUCGAGGACCCUUUAACUGGUCACAUGCCUCGUCAUGGGUAAGUUUUGCCUCGGGCAGACUAAGGCCAGAAUAAGAUAACACGAAAUGGGCGUGGAGCGGUGGCGAGAGUAGCGUGUACCCUCUGUAGCAAGAGGCUGGACGCUGGUGUAUCUGUGCUCUCGGUUUGCGUGAACCUGAUCUGGUCUUAAGAACCCCAGUGGCGGGUUGACAUAUGCAAGGGUUAAGUGCUACAUAUGUCGUGUGAUCAGAGAUCCUCAGCUGAGUAUAAUCGAUUCGGAUCGCCGUACCUUCGCGGUUAUGAAGACUUGGUCACUGACCUACAACCUAAGUCAGGAUGUGAACCUCAUGAAUAAAAAUGAUGUUGUAUUGAUGAGAUGGUGAAAGUAGACCAUAUGCAAACAGAGUCUAUUAAUAUUUAAUCUGGCGUUAAAAUAUUGAAAGUAAGGACUCACUUUAGUACGCUAUUUCUGCAAAAGUAUCUAAGUUGAUUUUUGCUAAAGCCUCUCCUUGAUUCCCAAUUCCAGCAUACCCUUGAGAGUCUUUUCCUUAGUCGGGUAAGACUUGCUGAGUAAUUCCAUACUCAGGGUUUUAUUCCCUGUUGUUUUUCAGGUUUUAAUUUUGUGCUGCUGUUGAUGGUGUUAAGUGCCGGUGGGCUCGGCCUUCUUAUAAGUCUAAGUACUUCUUCUAUACUUCUUAUUGAGGAUAGUCACUUGAGCUAGCAUAUAUUUCAAACUUAUACUUUUGUAAUCACUCCGAUAAAAAAAUGUAAAAUUUUUAUAACCUAUAAAAUUUGGUAAUAAGAUUUCCGCUGCAGAAAUGUUGUGUGUGUGAUUUGUGUUACUUAAUCCCGCGGUUCUGGUUGUAUGUGGUUUAUCCGAUGUCCUUGGGGCAAUCGGAUGGAUCCUGUUAAGUUAUUUAGUGCACAUGUAUAGCUGUUUGAGGUCUUUGAGACAAGGACAUGUGCAUGUGGGCCCAAUAACUUGGGAGGUUCUGCCACACAGCUGCAGCUGCAGAGAAGGUCAUGGCCGCAGCGCCUGACAAAGGGAAAAAGAUUGUUGAUGCUGCUACAGAAGAAAAUGACUUUGACCUUCGGAACCUGGUGGGUCAAGAAUUGUCCGAGGCUGAGAAGAAGGAGCUACAGGAAUAUGGUCCUGUGGCUACCAGCCAGAAGCUAUGCUCUUUGGUGGAAUCGACGCAGGGGCCUUAGGAUGCAUUCGAGACCGCGCGAGGGCAAAAUAAUCGGCACUCUAUCGAAGAAUGUUGGUUUCCCGAAGCUUGAAGCUAAUAUUAGCGGCUACCGGCGACAACAUAUCAUCGGCAGUCUAUUUUACUCCAAUUUCAAGGUAAAAUUCCUUUUGCUAGGUUUCUUUUAUUUUUGUGAUGAAACAAAAUUUUCUGAUGCUGGCUUGUUUCUAUGGAGUAUGCUGCUAAGUAAGACACUGAGAAUGCAACAAGACCUCGAAGACAAGAAAAAUGAAACCAUAAUCGAGGGCUUGGAAAAUAAAAUCAAGGAUUACGAAGCUUCUCUGGAGAAGAAAGACUUUCUACUUCAAGCAACAUAGGGCUCGCUUGCAGAAAUCCAAGCUGAAAAUGUUAGAUUAAGCGAGGAGCUUCUCCAAAGUCGGACAACGUUGAAAGAAAAAUCAAAGAACUUCGACCAAGAGAAGAAAGAUCUGCAAGCGAAAUACGAGGCCGAAGCUGACAAGAAUACGAAGCUACAGAAAUCUUUGGAAGACCUUCGAGAUACGUGCUUGAAUUUAGGUAGCAGCUGCGUGCAACGGUUGAAAAAGGUCUUCAGCUCGGUUGGGGCUAGCUCUGAAGAUAUUACACCUUCGGCUGAAGACAUACCAAACACCUUCGCACAUAUUGAAAAUAAAGUUGAUGCACUUGAUGAAGUGAUAGCCGGUCAUGGUGACUUUUGUGCCUUGCUAGCUUCUCGCGGCACAGCUGCCGCAUUUUUUAAGGCUGGUUGCACACACGCAAAAACGGUAAAUAGAUCAACCUUCAGUCUAUCUCCAACAGAUUUGAUUGAUAUUCCCAGUGAAGCCCGAAGCAUCGGAAACAGAUUUAUAACUCAAAUUUGGGCUAAGGGUGGACGAGAGUUGGCUCGGGACGAAGCCCGAACUUGCUUAAACCGGUACGGAACAUAUACUUGUUGCUUGCCUUGACUCUUGUAAUUACUUUUUACCUUAUACUGUUAUUUGUCUGCAGGAUGGUGGUGCCGAAGGUUGAUAAUCUGAAGCACAUUCUGAAGGCUGCUGAAGCUUCUCUUUAGUCCUGCCUGUAUAGAGCUUAGAAACAUUUGUAUUAUCUUUGCAAAAAGCUGUAAUCGAGAACCAAACAAUACGGUGUAUAUUUGUCCAUACCUUGUAAUAUAUUUUUACCUUUUCAUCUAUGUACAAGUUGCUUUGAUGUGGACGAAACUUGUAUCUUUUGAGCCGAAGGCGAAAAACACCUUCCCUUCUUUUCGUACACAACGAAGCAUGUCCUUGUAUAGAAUGUAUAUGUUUGAAACGAAACUUCGUGUUUAUCAAGCAUUGUUGUCGAAGCUGGAGUAUUUCUGUUCAUGCUUCAUGUUAUGAUGAUGAUGAUCCUACAAAUGUCUAAAUGAAUUUCUGUAUGAAUGCAAUGAAUGAUGUAAUGUAAUGUGCAAAUGAAUGUCCCAUACACACACAAAGCCACACCCAGACUCUGCAUCCCCUUAGGAACGACUUUUGAGUCUUUACGCUCUGCAUCCCCUUAGGAACGACUUUGGAGCUUCUUCACCUUCUAUUUUGGUGGCAUUUAAGCUUUGCAUCCCCUUAGGAAUGACUUUGGAGCUUCUUCACCUUAUAUUUCGGUGGCAUUUAAGCUCUGCAUCCCCUUAGGAACGACUUUGGAGCUUCUUCACCUUAUAUUACGGUGGUAUUUGGCUCUGCAUUCCCUUAGGAAUGACUUCUGAGCUUCAGAACUUACGCUGCGCUCCCUUGGGAACGACUUCUGUAGCUUCGAAACUUACGCUACGCUCCCUUAGGAACGAUUUUUUGCAGCUUCGUCAUCCUUUGUGGUGAUUACAGCUCUAUAUCCCCUUAGGGACAAUUUUUGAGCUUCUCCCUGUUUUCUUUUGCACUCGAUGGUGCAGGCUCUGAUUUUACAUAUUACAUCAUUGGGGGAUUUUGGCCCUUGUAUUACGUAAGGCUAAAUAAGAAUGAAAAUUACAAACUAUGGCCCCAUUAAAAACCUUUCUCUCCUCCUAAAAGUAAAAGGGUGCCAUAGGAAAAAUGAAAAAGAUUUCAUUAAUUACACAUAGUAUCGUCAAAGCUCAUCCGCAUUUCAAGAUCUGGGUAUGUCGUUGCCAUCCAUAUCCUUCAAUCUAUAAGAACCGAGUCUCGACGAAGAUACUACCAAAAAAGGACCUUCCCACUUCAGCUGUAACUUGCCCAUUGUAUCUGGAUUGGCCAUUCUCCGAAGCACCAAAUGACCUGGCUUGAUGUUUUUCAAUCGAACUUUUCUAUCACGCCAUUUUAUUGUUUCAGCCUGAUACUUAUUGAUGUGUUCUAUGGCCUGAAGUAUGGUCCCUUCUAUAGUAUCUUUUGUUAUUUGGUAACUAGCUUUGUCUUCCGCUGAAGCUGUUGUUCUUAUUGAUCCUGUUUUUGCUUCUUCUGGUGUUCUCGCUUCGUCACCAAACACGAGCUUAAAAUGUGUAAAACGUGUUGACCUUGAUACAGUUGUGUUGUGGCUCCACACCACUUUAAUCAGCUCAUCUGGCCACUUUCCUUUGGGCUGGUUGAAGAUUAACUUCAUUAUUCCUGUCAUUAUGAUUCCAUUUGCUCUUUCGACCAAUUCAUUUGAUUGUGGAUGCCUUACUGAUGCAAAAUGAAUUUUUGUACCAAUUCGGUCGCAGAAAUCUUUGAAUGUUUCGGCAUCAAAUUGUGUUCCAUUGUCCAUAGUUAUUGCCUUUGGCACGUCGAAGCGACAAACAAUGUUUUGCCAAAAGAAUUUCUGUACUGUGGCCAAAGUUAUUGUGGCUAAGGGCUUUGCUUCGAUCCACUUAGAGAAAGAUUCCACUGCUACAACGACAUAUUUCAAAUUUCCUUGUGCAGGUGGAAGUGGACCUAACAAAUCCAAACCCCACCUUUGUAGUGGCCAAGUUGGCUGUAUUAACUGGGUUAGAGACGAAGGUUGCUUCUGGUCCUUUGCACAUCUUUGGCAAUUUUCACAUUUUUGAACCAGGUCUGCUACAUCUGAAGUUGCCUUCGGCCAGUAAAAUCCUUGUCUGAAAACCUUCCCCAGCAAGGGCCUAGACCCAAUAUGAGAUCCACAUAAACCUGCAUGUAUUUCCUUCAUCAGAUCUUGACCUUCGGUUCUGGAUAAACACUUAGGUAGUGGAGAGCAGACUCCAUUUUUAUAUAACUCCCCUUCUAUUAUCACUGUUGGGGACUUGUUCUCAAAUGCUAAGAGUUAAGAACAAGGCAACAUAAAAAGUGUUAAAUAUUAAGGUCCUUCGUCCUUCAAGACAUUAUGUCCCUUCGGAUAUAAUGAAUUUCGGACGAAGGUUGUGAAGGAAAAACCUUCGUAAGCACAAUAAAUGAUAAGGAAGAAUUCACACACGAAAUACGAAAAAGAAUAUAAACAUUAUCAUCAACUUAUUUUUAUUUGCAUUACCAUAUCCAGAAUAGUAAAUUAUAAAUGUACCUUUGGUUUAACGGAAAGUAAGGGUAUAGGCGUGAUGCAAAAAGCGAAUGCCAAGUCAACGUGAACAGUACGGGAGUACUGUUCAUCUAUUUAUAGGCAAGGGACGCAACCCAUGUAGAAUUACAUUGAUGCCCUUUACAUUUAUCAAUAACUAUAUAGUAAUUCUUCGAGGUCUAAUUUGCCUUUUCAUCUUUAAGUCGGUUCCCCUUCUCUGCUGUCAUGCCGAAGCUUUUCUGCGCACAGCUUCGUGAUCACCUUAUCCUUCGUCAUAAUCACCUUUCGUCUCGCUCAGGCUUCGUCCUGACCAUGCUCUUGUAUACUCAUGACCCGAUUCCGAAGAUACUUGUUCACAUAUUUCACUUGGAAAACAUUGUCAAAUCAUGUUUUUGAGGACCUUCGGAAGCCGAAGGCCCCCAACAGUAGCCCCUCGCAAUAUUAAUUUGCUAGAAUAAUAAAUUCAGAUUGCGAUAUGGACGAAGGCCUUAAGCCGAAGGUCCGAAAAAACACCUUUCCUUUGCUAGAAUAGCAACAGUCAAUGACAAGUGGGACCCUCCAGUUUUUAACGCACUAGGUGUAUAAAUAAGAGCUCACCACGAGUUCAUUUGGCACACUUUCUUGCCAUCUGCUCUUGCUCACUCGACUUUUAGCUCUUGCGCAACAACACUUGCUUGGCUUUUUAAAUUUUUAAGCUUCGGUUUCGAGAGCACUUUCUCAGCAUUUUCGAAGAUGUCUGAAGAUAAGAAAGCUGUUGCUGAAUCAAAGCUGAGCCUUUCUAAGGAGAUGCAUCUCGGCUUUCUUCAAUCAAUAGCAAAGACAAAUACAGAGAAGAUUACUAGGGAGAUUUUAGAGGGUUUAUCUGAAGACACUAGUGAUAGUGAUAGUUAUGAUGUGGAUAGUGGUGGUGAAGAUUCCGAAGAUCGACCUUGGCGUCCAAGCCAUGCAGUUUUUGGGAAAUCAAGUAUUAAACAAAGCCAUCUUGUCAAUAUGAGGGGUAGAUAUUUUCGGGACUUAUCUAUUGUGAGGGCUGACGAAGGAGAAAAAACUUGUCUGACUCCUAAGGAGAAUGAAGUCGUGAUAUUCCGAAGCUUCUUAAAGGCUGGACUGCGGUUUCCCUUGAUCAGUUUUGUCGUGGAAGUACUGAAGUUAUUUGAAAUCUGCCUUCAUCAAAUUACUCCCAAAGCAAUCAUAAGAAUGGGCAUCUUCGUCUGGGCCGUGAGGAGCCAAGGUUUAGAACCAAAUGCAAAAAGUUUCUGCAACAUACAUGAGCUAUUGUAUGAGACAAAACCUUGGGGUAAAGAGCAGUAUCACAACAAUUUUGGCUGCUACAGCUUCGGUGCCCGUUCUGGAUCAAGCUGUCCCGUGCCAACCUUUCGAAAGAGAUGGCCCGGCGACUGGAUGACGGAAUGGUUUUAUGUGAAGAAUGAUUUGAAAACACGGGAAGAUAUUAAGUAUAUCAUUAUGCGCCCUAUCUGGCAACGCUUCGGCCUCCGGAGGCCGAAGGUGGAAAUGGAUGAAGCAGCCGAAGAAUGCCAGAGAGCCUUCGGCGUGGUUUGCUCUUUUAUUGGGACAAGGGAUUUGAUCCAAGAACACAUUGCCUUCAGAGUAUGGCCACUUGCAGAAAAGUGGGAAAUGCCGAAGGAAACCGUCAGGGAACCUGACGAAGGUGGACUAGUUAGACUAAAAUACACAUUCAAAUACGGAGAUAAGUUUGUCGAGCCAGAUGAUGACUGGCUGAAGAGUAUUGAGGCCAUAAGUGAUGAACUGCUUGGAUCAUAUUCGAAGGCCGAAGACACUGCACUAUCAGCGGCCUUCGGAGGCCAAAAGAAGAAGAGACUCAACCGAGUAUUUGAUGCAAUUGGGUUUGUCUACCCCGACUACCGUUAUCCAACACGGGGUCAAAAAAGAAAGAAUACAUCUUCCGCGAAGGAAAUUGCUUCAGCCGCUCCUAGCGAGCCGGCGCCGAAGAGGAAAAAGAUGAAGGUUCUCACACACCGGCCACGCUAUAUUGAACCGGCCACAGUGCCUGAGUUUGUCGGUGAGACCUCUUCGGCCACCGAAGCCAAGGAGCCGACUCCCCUUGCGAAUGUUGAAGAGUCAGCCAAAGUGCCAGCGACGGAAAAAAUAGAAGAACCGAGGGCUGAAGAAACAAAGUCAUCGGAAAUUCUAAGUCCUUCAGCUAGAAUGGAGGUGCCAAUGCCAAUGCCGAUGACGACCCCCAAGAGGAGAAGAAUGGUUAACGUGCUGGAUGUGUUGGAGACAAUAAAGUCUUCAAGCACAACCCUGAAGAAAAUUGUUAAAACUUCCGAAGUGCAAAUCGAAGCCUCUGGUGCCGAAGCUUCAAAGCACCAAUCUGAGACUGAAGCUGGGCCUUCAGAGCCCACCAAGGUAAAAUCCUUGGAAGCCGAAGAAACAGAAACAUCAGAACAAAUUUUGGCUGAAGAAACUGGCACUGCCGCCCCCGAAGCAUUUUCCGAAGCUUUCGAUUAUAUUUUACGACAUGCUUCGGGGAAAAAGUUGACUGAAAAAGAAAAGCAAGAGGCCCAGUUUUACGCUCAAAAACUAAAAUAUCCAAAGGGGGCGUUGAUAUUCAACGGUAGCGGAGAAGAAGACUUCUUGUAUUGUUUCCCUGACAGCAAGGAGAUUUCUGUCUGUCGGGAGAUGAGCAAGAGCUUCGGAUUCCCAACAUUAGAAGACGGGCUAUCGGUGUUGUCGAAAAACGAGCUGGCCGACAGCUUGGCGUACAAUAGCUUAAAGGUGCAAAAAUGAGAUUUUUGUAUUAUUCGUUGAAACCAAAAAUUUUCGUUUGCUUGAACUUAUUGACGCACACACAUUUUUUGUGCAGGGCCUUAUACUUAGCAAUGCCCUCAGGGCCCAAAAAGAUGCCGAAGACGAAGGGUGUGUUAUGGCCCUGAGCAACCUUCGUUCUGAAGUAACUGAACUAAGGAACGAAGGUCUCGAAAAAGAUAAAAUAUUACAUUCAUUGGUAAAUAGAAUAAAAGAAGACGAAGCUACUUUUAAAGCUCAAGCUGAGGCUCAGAAGCGUGAAAUUGAAGAUCUUCGAAAACAACUAGCCAGAGCUAAAGAGGAACACACACUUGAAGAAACAAAACGAGAAAUCAGUGAACAAUGGGAAUCAUUUGGAAAAAAGCAUUGAAGAGCUUCGUGCAUCUAAGAAAGGAUGCUAUGAAAAAUCUAUAGAAUGUGUUAAGAAAGUAAGAACCAGCUUCGCCAGCGUUGGCGCUUUCUCCAGCGAAGAGAACUACAUAAGGGGUGACCCCGAAGGCCCAAUUGCAUGGAUCAGCCACGAAGCUGAAGCCUUUGAAGAAAUUUUGAAUAGUCGUGGAGACAUAUGUGCCUUUUCGGGUGCCAGGGGGAUUGCUACCAUUUUGGAGAGGAAAGGUUGUGACCAUGUAAAAUUCUUAGAAAAAUCCGAAGCCGCCUUAUCCUCUGAAGAUAUAAAAGACCCUUCGGCCAAAGCGAGCUUGGUCGGUGGAAAAAUUUUCACCGACAUCUGGGACAAUGGUGGUCGGGAAAUGGCCCAGGAAAUUAUACGAAAAAGCGAGAAAGACAUUCAUGACGCUAGAAAAGUAGCAGAGGCCGCUGAAAAAAGUGCGGAUCCCGAAGGGCAAAUAGGUAUUGACUAGUGGUUUUUGGCUCUUUGUUGUAAUUUUUUAUUUCUGACUUGUUUACAUUUUGUAAUAAAGCCGUACUUUCUCCUCCCUCAGAGCCUACCGAGCCAUCGGCGGACCCCCACGCGAAGGGGGACGACGAAAUUAGAAAAAUGGCUGAAGCCAUCAUGGAUAAAGUUGUUGAUCAGCUACUAAACGAAGCUGCAGAAAUAGUUCUAAGGGAAGAUUAGAUGUUAUUGUAAAAAUAUUUAGAAUGUAAUGUUUGUUGAGAAACAUGUGUAAUAUUUUGUAACUUUGAAUGUAAUAUAUUAGCUGUUUAUGGUUCUAUUCUUUACAAUGCAUGAAACUUCAUAUACAUACCGUUUUUGAGCCUUCGGCGAAAAAACACCUUCCCUUCUUUUCAUGCUUCGUAAAUAAUAUCCGUGUUCUCAUAAAAUCAGUAACCAAUCCUCGUAAAAUCAAUAACCAAUAGAUCUUUCCAUUUCAGAGUUUGACGAAGGUAUAACUCUUCAAUAACUAUUUUUGUGCCCUGGCACUAUUUCUUCGAAACAACCUUCGAAUAUCAAUACUGAGACCCCCUUCUUGCGUCGUUGAUGCAAUAUGAUGUAUGAUGUUAUGCUAUGCAAAUGAUGUGAUGAUGUGAUGUUAUGCAAAAUGAUAUUUGCCGAAGAUCGAUGUUUUUUCACUGUAAGCCUCCCUUAGGAGCUUCUUCGCCUUUUACUUUCAGCGGAAUCAGCGUUUAUUUUUCGCUGUAAGCCUCCCUUAGGAGCUUCUUCGCCUUUUACUUUUAGCGGAAUCAGCGUUUAUUUUUCGAUGUAAGCCUCCCUUAGGAGCUUCUUCGCCUUUUACUUUCAGCGGAAUCAACGUUUAUUUUUCGCUGUAAGCUCUGCAUUCCCUUCGGAAUGACUUUUGAGCAGAAAACUUACGCUGCGCUCCCUUAGGAACGACUUUUUGUUAUUUCGAAGAUUCACCGUGUAACCAUAAAUUCUUAUGCUUCGGCGACUUUUGGACUCCGUUAUUCUGUGGAGAAGGUAUACUUGUACUAUAGCAAAGUCGAAGAUAUUACAAGAAAUUGAAAACGACAAAAAACACUUAGUCUCAAUAAUUCUUCCUUAUUAAAAAGAAAAUGAUACUGAAUGCAAAAACUGCUGCCGAGGUAGGAUAUUUGUCAAUAAAUGUGCUUCGAUUCUGGCACAGUACUAUUGACUGUGCGAGCUUCGGACUCUUCUCUGAAGUCUCGUUGGUGUUGAGUAUGCUAACUCCCUUCUGGCUGCUGGCCUCGUUGCAUUGGUGGUGGAGGUGGAAGCUGUUGCCAAGAUGCCUGAGAUUGACUUGCCGAGGCAAUAGAAGCUGCAGGGUGGUUACCCACAUACUCUGUGAUAUAGGGCGAGUGGUACGAAGAAGUAUGCAAGACUUGCUUCGGCUGAGACUGUUGGGCUGCAGCUUCUGCUAUUUCUUUUUGUUUUUGGAUGGUAACAUGGCACAUCCUGGUGGUGUGGCCCUUGUCUUCACCACAGAAUAAGCAAUAGAUUUUCCUUGGCUGAUCCCCAAAUCUUCCUCCGAAGUCCCUGGCACCUCUGCCCCUUGGAGCUGGAGGCCGAGGAUAACUCUGCUGCUGCCCCGAAGCCUGAGAAGCCUGGGAGGAAUAUUGCGGCCUCUGCUGCUGGCUUCCCCUGUCAUCAUUCUGGGUGGAAUGAAUCGAUCUGACAUGUCUAGGAUGAAACCACCCUCCAAAGCCCCUGGCUAUUUCGGAGAAUCUGUAAGCUUCCUCCCUUCUCUGUCGAAAGUCGUUGUCGGAACGGAUGUAUUCAUCCAUCUUCUGAAGCAACUUCUCCAGAGCCUGAGGGGGUUUCCUGGCAAAGUACUGGGCCGAAGGUCCCGGCCGAAGCCCCUUGAUCAUGGCCUCAAUGAAAAUUUCAUUGGGCACAGUUGGCGCUUGUGCCCUCAGACGUAAGAAUCUUCGGACAUACGCCUGAAGAUAUUCCUCAUGAUCUUGGGUGCACUGGAAUAAGGCUUGAGCAGUGACCGGCUUCGUUUGAAAUCCUUGAAAACUGGUGAUCAGCAUAUCCUUCAGCUUCUGCCAUGAUGUGAUUGUUCCUGGCCGAAGGGAGGAGUACCAGGUUUGUGCAACACUCUUGACUGCCAUGAUGAAAGAUUUCGCCAUGACUGCAGUAUUGCCACCAUAUGAAGAUAUUGUUGCUUUGUAACUCAUCAGAAACUGCUUCGGAUCUGAGUGGUCGUCGUACAUGGGGAGUUGGGGUGGCUUGUAGGACGGAGGCCAAGGUGUAGCCUGCAGUUCUGCUGAUAGAGGAGAAGCAUCAUCAAAAGCAAAAUUUCCAUGAUGGAGAUUCUCAUACCAGUCAUCUUCGUUGAAGAAGCCCUCCUGAUGAAGCUCUCUGUGCUGAGGCCUUCGGUUCUGCUCAUCUUGAGUAAGAUGGUGAACUUCUUCAGAGGCCUCGUCUAUCUGCCUUUGCAGGUCAGCUAGCCUAGCCAUCUUUUCCUUCUUCCUCUGCACCUGUUGAUGAAGCAUCUCCAUAUCUCUGAUCUCUUGAUCCAAUUCAUCCUCCUGAGGCGUUGGGCUGGUGGCCUUCCUCUUCUUGCUUCAGGCCUCCCAAAGAGAGAGAGUCUCCUGGUUGGGAUCCAGUGGUUGCAGAGCUGCAGCCCCUGUUGCUGAAGCUUUCUUCGGCGGCAUGACGAAGGUCUAUGCUUGCCGAAGGUGUUCAAAACUCAAAAAGUGGAAGUGAGUUCACCGGAGGUGGGCGCCAAUGUUGGGGACUUGUUCUCAAAUGCUAAGAGUUAAGAACAAGGCGACAUAAAAAGUGUUAAAUAUUAAGGUCCUUCGUCCUUCAAGACAUUAUGUCCCUUCGGAUAUAAUGAAUUCUGGACGAAGGUUGUGAAGGAAAAACCUUCGUAAGCACAAUAAAUGAUAAGGAAGAAUUCACACACGAAAUACGAAAAAGAAUAUAAACAUUAUCAUCAACUUAUUUUUAUUUGCAUUACCAUAUCCAGAAUAGUAAAUUAUAAAUGUACCUUUGGUUUGACGGAGAGUAAGGGUACAUGUGUGAUGCAAAAAGCGAAUGCCAAGUCAGCGUGAACAGUACGGGAGUACUGUUUAUCUAUUUAUAGGCAAGGGAUGCAGCCCAUGUAGAAUUACAUUCAUGCCCUUUACAUUUAUCAAUAACUCUAUAGUAAUUCUUCGAGGUCUAAUUUGCCUUUUCAUCUUUAAGUCGGUUCCCCUUCUCUGCUGCCAUGCCGAAGCUUUUCUGCGCACAACUUCGUGAUCACCUUAUCCUUCGUCAUAAUCACCUUUCGUCUCGCUCAGGCUUCGUCCUGACCAUGCUCUUGUAUACUCAUGACCCGAUUCCGAAGAUACCUGUUCACAUAUUUCACUUGGAAAACAUUGUCAAAUCAUGUUUUUGAGGACCUUCGGAAGCCGAAGGCCCCCAACAAUCAAAUAUGGUCUUGUUCUUGCUUCCAUCCUUUUAUUAUAAACUUUGUCAUCCGAAAGACAGUUUCCUUGGAGGAAAGAUAUAAUCUCAGUCCUCCAAUCUUCACUAUGCACGGGUGAUAUUGCAAGCACUGCUCUCUCCAUAAGUUCGACUGAAGGUGCUUUUAUUGUCUCAAAGAACACUUCCGAAGGCAAAGGGAGCCCCUGUGCUGCUGAUUUAGCUAGCAAAUCUGCAUGCUCAUUUUCCCCCUUGGAUAUUUUUACAGAAAAUCCUUCGAAAGAAGCCUCCAAUCUUCGGACUGCAUCCAAAUAUUUUUCAAACUUCGGAUCCCUUGCCUUGCUGCUUUUGUCCACAUGGCCAGAGAUAACUUGGGAAUUAGUUUUGAGGAUUGCCCUUCUUAUUCCCAUUUCCUUUAGCUUCCGAAGCCCUAACUGAAGAGCUUCAUAUUCGGCAAUAUUAUUUGUACAACUAAAGUCCAGCUUUACUGUGUAGCAUGUCCUGACCUUGGAGGGCACUACUAGAACAGCAGCCGCUCCAGCGCCGAAGGUUCCCCAAGAACCGUCACAGAAUAUUGUCCAGGCUUCGACAUCUUUUGUUGUUUCUUCUCCUUGAGCCCCUAGCGUCCAAUCAGCAAUGAAAUCUGCUAAUGCCUGAGAUUGAAUUGAGGAUCUAUGUACAUAAUCAAUGGUGAAUUCAUUGAGUUCUGUAGCCCAUUUUCCAAUUCUUCCUGUAGCUUCUCUGUUUCUCAUUAUGUCCUUCAGAGGUUGGGAUGAAGGGACUAUUAUACGAUAUGCUUGGAAAUAGUGCUGAAGCUUUCUGGAGGCCAUUAACACAGCAUACAACACCUUCUCCAAUUAUGUGUAAUUUUUCUUUGAUAAAGUAAGUACUUCGGAGACGAAGUAUACCGGUGCUUGUCUUUUUACUUGGCCAUCUUGCUUCUCCUGUACAAGUGCUGCACUGACUGCAGAAUGGGAGGCAGCCACAUACAGGAGCAGCGGAGUUCCUAAUGAAGGUGGAGUUAAAGUUGUCAAGUCUAUCAGGUAUUGCUUCAACUCUUCGAAAGCCUUCUGUUGAGCCGGACCCCAUUGAAAAACUUCGGCUGACUUUAGUAUUUCAAAGAAGGGCAGAUUCCUCUCUGCUGAUCUUGAUAUAAAUCUAUUCAGCGAUGCCAGCCUUCCUGCCAGUCAUUGAGCCCCCUUCUUUGAAUUUGGCGGCUCCAUCCGAAGGAUAGCUUCGAUCUUACUUGGGUUAGCUUCGAUACCCUUUGUUGAGACCAGGCAGCCAAGAAACUUGCCUUCUUUACUCUAAAGACACACUUUUCUGGAUUUAACUUGAGACCAGCUUGCCUGAAAUUGGCAAAUGUCUCAUGCAAAUCGGCAAUGUGAUUUUCUUGUCUCAUGCUUUUUACUAUGAUGUCGUCAGCAUAAGUUAGCACAUUCCUGCCUAUUUGAGAGUGAAGAACCUUGGCUGUCAUUCUGCUGAAGCUUCCUCCAGCAUUUUUGAGCCCCUCAGGCAUCCGAAGGUAACAAUAAGUACCACUGGGAGUUAUGAAGCUUGUUUUUGGCUCAUCUUCUUUCUUCAUCCAAAUUUGGUGAUAGCCCGAGUAGCAGUCCAAUAAGCUCAUGAGUUCCGAAGAAGCUGCUGCAUCUACAAGGGAGUCUAUUCUUGGCAAAAGGAACUCGUCCUUCAGACAUGCCUUGUUGAGAUCUGUGAAAUCAAUACACAUUCUCCAUUUCCCAUUAGCCUUCUUCACCAUAACAGUGUUGGCUAGCCACUCUGGAUAUGUUACUUCUCUAAUGACGCCAGCACUGAGAAGUCUCUUUACUUCAUUCCGAGCACCUUCGGCUUUAUCCUCAGACAUUUUCUGAAGUCUUUGCUUUCUUGGCCUGAAAGAUGGAUCCACAUUGAGUGAAUGCUCAAUGAUGUCUCUGUUAACACCACAGAGAUCGUUAGCUGUCCAAGUGAAGACAUUCUUGUUGUUGAACAAAAAUCUUAGCAGGGUCUUUUCUUGUUCACCAGAUAGCUGAGAUCCCAGCAGUACCCUCUGGUCUGCUAUAUCUUCACACAGGAGCAUAGGCUUCGGUUGGUUUGCCGAAGCAGCCUUCUCUCUUUUGUGUUUAUAUUGCUGACAAGCCUCGGCUCCAUCUAUGUUAUGGAUCGCCUUUGAAUCCGUCCAACUCCCUUCAGCCCUCCUAGCAACUUCUUGACUCCCAUGAACAGCAAUGGGCCCUUGUUCCGAAGGUAUCUUCAUGCAUAAGUACGCUGGAUGGAGUAUGGCUUCGAAGGCAUUAAGCGUCCCUCGACCAACAAUUGCAUUGUAUGGGUAUUCUAUGUCAACGAUGUCAAAGACAACUUGUUCAGACCUUGUGUUGUCGACAUAACCGAAGGUAACUGACAUUAUCAUUUUGCCAAGUGCCACAAUCUGUCUUUCUCCGAAGCCACAAAGAGGGUGUGUUGCAUCAUGUAUCUUGUCCUCUAGCUCUUGCAUCUGUCUAAAGGCCUUGGCGAAGAUGAUGUCCGCUGCACUGCCUGUAUCAACCAGAACAUUGUGGACCAGAAAUCCCUUGAUGACAUAAGAUAUAACCAUAGCAUCAUUGUGAGGAUAGUCUUUAGGCUGAAGGUCUUCCUGGGAGAAGGUAAUUGGGAUAUGAGACCACUUGGAUCUGAUGAAGGGUCCUUGCACCCCAACAUGAUGCACUCUUCUUUGUGCUUCCUUCUUCUGCUUCUUGUUGGCUGGUUCUGAACUUGAACCACCUGUGUUGGGAGCACCAGCUUCGUGACCGAAGGUGAUGCAGCUUAGUUGUUGUACGAAGCCAUUGUCACAGUAAGUGGAAGUGAGUUCACCAGAGGUGGGCGCCAAUGUUGGUCACUUGUUCUCAAAAGCUAUGAAUCAAGAACAAGGCAACACAAAUGUUAAUAGUUAAAGACCUUCGUCCUUCAUAUAAUGAUCUUCGGGCGAAGGUCAUGAAGGUCAUACCUUCUUCAUUGCAAUACAUCAAGAUAUAGACAUGAUCGUAUGAAACAUAGAGAAAGCAUGAAUAAUCAUUUCAGAUCAUUAGAUUAUUCAUAUUAUCAUCAUAUAUCUUCGAACAAACAUCAAUGAUAUUAGAUUACAUUUGUACCUUCGACGCUAUAGAAGGUAAGAAUCCGAGAGUGACGUGCGAGUGAUUACAAGUCAGCGUGAAUAGUACGGGGGUAAUGUUCAUCUAUUUAUAGGCACGGGACGCAGCCCGGACAAAAUUACAUUUAUGUCCUUGAUAACUAAUUAUAACCAUGACACAAAUUAUCAGGGACUAAGCGGUCUUUUCCUCUUUAAGUCAGUGCCGCCCUUCGUCUCAAGCGUGUCAUCAUGUCGAAGCUCCUUCGAUUGUAGCUUCGGUAUAUAUCUUCAUGUUGUGCCUGCUUGCAUAUCAUCUUGUCGAAGGUGUUUUUCCUUAGAGGACCUUUGGCGAAGAAGAAGGCCCCCAACUUAACUGCUAAAAUUAAUGAGCAUGAACUUGAAAAUGAAAAGUUUAAAUUUGCUAGAAGCAUGCUCUAUAAUGGGAGAUGCCCUGGCAUUAAGGAUGGCAUUGGUUUCCAACAGGGGAGCAAUGUCAAGCUUAAUGCCCCUAAAAGAUUGUCUAAUUUUGUAAAGGGCAAGGCUCCCAUGGUUUAGGAUAAUGAAGGCUACAUUUUAUAUCCUACUAAUUAUCCUGAGCACAAAAUUAGGAAGAUUCAUGCUAGAAAACCUCAUAAUGUUUCUCACCAUGCUUUUAUGUAUAAAAAUGAGGCUUCUAGCUCUAGUCAUACCACUCACAUUAAAAUGCCUAAAAAGAAAAUUCCUGUCGCAUCAAAUGAGCAUAACAUUUCUUUUAAAACUUUUGAUGCUACCUAUGUGCUUACUAAUAAAUCAGGCAAAGUAGUUGCCAAAUAUGUUGGGGGCAAACACAAGAGCUCCAAAACUUGUGUUUGGGUACCCAAGGUGCUUGUUUCUAACAUCAAAGGACCCAAGACUGUUUGGAUACCUAAGGACAAGGCCUAAAUUUGUUUUGUAGGUUUAUGCAUCCGGUGGUUCAAGUUGGAUAAUCGAUAGUGGGUGCACAAACCACAUGACAGGGGAGAAAAGGAUGUUCUCCUCUUAUGAGAAAAAUGAAGAUCCCCAACGAGCUAUCACAUUCGGGGUUGGAAAUCAAGGUUUGGUCAAAGGUUUGGGUAAAAUUGCUAUAUCACCUGACCAUUCUAUUUCCAAUGUUUUUCUUGUAGAUUCUUUAGAUUACAAUUUGCUUUCUGUUUCUCAAUUAUGUAAAAUGGGCUACAACUGUCUUUUUACUGAUAUAGGGGUUACUGUCUUUAGAAGAAGUGAUGAUUCAAUAGCCUUUAAGGGAGUGCUAGAGGGUCUGCUAUACUUAGUUGAUUUUAAUCAAGCUGAACUAGACACUUGAUUAAUUGCUAAGACUAACAUGGGUUGACUCUGGCAUCACCGACUAGCUCAUUGUAACACCCCAUUGAACCCACACAAUGAAUGUUACCAACAACCCUUCCCCCAAAACCUAUACCACAUAAGAAAGGUAAUAGAGAUAGAAAAUAAAACAAAAUCUGGCACCACCUCCCUUGAAAGUAGCAUAACGAGAGGGACAUAAAGUUUAGACAUAAUGUAAAAGAAAGACAAUCCACGAAGCAUAACAGAAUGCAGAGAUAGUAAUAAACAUUCAUGACCAAAUAAAAGAGAAGGAAACCGGCCAACCCAAAAAAACAAAUUUGACUAUCAUGAAGACUAGAACAUAUUAAUCCCCUAGAUUUGGACCCCUGUUUAACAUCAUUACUAAGCAGUGGUACAUUUAUUUAAAAGUGAAGUGGCCGUGCUGCUACAUCCCUCCUUUCCCAACGGCAAGAUCAAGUGCCUGCAUCAAACAAUGCAAGAGUGAGAUGACACAUCUCAGCAAGUAAAAGGUCAAACAACAAUUGGACUAUGUAAUCAAACCGUGCUUAAACAACCACGUAGCUCACAACUUCCUUCUUGAGUAUUAAUUUGCAGCAAGUAAACAAGUAACCAAUUACUUAGUUCAAAGAAAUGAAUCACCAAGUAAAGACCCACACUAUCCACAUCACCACAACAGGUUCCACACUUCACCCAUGAAUGCACAUGACUACAUAUGCAGUAAUGACUUCUGCAUUCAUACCUCUAGGGUAUGAUGCUGCAUCAUACCCCUCCUCAGGCAACGUAUGAUGUGGAAUGUACUGGUACGGUCGGACCAUAUGAUCACGACAAAACUUACAUGCAAAACAUGAUGUAUGCAGUAUGCAUGACAACAACAUGAGAUCCUCCACCCACAUGUGGUAGACAUAAACUUCCACUUCCUCAAAAUGAUAAAACAACACGUGUUACAUGCUCAACCACAUUUUCAACAUAAGAAAAUAAAGGAACAUGAAUAACUUCGAGCCACAUUUCCCACUAUGGAGUAUAAGUAUGAAUACAUUUGACAUGAAUGUGAUCAAGCAUAGGACACAUAAAUCAAUCAACGGUAUAAACCACCACUAUUUUACUUGCCUUCACCGGGGAGUUUGGACAAAGCCCUAAGUGCGAUCCGGAAGUCCACCACCUGUUUUUGACACACAACUUAGUGCACCAAUUUCAAAUAAUAAUGCUCAUAAACGACGCCGCACCUACACACAAUUUCAAACCCCGCCGCGGUAAUAAUUCUCCCUACACCCACCAAACUGCAGCGGUGCUGCUUAACAAUUUCAUAUCUUUAAAAUUAUGACAGCAGCGGUAACAAACAAAAACUCCAGAGGCAUCUACAUAAAAUUCCCCACAACUUUUAUAUACAAUUUAUAAUUAAAUCCCAACAUCUAAUUAACCCAAAAUCAUCCACAAGGUACAUCCUGCAAUCUGUUUUUUGGACAGCACAUACCCGGAUUCAAACAGCAAUAUCUCCUAAAUUAUAACUCCGAAUCGAACGCAUAAGUGCUCAUUGGAAAGGUAUGACAAAGCUUUACAUGAUUCUCAUAUUGAUUAACCCUAAUUUCCCACGAAAAGUCCCCAGAAACUGCUAAUACUACUGAUGUUCGCCCACCUGCAGAAAUCCGUUUUUUUUGGACAACAACAUACCCGGAUUCAAACAGCGAUAUCUUCUAAAAUAUAAUUCCGAAUCGAGCGCAUAAGUACUCGUUGGAAAGGUAUGACAAAAACAUGAUUCUCCCACUGAUCCCCACUAAUUGCCCACGAAAAAUUCCCAGAAAUCACUAGAACUACUGUUGUUCGCCCACCCACUAAACUUCUGGACAGCAACUCUACCAAUUCGCAUAUGUAAUAUCUAUUCAAUGGAAUUGCAGCACAAAUAAACAAGAGAUAAUCACAAAAAUCACCUUGAAUUCUCUUUUCCUCCUUCCCACCAAUUCUCCAAUCGGAAGUUGCACCCACACGACGAAGAUCCGGCGAGGAAGAACGACACUUGGAGAAGAGGAGAUGGGAGGGGGGUGGCGGCUAGGGUUGAGGGGGUGGGAGGGGGCGGCUGCACAAGGAAGAGAGAAUUAGGGGGGAGGAAAUGGCGGCCAAGGCUAGGGAGAUGGGGGGCGGCAGCACAAGGGGGAGGGGGUUAGGGGGAGGGCGGCUAGGGUUAAGGGGAGGUUAGUGAGCCGGAUCGAGAUUCACGGCCCAACUCGCUCACACGACAGCUCCCGACCCUAGCGCAUAAGUCUAACCAAAAAUAUCCACUGUCCUACUGGUGAAUGCUUCCCAAAAAUUCCAAACCCCCAAAGCGCAUCACCCGAGAGAAAAAACAAAGAAAGAAUAACCUCCACUUCUCUUCUUUGCAAACCGGGUAUCACACUCUACCUCCCUUAAAAAGAAUUCGACCUCGAAUUCUAACGCUUCUAUCAGCACGACAAAAGAAAAAAUUAAUGAAUCAACAACACUUACCCACAACAAAAAGUUCGGGAUUUUUCUGCCGCAUCAGCUCCUCAAGUUCCCACGUAGCCUCGUGCUCAUACUGAUUAGUCCAUAAGACCUUGACAUACUUAAUUGAUCUCUUCCUCAAAACACGCUCCGAGGAUUCCAAGAUACGCACCGGACGACACUCCAGAGUCAGAUCCUGUUGCACAGCAAUUGGUUCCAUUUCGAUCUGAUGAUCUAGGUCCCGCAAGAACUUCCUCAACAUAGAGACAUGAAAUACUGGGUGUACCCCAGCCAUGGAAUCCGGCAAUUGCAGGCGAUAAGCCAAAUUGCCCACCCGGGCCAAGAUAGUGAACGGUCCAAUGUAUCUCGGGCUAAGCUUUCCGGAGAUACCGAAUCGAACAACUCCUUUAGUAGGUGAUACCCUGAGAAGGACUUGGUCACCCACUGCAAAUUCCAAAUUCCGCCUCCUCACAUUAGCAUAACUCUUCUAACGGCUCUGAGCGGCCAAAAUAUUCUGACGAAUUUCCCGAACCUUCUCAGAAGUUUGCUAAACCCAAUCAGGACCAACCAGGGAUCUCUCUCCUAAAGUCUCCCAGCACAGAGGGGAGAUACACCGCCUACCAUAUAAAGCCUCAAAUGGUGCCAUCUUGAUGCUAGCCUAGUAGCUGUUGUUAUAAGCAAACUCUGCCAAUGCAAGAUGAUCCUCCCAGCUACCCUUCCAUGACAGAACACAAGCACGCAACAUAUCUUCCAAGGUUUGGAUCGUUCACUCUAACUGACCAUCCGUCUGAGGGUGGAAAGCGACACUAAGUGAAAGCUUGAUACCCAAUGCACUGUGAAGACUCUCCUAGAAUUUGGAUACAAAUUUGGAGUCUUGAUCAGAAACAAUGGACAUAGGCACCCCGUGAAGCCUGAUUACUUCCUUCAUAUACAAGGGAACCAAUUCUGAAGUUGAAUUUGUGGUCUUCAUGGGAAUAAAAUGCACAGACUUAGUUAAGCGAUCCACUACCACCCAUAUAGCAUCCCUGCCCCGAGGAGAAUGAGGUAAGCCCACCACAAAAUCCAUGGUGAUAUGCUCCCACUUCCACUCCAGAAUUUCCAAUGGCUUCAGUAAACCUGCAGGCCUCUUAUGCUCGGCCUUCACAUGCUGACAUACUUCACAGGCGACCACAUACUUAGAAACGUCAAUCUUCAACCGCUUCCAUUAGAAGUGUUGCUUCAAAUCCCUAUACAUUUUGGUUUCGCCAGGGUGAACGGUGUAAGGAGUUUUAUGAGCUUCUCUCAAGAUAUCCAUCUUCACCUCCGAUUUCUGAAGCACACAAAGACGGCCCCUGAAAUGAACCAAAUCAUUCUCAUCAAUGGUGAACUCCCGGGGUUUACCAUCACCAACCCUCUUUCGAGCUUCCUGCAAUAGACGAUCCUGCUACUGAGCCGCACGCACUCUCUCCAUGAGGGAGGAUUGAAUAAGCAUCCGAGUCUCCUCACUAGUGGUGCUGACAUAGCACAAAGCGAUCCCCAAACGGUCCAGAUCAGCGAUCAAAGGUGAAAGGGAAUUAGGCUUACACCUAGUCCCUAAUUAAUUUUGGUGGUUGAAUUGCCCAACACAAAUAAAUGGACUAACUAGUUUGCUCUAGUGUAUAAGUUAUACAGGUGCAAAAGGUUCACACUUAGCCAAUAAAAAGACAAAGUAUUGGGUUCAACCAAAGAGCAAAGGGACAACCGAAGGCACCUAUGGUCUGGCGCACCGGACUGUCCGGUGUGCCACCGGACAUGUCUGGUGCACCAGAGAACUCCGACUUCAAACUCGUCACCUUCAGGAAAUUCCAGAGGCGUCUCCGCUAUAAUUCACCGGACUGUCCGGUGUACACCGGACAUGUCCGGUGCUCCAAGGAAGAGCGGCCUCCGGAACUCGCCAGCCUCGGGAAUUCAUCUCAGCUGCUCCGCUAUAAUUCACCGGACUGUCCGGUGCAACAGCGGGGCAAUGGCUAUUUCGGCGCCAACGGCUACCUGCGACGCAUUAAAUGCGCGCGCUGCGCGCGCAGAGGUCAGGCACGCCCAUGCUGGCGCAUCGGACAAUCUACAGUGCAUGUCUGGUGCGCCACCGGACAUCAAGGCGGGCCCAGAAAUCAGAACUCCAACGGUCGGAACCCAACGGCUUUGGUGACGUGGCUGUCGCACCGGACAUGUCCGGUGUGCACCGGACUGUCCGGUGCGCCAUCGUACAGACAGCCUCACCAAACAGCUAGUUUGGUGGUUGGGGCUAUAAAUACCCCCAACCACUCACCAUUCAUGGCAUCCAAGUUUUCCACUUCCCAACUACUUACAAGAGCUCUAGCAUUCAAUUCUAGAUACACCAAAGAGAUCAAAUCCUCUCCAAAUUCCACACAACGCCCUAGUGAUUAGAGAGAGAUAUUUGCUUGUGUUCUUUCGAGCUCUUGCGCUUGGAUUGCUUUCUUCUUUCUUGAUUCUUUCAUUGCGAUCAAACUCACUUGUAAUUGAGGCAAGAGACACCAAACUUGUGGUGGUCCUUGUGGGAACUUUGUGUUCCAAGUGAUUGAGAAGAGAAAGCUCAUUCGGUCCGAGGGACCGUUUGAGAGAGGGUAAGGGUUGAAAGAGACCCGGCCUUUGUGGCCUCCUCAACGGGGAGUAGGUUUGAGAGAACCGAACCUCGGUAAAACAAAUCCGCGUGUCUCACUUCAUUAUUCGCUUGCGAUUUGUUUUGCACCCUCUCUCGUGGACUCUAUUAUAUUUCUAACGCUAACACGGCUUGUAGUUGUGAUUAUUUUUGAGAAUUUCAGUUUCGCCCUAUUCACCCCCCCUCUAGGCGACUUUCAAUUGGUAUCGGAGCCUGGUGCUUCAUUAGAGCCUAACCGCUCGAAGUGAUGUCGGGAGAUCACACCAAGAGGGAGAUGGAGACCGGCGACAAGCCCACUACGAGCCAUGGGAGCACUUCAUCGGAAGAGUCCCGCACCAAGAGGAAGGAGAAGAAGAAGGACUCCUCCAAACGGAAGGAGAAAAGAUCCUCCUCUUCUCACCACAAAGAGAAGAAGGAAAAAUCUUCUUCUCACAAGUCGCAUCGGAAAGGCGACAAGCACAAGAGGAUGAGGAAAGUGGUCUACUACGAGACCGACACUUCAUCAACAUCGACCUCCGACUCCGAUGCGCCGUCCGUAACUUCUAAGCGCCAAGAGCGCAAGAAGUUUAGUAAGAUCCCCUUACACUAUCCUCGUACAUCUAGACCUACUCCAUUACUUUCCGUUCCAUUAGGCAAACCACCAACCUUUGAUGGCGAAGAUUAUGCUAGGUGGAGUGAUUUAAUGAAAUUUCAUCUAACCUCACUCCACAAAAGUAUAUGGAAUGUUGUUGAGUUUGGAGCACAGGUACCAUCCGCAGGGGAUGAAGACUAUGAUACGGACGAAGUGGCCCAAAUCGAGCACUUCAACUCCCAAGCCACAACCAUACUCCUCGCCUCUCUAAGCAAGGAGGAAUACAACAAAGUGCAAGGGUUGAAGAAUGCCAAGGAGAUUUGGGACCUACUCAAGACCACGCACGAGGGUGAUGAACUCACCAAGAUUACCAAGCGAGAAACGAUUGAGGGAAAGCUCGGUCGUUUUCGUCUUCGCCAAGGGGAGGAGCCACAAGAUAUGUACAACCGGCUCAAAACCUUGGUGAACCAAGUGCGCAACCUCGGGAGCAAGAAAUGGGAUGACCACGAGGUGGUAAAGAUUAUUUUGAGAUCACUUAUUUUCCUUAACCCUACUCAAGUUCAAUUAAUUCGUGGUAACCCAAGAUAUACACUAAUGACUCCCGAGGAAGUAAUCGGGAAUUUUGUGAGCUUUGAAUGUAUGAUUAAAGGCUCAAAGAAGAUCAACGAGCUUGACGAACCCUCCACGUCCGAAGCGCAACCGGUGGCAUUUAAGGCGACGGAGGAGAAGAAGGAGGAGUCUACACCGAGUAGACAACCAAUUGACGCCUCCAAGCUCGACAAUGAGGAAAUGGCUUUAAUCAUCAAAAGCUUUCGCCAAAUUCUCAAGCAACGGAAGGGGAAGGAUUACAAAUCCCGUUCCAAGAAAGUUUACUAAAAGUGUGGUAAGCCCGGUCAUUUCAUUGCAAAAUGUCCUAUAUCUAGUGACAGUGACAGGGGCGACGACAAGAAGGGAAAGAGGAGAGAAAAGAAGAGGUACUACAAGAAGAAGGGCGGCGAUGCCCAUGUUUGCCGGGAGUGGGACUCGGACGAGAGCUCCACCGACUCCUCCUCCGACGACGAGGACGCCGCCAACAUCGCCGUCACCAAGGGACUCCUCUUCCCCAACGUCGGCCACAAGUGCCUCAUGGCAAAGGACGGCAAAAGGAAGAAGGUUAAAUCUAAAUCCUCCACUAAAUAUGAAUCCUCUAGUGAUGAUAAUGCUAGUGAUGAGGAAAAUAAUUUGCGUACCCUUUUUGCCGACCUAAACAUGCAACAAAAAGAAAAAUUAAAUGAAUUGAUUAGUGCUAUUCAUGAGAAGGAUGAUCUCUUGGACUCUCAAGAGGACUUCCUUAUUAAGGAAAACAAAAAGCAUGUUAAGGUCAAAAAUGCUUAUGCUCUACAAGUUGAAAAAUGUGAAAAAUUGUCUAGUGAGCUAAGCACCUGCCGUGAGACUAUUGACAACCUUAGAAAUGAAAAUGCUAGAUUAAUUGCUAAGGUUGAUUCUCAUGUUUGUGAUGCUUCAAUUCCCAAUCUUAGAAAUGAUAAUGAUGAUUUGCUUGCUAAGAUUAAGGAAUUGAAUGAUUCUCUUGCUAGCCUUAGAAUAGAAAAUGAAAAUUUGAUUGCUAAGGCUAAGGAUAUUGAUGUUUGCAAUACUACUAUUUCCGACCUUAGAACUAAGAAUGAUAUGUUGCAUGCUAAGGUUGUAGAACUAAAAUCUUGCAAACCCUCUACAUCUAAUGUUGAGCAUGUUUUUAUUUGUACUAGAUGUAGAGAUGUUGAUAUCAAUGCUAUUCAUGAUCACAUGGUAUUAAUUAAACAACAAAAUGAUCAUAUAGCAAAAUUAGAUGCUAAAAUUGCCGAGCAUAAUUUAGAAAAUGAAAAGUUUAAAUUUGCUAGAAGUAUGCUCUAUAAUGGGAGACGCCCUGGCAUCAAGGAUGGCAUUGGCUUCCAAAGGGGAGACAAUGUCAAACUUAAUGCCCCUCCUAAGAACUUGUCUAACUUUGUUAAGGGCAAGGCUCCCAUGCCUCAGGAUAACGAGGGUUACAUUUUGUACCCUGCCGGCUAUCCUGAGAGCAAAAUUAGGAGAACUCAUUCUAGGAAGUCUCACUCUGGCCCUAACUAUGCUUUUAUGUAUAAGGGUGAGACAUCGAGCUCUAGGCAACCAACCCGUGCCAAGUUGCCUAAGAAGAAAACUCCUAAUGCAUCAAAUGAUCAUAACAUUUCAUUUAAGACUUUUGAUGCAUCUUAUGUGCUUACUAACAAAUCCGGCAAUGUAGUUGCCAAGUUUGUUGGGGGCAAACACAAGGGCUCCAAGACUUGUGUUUGGGUACCCAAAGUUCUUGUUUCUAAUGCCUAAGGACCCAAAACCGUUUGGGUACCUAAAGUCAAGAACUAAAAUUGUUUUGUAGGUUUAUGCAUCCGGGGGCUCAAGUUGGAUACUCGACAGCGGGUGCACAAACCACAUGACAGGGGAGAAGAAGAUGUUCUCCUCAUAUGAGAAAAACCAAGAUCCCCAACGAGCUAUCACAUUCGGGGAUGGAAAUCAAGGUUUGGUCAAAGGAUUGGGUAAAAUUGCCAUAUCACCUGACCAUACUAUUUCCAAUGUUUUUCUUGUAGAUUCUUUAGAUUACAAUUUGCUUUCUGUAUCUCAAUUAUGUCAAAUGGGCUACAACUGUCUAUUUACUGAUGUAAGUGUCACUGUCUUUAGAAGAAGUGAUGAUUCAAUAACAUUUAAGGGAGUGUUAGAGGGUCAGCUAUACUUGGUAGAUUUUGAUAGAGCUGAACUCAACACUUGCUUAAUUGCUAAGACUAACUUGGGUUGGCUCUGGCACCGCCGACUAGCCCAUGUUGGGAUGAAGAAUCUUCAUAAGCUUCUAAAGGGAGAACACAUUUUAGGACUAACAAAUGUUCAUUUUUAGAAAGACAGGAUUUGUAGCGCAUGCCAAGCAGGAAAGCAAGUUGGUGCCAAUCAUCCACACAAGAACAUCAUGACGACCGACAGGCCGCUUGAGCUACUCCACAUGGAUCUAUUCGGCCCGAUUGCUUACAUAAGCAUCGGCGGGAGUAAGUAUUGUCUUGUAAUAGUGGAUGAUUAUUCUCGCUUCACUUGGGUGUUCUUUUUGCAGGAAAAAUCCCAUACCCAAGAGACCUUAAAGGGAUUCUUGAGACGAGCUCAAAAUGAGUUCGGCUUAAGGAUCAAGAAAAUUAGAAGCGACAACGGGAUGGAGUUCAAGAACUCACAAAUAGAAGGCUUCCUUGAGGAGGAGGGCAUCAAGCAUGAGUUCUCUUCUCCCUACACCCCACAACAAAAUGGUGUAGUGGAGAGGAAGAAUCGAACUCUAUUGGACAUGGCAAGAACCAUGCUUGAUGAGUACAAGACAUCGGAUCGGUUUUGGGCCGAGGCGGUCAACACCGCCUCCUACGCCAUCAACCGGUUAUAUCUACACCGAAUCCUCAAGAAGACAUCCUAUGAACUCCUAACCGGUAAAAAGCCCAAUAUUUUAUAUUUUAGAGUUUUUGGUAGCAAAUGCUUUAUUCUUGUUAAGAGAAGUAGAAAAUCCAAAUUUGCUCCUAAAACUGUAGAAGGCUUUUUACUAGGAUAUGACUCAAACACAAGGGCAUAUAGAGUCUUUAACAAGUCCUCAGGACUGGUUGAAGUUUCUUGUGACGCUGUGUUUGAUGAAACUAACGGCUCUCAAGUAGAGCAAGUUGAUCUUGAUGAGAUAGGUGAAGAACAGGCUCCGUGCAUCGCGCUAAGGAACAUGUCCAUUGGGGAUGUGUGCCCUAAGGAAUCCGAAGAGCCUCCUAAUGCACAAGAUCAACCAUCCUCCUCCACGCAAGCAUCUCCGCCAACCCAAAAUGAGGACGAGGCUCAAGUUGAUGAAGGAGAAGAUCAAAGAGAUGAGCCUCCUCAAGAUGACGGCAACGAUCAAGGGGGAGAUGCAAAUGAUCAAGACAAGGAGGAUGAACAACCAAGGCCGCCACACCCAAGAGUCCACCAAGCAAUACAACGAGAUCACCCAGUCGACACCAUCCUCGGCGACAUUCAUAAGGGGGUAACUACUCGAUCUCGUGUUGCACAUUUUUGUGAACAUUACUCUUUUGUUUCCUCUAUUGAGCCACACAGGGUAGAGGAAGCACUUCAAGAUUCGGAUUGGGUGAUGGCGAUGCAAGAGGAGCUCAACAACUUCACAAGAAACGAGGUAUGGCAUUUAGUUCCACGUCCUAACCAAAAUGUUGUAGGAACCAAGUGGGUCUUCCGCAACAAGCAAGACGAGCAUGGUGUGGUGACAAGGAACAAAGCUCGACUCGUGGCCAAGGGGUAUUCACAAGUCGAAGGUUUGGAUUUUGGUGAAACCUAUGCACCCGUAGCUAGGCUUGAGUCAAUUCGUAUAUUAUUGGCCUAUGCUACUUACCAUGGCUUCAAGCUCUACCAAAUGGACGUGAAGAGUGCCUUCCUCAAUGUACCAAUCAAGGAGGAGGUCUAUGUUGAGCAACCUUCCGGCUUUGAAGAUAGUGAGUAUCCUAACCAUGUCUAAAGGCUCUCUAAGGCGCUUUAUGGGCUCAAGCAAGCCCCAAGAGCAUGGUAUGAAUGCCUUAGAGAUUUUCUUAUUGCUAAUGGCUUCAAAGUCGGCAAAGCCGAUCCUACCUUAUUCACUAAAACUCUUGACAAUGAUUUGUUUGUAUGCCAAAUUUAUGUUGAUGAUAUCAUAUUUGGGUCUACUAACGAAUCUACAUGUGAAGAAUUUAGUAGGAUCAUGACACAAAAAUUCGAGAUGUCUAUGAUGGGGGAUUUGAAGUAUUUUCUAGGAUUCCAAGUCAAGCAACUCCAAGAGGGCACCUUCAUUAGCCAAACGAAGUAUACUCAAGAAAUUCUAAGCAAGUUUGGAAUGAAGGAUGCCAAGCCCAUCAAGACACCCAUGGGAACCAAUGGACAUCUCGACCUCAACACGGGAGGUAAGUCCGUGGAUCAAAAGGUAUACAGGUCGAUGAUUGGUUCAUUGCUUUAUUUAUGUGCAUCUCGACCGGACAUUAUGCUUUCCGUUUGCAUGUGUGCAAGAUUCCAAGCCGACCCUAAGGAAUCACACCUUACGGCCGUAAAACGAAUCUUGAGAUAUUUGGCUUAUACUCCUAAGUUUGGGCUUUGGUACCCUCGGGGAUCCACAUUUGAUUUGAUUGGUUAUUCGGAUGCCGAUUGGGCGGGGUGUAAGAUUAAUAGAAAGAGCACAUCGGGGACUUGCCAGUUCUUGGGAAGAUCCUUGGUGUCUUGGGCUUCAAAGAAGCAAAAUUCGGUCGCUCUUUCCACCGCCGAAGCCGAGUAUAUUGCCGCAGGCCAUUGUUGCGCACAAUUACUUUGGAUGAGGCAAACCCUGCGGGACUAUGGUUACAAAUUGACCAAAGUUCCUCUUCUAUGUGAUAAUGAGAGUGCAAUCCGCAUGGCGGAUAAUCCCGUUGAGGAUAGCCGCACUAAACACAUAGCCAUUCGGUAUCAUUUUCUUAGGGAUCACCAACAAAAGGGGGAUAUCGAGAUUUCAUACAUUAACACUAAAGAUCAAUUAGCCAAUAUCUUUACCAAGCCUCUUGAUGAACAAACUUUUACCAAACUUAGGCAUGAGCUCAAUAUUCUUGAUUCCAGGAAUUUCUUUUGCUAAUUUGCACACAUAGCACACAAGUAUACCUUUGAUCAUGUCUCUUUUAUAUAUGCUAUGACUAAUGUGUUUUCAAGUGUAUUUCAAACCAAGUCAUAGGUAUAUUGAAAGGGAAUUGGAGUCUUCGGUGAAGACAAAGGCUUCCACUCCACUCUACUACUCACCCUUCGCCGUCACUCCGAGCAUCUCUCCAACUUUGGUAUAAUCUUCACUCAUUUAUUUUAUGACCAAAGGAGGAGAAAGUAUUUCGUUGGGCUCUAAUGAUUCCGUUUUUGGUGCUUCAUGCCAAAGGGGGAGAAAAUAUGAGCCCAAAGCAAAAGGACCGCACCACCACCUAAUUUUAAAAAAUUUAGAGAUUUUCAAUUGGUCAAUUUCAAAUUGGUAUCUUAUUAUGUUCUAAAGGGGGAGGAAGUAGUAUUUCAAAAAUGAUAUAUCAAAACCCUCUUGAACACUAAGAGGAGAAUCUCAUUUAGGGGGAGUUUUGUUUAGUCAAAGGAAAAGCAUUUUAAACAAAGGGAGAAAAUUUCAAUCUUGAAAAUGCUUCGCAAAAAUCUUACUCAUUUACCUUUGACUAUCUUGCAAAAAGUCCUUGAAAAGAAUUUACAAAAGAAUUUGCAAAACAAAACUUGUGGUACAAGUGUGGUCCAAUAUGUUAAAAACAAAGAAACAAUCCAUGCACAUCAUGUAAGUAUUUAUAUUGGCUCAAUUCCAAGCAACCUUUGCACUUACAUUAUGCAAACUAGUUCAAUUAUGCAUUUUUAUAUUUGCUUUGGUUUGUGUUGGCAUCAAUCACCAAAAAGGGGGAGAUUGAAAGGGAAUUAGGCUUACACCUAGUCCCUAAUUAAUUUUGGUGGUUGAAUUGCCCAACACAAAUAAAUGGACUAACUAGUUUGCUCUAGUGUAUAAGUUAUACAGGUGCAAAAGGUUCACACUUAGCCAAUAAAAAGACAAAGUAUUGGGUUCAACCAAAGAGCAGAGGGACAACCGAAGGCACCUCUGGUCUGGCGCACCGGACUGUCUGGUGUGCCACCGGACAUGUCUGGUGCACCAGAGAACUCCGACUUCAAACUCGUCACCUUCGGGAAAUUCCAGAGGCGUCUCCGCUAUAAUUCACCGGACUGUCCGGUGUACACCGGACAUGUCCGAUGCUCCAAGGAAGAGCGGCCUCCGAAACUCGCCAGCCUCGGGAAUUCAUCUCAGCUGCUCCGCUAUAAUUCACCGGACUGUCCGGUGUACACCGGACUGUCCGGUGUAACAGCGGGGCAACGGCUAUUUCGGCGCCAACGGCUACCUGCGACGCAUUAAAUGUGCGCGCUGCGCGCGCAGAGGUUAGGCACGCCCAUGCUGGCGCACCGGACAAUCUACAGUGCAUGUCCGGUGCGCCACCGGACAUCAAGGCGGGCCCAGAAGUCAGAACUCCAACGGUCGGAACCCAACGGCUUUGGUGACGUGGCUGUCGCACCGGACAUGUCCGGUGUGCACCGGACUGUCCGGUGCGCCAUCGUACAGACAGCCUCACCAAACGGCUAGUUUGGUGGUUGGGGCUAUAAAUACCCCCAACCACUCACCAUUCAUGGCAUCCAAGUUUUCCACUUCCCAACUACUUACAAGAGCUCUAGCAUUCAAUUCUAGACACACCAAAGAGAUCAAAUCCUCUCCAAAUUCCACACAACGCCCUAGUGAUUAGAGAGAGAGAUUUGCUUGUGUUCUUUCGAGCUCUUGCGCUUGGAUUGCUUUCUUCUUUCUUGAUUCUUUCAUUGCGAUCAAACUCACUUGUAAUUGAGGCAAGAGACACCAAACUUGUGGUGGUCCUUGUGGGAACUUUGUGUUCCAAGUGAUUGAGAAGAGAAAGCUCAUUCGGUCCGAGGGACCGUUUGAGAGAGGGUAAGGGUUGAAAGAGACCCGGCCUUUGUGGCCUCCUCAACGGGGAGUAGGUUUGAGAGAACCGAACCUCGGUAAAACAAAUCCGCGUGUCUCACUUCAUUAUUCGCUUGCGAUUUGUUUUGCACCCUCUCUCGUGGACUCUAUUAUAUUUCUAACGCUAACCCGGCUUGUAGUUGUGAUUAUUUUUGAGAAUUUCAGUUUCGCCCUAUUCACCCCCCCCUCUAGGUGACUUUCAAAAGUCAAGGCCACUUUUGGAACCCCGGACCUGCUAAGGGCAUCAGCCACCACAUUUUCCUUUCUCGGGUGAUAAUGAAUGGACAAAUCAUAAUCUUUAAUCAAUUCGAGCCACCGACACUGCCUCAAAUUUAGCUCCUUCUGAGUGAAAAUGUACUUGAGACUUUUAUGAUCGGUGUAAAUGUCACAAGAGUCGCCAUAGAGAUAAUGCCUCCACAAUUUUAGAGCUAAGACCAUCGUGGCCAAUUCAAGGUCAUGAGUUGGAUAAUUCCCCUCAUGCUUCCUCAACUGCCUUGAGCCAUAAGCGAUCACUCUGUCUUCCUGCAUCAACACACAACCAAGACCAAUUCGAGAAGCAUCCGUAUAAAUGGUGAAACGCUUACCACUCUCAGGCAAAUCUAGGAUAGGGGCGCUCAACAACUUGUUCUUCAAUGCGUGAUAGCUGACCUCACAAUCGCUGGACCAGACGAAUAGAACACCCUUCUCCAAAAGUCUAGUCAACGGCUUAGCAAUGCUGGAAAAAUUUGGUACAAAGCGUCGAUAAUAUCCAGCGAGCCCCAACAAACUUCGGAUUUUAGAGACACUAGAGGGUCUCUUCCACUCCACCAUAGCCGCGACAUUCUUGGGAUCAACCGCAAUGCCCUGCUGACUAAUCACAUGCCCCAGGAAAGCCACUUCGGACAGCCAAAAGGCGCACUUCUUCAAUUUGCCAUAAAAUUGAUUCUUACUAAGAGCACUCAGAACGAGACGAAGAUGCCGCUCAUGCUCUUCCUCGGUCAUUGAAUAAAUCAGAAUAUCAUCCAGGAACACGACCACAAAGUCGUCCAAGAACUCAUGCAACAUCCUAUUAAUUGCUUCCAUAAAAGCAGCAGGGGCAUUAGUUAAGCCAAAAGACAUGACUAUGAACUCGUAAUGCCCAUACCUGGUGCAAAAGGUCGUCUUCUCAAUGUCCUCCUCACGAAUCCUCAAUUGAUGAUAACCAGAGUUCAAAUCAAUUUUGGAGAACACCUGGGCACCCCUCAACUAUUCAAAGAGAACCUCAAUACGGGGUAGCGGAUAUUUAUUCUUGAUUGUCACUUGAUUCAAAGCCCGAUAAUCCACACAUAACCUCUUGCUUUUAUCCUUCUUCUCAACAAACAGUACUGGGGAAGCCCAAGGCGACCUGCUAGGCCUAAUGAAACCCUUAGCCAGCAGAUCAUCCAAUUGCCGCUUCAAUUCCACCUGCUCCUUUGGAGCCAUCCGAUAUGGGGCCUUACUAAUAGGCUGUGUACCCGGAAUCAGUUUGAUUUCGAAAGCUGCAUCGUGAUCCGGUGGAAGGCCUGGAAGCUCUGCUAGAAAUACGUCGGCAAAGUCACACACCACCCCGAUGUCCUGCACCCACAAGGCAACCUCACCCUCCACCACCAUGGAGAAAAAGAUUCCUGACUUCCUUGACCGGUGAUCCGGAAGCAAUUGCGCCAACAAGGAUAACAUGAACUUUGGGGAACUUCCCAAGAAUACCACCUCCCUACCCGACGGCGCCUGCAAUAACACUGUCUUCCAAAAACAGGAUAUAACUGUGCGAUAUUGAGAUAAUCAAUCCAUACCCAAGAUAACAUUGAAUGCCCCCAUUGAAAUCACAACAAGAUUGGCUGAAAAGACCUCACCAGCAAGAAUGACGGAACACCCCUAACAAACUGAACAGCUACUAAUGGAGCCAUUAGCAGAACUAACCAAAAUUGGGUUACCCAAUAUCUGCACCGAAAGACCAGCCCGUGACACAAAAUCCUCCGAAACAAACGAAUAGCUAGCGCCAGAGUCAAAAAGAGCAUGGGCCACAAAUGAAUCAACUGAGAUCGUACCUGUCACCACGUCUCCUUGCUCCCUGUCAUCCGCCGAGGGUAGCACAUAAGCUCCGGAAAUACCCGCAGAAGAGGAAGCUCCUGGAGUGAAGUUAACAUAAGAACCCCACUGAGCCGUCGGGUGAGGAAGACGCGGAGCUCCAAACUGAGACGACACAGGAGUAGUCGGUGUAGGAGUAGGCACAGCCAGAUACUGAGGAAACCCCUGCAUCGCCACGAACUGAGAAGUCCCAGGCACAUAGAACUGUUGCGGAGGGAGUGGAACUGCAAAUUGCUGCUCAGCGCUUGACAUCAUGUUGAUAGUUCCCUGAGAAGAGGAGGAAGUCACUGGCUCCCAUCUGAGCUUCCCAUUAGGAUUCCUCCUACACACCACAUCCUUGUGGUCUUGACUACAGAUGGAGCACCUGCCACUCCACUGACACUCAGCACGGCGAUGCGCAUCACCACAACAAAAACACACCAGCCCCAGCCCGGGCUUAGGAACAGCCUGAUACCUCUGAGUAGUUCCUCCCGAACUACCCGAUUCAGAAGAUUUGCCAUGGUAGGGGUGGUGGCGCUGGUGCUGAGACUUGCCCCUCUUGUGGGCUGGACCUCUAGUGUUGCCCCUUCUCGCGUCCUGGCCAUGAGGCUGAUCAACACCCGAAGACUUCUAUGACUCCAUGGUGUACUGGUGUUGCAUCUCCACACCCAAUGCGUGCUCCACUGUAGUAUAGAAAUCCACCAACGGAAAGGCUCCCAAGGCAUGCCUGAUAGAAGGUUUUAGGCCCUGACGGAACUGGCACGCCUUCUCCAUCUCAUUGUAAGCCACAUGAGGAACAAGGCGGACCAUCUUGUUGAAGCCCACUUCAUACUCUGUGAUAGACUUCUUCUCUUGCUUGUAGGAUUGCAAAUCAAUCUUCAUUUUCUCUAGGAAGGUGACCGGGUAGAACCUCCUCUCAAACUGCCUGAUGAAAACAUCCCAGGAUAGGACUCCUGGUGAAGAAGAGUGAGCUGCCUGCACGCCCCUCCACUAGAUUUGAGCCUCUCCCUUGAGCAGCUGUAUGCCAAAGCGAACACGAUCACCAUACACAAUCUCAAAGACAUUCAUAUUAUCCUCCACGUAUGUUAGCCAAUCCGCCGCCCCGACCGGAGUACCACUGCCAUCAAAAGUGUCCAACUUCAUGCUCAUCCACUGCAUCAGCGAAAGACCACUGACGGGAAGAGGCACCUCAACCCCGCCAUCUGGAGCAGCACCCGCGGGAACAGCGCCCCCGGGCACUCCUCCACCACCAGCACCCUGAGCAGCACACGCAGGAGCAACAGGAAUAGCUUGCCUCAGAAUGGCCAACUCCUGCUACAUGGCCUGCAUCGCGGCUAACAUUGCCGCCGGACUUAUCGAGUCCCCACUAGGAACUUGUGGGCUGCCCCGAGCCCUACAAGGCGGUAUAGCUGCAGCCACAGGGGUGAGAAUAAUAAGUAAAUAAGAUCGGCAUAGCACCUCAUCAUAUAAUGUCAAACUAGCACAGACAAUAACAUAACAUAUCAAGAGUAAAGCAGGAAACCCAUCCUACAUGUGCAGUGUGUCAAUUUAUUAUUAUUCCACUUGCUAGGACCUAAAGCCUAUUCCUCUGAUACCAACUGUAACACCCCAUUGAACCCACACAAUGAAUGUUACCAACAACCCUUCCCACAAAACUUAUACCACAUAAGAAAGGUAAUAGAGACAGAAAAUAAAACAAAAUCCGGCAGCACCUCCCUUGAAAGUAGCAUAACGAGAGGGACAUAAAGUUUAGACAUAAUGUAAAAGAAAGACAAUCCACAAAGCAUAAACAGAAUGCAGAGAUAGUAAUAAACAUUCAUGACCAAAUAAAAGAGAAGGAAACCGGCCAACCCAAAAAAAACAAAUUUGACUAUCAUGAAGACUAGAACAUAUUAAUCCCGUAGAUUUGGACCCCUGUUUAACAUCAAUACUAAGCAGUGGUACAUUUAUUUAAAAGUGAAGUGGUCGUGCUGCUACAUCCAUCCUUUGCCAACAGCAAGAUUAAGUGCCUGCAUCAAACAAUGCAAGAGUGAGAUGACACAUCUCAGAAAGUAAAAGGUCAAACAACAAUUGGACUAUGUAAUCAAACCGUGCUUAAACAACCACGUAGCUCACAACUUCCUUCUUGAGUAUUAAUUUGCAGCAAGUAAACAAGUAACCAAUUACUUAGUUCAAAGAAAUGAAUCACCAAGUAAAGACCCACACUAUCCACAUCACCACAACAGGUUCCACACUUCACCCAUGAAUGCACAUGACUACAGAUGCAGUAAUGACUUCUGCCUUCAUACCUCUAGGGUAUGAAGCUGCAUCAUACCCCUCCUCGAGCAACGUAUGAUGCGGAGUGUACCGAUACGGUCGGACCAUAUGAUCAUGACAAAACUUCCAUGCAAAAGAUGAUGUAUGCAGUAUGCAUGACAACAACAUGAGAUCCUCCACCCACAUGUGGUAGACAUAAACUUCCACUUUCUCAAAAUGAUAAAACAACACGUGUUACAUGCUCAUCCACAUUUUCAACAUAAGAAAAUAAAGGAACAUGAAUAACUUCGAGCCACAUUUCCCACUAUGGAGUACAAGUAUGAAUACAUUUGACAUGGAUGUGAUCAAGCAUAGGACACAUAAAUCAAUCAACGGUAUAAACCACCACUAUUUUACUUGCCUUCACCGGGGAGUUUGGACAAAGCCCUAAGUGCGAUCCGGAAGUCCACCACCUGUUUUUGACACACAACUUAGUGCACCAAUUUCACAUAACAACACUCAUAAAUGACGCCGCACCUACGCACAAUUUCAAACCCCGCCGCGGUAACAACUCUCCCUACACCCACCAAACUGCAGCGGCGCUGCUUAACAAUUUCAUAUCUUUAAAAUUAUGACAGUAGCAGUAACAAACAAAAACUCCAGAUACAUCUACAUUAAAUUCCCCACAAGUUUUGUAUACAAUUUAUAAUUAAAUUCCAAUAUCUAAUUAACCCAAAAUCAUCCACAAGGUACAUCCUGCAAUCUGUUUUUUUGGACAGCACAUACCCGGAUUUAAACUGCGAUAUCUUCUAAAUUAUAACUCCGAAUCGAACGCAUAAGUACUCGUUGGAAAGGUAUGACGAAGCUUUACAUGAUUCUCGUAUUGAUUAACCCUAAUUUCCCACGAAAAGUCCCCAGAAAGUGCUAAUACUACUGCUGUUCGCCCACCUGCAGAAAUCUGUUUUUUUACAGCAACAUACACGGAUUCAAACAGCGAUAUCUUGUAAAAUAUAAUUCCAAAUCGAGCGUAUAAGUACUCGUUGGAAAGGUAUGACAACGUUCUACAUGAUUCUCCCACUGAUCCCCACUAAUUGCCCACGAAAAAUUCCCAGAAAUCACUAGAACUACUGCUGUUCGCCCACCCACUAAAUUUCUGGACAACACCUCUACCAAUUCGCAUACGUAACAUCUAUUCAAUGGAAUUGCAGCACAAAUAAACAAGAGAUAAUCACAAAAAUCACCUUGAAUUCUCUUUUCCUCCUUCCCACCAAUUCUCCUGUUGGGGACUUGUUCUCAAGUGCUAUGAGUUAAGAACAAGGCAACAUAGAAAAUGUUUAAUCGUUAGAGUCCUUCGUCCUCCGAAGCAUUAUUUCCCUUAGGAUGUAAUGGCUUGCGGACGAAGGUUAUGAAGGACAUACCUUCAUAUAUUCAUUAAACAAUAGCGAAGGAUAAAAUAUAAAGAAUAUAAAAGACAACAUGAACAAUCAUAUAUUAUUAUCGGGCAUAAACAAAAACAUUGUUGAAUUACAAGUGUACCUUCAAUCGGAAGGAGAUGAUAGUACAAGCGUGACGCCAAAAGCGAAUGCUCAGUCAGCGUGAACAGUACGGGGGUACUGUUCACCUAUUUAUAGACACGGGACACAACCCAUACAAAAUUACAUUCAUGCCCUUUACAUUUGAUAAUAAUUCUAUGGUAAUCUAUCAAGGUCUAGAUAGCCUUUUCAUCUUUAAGUCGGUUUCAUUUUCUGCAACCACGCCGAAGCUUUCCUGCUGACAUCUUCGGCGUUGUGCCAGGACCUUCGUAUUAUCCUGGUCUUUUCCUGGCGUGAUAACGACUUGAGCUCGGAGGUACCUGCUCACACAUUAUACUUACAGAAAUACUGUUAAAUCCUGUUUUUGAGGACCUUCGGAUGCCGAAGGUCCCCAACAGUAGCCCCUCGCAAUAUUAAUUUGUUUAAAAUAACGAAUUUAGAUUGCGACGUGAACGAAGGCCUUACGCCGAAGGUCCGAAAAAACACCUUCCCUUUGCUAGAAUAGCAACAUUCACUGACAAGCGGGGUCUUUCAACUUUCAACACACUUGGCGUAUAAAUACGGCCAUACCGCAAACGCAUUCGACACGCUCUCUGGCCAACUGCUCCCGCUCACUCAAUUUUUAGCUCUCGUGUACUACAAUUUGCUAAGCUUUUAGUUUUGAAGCUUCGGCUUUGAAAAUAGUUUUUUAGUGUCUCCGAAGAUGUCCGAGGAUAAGAAAACUGCUGCUGAGACGAAGCUGAGCCUCGACGAAGAGAAAAAUUUGGGGUUUCUUAUAGCGAUGUCAAAGACCAACACGGAAAAAAUCACCAAGGAGAUUCUAGAAGGUUUGUCUGAGGACACUGGCGACAGUGACAGCUACGAUGUGGACAGUGGUGGUGAAGACUCCGAAGAUCGUCCAUGGCGACCAAGCCAUUCAGUUUAUGGUAAAUCAACUAUCAAAGAAAGUCAUCUUGUCAAUAUGAGAGGAAGGUAUUUCCGGGAUUUGUCCAUUGUGAGGGCCGACGAAGGGGAAAAAACUUGCCCACACCCUGAAGAGAAUGAGGUCGUAGUGUACCGAAGCUUUUUGAAAGCUGGACUGCAAUUUCCUUUGAGCAGCUUUGUUGUGGAGGUACUGAAAAUAUUCGAAGUCUAUCUCCACCAACUUACCCCCGAGGCAAUUAUAAGGCUAAAUAUCUUCGUGUGGGCCGUGAGAAGCCAAGGUCUGAAACCUGACGCAAAAAGCUUCUGCAAUAUACAUGAAUUAUCAUAUGAAACAAAACCUUGGGGUAAAGAACAGUAUCACAACAAUUUUGGCUGCUACAGUUUCGUUUCUCGGUCCGGGUCAAGCUGCCCCGUGCCAACCUUUCGGAAGAGAUGGCCUGGAGACUGGAUGACAGAAUGGUUCUAUGUGAAAAAUGAUCUGACAAUACGAGAAGAUAUCAAGGGUAUAAUCAUGCGCCCUAUUUGGCAAAGCUUCGGCCUUCGGAGGCCGAAGGUUGAAAUGAAUGAAUCUGCCGAAGAAUGCCAGAGGGCCUUCGGCGCAGUCUGCUCUUUCAUUGGAACAAGAGACCUAGUUCAAGAGCAUAUUGCCUUCAGGGUAUGGCCACUUGUGGAGAAAUGGAAAAUGCCACAAGAAACCGUAAAAGAAACCGACGAAGGUGGACUUAUUAGGUUGAAGUACACUUUUCAAUUUGGGGAUAAAUUCGUCGAGCCAGAUGACGACUGGUUAAAAAGUAUUGAAAAUUUAAGUGAUGAACUGCUUGGGGCUUAUUCGAAGGCCGAAGACACUGCAAUGUCAGCAGCCUUCGGAGGCCGAAAGAAGAAGAGGCUGAAUCGGGUAUUCGAUGCAAUCGGGUUUGUCUACCCUGACUAUUGCUAUCCCGUUCGAAGGCAGAAGAGAAAAAACACAACCUCUGCAAAAGAAGAAGCUACAACUGCUCCUAGCGAGCCAGAAUCGAAGAGAAAGAAGAUAAAGGUCUUCACACAUCGGCCGCGCUAUAUUGAACCAGCUUCGGUGCCUGAGUUUACUGGAGAAACUCCUUCGGCCACCGAAGCUGAAAAACCAACCGAGCCAACUUUGCUGCCAGAAGUCGCAGAAACGGCCGAAGUGCCAACAAAGGCAAAAUUGGAGCAAUCAAAGAUUUUGUUAUCAGAAACGAAAGAGAAGGCUGAAGCGCCGUCCACAGAAAAAAUGGAAGAGGUAAAGGAAGCAACUGAGGGCUCCAAAACAUCAGAAGUUUUGAGUCCUGCAGCAAACAUUGAGACAGCAAAAAAUCAAAAAGUGCCAGCCGUCACUCCAAAAAGAAAGAGAAUGGCUAAUGUGCUAGAUGUACUGGAAACGAUCAAAUCUUCAAGCACACCUCCGAAGAAGGCUGCUGUCAUUCCUGAUACGACAGCUGAAAUUUCUUAUUCUAAAGCUCCGGGGCAAGAGACUGAAACCGAAGCUGGGCCCUCAGAGCCCGCAAAGAUAAAACCCUUGGAAAGUGAGGCAGAAAAAAUAACAAAGCCAAUUUUUGUUGAAGAAACCGGUGUUAUUGCCCCCGAAGCAUCCCCCAAAAUUCGUGAUUAUAUUAUUCGUCAUGCUUCGGGGAAAAAACUAUCAGAAAAAGAAGAGCAAGAGGCCCAACACUACGCCCAAAAACUGAAAUACCCAAGGGGGGCGUUAAUAUUCAAUGGUAGUGGAGAAGAAGACUUCUUGUAUUGUCUUCCCGACAGCAAGGAAAUUUCUGUCUGUCGGGAGAUGAGCAAGAGCUUCGGAUUUCCAACUUUAGAAGACGGGCUCUCGGUGCUGUCGAAGAACGACCUGGCCGACAGCCUGGCUUAUAAUAGCUUAAAGGUGCGACAAAUGAAAUCCUUGUAUUUUUUGUUGAGUCCAAAGUUUUUCGUUUGUUUAAACCUUUUGACACACUCAUAUUUCUCUUUGCAGGGCCUGAUACUUAGCAAUGCCCUCCGGGCACAGAAAGAUGCUGAAGACGAAGGGUGUUCUAUAGCCCUGAGCAACCUUCGUUCCGAAGUUAUUGAACUGAGGAACGAAGGUCUUGAAAAAGAUAAAAUAUUACACUCAUUGAUAAAUAAAAUAAAGGAAGACGAAGCUGCUUUUAAAAACCAAGCUGAAGCUCAGAAGCGAGAAAUUGAAGACCUUCGGAAACAACUGGCCAGAGCCAAGGAAGAACGCAUACUUGAAGAAACAAAGCGUGAACUCAGCGAUCAAUGGGCAGAUCACCUAGAAGUGACUGUUGAAGAGCUUCGUUCGUCCAAAAAGAGAUGCUACAACAAAUCUAUAGAUUGUGUUAAAAAGUUAAAGGCUAGCUUCGCCAAGGUCGGCGCCUUCUCAAGUGAGGAGAACUUUUCGAGAGGCAAUCCCGAAGGUCCUAUCGAAUGGAUCGACCACGAAGCUGAAGCCUUCGAAGAAAUUUUAACUAGCCGAGGGGAUAUAUGUGCCUUUUCUGGUGCCAGAGGGAUUGCCACCAUCUUAGAGAAGAAGGGCUGCGAACAUGUAAAAAUCUUAGCACAAUCCGAAGCUGCUUUGUCACUUGAAGAUGCAAGAGAUCCCUCGGCCGAAGCUAGCCUAAUUGGUGGGAAAUUUUUUACUGAUAUCUGGGAUAAUGGUGGUCGAGAAAUGGCCGGGGAAAUUAUUCGAAGAAGUGAAAAGGGCAUUCACGAUGCUAGAGAAGUAGCUGAGGCUGCUGAAAAGAGCGCAGAGGCCGAAGGUCAAUUAGGUAUUUAACUAAUAGUUUUUGUCGUGUUGUAAUCUUAGGUUUUAAGAUUUGUUUGCGAUUUGUAAUAGCAAUGUAGCCGUAUUCUGUCUUGCUUCAGAUCCGACUAAAGCGUCUUCGGGCCCUCAGCCGAAGGGAGACGACGAAAUUAAAAAGAUGGCUGAAGAUAUUAUGGACGAAGUCGUCAACCGGCUCCUAAACGAGGCUGCAGAAGUCGUUUUGAGAGAAGAUUAAGUAUUUUUGUAAAAACUUCUGAAAUGUAAUAUAGUGUAACAUUUUGUAACCCCAAAUGUAAUAUACCUAUUUUUGUUACUCAAUUCUUUACGAUGCAUGAAACUUUACACGUACCGCUUUUGAGUCUUUGACGAAAAAACACCUUCCCUUCUUUUCAUGCUUCGUGAAGAAGAAUUUUUCUUUGUCACAACAAUAUCCAAUAUUCUGAUGAACAAUAUCCAGGCUUCGUGAAAAUAUUUUCCGAAGCUAUAUUUCCGAAGAUCAAUGAUGUAUCUUUUUGUGACUAUGAUUUCUCCCUUUCAGAGUGUUCUUCUGUAGAUUAAUAAUGUAUCCACCUCUUGUGCCAUGUGCAAAAUGAUGUAUGAUGCUUAUGCUAUGCGAGAUGAUGUGAUGAUGAUAUGUUAUGUGAGAUGAUGUUUAUUCCGAAGAUACAUACACAUCCCUGCAAUAAAACACAGUCUUUUAUAAGCCUCCCUUAGGAGCUUCUUCGCCUUUUACUUCAGCGGAAUCAGCGUUUAUUUUUCGCUGUAAGCCUCCCUUAGGAGCUUCUUCGCCUUUUACUUUCAGCGAUAUUCGCGUUGACUUUUCGCGCUUCGCCUUUUACUUAGGCGGUAUCAGCGUUGACUUUUCGCUGUAUGCUCUGCAUUCCCUUUGGAACGACUUUGGAGCAGAAAACUUACACUGCGCUCCCUUUGGAACGACUUUUUGUGAUUUCGGCAAACUUACUCUGCGUUCCUUAGAACGACUUUUUGUUGCUUCGAAGAAUUUUCGAUAGUUCGAAGGUCCUUUUUAUUGUCACAAACCUGUGAAGAAAACAUAUUUUUCUUGUAGAAAUCAACGAAACUAAUUACAUGAAACCUAAACAAUGUCCUUUAUUACAGAAAAUAAAACUGAGUGAAAAAGAAUGUUAUUAAAGUAGGAUAUUCGUCAAUAGAUGUGCUUUGACUCUGGCACAGUGCUAUUGACUGUACGAGCUUCGGACUGCUCUCUGAAAUCCCUCUGGUGUGGGGCAUACUGGCUCCCUUCUGGCUGCUGGCCUUGUUGCAACGGAGGUGGAGGCGGAGGCUGUUGCCAGGAAGCUUGAGGCUGGCUCGCCGAAGCAACAGAAACUGCAGGAUGGUUGCCCACAUAUUCUGGGAUGUAGGGCGAAUGAUACGAAGCUGUAUGCAUGACCUGCUUCGGCUGAGCUUGUUGUGCUGCGGCUUCAGCUAUUUCCUUUUGCUUCUGAAUAGUAACAUGGCACAUCCUGGUAGUAUGGCCUUUGUUCUCACCGCAGAAUAAGCAAAAGAUUCUUCUCGGUUGAUCUCCAAAUCUUCCUCCAAAGCCCCUGGCGCCUCUGCCUCUUGGAGCUGGUGGUCGGAAGGAGCUUUGCUGUUGCCCCGAAGCCUGUGAGGAGCAUUGUGGCCUUUGCUGUUGGCUUCCUCUGUCAUCAUUUUGUGUAGAGUUAUGAAUUGAUCUCACGUGCCUCGGGUAGAACCUCCCUCCGAAGCCCCUGGUCAUUUCAGAAAACCUGAAAGCCUCCUCCCUUCUUUGGCGAAAAUCAUUAUCGGCCCGAAUGUACUCAUCCAUCUUCUGGAGAAGCUUCUCCAAAGUUUGAGGAGGCUUCCUGGCAAAGUACUGAGCUGACGGACCUGGCCGAAGCCCCUUGAUCAUGGCCUCGAUGACAAUUUCAUUGGGCACCGUUGGUGCCUGUGCCCUCAAACGCAAGAACCUUCGGACAUACGCCUGAAGGUAUUCUUCAUGAUCCUGAGUGCACUGGAACAGAGCCUGAGCAGUGACCGGCUUCGUCUGAAAUCCUUGAAAGCUAGUUAACAACAAGUCCUUCAGCUUCUGCCAUGAAGUGAUCGUUCCUGGUCGAAGGGAGGAAUACCAGGUUUGAGCAACACUUCUGACAGCCAUAACGAAAGAUUUGGCCAUGACUGAAGCAUUGCCACCAUACGAAGACACCGUUGCUUCGUAGCUCAUCAAAAACUGCUUCGGGUCUGAGUGGCCAUCGAAUACGGGGAGCUGAGGCGGCUUGUAGGACGGAGGCCAAGGUGUAGCCUGCAGCUCAGCGGACAGAGGAGAAGCAUCAUCAAAAACAAAAUUCCCAUGAUGGAAAUUGUCAUACCAGUCAUCUUCGUUGGGAAAACCCUCUUGAUGAAGGUCUUGAUGCUGAGGCCUUCGGUGUUGCUCAUCCUGAGCAAGAUGACGAACUUCUUCAGAGGCUUCGUCUAUCUGCCUCUGCAGUUCAGCUAGUCUGGCCAUCUUUUCUUUCUUCCUCUGUACUUGUUGAUGAAGCAUCUCCAUAUCUCUGAUUUCUUGAUCUAUCUCGUCCUCUGGUGGUGUCGGACUGACAGCCUUCCUUUUCUGGCUUCGGGCCUCCCGCAGGGAGACUGUCUCCUGAUUGUGGUCCAGCGGCUGCAGAGCUGCAGCCCCAGUCGCUGAAGCCUUCUUCGGCGCCAUAACGAAGGUUUACGAUCGCCGAAGGUGCUCAAAAAACUCAGAGUGGAAGUGAGUUCACCGGAGGUGGGCGCCAAUGUUGGGGACUUGUUCUCAAGUGCUAUGAGUUAAGAACAAGGCAACAUAGAAAAUGUUUAAUCGUUAGAGUCCUUCGUCCUCCGAAGCAUUAUUUCCCUUAGGAUGUAAUGGCUUGCGGACGAAGGUUAUGAAGGACAUACCUUCAUAUAUUCAUUAAACAAUAGCGAAGGAUAAAAUAUAAAGAAUAUAAAAGACAACAUGAACAAUCAUAUAUUAUUAUCGGGCAUAAACAAAAACAUUGUUGAAUUACAAGUGUACCUUCAAUCGGAAGGAGAUGACAGUACAAGCGUGACGCCAAAAGCGAAUGCUCAGUCAGCGUGAACAGUACGGGGGUACUGUUCACCUAUUUAUAGACACGGGACACAACCCAUACAAAAUUACAUUCAUGCCCUUUACAUUUGAUAAUAAUUCUAUGGUAAUCUAUCAAGGUCUAGAUAGCCUUUUCAUCUUUAAGUCGGUUUCAUUUUCUGCAACCACGCCGAAGCUUUCCUGCUGACAUCUUCGGCGUUGUGCCAGGACCUUCGUAUUAUCCUGGUCUUUUCCUGGCGUGAUAACGACUUGAGCUCGGAGGUACCUGCUCACACAUUAUACUUACAGAAAUACUGUUAAAUCCUGUUUUUGAGGACCUUCGGAUGCCGAAGGUCCCCAACAUCUCCAAUCGGAACUUGCACCCACACGACGAAGAUCAGGCGAGGAAGAACGACACUUGGAGAAGAGGAGAUGGGGGGGGUGGCGGCUAGGGUUGAGGGGGUGGGAGGGGGCGGCUGCACAAGGGAGAGGGAAUUAGGGGGGGAUGAAAUGGUGGCCAAGGCUAGGGAGAUGGGGGGUGGCUGCACAAGGGGGAGGGGGUUAGGGAGACAGCGGCUAGGGUUAAGGGGAGGUUAGUGGGCCGGAUAGAGAUUCACGGCCCAACUCGCUCACACGACAGCUCCCGACCCCAGCGCAUGAGUCUAACCAAAAAAAUACACUGUCCUACUGGUGAAUGCUUCCCAAAAAUUCCAAACCCCCAAAGCGCAUCACCCGAGAGAAAAAAACAAAGAAAGAAUAACCUCCACUUCUCUUCUUUGCAAACCGUACCUGGUAUCACACCCAUGUUGGGAUGAAGAAUCUUCAUAAGCUUCUAAAGGGAGAGCACAUUUUAGGACUAACAAAUGUUCAUUUUGAGAAAGACAGGGUUUGUAGCGCAUGCCAAGCAGGAAAGCAAGUUGGUGCUCAUCAUCCACAAAAGAACAUCAUGAUGACUGACAGGCCGCUCGAGCUACUCCACAUGGAUUUAUUCGGUCCAGCAGCCUACAUAAGCAUCGUUGGGAGUAAGUAUUGUCUAGUUAUUAUGGAUGAUUAUUCUCGCUUCACUUGGGUAUUCUUUUUGCAGGAAAAAUCACAAACCCAAGAUACAUUAAAGGGAUUCUUGAGACGGGCUCAAAAUGAGUUCGGUUUAAGGAUCAAAAAGAUAAGAAGCGAUAAUGGGACAGAGUUCAAGAAUUCUCAAAUAGAAGGAUUUCUUGAGAAUGAGGGCAUCAAGCAUGAGUUCUCUUCUCCCUACACACCUCACCAAAAUGGUGUAGUGGAGAGGAAAAAUAGAACUCUACUGGACAUGGCGAGGACCAUGCUUGAUGAGUACAAGACACCGGACCAGUUUUGGGCGGAAGCAAUUAACACUGCGUGCUACUCCAUCAACCGACUCUACCUUCACCGAAUCCUCAAGAAGACAUCAUAUGAACUCCUCACCGGUAAAAAGCCCAAUGUUUCAUAUUUUAGAGUCUUUGGAAGCAAAUGUUUUAUUCUCUUUAAAAGAGGUAGAAAAUCUAAAUUUUCUCCUAAGGUUGUAGAAGGUUUUUUACUUGGUUAUGACUCAAACACAAGGGCAUAUAGAGUCUUCAACAAAUCCACUGGAUUGGUUGAGGUUUCUUGUGACAUUAUGUUUGAUGAGACUAAUGGCUCCCAAGUGGAGCAAGUUGAUCUUGAUGAACUAGAUGAUGAAGAGGCUCCGUGCGUCGCACUAAGGAACAUGUCCAUUGGGGAUGUGUGUCCUAAGGAAUUUGAAGAGCCCACACAAGCACGAGAUCAACCAUCAUCUUCCAACCAAGCAUCUCCACCUACCUAAGAAAAGGAUCAGGCUCAAGAUGAUGAAAAUAAAGAUCAAAAGGAUGAGCCACCUUAAGAGGAGGACAAUGAUCAAGGGGGAGAUGAAGAGAAUGAAGACAAGGAAGAUGAUCAAGAAAUUCAGGGUCAAAGACCGCCACACCCAAGAGUCCACCAAGCAAUUCAACGAGAUCACCCCGUCAACUCCAUCCUUGGUGACAUUCAUAAGAGGGUAACCACUAGAUCUCGAGUUGCUCAUUUCUGUGAACAUUACUCUUUUGUUUCCUCUAUUGAGCCAUACAGGGUAGAGGAUGCACUAAGAGAUCCGGAUUGGGUGCUGGCAAUGCAAGAGGAACUCAACAACUUCACGAGGAAUGAGGUAUGGCAUUUAGUUCCACGUCCUACUCAAAAUGUUGUAGGUACCAAGUGGGUAUUCCGCAACAAGCAAGAUGAGCAUGGUGUGGUGACAAGAAACAAAGCCCGACUUAUGGCCAAAGUUUAUUCACAAGUCGAAGGUUUGGAUUUUGAUGAAACUUAUGCACCCGUAGCUAGGCUUGAGUCAAUUCGUAUAUUACUUGCCUAUGCUACUUACCAUUGCUUUAAGCUCUAUCAAAUCGACGUGAAAAGUGCCUUCCUCAAUGGACCUAUCAAGGAAGAGGUCUAUGUUGAGCAACCUCCUGGCUUUGAAGAUAGUGAGUAUCCUAACUAUGUUUACAAACUCUCAAAGGCGCUUUAUGGGCUCAAGCAAGCCCCAAGAGCAUGGUAUGAAUGCCUGAGAUAUUUUCUUAUCACUAAUGGCUUCAAAGUCUGCAAAGCCGAUCCUACACUCUUUACUAAAACUAUUGCAAAAGACUUGUUUGUAUGCCAAAUUUAUGUUGAUGAUAUUAUAUUUGGGUCUACUAACAAGUCAACUUGUGAAGAUUUUAGUAGGAUCAUGAUACAAAACUUCGAGAUGUCUAUGAUAGGGGAGUUGAAGUAUUUCCUUGGAUUUCAAAUCAAGCAACUCCAAGAUGUCACCUUCAUCAGCCAAACAAAGUAUAUUCAAAACAUACUUACGAAGUUUGGGAUGAAGGAUGGCAAACCCAUCAAGACACCCAUGGGAACCAAUGGGCAUCUCGACCUCGACACAGGAGGUAAAUCCAUAGAUCAAAGGGUAUAUCGGUCGAUGAUAUGAUCUUUACUCUACUUAUGUGCAUCUCGACCGGAUAUUAUGCUUUCAGUAUGCAUGUGUGCAAGGUUCCAAGCCAAUCCUAAGGAAGUUCAUCUUAGGGCCGUGAAGAGAAUCAUGAGGUAUUUAGUUUACACUCCUAAGUUUGGGCUUUGGUACCCCAAGGGAUCCACCUUUGAUUUAAUAGGUUAUUCCGAUGCCGAUUGGGUAGGGUGUAAAAUUGAUAGAAAGAGCACAUCAAUGACUUGUCAGAUUAUGGGGAGAUCCCUGGUGUCAUGGGCUUCAAAGAAACAAAACUCCAUAGCUCUUUCCACCGCCGAAGCCGAGUACAUUGCCGCAGGCCAUUGUUAUGCGCAAUUACUUUGGAUGAGGCAAACCCUCAGGGACUAUGGCUACAAAUUGAGCAAAGUCCCUCUCCUAUGUGACAAUGAGAGUGCAAUCCGCAUGGCGGAUAAUCCAAUUGAACACAGCCGCACUAAGCACAUAGACAUUCGGUAUCACUUUCUGAGAGAUCACCAACAAAGGGGGAUAUCAAAAUAGCUUAUGUAAACACCAAGAAUCAAUUAGCCGAUAUCUUUACCAAGCCAUUAUGAUAGGAAACGGGGGUGCCCGAUCUUCCAUCAGGUGAAGGUAACUAUCGAUUUAGUGGAGAUGUCACACAGACGAUCCGGCUUCCAAUCAACACGACUAGAACCCCGCAAUCGCAGCACCACUUCUCCUCUAGUUAUCAACCGUGCACUGCGCAAUUGACCUCGCCACGAGGGCUAAUUCCUGCCUGAGAAUCAAAGACACAAGCAAGAACAAGAAAGAACACAAUCUAGAAUAUUACGGAUGAAUGAUUAAGCUCACAAGUUGGGGUCUCACAAACCGAUCUAUGGCGACUGUUCUUGACAGAUCUAACUUAAGCAAAACCCGAGCCCUAAUGUUGUGGCGGCUACUGAUUAUAUAAGGGUUAGGAGCGUGACUCCCUCCCUGGAUGCGCCCUAAUGGGCCCAACAAAGACACACGGCCCAAAGGCCAAUUACGGUGUCGCAGCACCGAGACAGAUUACAGACGUCGGUUUGGUCCUCCACAUUGAUCCGAACGUCCUUGCUGGCCUUCCACGCCUCCAAGUCCUUCACCAUGUCCUUGCUGGUCCUUUCCUUCAUUCCUAAGUACAAUUAAUUCAUUGGGUAGCACACUAUUCUCAAAUGCACAAGAAUAAGUACAUAGGAACGAGCGCACCUGCAAAUUCAAUUGUCUUGCGCGUGCGCGAGUAAUCGGACCUUGAACAUCAACUAGGAGAGUGUUGUUUGUAUCCAUGGUAGUGAUGUCCUCAUCAUCCUCCCCCUCUUGAAGUGGAGUCAUCCUCGACUUAAGCUCAUCUUCUUCCCCCAAAUACGGUUUCAAAUCUGCAAUGUUAAAUGUAGGACUAACCCGGAACUCGGGAAGCAACUCAAGUUUAUAUGCAUUAUCGUUUAUUUUCUCCAAAAUCUUAUAUGGACCAGCAACACGUGGCAUCAAUUUAGACUUUCUUAACUCUGGAAAUCUAUCUUUUCUCAAGUGCAACCAAACUAAAUCACCCACUUUAAGCUUAACUGGUUUUCUACCUUGACUACCAGCAAUUCUAUAUUUUUCAGUCAUCUUUUCAAUGUUUGCUUUAGUUGAAGCAUGAAGUUUCAAAAUAAAGUCAGCACGCUCCUUAGCAUCACUAUGUACUUGCUCGGUAGUAGGUAGAGGCAAAAGAUAAAUAGGAGCACGAGGGUUAAAACCAUACACUACCUGAAAAGGACUUACCUUGGUGGUGGAGUGUUCCGCCCAAUUAUAUGCAAACUCCACAUGUGGCAAACACUCUUCCCACAUUUUCAAGUUUUUCUUCAAUAUUGCUUGCAGCAUUGCAGACAAUGUUCUAUUCACAACUUCCAUUUGUCCAUCAGUUUGGGGAUGACAAGUAGUAGAAAACAACAAUUUUGUCCCCAAUUUGUUCCAUAGAGUACACCAAAAAUGACUCAAGAAUUUGACAUCAUGAUCUGAAACAAUAGUAGAAGGCAUACCAUGCAAACAAACAAUCUCUUUGAAAAAGAGGUUAGCAAUAUGAAUGGAAUCAUCUGUUUUGUGACAAGGUAUAAAAUGUGCCAUCUUAGAGAAACGAUCAACCACAACAAAAACACUAUUGCUCCCCCUCUUUGUCCUAGGCAAUCCCAAAAUAAAAUCCAUAGAAAUAUCCGCCCACGGAACUGAAGGAAUAGGAAGAGGCAUAUACAAAUCAUGUGGGUUCAAUCGUUACUUAGCUUUUUGACAUGUCGUGCAUCUUGCUACAAAGCGCUCAACAUCACGCCGCAUUCGAGGCCAAAAGAAGUGUGUGGACAUCACAACCUCCGUCUUCUUGGCACCGAAGUGAUCCAUCAAACCACCACCAUGCACUUCCUACAACAACAAAAGACGAACCGAACCAACUGGGAUGCAUAGGCGGUUAGCUCUAAACAAGUAUCCAUCAUUUAGCACAAAUUUAUUCCAUGUAUGGCCCUCUUUAAAAUUUAAUGCAACCUCUUUAAAAUCAUCAUCAAAAGCAUAUUGUCCCUUAAUUGUUUCAAGUCCAAAAAUACGACUGUUGGGCCCAUGCUUCGUUGCGCCGAAGGUCUUGCGUGAAGAAGCAGCUUCGGCUGAAAUCGUCCCCAGGAAAUGGCCGAAGGUUCCUUUUUAUAGAGCUUCGGCGUUGCAAACCGACAUAAAGAUAGAAUGACCUUUUUAUCCAUAGAGGUCUAAGAUAAUGUUGUAAACUUUUGUAAAGGGCAUAAUUGUAAUUCGUCACAGGCUGCGUCCUGUGUCUAUAAAUAGAUGAACAGUACCCCCGUACUGUUCACGCGGACUUGGCAUUUGCUUUUGCGUCACGCUUGUACUUUUUACCUUCUCUCAGGACCGAAGGUACAUUUGUAAUUUGAAAUCAUUUCUAUUUUUCCAUGUUAAUAAAAUAGAAAUGAUUCUAUGAUGAUGCUUAUAUUAUAUUUCAUGCUUUAUAUGAGUCCUUCGUCAUUACUUGUUAUGUUUACGAAGGUAUGUCUCUUAUGACCUUCGUCCGAAACUCAUUAUUUCCCGAAGGGACAUAAUGCUUCGAAGGACGAAGGACUUUAACACUUAACACUUUUUAUGUUGCCUUGUUCUUAACUCUUAGCAUUUGAGAACAAGUCCCCAACAUUGGCGCCCACCUCCGGUGAACUCACUUCCACUUUUCUGAGCUGAUGGCUUCGUUCAACAAUCAAGCUGGAGUUGCUUCGGACCCGAAGCUGGUGCUCCCGAUCACAGGUGGCUCGUCCUCAGAGCCAGCUAACAAGAGGCAGAAGAAGGAAGCGCAGAGAAGAGUACAGCAUGUUGGGGUGCAAGGACCCUUCAUCAAAUCAAGAUGGUCUCACAUUCCUAUUACCUUCUCUCAAGAGGACCUUCAGCUCAAAGAUUACCCACACAACGAUGCCAUGGUUAUCUCUUGUGUUAUCAAAGGAUUUCUGGUUCACAAUGUCUUGGUCGAUACAGGCAGUGCAGCUGACAUCAUAUUUGCUAAAGCCUUCAGACAAAUGCAAGAGCCAGAAGAUAAGAUUCAUGAUGCUACACAUCCUCUUUGUGGCUUCGGAGGAAGACAGAUUGUAGCACUGGGCAAGAUCACCAUGUCAGUAACCUUCGGAUUCAUCAACAACACUAGAACUGAGCAAGUUGUGUUUGACAUUGUUGACAUGGAAUAUCCUUACAAUGCAAUUAUUGGUCGUGGUACUCUUAAUGCCUUCGAAGCAAUCCUUCAUCCUGCCUAUCUUUGCAUGAAGAUACCUUCGGACCAAGGGCCUAUUGCUAUCCAUGGAAGCCAGGAAGCUGCUAGAAGGGCCGAAGGAAGCUGGACCGACUCCAAGGCAAUCCAUAAUAUAGAUGGAACUGAAGCUUGUGAACAGUACAAAUUCAGAAGGGAGAAGGCAGCUUCAGCAGAUCAGCCGAAGCCCAUGCUAUUGUGUGAGGACAUAGCAGAGCAGAAGGUGCUGUUGGGCUCGCAAUUAUCUGAAGACCAGGAGAAAACCUUGAUAAGGUUUUUAUUCAACAACAAAGAUGUUUUUGCAUGGUCGGCUAAUGAUCUCUGUGGAGUAAAUCGGGAUGUUAUUGAACAUUCGCUCAAUGUUGACCCAUCCUUCAGACCCCGAAAGCAGAGGCUUCGGAAAAUGUCUGAUGACAAGGCCGAAGGGGCUCGCAAUGAAGUAAAAAGACUCCUCAGUGCAGGAGUUAUCAGAGAAGUGAAGUAUCCAGAGUGGCUAGCUAACACUGUUAUGGUGAAGAAGGCCAAUGGCAAGUGGAGAAUGUGUAUCGAUUUCACAGAUCUCAACAAGGCUUGUCCGAAGGACGAAUUCCCGUUGCCAAGGAUAGACUCUCUAGUCGAUGCAGCAGCUUCUUCAGAGCUCAUGAGUCUCUUGGACUAUUACUCAGGAUAUCAUCAAAUCUGGAUGAAAAAGGAAGAUGAGCCGAAAACUAGCUUCAUAACUCCAAGUGGCACGUAUUGCUAUCUUCGGAUGCCUGAGGGGCUCAAAAACGCUGGAGGAAGUUUCAGCAGAAUGACUGCGAAGGUUCUUCAGUCUCAAAUAGGCAGAAAUGUGUUGACCUAUGUUGAUGACAUUAUCGUCAAAAGCACGAAGCAGGAAAAUCAUAUUGUUGAUCUGCAGGAGACCUUCGCCAGCUUCAGACAAGCUGGUUUGAAGCUGAAUCCAGAGAAAUGUGUCUUCGGAGUAAAGAAGGGUAAAUUUCUUGGAUGCUUGGUUUCAACAAAGGGAAUCGAAGCUAAUCCAAAUAAAAUCGAAGCUAUACUUCGAAUGGAGCCACCAACUACAAGAAAAGGGGCCCAAAGAUUGACAGGAAGGCUGGCAUCUCUCAACAGAUUUAUAUCCAGAUCAGCAGAAAGAAACUUACCAUUUUUCGAGGUGCUGAAGUCAGCCGAAGUCUUUCAAUGGGGCCCAAGUCAACAAAAAGCCUUCGAAGAGUUGAAGCAAUACUUGAUAGAUCUCACAACAUUAACUCCGCCAACGCCAGGGGCUCCUCUGUUGUUAUAUGUGGCAGCUUCGCACUCAGCAGUAAGUGCGGCGCUUGUCCAGGAGAAGCUUUAUGGCCAGCUCAAGAAGCAAGUUCCAGUGUAUUUUGUAUCUGAGGUCCUUAGUGUCUCAAAGAAAAAUUAUACAGAGCUGGAGAAGGUAUUAUAUGCCGUUUUAAUGGCAUCCAGGAAGCUUCGGCAUUAUUUUCAGGCAUACAAUAUCAUUGUUCCUUCUUCGCAGCCGUUGAAGGAUAUAAUGAGAAAUAGAGAAGCUACUGGACGGAUUGGGAAAUGGGCUACAGAGCUCAACGAAUUUUACAUUGAUUAUGUGCAUAGAUCUUCGAUCCAGUCUCAAGCAUUGGCAGAUUUCAUUGCCGACUGGACGCCAGGGGCUCAGGAUGAAGAAGCAAAUAAAGAUGCCGAAGUGUGGACAGUGUUUUGUGAUGGCUCUUGGGGAAUCUUCGGAGCAGGUGCAGCUGCUGUGUUGGUUUCACCAUCCAAGGUCAAAACUUGUUAUGCAGCAAGACUUGAUUUCAGCUGCACGAACAAUAUUGCUGAGUACGAAGCCCUGCUUCUGGGCCUUCGGAAAUUAAAGGCAAUGGGAAUCAGAAGGGCAAUUCUUAAAACUGAUUCCCAGGUGGUUUCGGGUCAUGUUGACAAAAGUUGCAAGGCUAAAGAUCCGAAGCUUGAAAAAUAUCUAGAUACGGUCCGAAGGACCGAAGCAUCCUUCGAAGGAUUCUCUGUCAAGAAUAUUCCUCGAGGACAAAAUGAGCAUGCUGAUUUGCUAGCUAAGUCUGCGGCACAGGGGCUGUCGUUACCUUCGGAUGUGUUCUUCGAAACAAUAAAGGCACCUUCAGUGGAGCUCCUUGAAAGAGCAGUCCUCAACAUAUCUCCUGUUUACAGCGAAGAUUGGAGAACUGAAAUAAUCUCUUACCUUCAGGGUAAGUUCCUUUCAGAUGACGAAGCUUACAAUAAAAGAAUAGAGGCAAGAGCUCGUCCGUAUGUCAUGAUAGAAGGGGAAUUAUACAAACAUGGAGUUUGCGCUCCGCUGCUCAAGUGCUUAUCUAGAGCCGAAGGUAUAGAGUUGAUGAAAGAGAUACAUGCAGGCCUGUGUGGAUCCCACAUCGGAUCCAGGCCAUUACUUGGGAAAGUCUUCCGCCAAGGGUUUUAUUGGCCGAAGGCAGCUUCGGAUGCGGCGGAGUUAGUGCAAAAGUGCGAAGGUUGUCAGAAAUGUGCAAGAGAUCAAAAACAACCUUCGUCUUUGACACAGCUGAUACAACCCAUCUGGCCAUUGCAAAGGUGGGGCCUUGACUUGUUGGGUCCAUUACCACCGGCUCAAGGGAAUCUAAAAUAUGUUAUAGUGGCUGUGGAGUAUUUUUCCAAGUGGAUUGAGGCGAAGCCAUUGGCCACAAUAACUUCGGCCACUGUCCAAAAGUUUUUCUGGCAGAAUAUUGUCUGUCGCUUCGGGGUACCGAAGGCAAUCACUGUAGAUAAUGGAACGCAGUUUGACUCCGAAGCUUUCAGAAAUUUCUGUGAUCAAAUUGGAACGAAGAUCCAUUUUGCAUCAGUCAGGCAUCCGGAGUCAAAUGGGCUCGUUGAAAGGGCCAACGGCAUUAUAAUGACAGGAAUAAUGAAGUUAAUCUUCAAUCAACCCAGGGGAAAGUGGCCAGAUCAGUUAAUCAAAGUGGUGUGGAGCCACAAUACAACAACAUCAAGGUCUACAGGCUUUACCCCAUUCAAAUUAUUAUUCGGUGACGAAGCAAUAACUCCGGAGGAAGCAAAAGCUGGAUCAAUAAGAGUAGUAGCUUCGGCAGAAUCAGGUCCCGAAGAUGCUUGCCUUGUGGAAAAGGAUGCUUUAGAAGGGAUCAGGCUUCAGGCCGUGGAGAAUAUCAAUAAAUAUCAGGCUGAAACAGUUAAAUGGCGAGAUAGAAAAGUCCGGCUAAAAAAUAUUGAGCCGGGACACUUGGUGCUUCGGAGAGUGGCUAACCCAGAUACAGUGGGUAAGCUACAGUUGAAAUGGGAAGGACCAUUCUUAGUAGUAUCUUCGUCAAGGCCUGGAUCGUACAGAUUGAAGGACAUGGAUGGCAACGAAAUUCCAAGGUCUUGGAAUGCGGAUGAGCUUCGGCGAUACUAUGUAUAACAUGAUGUAAUUUUUUAUGUUUUUUCUUUUCUUUUUCAUGGCACCCUUUUCCUUUCCGAAGGGGGAGAAAGGUUUUUAAUGGGGCCAUCAUGUGUAAUUUCCUUUUUUAGUCUUAUAAGAGCAAAAUCCCCCAAAAAAUGUAAAUGUAACAGCUGAGAACGCACCAUCGAGUGCAGAAACUGAAAAAGAAAAAAGAGAAGAAGCUCCAAAGACGUUCCUAAGGGAAUGCAGAGCUUAUACCGCCUAAGUAAAAGGCGAAGAAACUCCAAAGACGUUCCUAAGGGAAUGCAGAGUUUAUACCGUCUAAGUAAAAGACGAAGAAGCUCCAAAGACGUUCCUAAGGGAAUGCAGAGCUUAUACCGCCUAAGUAAAAGGCGAAGAAACUCCAAAGACGUUCCUAAGGGAAUGCAGAGUUUAUACCGUCUAAGUAAAAGACGAAGAAGCUCCAAAGACGUUCCUAAGGGAAUGCAGAGCUUAUACCGCCUAAGUAAAAGGCGAAGAAACUCCAAAGACGUUCCUAAGGGAAUGCAGAGUUUAUACCGUCUAAGUAAAAGACGAGGAAGCUCCAAAGUCGUUCCUAAGGGAAUGCAGAGCUGAUGUGUGGUUGAUUCCAAGGAAAUAAUGGUUGAGUGUGGCUUCGGUUAUAUGCUUUGGACAUUCAUUCGCACAUUACAUCAUAGCAUUUGCAUUCAUAAGCAUUCAUUCAUAGCAUUUGUGUUCCUAAGUGGUUGCUUCGGCAAAAGGAAGAAGUGGUCUUUUAUGUUCCGUUAUGUACAAAAAAGAAAAAGCUUCGGCAAGAGGAAGAAGCGGUCUUUUAUGUUUCGUCAUGUACAAAAAAGAAAAGCUUUGGCAAAAAGAAGAAAUGGUCUUUUAUGCUUCGUUGUGUACGAAAAGAAGGGAAGGUGUUUUUUCGCCUUCGGCUCAAAAUACUGAUUUCGUCCACAUCAAAGCGUCUCAAUAAAAGGGUAAGAAUAUAUUACAAGGUAUGAACAAAGUUCCUUGAGAAUAGAUUAAUUGUAUUUACAAAAAGUUGUUACAAAUUCUCCUGAGUUUUUUCUAGUCUACUCCUAUUAAUCUUCGUCAGGUUUCUGCUUCGGCGGCAUAUCCUUUAAGUAUCACCUUCAGCUUCGUCAUCCUACAUGAAUCAAGGUAUCCCGAGUAAAAAUCAAGUGUGAAGGAGAAGGUAAGUACAAAGUAUGAUUUCUUACUGGUUCAAGAUGACUUCGAGCUUCGUCCCCAGCCUUCUCUCGCCCGCCUUUUGUCCAUAUCAUUUUUAUGAAUCUAUUUGAGAUGCUCCGGGCGAGGUCAGGAAUGUCGUCGAGAAUUGAUGGAGACAGGGCGAAGUUGGGCCUGUUGACAAUCUUUCCAUGCUCGCAGCCAGCCUUCAGGAAUGCUGCAGCAGUACCCCGAGAAGCUACCCAGGCACAGAAGUCACCGUGCCCAGCUAUAACUUCGUCAAGUUCUUCAAUUUCAGCUUCGAUAUGAUCGAAGGCUUUUGGUAAAUCUUCAUCCGAAGGGGUAAAUUUCCCGCUGCUGGCUCCAACUGAGUAAAAGAUCUUCUUUAGUUGUUGGAUACAAUUGUUGCUAAAAUUCAAGCAUUUAUCCUGAAGGCUUGUUAAUGAUUUCUUCAAAUUUGAGUUGGCUUGGACUUCGGCUUCAAGUUUAGAAUUAAGCUCUAGCUUUUCUUGUUCAAACUGUUUUGAUUGACCGAUAAGCUUCGAAUUCAAUUCUGAUAUUUUAGCUUCGGUCUCUGCCAGCAAGCCUUCGGUUGAUUGAAGUUCGAAGUCUUUCUUUUCAAUGAUGACUGAUUGUUCUUUUAUUUUGCUCUCCAAAUUUCCAAUUAUAGCUUCGUGUUUUUUGUCCUCUAAAUCCUGCUGCAUCUUCAGAGCUUUGCUCAGUAGCAUGCUCUGCACAAAAACAGUUUUCGUUAGUAACAUUUUCAUUAUCCAAAGCAAUAAGGAACAGAGAAAAGAUUGUUUACCUUGAAAUUGGAAUAAAAUAAGCUGCCGACGAUAUGCUGUCGUCGGUAGCGGCUGAUAUCUAUCUCUAGCUUCGGAAAACCGAUACUCUUUGACAGAGUACCGAUGACCUUAGCUCCGGUUUGGUCUCGAAUGCAGCCUAAUUUUUCAUCGUCCACACCUCCGAAUAGAAGAGCUCCUGGCCUGUAUCCGCAAGAUUUGGCAUAGUCUUUUAGCUCUUCUAUUUCGUCCUCCGAAAGUUUUUGCCCAAUUAAAUUUUGAAAUGUGUAGGCUUCGUCGUCCGAAGCGACUUCGGCUAUUUCUUUCCCCUUCUCAGGCACUGCGGCCAUGACUUUUUUAGCAGCAGCGGCAGCUUCUUCUGCAGCCAUGUCUUCUAAAAUUUUGUCGAUAUUCUCAAUGGUAGUCUCUAAGUUCACAUCUUCGGCUGUAGCGGCUUCGGUAGCCGCGACCUCCGAAGGUGCGACUUCGACGUUUGUUGUGUCUUCAGCAGCUGCUGUUUUCUGAAUUGAUGCUCUCGGUGGCGUCUUGUCAAUAACUUCUGUUACGGCAAUAAUUCUUUGCCUUUUUGCUUUGGUUAUCUUCGUUUUUUCCGGCUCCGCCACCUUUUGAAAAAGCUUCGUCAGUCGAGGCCCUAAUGGACUUAGCUUCGUGGGCAUGGGUUCAGUCAUUACCUUUAGAAUUUCCUCCACGUCGCUGGUAGAAGGUGGUGUGGGGGUCCCCUCUCCUUCGGAUAGUUUUCGCUUUGGAGUUGAUAUUUUUCUCUUGACAAUUUUCUUCUUUUUUGGUGGUUGUUCUUCAUCCUUGUUUAAAGCUUCGGCCUCUCUUUUUCUUCUCUGGCCCUCAGCAUCCUUGUUCAGCUGCGCAUAGUCAGGAUAUUCGAAGCCCAGUGCAUCAAGCACUCGGUUCAGCCUUCGCUUCGGACGGGUACCGAAGGCUGCUGUCAUCAGUUGAUCUUCUUUUUUCGAAUAAUUUCCAAGAAUUUCAUUACACAUCACCUCAACUGUAUCCAGCCACUCUUGGCAGGGCUUCUUAAAUAUUUCUUGAAUUUGAAGUGGUAAGGAAGCCGGACAAGAUCCCUUCCUUCUUCUCCCCUUUAACUUUGGCAUUUCCCAUUUUUUCAGAGUAGGGAAAACUUUGAAUGCUAAGAAUUCUUGAACCAGAUCCCUGGUACCAAUAUGCUCUGCAAUGAUUCUGAAUUCAUCCAUUGCCCGUUGAGUUUGACCCUCUGGUGUCAUGUUGCAGUGGGGUCGGGUUUCUCCGAAAGUUAGCUCGACUGGACUUUGCACAAGCUUCUCCUUGUCCUCAUCAACCUUGACAUAGAACCAUUCUGAUUUCCAGCCUGCCGGCCAUUUGCUUCGGUAGCUAAUUACAGGAAACUUUGCGGUUUUCCGGUAGGCAAAUUGUAGCAACCGAAGUUUUCAUGAAGCCAUCUUUUCUGGCCUUUGUUUGAUAAUGCAAUUCAUGAACUCGACAGAAACUGUCAGCAAAAGGCUCCACUGCUUGGCUUCGGAGGGCCCAAAUAUAAACGCUAAGCCUAACGAUAGCGUUAGGAGUUAACUGAUGAAGGUAGAUGCCAAACCUCUUCAAUAUCUCCGCAACAAUCUCGUGAACAGGGAAUCUUAGCCCAGCCUUUAAAAAGCUUUUGAAGAUGACAACCUCGUCCUUCUCUGGCUUCGGGGUGGUCUCUUCUCCCCCGAAGCGAAGUAGCUUCUUCUGAUCUUCACUGAAAAAACCUGCUUUCACCAUCUUGGCAAGAUCAACCUUUGAAACAGUCGAUUUUCCGAAGUCUAGGUGGCUGGGUUUGCUGGGCAUGGCAAUACGGUAGUCAUCUUCGGAGUCGGUUUCUUCAAUGUUCCCUUCUCCUUCGGCAGCUGUCGGGUUUGCUCCGGCAGCAGCCAUUUCUUCCGUAGUCACCAGUCCGGAGCGCUGCAUCGCUUCGGAGAUGGGCACAGUCUCCGAAGCUUCAGUUUCGUCCCCCUCACGCUCAACCCUAGCUGUAGAGCGAACUCUGGCCAUUUAAUUAUGAACUUGUGAAACUUUAAUACUUUUUUCUCCGAAGCAGGCUUCAAGAUGGAGCUUCGUUCAAACCUGACAAACAAGCUUCGGUGAUGGUUAAAAAUUUUGGCAGCAAAACAGUGCAAAUAGCAGUAAAUGCUGUGGUAACUUCACACCUACUCGUCUGUUUAUAUAGUGCUGCAGGUAAGAAGGCGAAGCGGCAGGGUUUUUACACCAGGCGGGCAGUAACUUGUACUCGCUGCGCAGUGGACCGCAAAGACCAAACAGUGACUCUGCAAGGUGGGACCGACACGAUCUCGGGAAAUGAAUUGUUUCUCGUCAACGAGCUCAGGGAAGGUGUUUUUUGGACCUUCGGCUUCCCGAAGCUUGAGAGGAUUUUUUCACGGUUCAAGCUCGUUACGAAAAACGAUCUAGCACCGCGAAAGGGGCUACUGUUGGGCCCAUGCUUCGUUGCGCCGAAGGUCUUGCGUGAAGAAGCAGCUUCGGCUGAAAUCGUCCCCAGGAAAUGGCCGAAGGUUCCUUUUUAUAGAGCUUCGGCGUUGCAAACCGACAUAAAGAUAGAAUGACCUUUUUAUCCAUAGAGGUCUAAGAUAAUGUUGUAAACUUUUGUAAAGGGCAUAAUUGUAAUUCGUCACAGGCUGCGUCCUGUGUCUAUAAAUAGAUGAACAGUACCCCCGUACUGUUCACGCGGACUUGGCAUUUGCUUUUGCGUCACGCUUGUACUUUUUACCUUCUCUCAGGACCGAAGGUACAUUUGUAAUUUGAAAUCAUUUCUAUUUUUCCAUGUUAAUAAAAUAGAAAUGAUUCUAUGAUGAUGCUUAUAUUAUAUUUCAUGCUUUAUAUGAGUCCUUCGUCAUUACUUGUUAUGUUUACGAAGGUAUGUCUCUUAUGACCUUCGUCCGAAACUCAUUAUUUCCCGAAGGGACAUAAUGCUUCGAAGGACGAAGGACUUUAACACUUAACACUUUUUAUGUUGCCUUGUUCUUAACUCUUAGCAUUUGAGAACAAGUCCCCAACAACGACAAUCAAGUUGAGACAACAUAGCAUAGCGUCUAGACAAAGCAUCAGCAAUCACAUUAUCAUUCCCCUUUUUAUAUUUAAUGAUGUAAGGAAAAGUUUCAAGAAAUUCAACCCACUUAGCAUGUCUACGGUUCAGAUUUGUUUGACUACGAAGAUGCUUAAGUGACUCAUGAUCAGAAUGAAUAACAAAUUCCUUAGACCACAAAUAAUGUUUCCAUGUUUGCAAAGAUCGUAUGAGAGCAUAUAAUUCUUUAUCAUAAGUGGAAUAAUUAAGAACAGGGCCAUUCAAUUUCUCACUAAAAUAUGCAACGGGUUUACCUCCUUGCAUCAAAACAGCAACAAUGCCAACUCCACUUGCAUCACAUUCGAGUUCAAAAGUCUUACUGAAGUCAGGAAGUUGGAGUAGUGGCGCGUGAGUAAGCUUCUCUUUUAAAAGAGCAAAAGAAUCCUCUUGUGACUAUCCCCAAUUAAAUGAAACACCCUUCUUGGUCAACUCAUGUAAUGGGGCAGCGAUGGUGCUGAAAUCCUUCACGGAACGACGAUAAAAUCCUACAAGUCCAAGAAAGCUGCGCACUUGUGUCACCGUCGAUUGCAUUGGCCAACUCUGAAUAGCAUGCACCUUGGCCUCAUCAACCUCAAUACCCUAUGGAGUGACAACAUAGCCAAGAAACGAUACGCGUUCGGUGCAAAAGGUGCAUUUCUCAAGGUUAGCAAAUAAGAGCGCGACGCGCAAAGCAUCAAAAACAGCACAUAGAUGGUCAAGAUGUUCAGAUAAACAAGUGUUGUAGAUCAAGAUAUCAUCAAAAUAAACCACCACAAAUUUUCCAAUAAAUGGGCGCAAAACCUCGUUCAUCAAACGCAUAAAAGUACUAGGGGCAUUAGUUAAUCCAAAAGGCAUCACUAACCACUCAUACAAGUCGAACUUGGUUUUAAAAGUAGUUUUCCAUUCAUCGCCUAAUUUCAUUCUAAUUUGGUGGUACCCACUGCGCAAAUCAAUCUUAGAAAAUGUUUUAGAACCACUUAACUCAUCAAGCAUGUCAUCUAAUCAAGGAAUAGGAUGACGGUACCGGAUAGUGAUGUUGUUAAUGGCUCUACAAUCUACACACAUGCGCCAACUGCCAUCUUUCUUUGGAACCAAAAUGAUAGGAAUAGAACAAGGACUAAGGCUCUCACGUACAUACCCACGGUCCAAAAGGUCUUGGACUUGGCGCUGAAUCUCCUUAGUCUCCUCAGGAUUUGCUCGAUAUGCAGCACGGUUGGGCAAGCUCGCUCCAGGAAUCAAAUCAAUCUAGUGCUCAAUCCCACGAAUGGGAGGAAGUCCUGGAUGUAACUCAGAGGGAAAAACAUCUCGAAACUGCUGCAAAAGGUUAGUCACGGAUGCAGGCAAAGUGCUAGCAAUAUCAUCAAUAGAAAAGAAAGCAUCUUUGCAAACCAAGGCAUAGCAACAAGCAUCAGUAGCAUGAGUAUGAAGAAUAUCAGAUUUAGUAGCAAGCAUGACAGGAGCUUUCAAUUUAAUUUGUUGCUGAAUUUCUGUCUCAUUAGUUGGUUCCUUAUGGGUACUUGCAGCUCUAUCUUUAUCAGCUUGUACAAUUUCAGCAAGAGUCAAAGGUAGCAAAGUAAUGUUUUAUCUUUAUGUCUAAAGUGUAUGUAUUACUCCUACCAUGGUGACGUGCAUCAGUAUCAUAUUCCCAAGGUCUACCCAACAAAAGAGAACAAGCCUCCAUAAGUACUACAUCGCAAUCCGCAUAAUCAGAAUACAUACCAAUGGAGAAAUGCACUUGUACCAUGUGUGUUACCUUAACCUUGCCUGAAUCAUUGAUCCACUGAAUGUGGUAUGGAUGUGGCCGUGGACGUGUGGUCAGGCCAAGCUUCUUGACCAAAUCUGAACUCACCAAAUUAUUGCAGCUUCCACCAUCAAUAAUAACACGUGCACGUCGAUUCUCGAUGGUGAAGAAAGUUUGGAACAAAUUAUGGCGUUGCUGCUUCUCUGAUGAUUUAGGCUGAGAACUAAGAACACGCUGCACCAUGAUGCUUCGAAGGUUCACCGUAGCAUCAACAUUAAGCAUGGCAUCAUCAUUAGCAGCAACAUCACUAGAGUCAUCAUCGUCACCCUCACCGUCGGAAGCACUAAUGUAGCCAUCAUCCGUAGCAAUGUAUGUUCGCUGACUCGGGCAAUCCUUCUUCACGUGACCAAUGGAAGGUGCUGCAGGUGCUGGUGAAUUCCGUUUCUUGGCGGGUACCUGCAAAGGAAGUUUACCAACAUGUGAAGCAGGUGUCGAGGGAGGUCGCGUGGAUGCUGGAGUGGUCGAAGGUGUAUGACUCGAGGCAGGUGUGUGCGUCCAUGAUGUAGAGGACGCGCCAAAAGUAGCCCUAGGUCGAUGUUGGCGUCCCUGCAAUUCCUUCUCUGCAAGCAUAGCAAAUUGGAACAACUUGUUGACAGUGUUAAAUUCUUUGUAAUCCACAAUGUUCUGAAUGUAACGCCGCAAACCUGAAUAAAAAUGGCAAAGAGCAUCCUCAUGUCCCUCUAUUAUCCCACAACGCUGCAAUCCCUUCUGAAGCUCAGCAUAAUAAUCUUGAACAGAUUUAUCCCCUUUCUCUAAACGCAUCAAUUUCUUACGCAAUUCUCUAUGAUAAGAUGGGAGAACAAAUCUAUCGCGCAUAGCUACCUUAAGAUCUUCCCAAGUCGUAGGUGCUCUACCAUCCCCAACUAGACCAGUCCACUAGACAAUAGCAAAAUCUUUAAAUUCAGUAGUAGCUUGUCUAACUUGAUGUCGUUCAAGUACCAGGUGGGCAGCAAAUUUCUGUUCUAUCGUCAUCUCCCAAUCAAGAUAUCCCUCAGCAUCAUAAUGACACGAAAAAGAUGGUAUAGAAAAUUUAAACUUAGCAUAAGGGUCGUCAGGAGCACGAUUGUUAUUACCUUGCUGGCGGUGUGCCAUACCUUCUGUGUUUUGAUGAAGACGACGACGUAGGCGCAAAUCUCUGGUGGCCACUUCAUCAUAAUUACCUUCUUCAUCAAACACCGCAUCAUCGGGAAGACGUGGACGAGGAGGUAGUGGUGGCGGUGCUUGUUGUUGCGUCUCCAACACAGCAAGUCUGUCGAUGAUCUAGGACAAUCGUCGAUCCAGCUUCUCGUAAGUCUUGCCAAGGUUCAUGUCAAUGAAGGCAUCAUGCACUGACUUGUGGACCGUCUCCUCCAUUUGCUCCUUCAGGAGCUUGUUGUUUGCCUCAAGAUCUUGGCGGCUAACAAAUUCAUCGAAGUCUGUAGGGAUCCUUGCUUCUUCUUCGUCGCCUGCCAUGGAAACACAAAAACAGGAAACAAACGGUGAAGGUUAUCCCUAAUAAUCUCACUACACGCUCCUCUCAGGUGGAACACAGAAACACGCUCUAUUGUAUCUUAUUAAGGCUGCAAUAGUAGUCGGCCAUUCCGCGUUCAGCCCAUUCCGUGUUCUGCCUUUCUGAUUCCCUCCUCCCCGCACACAGUCCAUUCCCAUGUUCCCAUUCCCAUUCCCCCCGUACAGCCAACGCCUAGCUAAAUUAAAAAAAUAAACAUGGCCCCAAAGGGAUUUGAACCCACGACCUCUCAAGCAAAUGCUACCGGUAGCUACCACUACACCACAUGUGUGUUUAUGUCUACAUCUAUAACAGAAAACACAUCUACUACAUCUCUCUCCAAGCACACCUGCUACCCUUGCACAAUGCAUAGUAGUAGAUAAGUAUCACCGAGAUUCUUGAAUUAUAUUUUUGGAUGAAAGGAGUAGUAUUUAAAGAAGAGCCUUGCAUGCAAUUUCUUUUGUUUGAAUAAUGUUUUCAACUUAAAUUCUUUUUUUGCAUGCGUGACAUUUAUUCUUCGUAAUAUUUUUUCCAUGGAUCUGACUUGUGAGUCAUUUUUAUAAACCAACGCCAAACAUGAAUUCAUGUUUCUUACUUGAAAACCCCGAACAAACACCAUUAGCAGGAGGCACUCGCGUUGGGGUCACUCAUCGACGACAAGAAGAAACUUGGCGACUGCCAGUUCGACCUCUAGAAACAGUCCUACGUGGCCGCAUGUGCCGCUAUGUACGACAAGCUCCGGCGCAGCCGCCGCUUGGACGCGGUGCAGAGCGGCUGCUCCGCAUUGUCAAUCGUCAAGCAGGAGGACCUCAUGGUCGUCGCCAACGUCGGCGACUCUCGGGUUGUUCUAGGCACCGCAUUCGACGACGACGCCAUCACGUCGUCCAGCUCAUCGUCCACCUGAAGCCCAACCUGCCACAUAAGUCGCUACUGACUGGCCAUGAAUUCUUGUGUGCUGAGACGAUGGCCGUUGCUGAUGUUGUAUGAGUAUCCUCGAACACGUAUGUAGAGGAGUAGCGCAUCCGGUGGUGCAACGGCCAGGGGUACUACCUUGCUGAUGAGCCUGGGGUGCACUUCGUUUUACAACCUAGCCAAGAGUCAUCAGUACUCGGUAUGUCGCGCGCGUUCGACGACUACUAUAUCGAGGACUGUGGCGUCAUCUUGGCGCUAGAGGUGACGCACGGGAGGACCGACAACAAUGACCAGUUCGUCAUCCUCGCCACCGUUGAGGUAGCUUUUGUGCCGACUUGCCUUUAAUUCUCUUCGCAAACACACACUUGCCUUUUUGUUUAAGCAAAAGCGUAUGAUGGUACGUGUCUGAUGACUAACGAUGUACGAGAAAAUUUCUUCCGGUAUGUGUGGAACGUGCUCUCCAAUAAUGAGACCAAUGCAAAUUGUAACAUAUAUCGAAGUUUGCAUGAUACUGAUGGUUGCAAUGUAGUGGUGAAACAGAUAGAUUAUAAAUAACAAAAUUUAUGUAUGGCCAGAAUCACAAAUUGGUUAUGAAACAUUUUCUCAUAACAAUAUAACACACAUUUUGUAUAUAAGUUAUCAUAGUAUACUAGUAUUAUAUAUUCCCGUUGCAACGCACGGGCAUUCAGCUAGUACAAAGCAAAGGAUGGUAUAAUCGGAGGCUGGUUCGUGAUACUUACCAAGAGGGAGUGAAACCGCGAUUGCAAGGUCACAGCUGUAUUGGUCAGAAGAAAGUAUGUGGAGCUUGGGAGGCCAAAAACUAAUAUCAAGGAUUAGCAAAAAUCGAGUGCAGAUUAGCGAAGUUCAAUAAGUGUCCAAAGCACAAGUCACAAUUGCUGGCUAAGACAUGUCCUAUCGAAGCACAACAAGGUAAAAGUAACAAACCAGCAGAAUGACAGUUCUGUAAAUAGUGCAGAUUUUUCAGCACUAGUAGAAAUCAAAGGCGCGUUUCCAAAGGAGUACCAGCAAAAGAGCUCGAAAUAUUCUGAAUUUUUUACCACUGAUCCAAAAUCACAAAGGAUGGAAGCACACAAAAUUUUACUUGAAACAUAGUUGUAUUGUGACCUAGAGAAAUUCACAGAAGAUCUCUGAAAUUCCUGAAAACACUUAAACAAUUUUUUUAAUUAUGUUCCCGAUUUUUUUUUGAAUUUUUGAACCGAACCAAAUAGGCUACAGCCCAGUUUGGGUCACCCCAGAAUGGAGUCAGGAAUCUGCUGUAAAAAAUUGAGCUCAAAUGGAGCACCGAGCGAAAAGUAUGCCCGUUUUAUGGAAGGUACCUCAAGUUAUGGUUUUCAAGGGCACAAAUUGGCAGAAACCGUAGCGGCGGCUAUAGACCACAGGGGCACAAACCUCCCUGGUAUAAGCAAUAGGUAAGCGCCAGAUGAUGAAACAAGGAGGGGUUGCGAUGCAAGGUGGCUUGCAACCUAAUCUAGGGCUAGCGUGGGGAGAGUUCACACAAGGCGGCUAGCGAGGGCAAAUCGAGUAAUGUGGUGUCUCGACUUGUAAUCUGGGAAAGGUGGAUGGGAUAGCGGCGGAAACAAAUAACAGCGACGGAGCGGUUGAACUACGAUUACGACAUGACCUAAACCAGCACCAAGACUCGAACACGGACACAAAUUCAACAAAGCAAUCUGAAACGAAAUUGCAAGGCUAAACAGGGUUAUAGGAUAGCGGAUUUUUUGUAUGGCAAUUAUCUGGAGUUAUAGGAUAAAAAAACUAAACUAAACUAGGGUAAGCCUGAUGGUAAUACCUGAGUCUUUGAAUACCACUUGAUAGGAUACGGGGGUGCCCGAUCUUCCGUCAGGUGAAGGUAACUAUCGAUUUGAUGGAGAUGUCACAUAGACGAUCCGACUUCCAAUCAACACGACGCGAUUGACCUCGCCACGAGGGCUAAUUCUUGCCUGAGAAUCAAAGACACAAGCAAGAACAAGAAAGAACACAAUCUAGAAUAUUGCGGAUGAAUGAUUAAGCUCACAAGUUGGGGUCUCACAAACUGAUCUACGACCACUGUUCUUGAUAGAUCUAACUUAAGCAAAACCCGAGCCCUAAUGUUGUGGCGGCUACUGAUUAUAUAAGGGUUAGGAGCGUGACUCCCUCCCUGGAUGCGCCCUAAUGGGCCCAACAAAGAUACACGGCCCAAAGGCCAAUUACGGUGUCGCAGCACCGAGACAGAUUACGGACGUCGGUUUGGUCCUCCACCUUGAUCCGAACGUCCUUGCUGGCCUUCCAUGCCUCCAAGUCCUUCACCAUGUCCUUGCUGAUCCUUUCCUUCAUUCCUAAGUACAAUUAAUUCAUUAGGUAGCACACUAUUCUCAAAUGCACAAUAAUAAGUACAUAGGAACGAGCUCACCUGCAAAUUCAAUUGUCUUGCGCGUGCGCGAGUAAUCGGACCUUGAACAUCAACUAGGGGAGUGUUGUUUGUAUCCAUGGUAGUGAUGUCCUCAUCACAUUAGAUGAGAAAACUUUUGGCAAACUUAGGAAUGAGCUAAAUAUUCUUGAUUCUCGGAAUUUUGAUUGAAACAUUGCACACAUAGCUCAUUUAUAUACCUUUGAUCAUAUCUCUUUCAUUUGGUACAAAUGCAUAUUUCAUAUUAUUUAUGUACCAAGGCUACGACUAAUGUGUUUCCAAAUGUAUUUCUAUACUAAGUCGUAGCUUGAAAGGGAAAUGGAGUAUUCGGCAAAAACAAGGCUUCCACUCCACUCUAACGGUAUCAUUUACCCUUCAUCCACUACUACAAAUCAUGCUAUAUGAGACAGUUACUUUUCAGUUAUUAAGACGCUUAUGAAGUGUCCAAUUCUGAUGGUGUCGCAAAAGAUGUCCCACAUUUAAGAUGGUUAUAAACCGUCUUAAAAGAUAUUAUAUAAGACAGUUUUUAAUUUAUAAACGUCUGAAAAAGGUAUUUGUUUAAGUCAUUUUGUCCGAUAAACCGUCUGAAAAAGGUAUUUGUUUAAGUCAUUUUGUCCGAUAAACCGUCUUGAAUUAGGUUUUUUUAAAGACACUGCUUCUAAAGAACCAUAGAGAAUACAAACAUUAAAAGUCAUAAAGUAUUUAUCAAACCGUCUCGAACAUCCUACAAUAAUAGACGAUUAAAAUAGGAAAAUCAUCUUAUUUAGGUGACUAAUAAUGGACGCUUUAGAAACCGUCUUAUUUAAGAGACUGGUAUUAGACAUUUUGGUGACCGUCUUAUUAAGAUUUAAACGAAAUGACUUACACGACAGUACAUUCUUCAAUUUAUAAUCAUUUGUUCAGACAUCAUGUUAUAAUAAUUUGAAAGAGAAAUAUACAUACACAUAUAUUGAACAACAUUAUAAUUCAUAUAAUAUAAAUAAGUACCAUUCAAUAUAUCAUAAAUAAGCAUUGUCAAAUAAGGCAUACAUAAGUGUACUCUAAAUCUAAACUAAAAUACAACUAUUUGCACUAAUGUUAAGCCUAACUUUAUAUGAAUUCAAGUCUCCACACUUUUGCGACGACCAAAUUUGAAUUCCAUUCUAUGUUUUCCUGUACAACAAAUAGGAGAAAACUAGACAUAGAAUGCAAAAAAACUCCAAGCAGCACGUCGAUGACCUCGAAGAUGCCCUUGUGCUUCUCCCAGUUCUUGAUCACUCCUACACGCCCGGUGUUCCUCCCGCCGGUCACCAUGACCACGUUGCCGACGUCAAACUGAACGGACCUCCCGUUGCAGAGCUUGAACUGCACACAAACCAAUAGAAAAGCAGUGAGCAUUUCACAGGCGUACUAUGAAAGGGCAUGGGAAUUUCCAGUGAUGUAACUGUAUAGAUAGACAGAGCAACAUCUAUUAAUAGUCCUAACGAUUGUAGCACAUGACAUUUUCAAUGCAAGACUUUCAUGCACAUAGCAUAUAUGGACUGUAUAGCAAGGAUAACAUCUCGGGGAGGUUCACACUGGAAGGUUUAAAUGCAAACGGUAAGUAAAUAAUCAAGCAAAGGCCUAUGUACUACAACAUUUUUUUGGAGAAACAGGUGAUACCUGAAUGAUAAGCUGCACAUCAUUAAUAUCCAGACCACGAGCCGCCACAUUUGUCGCAACCAAAACUUGGAACUUCCCGCUACAGAAUCCAGCAAGAAUUACCUAAAUCAUCCAAAAACACAUCAAUUAUCUGCACCUUGCAAAUUGCAACUAUUACAACAAUGUGAAUGGGCAGGCAGAUCGAUUAAAAAUUUAACAAAUAAAAUUUAAAACUGAGUGCAACAGAUUAAGUUCAGAUGUAUUGAGAAUUAGAACAACAUUUCUGAUUUUUAAUGGUAUAUAUUACAUGUGUAGUAUUCCACAUCAGCAUGAAUUACAAACAAAGUAUACACAUGCCAAUAACAUUUAGAAAGGCGUGUUAUAUAGACAGUAUUGUGGAUUAAUCAAUUAUAUCAUCAUAUUGAUAUGUGAUCAAAGAAGAAUUCACAUACUUCACGCUGCGCUUGCGCUACAUCUCCAUGCAAGGCACGGGAUCCAGGAAUCAAACCAGAAAGCUCUGAUGCAGAAUCCUUCGUCUUAGUGAAGAUGAUGGUUCGACCUCCACUGAAGCACAGAAAAGUUUAGCGAAGUCAUUGGAAAUCAAACAGCAUACUGAAAAACAACCAUCUAUGGGGUAGUACAUACUGGCUAUAACAUCGGAUAAUGUCUGGAAUAACUUGUGCCCUUGCUGCCUUAUUACAAGGAAGAACAAGGUGCUUAACAGAUGCACUGGCCUUCAGUUUCUCAUUACCGACAAGAUCAACUGUUUUCCUGUCAACUUUCAGAAACCUCAUAGAGAGCUACAAUAAUUCCAAAUCAAAUUGUCAGCUCACAAAAAUAGUCAAAAAAAUAUUUAAAAAUAUGAAAGUCCUAUAAAAUGAUCUUACCUUAUUCACCCAAUCUGACAGAGUGGCACUGAACAGAAGCAUUUGUACUUUGGUAGCAUCUUCUACCUUGCCUUUUCAUACAUUAGAGUGAGUAAUUAAAUAAUCAAACAGAAAUCUAAUGAAUGUUAGAUGCUCCAUUUAAAAACCAUGUUAAUUGAUCCAUUUAAAAAACAGAAAGUACCUCAUCAUACUUUUCACCACCUUUGACAAGAACGGAAUAAUAUGUCUUCUUAGUUGCUCCAUUUCUGGUUGGAGCUUCGACCUCAUCAAUGAAAGCAACUCGUAGUGAUGGGUUCCUGUGUAAUUUACAAGUUAGUUGGGUUGGAGCAAGCUUACUAUGUAGGUAUACUGGUAUAGAGCAUUAGCUUUUGUACAUUAUCAUGAGACUGAGGAUAUUCUGAUAGCGCCUUUUUUCAUUUAAAUCCUUUGAUGUCUUUUGCAUGCCAUAAACUUGACAUGAGACAACAUAGGUGAAUUUGAUAUCAGCAAUAGCUUGUGCCAUUUCAAUAUCAGAUUGCAACUCUUGGUAGGAUCCUAUUGAUCUGUCUCGGUCAACUUUAGCUACAAAAAAUAAACAUGUAAUCAAAGAUAUGAUGAUAAACAUGGUUCGGAAAAAGGAAAACAUGGACACAUUGAUCUUACCAGGAUCUGUCAUAUCUUGAAGGCAUUGGAUUUCAAGUGCCUUUCUGUAGUACAUCAUUCCUCUUACUAGGAAAAUAAAAAAAAGUAGUUUGGGAAAAAAUGGAAAAAAAGAAGUCAGAGAACAAGUUAUAUUUUGAUGAAUCACAGGAUUGCACUACUCAUUUUACCUGUUCUGGUGAGAAUUUGACCCCUAUAAGACGCCCAAUUACAGAUCUCAUCCAUCCUUUCUUUAAGUUCUUCUUCAUCCUUCAGUUUAAAAUCUAUCCGCUGAAGGAAGUUCCUAAAUUCAUCUAUGGAGACACAAGAUUCAUGGUGAAUCAUUUCCUAAAAGCUUUAAUAAAUAUCUCACAGUUUUAUGUCUAGUAUUUGCAAAAUAUCUGGAUAUAUUUUCCGUAGGUAGAACAGUAUUGAUAUACCAUCCUCAUUUUUCCUAUGAAGAUCUUCUGGUGAAAAGAGCACCUCCUCUUUGAAGUAUGGAGUUAAAACACUGGUGCAAAAGCAGAAAACAAUUUUAAAACUAUUAAGAAAGUGUUAUAAUGUAAAAGAAUGAUUUGGCAUAAAUAUGCUUGCUCUGAAAGCUACUGCUAAAACCUGGAUAACAUUAUGUGAUGCAAAAAAGGGAGUUCAUGAAGAAGUCGAGCAACCAUUCUCGGACAUUUGCUAUCUCAUCAAGCAAUAGCUGGACCAAUAUCAUGAUCCAAACUUUGCCUCAGUAUAUCCCGAGACAAGUGCUCCAGCAGACUAGGCAUAUUUCGUUUAUAGGUGGAUACAUUAUUUAGUUCCUUGAUACUACUUUGUUAUUGUCAUGUGAAUCUGAAAGGCUGCUAUAAUUUUUCAAUAAAUACGUAAUGCUAGGAAGGCAGCUAUCCAGACUAAAAAUGGCAGGUAUGGGAUGUUUUAUAUGACAUUAUCAUUCUUUCGAAACCACAACACAUUUCUUGAUAACCAUCAAAUGACAUGUCAACCUAUUUUAGGUAAAAGAAGUGACAAUAAAAGUUACUGGUUGGCCGAGUAUCCAAUCAUACUCUUACAUAGUAAAAAUUUACAUGAAGAACUAUGAUACAAACGACCUCACCUCCCUCAGAGUGGGAAACUGGAAAUUUCUUGUGAGCUAUAAACCUUGACAACUUUCAUAAAAGUCAGAUAGGUUCCUAGCUUGAAGCAUCAAAGACGUUGAUGGGUAAAAAUAGCAUCUAAGCACACAUAAUUGUUAUGUAUUGAUCUUCUUCAAGUUAAAAUACAUUGCACAUUACUACCGUGUAGGGUAGUUACGUGCUAGACAGCCCUGUUGUAAACGUCAAGGGCUUUUAGUGCAUCAUGCUUUGGCAUCUAAAAGAAUUGCAUAGUUGUUUCAUAGGCAAUAGAAAAUAGUAAGAAUAAGAAGAAAUAGCUCAGUGCAACAUAGACAAAUGUCUACUUCUUUGAAGAUUAACAUACCUUGUCAAUAAGGUUGAUAAUUCCAUCAUUUAUUGCACAAUAAACGUUUCCUCUAAGAACCUGUAUAGUAGUAGGAUUGAUUCACAGACAUCGUUUGUUGGAGUAGUUCAUCAUUUCAUCAUCUUGAGAUCAACUCAAUUCUUGAAUUCCGCAUCACAUGAUCAACUAGCGUACCUAAUGGAAUGCGAAAUGCAUAUGAAUGAGAACAAACAUAAAUAACACAAAAUAGAUAAACUAACUGAAGAGGACAAAACACCUAUGGCAAACUCCAUAAUAAUCACACACUUGGAGUUAAUCAUACUCAACUGUUAUGAAACACAGGCAUUUAUAACCUAAACUUUAUUACACAAUUACAAGUUACUUAUGUCACACUUAAAACCACAAGACUACCAAUCAACCAAUCAAGAACUAACCAAACCUAGUGACCUACACAAAAGCAAUUCCAAACAACCAUUUUAAUACUUGCUGAUUUUUGGACAGCAGAGCAACAGUUAUUUGUUUUGCUCAUAACUCAUAAACUAUGCAUCCAAAAAUAGUAAACCAGGACUUUAUGGAAAGCUUAUGAAGUCCUCUAAAACUUUUGUAUUACCAUCACAACAAGAUUCGACUUUUAAAAAGGUCAAACAGAACUAAACAUAAAUUCUGUCCAGAUUUGGACAGAUUCAGAUAUCACACUUCAAACAGCCAUAACUUGGCCUCUAGACUACCAAAAAGGGUGAUCCAAGACUUUUUGGAAAUAUUAAGAAGAGUACUACAAUUCUCCUAUAAUUACUAAGGACUAAUUCUUAGUUUAACUUGGUCCAACAGUGCAACUUUCGACAUCUACACAGAAUCUGGACAGAUUCUGAUAUCGGAAUUUGGGGAAGCAUAACUUUCAAAUUAUUGGACCUAUAGCCAUGAAAUUUUAGUACAAAUAAGAUAAGGAGGUUAUCUACAACUUUUAUAUAUGACAUUUUCACAGAAAACAUGGUUUACUUCACUAAACUAGCUACACAACUAAAACUAUGCAUGCAGUGCAAACAGCAAGCAUUCUAAUUUAGUUCCUAUUUAGUUUCUACAUUUACCAUGUUCUUGACACUUAAAAUAUUCUAACAUAUUAUCAUUAAUUAGAGCCAAAGCCACCUAUUCAAUAUAUAUAUAUAUAUAUCCACCCAACAUGAACUCGGUUAAUACAUAUAAAGUAUCAUGACUACUAAAGCAUAGAACUAACUUCAUUAGACGAAACUCAUCAAAACAACACUAACAACAUUCAUUAGCGACACGUUUGAAUUUACUAAACUUACCCUUUAUAUUACUAACUCAACCAACACAAAUAACAAUCAACCUAAGCACACUUGAUUCCGACAAAACCCUACUUUUCACAUCAUUCGCAUCAUCUCAAGGGCCAUACUCAACAUACUCAUCCUUCAAUGCACUUUACAUAUAACCCUAUGUUUCAAACUACCCCUUCACCCUCAACAACGCAUCUGACUUCCAAUCGAAUACGACCAUACAACACAAAGGGCAAUUCAUCAAACAUUUGACAUACCACAAGGCAACUAAUAUAUCCAUCCAAUCCAUCAACUAAACCAGGAAAAGGAAUAGCACAUCACUCACCAUACCUCAAUCGAUACCAGGUUCAUAAGAACGACAACAGUCCUGGCUUAGGCGUUCCACCGAACACCUACCAGGCGCUGCACUAGGGCAUCACUUCAUCACCUUCGGAUUCCUAGGGAUUUUCCUCCAAGAACAGAUGACACCAUGACCGUCAUGGGAGGGGCAACCUGAGGAUGAGGGCGCCAAGCCUGUCCACGGCGAGCAGCAAAAGGGAGGGGUGCGUCCAUGGUUGGGCAGGAACAAACGCCAUGGGAGGGGCAACCUGAGGAUGAGGGCUGACGUCCAUGGGAGAGCUCAGCCACCAGGGUGAGGAGCGGCGUCCAGCAGGGGGGGCGAGCACCAGCGAGGGCGCCGUGAGGGAGAUAGGGCUGGGCGAGUGGAGGGGGCUCAGCUGGGCGCUGCUUGCUGCAGAAAAGGGGAGGAGAUGGGGGCGCCUGCACAAGGGAAGAAUGGAGAGAGGAUGGACGCCUAGGAACCCUGCGCCAUGGGAAGGUGCUGGUGCAGAGAGUUGGGGAAGGAAUGGCGUCGGCUUGCUGCAGGAACAAGGCAGAGGGAGGCGGCGUCAGAUAAGGCUCCCAGGUAGUCAAUGCCUUCCAGAAUAAUGCCAAGGCGGUAGAGAUAAUUGGUAGAAGAAAAAUUCUCAUCUUUCAUCUAUUUUCUUUUACAAAAAUAAAUGCACAUAUAUCUAGUAGCUAGGAUUUGUGAGGGUUUAAAUGAGUUGGUCUAAAAUACAUUUCGGAUUACGUCUUUCAAUUUCUAGAUUAUGAAACAGAGAACCAACCAAAUUUAGAAAUUAUUUGAUCUCAACUCUUGCGAUCUUGGUCCAAAUUAAUCUUGCAUCAAACGCCUGAAUGCUCCCGUUAAUGUAACAUAAAAGACAUUACGGAGCGAGCACAGCAACAGCUCGCAAGCCCAAGAGUCAUCUACAGUUCUGUGCCCCCUAUUUUACUUUAUCCACCGAAGACAGCCCAAGGAAGUAGAAGAGAUAUAUCAUCAAACUAAGCCAAAUUCACUAUUUACUACGUUUUUUCAUAUUUAUAAGUGUCAAGUAUACUGACUAAUAUCUAAGACAGUUCUUAUAUUCUAGACGACUCUAAUACUAUUUUUAUUUGAGAUGGUUUCAUAUACAGAAGUGUCUAAUAUACUAACCAAAAUCUAAGACAAUUCUUGUGAUCUUAAUGACUCAAAAAGUAUAUUUAUUUGAGACGGUUUACAAUAACAAUCUGUCUUAAAUCAAUAUAAGACAUUUAUUAGGAUGUAACUGUCUCAAAACAUAUCUUUAUUAAAGACGUAUCUUCAACAAACUGUUUUAUCUUACUCAUUAACAUAUGAUAAAAGACACUUCUGUAAAAUGCAAUGAUAUAUGUCUUAAAAUGUGUGUCUUAAAUAAGCAUAUCUCUUGUAGUGAUCAUUACUCCCACACAACUCUCAAUUGGUAUAACCCUGCACUCAUAUUUAUACUACCAUUUGGGAGAAAGUAUAAAUGGGCUCUCAACAUCUCCGUUUUUAGCGAUUAAUGUCAAAGGGGGAGAGAAUAUUAAGCCCAAACCAAAAGGACCGCACCACCAUAAUUUCAAAAAUUUUCGAAUUAAAGCUUUAAUUGAUAUUUGGAAAUUUCUCAAUUGAUAUCCAUGUUUCACUUGUCUUGAGAAAGCGAAAUUUCAAUUGGUAUCUAAAUAAUGGAAAUCUCUUCAAUUGGUAUCUUUCAAGAUCAUUUUUCAAAAUUAAUAUCAAUUUCAAAAUCCUCUUGAAAGCUAAGAGGAGAAUUUCAUUCAGGGAGAGUUUUAUUUAGUCAAAGGAAAAGGAAUUUAAACAUGGGGAGAAAUUUCAAAUCCUGAAAAUGCUUCUUGCAAUCUUAUCCAUAUACCUUUACUAUUUGCAAAAAAAUUUGAAAAGAUUUUCCAAAAGGAUUUGCAAAAACAAAACAAGUGGUGCAAAUGUGGUCCAAAUUGUUAAAGAAAAGAAAAGCAACCCAUUCAUAUCUAGUAAAAUUAUCAAUUGGUUUAAUUACAAGUAACCUAUGCACUUACCAUAUGCAAACUAGUUCAUUUCUGUACUUUAUAUAUUUGCUUUGGUUUGUGUUGGCAUCAAUCACCAAAAAGGGAGAGAUUGAAAGGGAAAUAGGGUUAACCUCUUCCUACAAUUAAUUUUGGUGGUUGAAUGCCCAACGCAAAUGUUUGGACUAACUAGUUUGCUCUAGAAUACAUGUUCUACAGGUGCAUAAGGUUCAACACAAACCAAAAAAUAUAUACAAGUUAGGGACCCAAUUCAAAAGGAGCAAAAAGGACUUGAGUGUGCUGUGGACUGGCGCACCGGACUGUCUAGUGUGCCACCGGACAGUGUCCGGUGCACCAGGCCCGUACAGGGUUGAACCAGCCACUCUCGAGAAAACGCAGGCACGCUCCGCUAUAAUUCACCGGACUGUCCGGUGUACCAGCGGGCAACGGCUAUCCAGCAUGCAACGGUCGACUCUGACAGGAGCUAUAGUGAGCAACAGUGCCACGCAGAAAUCAGAGCAGCGAGUUAGAGGGGCAUCGGACUGUCCAGUGCCGCAAGAGGACAAAGCUCCAACGGUCGCCCGAGCUCCGAACCCUAACGGUUGGGUGACGUGGCGGCGCACCAGACAGUGCACAGUACCUGUCCGGUGGCGCACCGGACUAUCCGGUGCACCCAUCGCCAGCAGCCUCCCCAACGACUACUUUGGUGGUUGAGGGCUAUAAAUACCCCCCAACCACCACAACUCCAAUCAUCCAAGAUUUCUGAACAUCACAUUGAAUACAAGAGCUCUAGCAUUCACUCCUAGACACAAUUCAAAAGAUCAAAGCCUCUCCAAGUCCCAAAUUCACCUCAAAUACUUAGUGACUUGUGAGAGAGUGAUUUUGUGUUCUUUUGAGCUCUUGCCUCUUGGAUUGCCUUUCCUCUUUCUCAUUCUUGUUCUCAAGUGACUUGUAAUCAAAGCAAGAGACACCUAAGAGUGUGGUGGUCCUUGCAAGGUCUUAGUGAGCCGAUUGAUUAAGGGAAAGGCUCACUCGAUCUAAGUGACCGUUUGAGAGAGGGAAAGGGUUGGAAUAGACCCGGUCUUUGUGACCUCCUCAACGGGGACUAGGUUCUUUGGAAUCGAACCUCGGUAAAACAAAUCAUCGUGUUCAUUCGCUUGAUUUCCAUCUGAUUUGUUUUCCCCUCUCUCCCGGACUUGCUUUUAGUUCUAACGCUAACCCUGGCUUGUAGUGUGUGUUUAAAGUUGUAAAUUUCAGAUUAUGCCUAUUCACCCCCCCCCCCUCUAUGUGACUUUCACUUGCUCCUCUUGAUUGAUGAAUCAUGGCCCAUUACGCCUCACUCCAGUCCCAAUCCUCUUCCCAGUUCUCUUCUCCUGAAAAACACAUGAUUGUUCAUCAAAUAUAGCUAGACACUUAAACUGAUCAAUGAUUGAGCUGACAGAAAGGAGAUUGACUGGGAAUUAUGGGACAUGCAAAACUGAUGAUAGACUAAUGGAUGGUGUACACUCUAUAUACCCUACACCAUGAAUGAGUUGGGAGGUACCAUUAGCAAUUUGGACAGUUUCAGGAUGGAUAGAAUGAGAGUAUGUUUAAAAGAAUCAAUUAGUCUUGUGACAUGUCUAGAUGCUCCUGAAUCUAUUAUCCAAUCUCUAUAACUUCUACAUGAAGAUGCAAGGGCUUGUGCCUGAGUACCUGCGCCGAAUGGGCGUAGUUGGCCAUGUUACCGAAGUGCUGGGUGGAUGUAGUUGCCACAGAAACAAUAGGAGUGCUAGUUGGACACUUAGAUUCUUUGCCCUUAUGCCAUUCUUCCCAUUGUUUAGCUUGUUCCCCAGUCAGGGUGAUUGAGGGGGUGUCUUCAGUGACCGCUACAUUGACACGAGGGCCACCACGACCUCUACCCCUAGCAUGGCCACCAUGCCCCCUUCCAUAGCCUCCACGAUCUCUUCCAUAGGUACUACGAGUGGCUCCAUGAGUUCCACCACCUCGUUCACCACUGCCACGAGGAUGAGAACAAUUGUAGCUCAACUGUCCCUUCUCACCACAAUUAUAGCAAUCUCUAUCAUCAGUUACAGUGUAGGUUGAUUUCAUAGGAUCAUUAGCUAUCAUUACCUAGAGCCUGCAUUCCUCAUUAAUCAUUGACGACACAGCCUCAUCCAUGGUAGGAAGACUCUCUUGGUGACAAAAGGCAGCUCUCCUGCUCUCAAACUCUGGAUCCAAAUUCUUUAGAAAGUGAGUCACUCUCCUGUCCUCUACCCACUUGUGGACAACCUGUGCAUCCUGAGGACAAACCAUUUGGAGAGGAGCCUAGUGAUCUAGUUCUCCCCACAAGUACUGAAGUUCACUAGCAUAUUGUUUCACUAGUCUCCCCGUCUGUUUCACUGCAUCUGUCUUACUUUGGAUCUCCAUCAUCAUCAUCAUAUUCCCCUUUAUUGAGUAGAUAUUGCUCAAGGUCUUCCAAAUUUGUGUUGCAGUGCGCAUGGCUUCAACCAUCUUACUUACAGAUGAAGACAUGGAUGCUAACAACCACUCCACAAUAACCGAGUUGGUGGUAUACCAAACCCUCCAUUCAGGGCUGAGCCUAUCAACUACUUAGGAGGUAAAGGAGUGGAUCACUAUUUGGUACACAACCCUCUUCCAAAUAGUGAUCCACUCCUUUACCUCCUAAGAGCACUCGCACUCUCCUAGACCAACUCAAGUAAUUCUUGCUUCUUCUAGCUUCACAACAUUUGGAACGAGUUCCAAUUUCAAUUCAGAUGAGAUAGGCAAAGUCUUAGAGCCAAUCAUACCUAGCCCCAUGAGUUCCUGAAUCAUACACCUCAUCUCAUUUCUCAUCUCACUUUUUGUGAUUAAUGGAUCCUCUUCUUUCUUGUCACCAUGAAUUGUUUCCCUUUUUCCAGCCUCUUCCUCCAACCUUUUUGCUUCAGCCUCCUCUGGACUCAUCAUCAUCAAUGUCUGCAAAUUCUAAGACGAACCAGGCUUCCUUCCCCUCUCUCAAUCAGCAAUACCUUGCAGCACACAGAAGUACCUCCAACAUCUCUAGCACCACCACCACCACUAGCCGUAGCAGCAGCCCCAUCCCCUGGCAGCAGCACUUCUUCUCCCACCGCCACUUGAACAAACACAAGCUGCAGGGCUACACCAGGGAGGACAUGCUCGACGUCGUCCACCCCACACACUUAAGCAAGCUGGCCUCCCUCCUCCGCCUCGGCCUCGCGUCCUGAUACGGCGCCGGUAUCAGCCUCCCGACGGCGGCGAUGGUGCACACGCAGGCCACACGAUUGGACCCAAACCACGCUCCUUAUCGACGUGGAGGCGGCACCAUGGCCACGCCCCCAGCAACGUGGGAGCAGCCCCACGCAGGCGGUGGCCAGACACACGGACCCGGCGUUGAUGGAUCGACGGUGCAUGGCUGGCUGCAGUGCCUACGGGCGGCGACGGUGACUAUGAGGCCAAACCCUAGCUCGCGAUACCAUAUUGUGAUUUGUGGGUCAAUAUUCGUGUGUCCCACUUCCAGCACACACACACUUUUAUAUAUGAUGUAUGCACAAAGGACCCUUUACAAAUGUUCUAACUCCAACAACAUUAAUUAUUUUUAAAUUAUGCUAAAUCGAUGGUAAAUUCAUCAUUUUUUAGCUUAAAUCAUUUUUGUGCACGAGUGCUUUAAUGGCAAAAAAAGAGAUUUUCAUGGUGUGAUUGGUGAGCAAAACAGGCUAUUGGGAGUGCGAAACAACUCCCCAAGUUUACAGACUAAAUAGGGAUAUUUAGUAAGUUAGUACAUUUAGGGGCCUCAUUCAAGAAACUGUUGGAGCAUGAUUUUUUGUUACUAAGGCUAUCUGUAGUGCAAGUUACUCCACAUCAUUACUUUAUACCACUAUUUACAGUCUAGUCAACAAGAUUCCUUACUCUAUAUCACAGUCCUCUGCAUUCAUAUUCCUUUAUAUAUUCCUUCUAUAUCAACUACCACAUAUUAUAUUCAUCUUAAUCUAUCUAUCAUAUUCUUUUUCAAGCUACCAUAUAUAAAUUGUGUGUGAACAAAGCCGGUAGCAGAGGAAAUAGCUUACGCUUUAUAUGGGAGCCAUACCGGAACAGGAGCGCACGCCACUGCAGACCAAUGAUCUCUAUAUUUGCAUUAGGGGGAGUUGUAGCGGAUGUCGGUGCAGAUAGCCUAACACCCUAAAUUAAACUUAGAGUGUUUUUUGGAAACUAGUGUAGAUGCUCUAACAAUACUAUCUACUAGACCUCAUAUCACCAAUUUAGGUAAAACAACUAGCUCCAAUAGACCUUUUACUAGAUCUAUUUACAUUCUCCCACCACUCAUUCCUGUUAUUGAGGGGUUUGCAAUUUCACAUCACUAGUAGUGUGCUUCACUAAUAUGUCAUUGGGCCCACAGAUCAUAGACACAAAGGGACCCACAAAUCAUAGACGCAUAUGUAUAAUAGCAAAGAGGCAACACAUGUGGGUUGCAAAAUUACAAAUAUUCCCCUGUUGUCCCCUUACUUUAGUCAUGUGUCUUUGUCCCCACUCGACUCCACUUGGCACACGCAGGCACGCAGCCUCCACCACCCAACUAACAGGUCCUAACAUCCCCUAUGUUUACUAGCGGUGAAAACAGGUCAGAUCUACCAGUCCGAUAUCAAAUACAGAUAGUAUGAAUAUCCAUUUUUAGGAUACAUGUACAAAUAAUUUUAUACCCUAAACGGAUACGAGUAGUACUCGGAUAGUGUAGUUUCAGAUUUAGAUCAGAUUCGAAGCCAAAACUACACAGUAAAUAUCCAGAUAUUUGGGUCAGAUAUGGGUAUCUAGGCUUGGGUAACCGAUUUUAUUUUUCUAUAUAAUACUUUUAUAAAAUUGUAACAUUUGCAUAUGAACUGAGAUGAAGAUAAAGUUUGUAUAAAGAAUUAUAGAGCUCGUAGAGUUCUACAACUUUGUAGUACAUCACAUUUUUGUUUGAACACAUCUUCAUGUCAAGAUCAUUGAAAUAAUUUCUAAAUUUAUAUUAAAGUAACAAACUAUACAUCACAUGUGUAACUUCAAUACUCCAUAGCUUAUUAAUAGACUAUAUAUUACAUAUGUUGGACUGCCUUAUGCCAUUUUAAAGUUAUCUUGUGUUUUAUUAGAGUAUUGUGUGACCUAAAUCUUGUCAUUGUUAGUCUAUUAUAUGAUCUUAUGUUGUUGUUAUAUUGUCAUAUUAAUCUAUGGUCUAUGCAUAGUGCGGGGUAUUUAUAGGUCAUCAGGCGGGUAGGUGGGACCCCAAGUAGCGUUAUACCCCUGGUUACCUGCUACAUCCCCGGUAUAUUCCCCCUACGGGGUCAUUAACGUGGUGUGAAGUACAAUUAAACUAGACAUACUACGACACCUACCGCAAAGAGGGGCAUACAAAUGGGCCCAGACGGUGACGGGGCGUAGCCUGGGCCCCACCAUAGAGCGGCAUAGCCUUCACAUGUAUGCAGCGCCUUUCACUCUACGAAGUCGAGCCUUCAACCUGUCGGGACUGUCUUGACGUGUGGCAGUCCGAGCCGAUGGGGGUGCCUUCGCGAGGUUGCAAUGAGCACCCUCGUUUCACAAGUGUGGCCCUUUGCUACAACGCCUUCGACAGCCCUAGUUGAAGACCUCGAUACUGAUACUGAUCGGGGCACUCUUCGCCUCCUGUAUAUGUGACAACCUAUUUGAUUGAUGUUGAAAUAGUAUGAUCGAGGAGGUAAUCGGCCUUCACUCCAACACCAAGUUGGCUAACUCUAACGUGGAUGUAGGCAAGCAUUUCAGGCUUGGCCGAACCACGGAAAAAAUCUCUGUCUCUUGUUUGCUUUUCUAUUUGCACGUCUACUUUAUCUUGGUGUAAGUUGUUUUGAAGAGUAGGAUCUUUGGAGAUAAGGACUUGUAUUCCACUGCAAACUACUAGACUCGACUUCAUUCUACUGCAAUCAACACUUCAAGUAGAGUAAGAAAAGUUCUAGUUUUGGUGUAAAUUUUUAUUCGUCUAUUGGCCCCCUCUAGACGACGUCUAGGUCCUGUGUACCCUCAAAGGGAAUAUUCAUAUAACACACAGAGACAUUUUGGGUUGAGGUUAUAAACACCACUUGUUAUGAAACAAAUCGAUUAUUUCGUCGUCAAUUGCUUGAGAAGACUCCAUAUAACACACAGAGGGCCUUGCUUGGCCCUGUAGAAGGGGCUCUCCAUGCCGGGGAACUAGGCUCUAGGGCCCAGCCUCUCCUGAUCUCGAGCACCCUUUAUACCAGGGGACUAGGUCCCGAGAGCCACUGAACAUCCAAGACUCUCUUUGUUUUCUAGGAUCCUUGCAAUCUCUGGAAUUAUUAUGGUAUUUCAGACUCCUUCGGGCUAGAAAUUAAGCUCAUUGCUCGACCUAAGCUAUCGUUAGUUCAGAAGCCUUUUUUUGGGAUGUAAGUUGCAACUCACAUAACAGUAUUGUGCUUGUAACAGAAGUGUUUCAGGUUCAAGUGGCAUUCAUUUUCUUCCUUUAGUUUUGUUGUUAAAAUCUCAGGAGGAACUCCAGGUAUUCAGCAAACGAAUAUAUGCACUAGUAGAAAAGAGCUCAUAGCCUGCGGCACCCAUAAAUUAUCACUGGCGGUUUCAGUUAUCGCGCGCUAGUAAAAAAACGAGGUGGGCCCGGCUUGGGAACCGCUAGUGGAAACCUAUUUCCACUGGCGGUUAUCUUAACACAAUCGCUAGUGGAAAUAGGAUAUUUCCACAGGCGGUUGGUGUAACAGAACCGCCAGUGAAAACCUAUUUCCACUGGCGGUUGGUGUAACAGAACCGCCAGUGGAAAUACCCUAUUUCCACUGGCGGUUUUUCAAGCCAACCGCCAGUGAACUGUCUGUUAUAAAUACCCCUCUUCUUCCCCCCGACAAUGAACUGUAUGCUCGCAGCCAACUUCCAUUGGAGGCGAUUUUGGAGGUCCAGAUUUCACAAAAAUAUAAGGGGGGAGGUUUUGGUCUUCAUUUCUAGGAAGAAGGUGGAUAAGAAAGGUUGGUUUAUGUUUCUUUGUCAAUUUUUGUUCAUUCUUGCUCAAUUUUAGCCACAUUUUGGAUCUAGGGUUUUACAUGUGAGAGAGAAGAGUAUAGCUAGGUUAUUUUCUCUAUUUCCUCAAAUGAGGUUGCUUAAGAUGGUUGGUUUUUGUCUAUUACCUCUCCUUUUUCAUGUUUAGUUCUCAAAUAAGUUUAUCCAUAACACAUAUUUAGUUGCUUAAUGAAUGGUGAAUGUGUUGUAUGGAAGGUUGGUUUAAUUAUGUUUCAAUUGUCAGUUAUUAUUUAUUUUUGCUCAAUUUUAACUACAUUUUGAAACUAGGCUUUCACCAUGUGUUAGAGAUAGGUUUGGGUAUUAAAAUUUUUUGUUUAUUAGUUGCUAGGAAAGUUUGGCUUAUGUUUCUUUUGCCAAAUUUUAUUCAUUUUUCCUCCAUUUUAGCCACAUUUUGGAUAUAGGGUUUCACCAUGUGUUAGAGAUAAAGUAGUCUAACUACUUUUAUUGGAAGAGAUAAAGUAGUCUAACUACAUUUUUGGAUAUAGGGUUUCACAUUUUAGCUACAUUUUAGCCACAUUUUAUUGUUAGAGAUAAAGUAGUCUAACUACAUUUUUGGAAGAAGGUCGCUAAGAAAGGUUGUUCAUGUUUCUUUUGCCAAUUUUCUUUAUCCAUGAUAUAUUUAGUUGUUACGAAAUAUUGGUAUAUGAUUCUCUUGCCAAUUUGUGUGCCUUGUGUGUUUUAUGUUACUUUUUUUACAGGUGAUGAUGGAGACGAUAUCCUGGAUGUAUAACUUAUCAAGGCUAGAUCCAUCAUACAUAUCUGAGGUCCAUAAGUUUAUUGUUGUCGCUAAGAACCAUGCUUGGAGAACAAAGACAAAGCACAUAUAUUGUCCAUGCAUGGACUGCAAAAAUGCUGUUGUAUUUGAUGACACAGAACAAAUCAUAUCUCAUCUGGUAUGCCGAGGAUUUGUGAAGGAUUACAUAAUUUGGACAAAGCAUGGAGAGGGUAGCUCUUCGCCUUAUACAGCUGGAAACCCUGCGAACAUCGACGACAACUUUCAGUUCGUUCACGAGACACAACAACCUCUUCCACAGAGCGAACAUGUAGUGCCAAAUGUUACUGAUCAUGGUUACACCGGAGGAAAUGAACGUGAAAGAACCCAUGUUCUGCCAAAUGUUAUGGACGAGGAAGAUGCAGAGUUGUUAGAGGCAAUGUUGCGUCGUCAUACAGAUCCAUCGAUGUUCUUCAUGAAAGGUAUGGAGUCCCUGAUGAAGGCAACAGAAGAGCAUUUGUACGAUGAGUCUAAGGGUUGUACCAAAGAGUUCAUGACGCUCCGGUCUGUGUUAAAGUUGUUGAUGUUAAAAGCUAGAUAUGGUCUAUCUGAUGCUGGCUUCGAUGCGUUCUUGAGUAUUGUCGCAGACAUGCUUCCAAAGGAGAACAAAGUGCCUGCUAACACGUACUAUGCAAAGAAACUAAUCAGUCCACUCACUAUGGGCGUGGAGAAGAUCCACGCGUGUAGAAAUCACUCUAUCCUUUAUCGAGGUGAUGAUUAUAAAGACUUGGAGAGCUGCCCAAAGUGUGGUGCAAGUAGGUACAAGACGAAUAAAGACUAUCGAGAGGAAGAGUGUGUUGCAUCUGUGUCUAAAGGGAAGAAGCGAAAGAAAGCCAAAAAGAAGACUUCAAAAUCCACGAGCAAAGAAAAAGAAAAAGUAGACUAUUAUGCGCUCAAAAAGAUUCCUGCUUUGGUGAUGUGGUACCUCCCCGUCGUCGAUCGAUUGAGGUGUUUGUUCGCUAACCCUGAGGAUGCCAAACUUAUGAGCUGGCAUGCUUCUGAUGAGCACAAAAACGAUGGUGUAACACCCCAGGUGUUACUGAGGGUGUCCACCCAUGGCUACCCCAUUUAACCUAUUAUCACCUGAGAAUUGGUUUGGGCAAAGUACAUCAAACUUGGAAUUCAAGGUCCUAAACAAGUGCCAACCAUCUUGGAUAUCAUGCCCUAGCUUGUCAUGCACAUCCAAGGGGGGGGGAUUUCCCAAAACCCUAAAGCAGACCCCUCUUGGGCAAUAGGAACCCUAAUUGAAGCUAGGAUCAAAAGGUCAUGUAAACCUUAUGAUCAUGGCUUGGGCCAAAUAUAAAAGUUGUAGUGUACUUCAUAACCUACAAAUGAUAGUAAGAAAGUGACCCCAAAAAGAUUUCAGAAAAGCCCCAAAAAGUUCACCCAAGGUUGAGCACAAGGGAAAAUUCAGAAUUUGCCUAAGUCUAAAAACUAACCCUUGAACAAAGAUCCCACAUGUUCACCUUAAUCCAAAAUUCAAAACACUUCGACCCAAUUGACAAAGUGGCGCCAAAUUAACCCUAGAAUGCCCUGGAAAGAGGUGACACCUACCCUAGGGUGUUUGACACGACUUGGCACCAUUUUUGUCUCGGCUUGGACCUAGCUGACACAGCCAACUUCUCACCCCUCUACCUCCCUACCCCGACCAUAUCUUGACUUGGAACUCACAGCAAAAAGGUAGGAUAUGGAGCAGGGAAGCGACCGUACACAGUGACUUUGCCAAGAUACGCACGCUAUGGUGCUAAUAUCCGCCGUUGAACCAUGGCAGAAGCGAGCUCCCACGUGUUCGACGCGGGCUGACACCCGGGGGCGCGCUCAGAGCACGCCCGUGCGCGAACCCCCGCGUGCCCACGGCCGCCCGUGACCACACCCACGCCAUGGCUAUAAAGCCUGUCCCAGUGACUCGGCUGCCUUCCCCAUUGCCUCCUCCGUACCUCGCCUGACUUCCCCGAGCCAGCCCUUAGCUCCGGCGACCUCCCCGUGACCCGCCAGUGCCGCCCGAGAGCAACCACCGUGGCCAGCCCCUUUCCCGUCCUCCUCCGUUCGAUCCAAGCCUUUAGAUAGCUUCCUGGUGAGGCCGUGAAGCUUACUAAAGCUUGAACCGAGGACCCGCAUCACCGGAAUAGCGAAACCGUGCUCGCCGGAGUUCUUCCCCCCGCCGGCGCACGUGGACCGGGUAAAUCACUAAGCCAUUUUCCGAUUCAAUGCACAGAUAGCCUCUACAUCACCCCAGGGAGCUCACUGUGCCAUUGGAUUGGAAUAGGUCGCCGUGGUUUGGCCGGUACACCCGCCACCGACGAGGACACCCGCCUGCGCGCGUGGACUGAGCGAUUCCGGCUAUCCCCGCCGGCGAGCCGUACGUCGUUGUGACCGCCAGAGCCUCCCCGAGCCAACCCUGCCCUUCGCCGGACCUAUCUCGCCGCCGGUAAGCCGCGCCACCCUUUUCUUUCCCGCGGGUACUGUUUACAUUGGGGGAAGGACCGCGGGUGAGAGGAAGAGAAGGUCAGGGGGCUUUUUGAACUGUCAGCGACCCAGAGGAAUAGUGGCGCAGGGGUAGAACUGCGAAGGUUGAUUUAGUUUAAACCCAGGGACCUCGGUGUAAACUGUUUUUCCAGGAAACUCUUAUUAAAUCUGUUUUUAAAUUGAACAGAGACUUUAAAAAUUCAUAACUUCUGUGUAGUUCAUCAAAAUUUGGUCAAACUAAUUUUGCCAGACUUUAAAUAAUGUAAACUACUUAAGAAAAAUAUAAAAACCCCUAUGUACUACAGAAAACUUUAGGGUUCUAAUUUAAUUAUUGUUUUAGCUAUAAGCUAAAUAAUAGGGAAAAAAUUAGUUGCACUAUUUGACUAGGGUUAGAAAAAUUUGGAGAAGUUUAUAUCUACCCACUGAUCUGUUUAAAAAUGUUAAACCUCUCUGUCCAUCCCAUUAAGUUAGUUUUUGUCCCUUAUUUUACAAUAUGCUUAAGGUUAAGAAAAAUGGAAAAGGUGAUUUAAAUAAUGAACAAGAGGGCACCCCUAUUUUUGUUAAGGUACUUAUUCAAUAUAGUUCACUGGAAAAAUCUAUCAUACCCUGGUUUAGUAUAAAAUAAGUAGGGUACCUUUUAAUUGAAUAAAAUAAGGAUAACUUAGAAAAACCCUACAAAAAUAAGCCUAAGGUGAAAACACCCCCACCCUUGGGAUAACUAAUGUUUUGUUAAUAAGAACUUAGGAAAAAUAUGAAAUCUGCUGUUUGACAUUUUUCAAAUAACAAUGUAGUAGAAAGUGCCUUUUUGACAUUUACCUUUAGAAAAUCAUAACUAAAUAACCAUCCCUUAGCUCUCUGAGAUUUUUAGCACAAAAGCUUAUUAUUGCUAUUAAAUGCUAGCAAAAAUAACCUUUAGGACAGAACCCACCCCUAAUUAGGAGAUGUAGUGUAAGUGGCUCAUUUUACACAACUUUUAUUAUUUUUGUCUAAAGCAUAGCCUUUUUAUUUUGAACCUCAACUUCCUAGAAGGAGCUAUAGUGACAAAUGACAACCCACUAUAAUUUUUACAGAAUUUUUGGAGAAAGUUAAGCUACUAUUGUAGUUCAAACCUCCACUAGAUUUCAUAAAUAGAAAUUAAAGAAAGAAAAAUGAAUAAUGGAAAGUAGAGUCAUCCUAAAACCCUUGAAAUUGUUCACUAAGGUAUAUAAAAAGGUAAUACUACUUCCCUAUGAUUAUCCUCAACAAUGAAAACCUAAGCCUAAAAAGUAAUAAGCAUAACCCACUGGAAGCCCCGCAUGACCAAGAAACCCUAAGUGACUAUUUAACUUAGUUUUCUUUUUAGCAUAAUGUUAUUAAUCCUGCAUAAUCAUGACAUACAUGUUCAUUGCAUUCGAUAGACUGUAACCUUGCUGACGGAGAGUAUGUCCUCGUGCCGGAGCAAGGAGCUGCUCAGGAGGUAGCCCCGGAUCUGUAACGCCCCGAAUUUCGAGUUGAUUUUUUUUCUCUUUCUAUAUCGCUCGCUAAAUUCGGGCGUUACCUCUCUUUCCUAUUGUUUUUCGCUAAAACCCUACCUAUUUCCAAAACUCCAAGUAGAAUAAUAAUAAUAAACCCUGAGAGUAUUUCAUUUGGAUUGUUGCACCAUGCCGGUCCCUGCAUAUAUUUUGUUUGUGGAUUGAAUUUGUGAAAAAACACGAUUUCAGAAGAAAUGAUUAAAAAGGGAAAAACCUUUCCUUCUCUCUCCCUUCCCCCUCUUCCCCUUUCAGCCCGGCCGGCCUGGGCGGCCCAGCUGGCGCGGCCCAGCCAUGCGCGCAGCCCCCCCCUUCUCGCGCUCGGCCCAACUGGCCAAUCCGGCCCAGCCGGCCUCCCUCCCCCCCCCUUUCUUUCCUCCCCGCCGUGGGCCGGCCUUGCCGCGGCCCAGCUGCCCCCCCGCGCUUUGGGCCCAGCUGGCGGCCCGGCCGCGCGCAGCCCCCCCUCCCGCUUUCUCCGCGCGCAGCGCGCGAUAGUUGCGCCCGCCGCCGCCCCCUUCCAUGCGGGACCCGCCCGUCACCCUCUCUAUCCGCCCAAAUCCCUCUCCCCUCCCCUGCUCCACCCCGAUCCCCUGCUGCUCGCCCGUAACCGCCGCCGCCGCCGAUCCCCGCCUGUGGCAAGCCCCAUCUCCUCCUCCCUCGCCCCUCCCCUCUCCCUCGUGUGCGGUUGGCGUGGGCGCGACGCCCGGCAUCCCCGGCCCCGACCUCGGCGUCGUUUCGCCCCGGCGCGGCGCGACGCGCUCGUCCCGGCGCGGCUCGGCCAUGGGGGGGCGCGGCCCGGCGCGGCGUGCCCGCCAGCGGCCCCGGCUCAGCUCGCGCGGCCAUGGCGGCUCGCCUGCCCGUGGCCGGCCCGGCCCCAGCCUGCGCGCGACCUCGCGGCCUCGUCCGCAGCUCGCCGGCGCGCCCCCGGCGUCCCCGUCGCCCUCCCGCGGCGCAGUGGGCCCCUGCACGCUCGCCCCGCCCCUCCCCUUGGCUCGCCGGCGCGGCAGCUCGCGCGGCCAUGGCGUGGCCAUGGUGCGGCUGUGGCGUGCGCCCCGGCGUCGGCCCCCGCUCGGCGUGCGCGGCGGUCCCGCCCCGGCCUUCCCUGCCUGCGGCGCUCGCCCCGACCCCUGCGCGGCCUCGGCAGCCUCGCGCAGCCCCGGUCCCGGCGUGGCUUCGGCGUGCGCGCGGAGCCCCGGCGCGGCCCGUGCACGCACGGUGCCCCCGGCGAGCUCGCCGCACCCGCGGCUCGCGGCCAUGGCGGCUCGUUCUCGCCCGCAUUUGCGUGUCCCGCCCCUGCGCAGCGCGGCCCCGGCCCGGCGCAGCUUCAGCUCGCGCGGCCGUGGUGCCCCUGCGUAGCGCGUGCGCGGUUCGGCCCCGGCGUGUGCGCGACUCGUUCGCGACACGUCAGUGCGGCCUUGCGCGUACGCGCUCGCGUGGUGCACGGUGCGUUUGCGUGGCUCGUCGUGCCCGCGACGCAACGCAUAGCGCCCUGUCGAAUCCGCGACACGAUCGUCUACCCCGAGCCACCCGUCUACCCCCCCCCCCCCCCCCCCGUGCAUUCCGUGCGUAGUGAUCGUGCGAUGUAAUCAAUAAAUGGGAACCCAAAUUAGAAAUCGGUUACGUUAGUUAAUUCAUGUAAGUAAUCAUCUACCUCACCUAAUGUCGAUCAACUAGAGUUAGUCAUGAUUCGAAUUAUGCAUGUAGCUAAUCCGUUUGUUAGAACUAGUUAGAAUUAAGUAGAACUAAGGCACGUAGCGUCUAAUUAUUCACCAACCCGUAGCGCGUCUUGGGCAUAAGCUUUAACUCUCGCGAGACCUUUCCCCGCCUCUUUCUAACCAUGGUAAAUUCAUUACUGUAUGCGAUAUUCUAUGCAUGUUUCAUCUACUUGUUCUCUUGUAUGGUGUAUUGUUGGCUUCCUAAUUUCAAUGGAUGGAUGUAUGUAUGUGUGCACUCGCAUAGAAAACGAUCCGGUUGAAGAGCCCGAGGAACUCGCAGGAGAAGCCCCUGAGCAGCAGUCGGUUGGUGGAGGCAAGUGUCCCUUGACCUAUCUCUGUCCUAUUCAUUAUUUAAUUCACCUCCCGCUUUACACAUUUAUGCCUAAGGAUUGACUAGCUUUUGUUAUCCAUAUCCUUGUCUACCUAUCUGGGUUGGAUUAUUAUUGUUUAGCUUUAUGCUAUUGCUUAACUCUAAUCAAUGAACAUGAUGAGAUUAUCUAUGAUACGCUGUUUUCCCUUCUCUUAUUAUGAUGUUGCACUUGUGGUCUUUAAGGGGGCUCGAGCGGUUUCUCGAGUGCCUCUCCGUAAGGACCUGUUCUAUGGAUGACCGCCCGGGAAAACAGUGCAACCAUGAGGGUGGAAUGGGGUGCCCUUAGCUGAAUAAUUAGAGGAUCCGGGGUGUAGUUCACUUAGCCGUCGUGCCGUCAAUGGGGCUCGGUGUAUGCGGCUCGCUCUGCCAAGUUUGGGUUCGCCCCUUGGGGAGGAGUGCGGUGCAUUUAGGAAACCUAACGGGUGACUACAGCCCCGGGGAAUCUUUGUAAAGGCUACGUAGUGAUGCCCUGCUGGGUCACCUUGGUAGUGAUCAAUGGAGAGUCAUGAUCUCCGGGCAGAAUGGGAAUCACGGCUUGUGGGUAAAGUGCACAACCUCUGCAGAGUGUUUGAAAAACUGAUAUAUCAGCCGUGCUCGCGGUUAUGAGCGGCCAAGGGAGCUCCAGUGAUUAGUGAUACUUGAUCAGAGAUACUUUGGUACAGGUGGUUAUGAGAUCGAUGAUUCUGGUUAUGACUAUGGUGCUGGUAAGUGGUACUCUUUCCGUUUGGAAAGGAGUACGUUUGGGUUAAUAACUUGGGUUAAUGCUAAAACUUGGCUUUCUACUAGUAAGUAAUAAUCUGACCAACUAAAAGCAACUGCUUGACUUAUCCCCACAUAAAGCUAGUCCACUACAGCCAAACAGGAUACUUGCUGAGUAUGUUGAUGUGUACUCACCCUUGCUCUACACACCAAACCCCCCCCCCCAUCCCCAGGUUGUCAGCAUUGCAACCACUGCUCAGGCGAAGAUGAAGCUGUGGAAGGAGACUUCCAGGAGUUCCAAGACUACGAUGAGUUCUAGGUGUGGGUUAGCGGCAACCCCCAGUCGGCUGCCUGUGAAGGCCGCUGUUAUCUACGUUUCUUUUCCGCACUUUGAUUUAUUGUAAGAACUAUAUGGACGUCUCAGACGUAUGAUGUAAUCGACUAUUUCCCUUCUUAAUACUAUUUUGAGCACUGUGUGAUGAUGUCCAUAUUAUGUAACUGCUGUGUACGUGAAUAACUGAUCCUGGCACGUACAUGGUUCGCAUUCUGUUUGCCUUCUAAAACCGGGUGUGACAGGAUCCAGCCUUAGAGUCUGCAUUAGAGGAUCUGCCUGCCACUGCUUUGGAAGGCAAGCCCCGGUUUAUGCAUAACCUGUUACUUAUGCUAUUUUACUAUACCUAAUGAUUGUAGGAUUGAAUGUGCACUUAGGUGUAGGAGUUGUGUUGAAACCCUAGUUGCAUGAUCUCAGGAAUCCUAUUGAGAUGGAUACUAGUAUGCUAGGACGAGUAGCUGCUUUAUUAAUUAAGAUUUCGGUAGAAGUCGAGUGAUUUUCUAGCACUCGCGCGAGAUCAGGAAAUUGGUUGUAUCCACUUUCUUAUCAUAAUGAUGCUGGUUUGUGGGCAACAAUCCAUGGGGAUUGGUUGUCUACGGGAUAAAAAUUUGAAUAAGGAUUAUGGUGUGGUACCGUGUGUCAAGCGUUUGAACGUACUAAACAUAUGCCGAGAAAUAUGGUAAAUCGGUAAGCCUAGUACCUGAGUGAACCUGGCAGUGGACAUAUCCCCUCACGCGACCUGAGACGUGGUCUCCCAUUCCGGUUAUGGUGGGUACAAGUGCGGUCACUGCACGACGGCAGUCGGGGUCAGUGAGGCAUUGUACGCCAAGGCGGUGAGCCCUGAUCUGCUGACGGGGAAUCGAUGGGGACGGUUGAUGUGUGUGGGGACGGAGUGCCCCUACAUGUCGUGUGUUUAGGUUUACCUUGCAAGGAUAAAAACUCGAUUCGAAUCGUUUGCUUCUUGCAGCUAAUGAGAUUGCUUGAUCCAUGCUGCUACAUUGAGUAACAAGUGGAAUUGUGCUGAGAUGAUACAAGAUGUUGAUUGCUAAAAAUGUUUGCUACUAUGUAUGAAUAGAUAGUACAUCUUUAGCCUUAAGAGAGUCACACUUAAUUUUGACAAAGUUAAAAACUUGAUUUAGAAACUCAGCUAGUGCUUUUGGCAACCAAACCCCACAGCCAAACAGCUGCAUGUCUAGAGGUAGAGGAGUAGACUCCUCAUACCGGGUAAGUCUAGCUGAGUAUUAGUAUACUCAGGCUUGCUUGUGGCACAAUUUUACAGGUUCUCUGGAGGACAUGGUUGCUGGAGUGACUUGGUCGUCCAUCUUGCCACCGGGUUGGACUGUCGAGUGGGACCCUACCUCGGCUGAGGAGGAGCACGAGGAGUGAUGGGACAUGCUUCCCCAUCCCCCUGUUUAUUUACCGUUAGUUUUAUUCCGCUGCGCUUCGAACAAUGAUGACUACUUUUGCAAAACUCCGAUGAUGAUGUAAUAAUUUAAUACUCUUUAAUGCAUGGUUUUAUGCUUUAUUGUAUUUGCUCUGUGACUCACCUUCGAGUGAGAUUGUGGUACUUGAUCCUGUCAGUGGCCGUGUCGGACUAGAUCCGAGGGAUUGACGGGUUAUUCUCAUUUAAGUGUGGUCUAACCUCUAAGGCGGGGCUCAGGCACUUAAGUUGGAAUAAUUCGGGCAGUUCCGCCACAGCUGGUAUCGGAGCUUGUACCACCACAGAGGAAUCAAUAAAAUGUAAAUACCACCCCUUUUCCAAAAUAAAACUUGAUAGAAACAAUGUUGGAUAGAUAGUAGGACGAGCAGGAUAGACCUAGGACGUGAAGCCUUAGGAUGAUAGAAGGGUAGCUAGGUGGCUAAGUGAUUAGGCCCUACAGGCCACUUUUACAGGAUGGGAGUUCUUCCCUAUUCCCUUCAUCUUGUUGUCAGGUCGUUCAGGACGAGCAUGCAUGCAUUCUUGAAAUUAAACAAAUGAAAAUUAAGUAAGGACCUAAAUACAAAAUGAUGACCAACUAAGUACCCCAGUGCUAUUUUAGUUAACUAGAGAAAGGCUGAGUCUUAUUUUUUUCUUGUUCUUUUUAUAGUUCUUUUUCUUUUACUUACACUUAACCGUACACAGAUGACUUUCCACGGAUCCUCAGAUGACGGAAAUGCACUGACCCACACUGACGGGCUUGCACGAGAGGGCUUUCCCCGCAUUUUGUGGGAGGUACUUCAGGGGGCCGGAUACACGACACCCCCUCAGUACGCGGUGCAGCAGUUUGAGAAGCACAGAGUGCCCCGCUGUAGGGUGAGGAUGACCUUGGAGCCUCAUCCCCUGCAGCCAGGCUGGCGCUCAUUAGACUCUGAGUCUUUUGGAUACCGAGCUGAGGACACGAUCGAGGCGAUCGCUCUGCACGGGUUGACCACUUUCUGUGGAUUCCAUCCUUUGGAGCUGGCUACCCACCCCAUUGGCUUGUUCCCCGCCGAAAGGGAGGAGGACCCAAUGUGGAAGGAUCGGGUGGAGCAUGCCAAGGAUAUCUGGGCCAUCUACCCAGGACAGACUGCGCACUUGACCGUACGGUGCAUGAAUGCUCUGUACCGUCUGCAAGUGAUGCGCGGUGAGGCGAUGUCCCAUCUGAUGGCACUAUUGGAGGCAACAAAGAUUACUUUGGACAACAGGGAGGAGCCCGUGGUUGAUUUGUCCACUGAAAUGGUGGAGAAGGACUUGCAGGUGGAGCAGCUAUCCACUGAUAUCCAAGAGUUGGAGGAAUUAGUGGGCACCAGGGAGAACACCAUCGAGGUUCUCGAGGAUCAGCUCAUUAACACUCAGCAGCAGCUUGCUGAGGCUAACGAGCACUUGGAUAUGCAUCACCAGGAGAUCCAGGAUAUGGAGGCCAACGAGGACGUCGACAUCGAGGGAGGAGAUGAGCCUGCCUCUAGUGUGGACACUGCUGGCUCAGGGAGACCACCUUCCCCUGAGUCGAGUGUUGCCUCGUUCGCUCACUAGGUGUCCAGGAUAGAGUUAGACGUCAAUGAUGGUAGGACUCCUCGCAGCUAGCUUAGCUUUUGCACCCUUGGGGUACUAGGCUAGAUAGAGUUGAGUCUUUUUGGGAUAAAUGAUGUAACCGUGAUAAACUCUUUUGGAAGCAUGAUUGAUGGAUGUUGUUAUCAGUUUUAAAUUUGGAAGGAAAGAUUUAUGCCUUUUUGAAUCCUUUUGUUUAAGUUGGAAUCUAUCAUUUUGCUUUUGACUCUUUUUCGCCGCGAUUAAACCUUGAACUUGGAGAUAUGGUGUUAAGUAUAUAUGUGGCUUUUUAGAUGGCCGGGAGGCAGCGUCGUGGCCAGAAUGAGCGUGUUCCUCCACCGCCGCCACCGCCUCCCACUCUGCAGGAGCUAAUGGCUCAGCAGAAUGAGAUCUUGAGGCAGCUAGCUCAGCGUCAGCCACCACCUCAGCACUAUGGUGGUGGAGACCAUCAGCGUCACCCCGCGGCAGCUACCUACCAGGAGUUCCUCAGUACCCAGCCACCAUUGUUCACAAGGGCAGAGGACCCACUUGAUGCAGAUGUGUGGUUGCGGGUAGUGGAAUCUAAAUUCCCGCUACUCCAUGGAGCUUGCUCAGAGGUCACUAAAGUCAGGUUCGCCACCCAGCAGCUUCGCGGACUCGCAAGGACUUAGUGGGACCAUUUUCUUGCCAUGCAGCCAGAGGAUCGAGAGGUGGAAUGGAGGGAGUUCAAGGCAGCUUUCAGGGGACACCACAUACCAGCCAGGAUUAUGGACCGAAAGCUCAACGAGUUUCUGGCACUCACUCAGGGCAACAGGACAGUGUUGCAGUAUGCCCAGGCUUUUAAUGACUUGUGCCAAUAUGCUGGAUAUCACGCAGACACGGAUGAGAAGAAGAGAGACAGGUUCAGGAGGGGGCUCAGCACUAAGCUCCGUGAUCGUCUCAACACCGUCAGGGCCAACAGCUACAAUGAGUUGGUCAACACGGCUAUCUCCCAGGAGGACUGCAUCACAGCCCGGCAGGCAGAAAAGAAGAGGAAGGCCCCUGUGGCAGGACCCUCCGCUCAGCCACAGCGCUUCAGGAUUGUGUCCGACACUCAGAACAGGGGACCCCAGCAGCAGCAAGGAAGAUGGGUGAUCCGACCCCAGCAGCAGCAGGCACCCAACCGCACCUAGUUUCCAACUCAGAGGAACAAUCAGCAGCAGCAGUACCGCCAGGCAAAUGAUAACAGGUGUUUCACUUGCGACAACACCGGACAUUAUGCCAAGAAUUGCCCCAGGAACCAGCAGAGGCAGCGGCAGAAUGUUACUCAGAACCAAGGCAAGAGGCAGAAGGUGCAAGUGAGGCAAGGCAGGCUAAACUUCACCACCAUGGCUGAUAUUCCAGAGGGAGCACCCGUCAUGACUGGUAUCUUUACAGUUUUAAAUUAUCCUGCCAUUAUUCUUUUUGAUUCUGGUGCGUCGCAUAGCUUUAUCAGUGCCAAAUUUAGUGCCAAGUGCCAAUUACCUUUCCACCACACCAAUGGGGGUAUCACAAUUUCAACACCAGGAGGCAGGGUUGCCACCUACCAAAUCAAUAAGAAUGUGCCUAUAAGGUUUGGUAGUCUGAUAAUUAAAACCAACCUCCUCAUUUUGGGUUUGGAUAGUGUGGAUAUCAUAUUGGGAACUGACUGGUUGACCAAACAACAGGCUGUGAUUGAUAUUGCAGCUAGGGCCAUUGAUGUGCACUCAUCCACCUGUGGUGAAACCACGCUAUAUUUGCCCGACCGGGGAUGUACCCAUUCUUGUGCCUUCGUUAUGAUAGAAUCCCCAGUGGAAAAGAUCCUAGUGGUCUGUGACUACCCGGAUGUGUUUCCGGAUGAAUUGCCAGGGAUGCCACCUGAUCGAGAUAUUGAGUUCGCCAUCGAAUUGCAACCCGGGACUGCUCCUAUCUCCAAGAGACCCUAUAGGAUGCCUCCCACAGAAUUGGCAGAACUGAAAAAGCAAUUGCAAGAAUUGUUGGACAAGGGGUUUAUUCGCCCAAGUACUUCGCCUUGGGGAUGUCCCGCCUUGUUCGUAAAGAAAAAAGAUGAAAGUUUGAGGAUGUGUGUUGACUACCGCCCUCUCAAAGCGGUGACUAUCAAGAACAAAUACCCACUACCCCGCAUUGAUGUUCUGUUCGAUCAGUUGGUGGGAGCCAAGGUAUUCUCCAAAAUAGACCUUCGCUCAGGUUACCAUCAAAUCAAGAUCCGUGCCAGCGAUAUUCCCAAGACGGCUUUCUCUAUCAGAUAUGGGAUGUAUGAGUUUUUGGUGAUGUCUUUUGGGCUGACCAACGCCCCGGCUUAUUUCAUGUACCUGAUGAACUCAGUGUUUAUGCCAGAGUUGGAUAAGUUCGUGGUCGUUUUCAUUGAUGAUAUUCUGGUCUAUUCCAAGAAUGAAGACGAACAUACUGAGCACCUGCACAUCGUGCUUCAGCGACUACGCGAUCAUCGUCUUUAUGCUAAGUUGUCUAAAUGCGAAUUCUGGCUGAAGGAGAUCAAAUUCUUGGGUCACACAAUUUCUCAGGAUGGGAUAUCAGUUGAUCCUGAGAAGGUACAAGAAGUGAUGGAUUGGAAACCCCCGACUACAGUGAGGCAGAUUCGGAGUUUUCUGGGAUUGGCAGGGUAUUAUCGACGAUUUAUUCCGGAUUUCUCCAGAAUUGCCAAGCCAAUGACUGAACUGUUAAAGAAGGGAGUCAAGUAUGAUUGGAGCCAAAAGUGCGAGGAUGCCUUUCACACUUUGAGGCAGCAUUUGACAACAGCUCCCGUGCUGGCUCAACCUGACAACACCAAGCCCUUUGAAGUUUAUUGUGAUGCUUCUGGUACUGGAUUGGGAUGUGUCUUGAUGCAAGAUAACAGAGUAAUUGCUUAUGCUUCCCGAGCACUCAGGCCCCAUGAGCAGAACUACCCUACACAUGACCUGGAGUUGGCAGCUGUGGUUCAUGCUCUUAAGAUAUGGAGACACUACUUGAUGGGAGCUCACUGUAACAUCUACACUGAUCACAAGAGUCUCAAAUACAUCUUCACUCAGGCAAAUCUGAACAUGAGGCAGAGGAGAUGGUUGGAGUUAAUCAAGGACUAUGAUUUAGAGGUGCAUUACCAUCCUGGCAAAGCCAAUGUUGUGGCAGAUGCUUUGAGCAGAAAGGCCCAAUGCAAUUGUAUGAGCAUGGAUGCAAGAGUUACCACCCUGUGCGAUGAAUUGUGCAAGUUGAACCUGGAAGUUGUCUCUUCCGGUGACCUAAGCUAUAUCUCGGUGGAGCCCACAUUGCAAGAGCAAAUAGUCAGGGCACAGAUUGAGGAUAAGGGUGUUCAGGUUAUCAAGGAAAUGAUCAAGCAAAAGGCAGAAAAAUACAAGUGCUUCCGGCAGGACAGCAAGGGAAUUCUAUGGUUUGGAGAUCGAUUGGUUGUUCCCAAGGACCCAGAGCUCAGAAAUAAGAUACUAGAUGAAGCUCACCUUUCCAAAUUCUCCAUGCACCCUGGUAGCAACAAGAUGUACCAUGAUCUCAGAUCUUUAUAUUGGUGGACCAGAAUGAAGAGGGAAAUUGCCAAAUACAUAUCCGAGUGUGACACUUGCCAGAGGAUAAAAGCUAGUCACUUGAAGGCAGCAGGCCCUUUGCAACCCCUUCCCAUACCAUCUUGGAAAUGGGAGGACAUUUGCAUGGAUUUUAUCGUAGGAUUGCCCAAUACCUCCAGGCACCAUGAUUCCAUUUGGGUUAUUGUGGACAGAUUAACUAAGACUACUCAUUUCUUGCCAGUACACACCACCCACAGGACAGAGAAGUAUGCAGAGAUCUACAUUGACCAGAUAGUUCGUCUGCAUGGGAUACCAAGGACUAUAGUCUCAGACCGAGGAGCACCAUUUGUGGCACGAUUUUGGGAACAAUUGCAGGAAUCACUUGGGACCUAGGUCAUACGAAGCUCAGCCUAUCGUCCCCAAACCGAUGGCCAGACAGAAAGGGUGAAUCAGAUUUUGGAAGACAUGUUGCGAGCAUGUGCACUACACUACGGAAAGGAUUGGGACAAGUGUCUUUCCUUGGCAGAGUUUUCUUACAAUAACAGCUAUCAGUCCAGUCUGAAGAUGGCACCUUUUGAAGCCUUAUAUGGGAGAAGGUGUAGGACCCCACUGAAUUGGUCUCAAGCGGGAGAGAGGGAAAUUUUUGGGCCAGAUUUGGUACUUGAAGCAGAGGCAAAGGUCAGAAUCAUCAAGAAGAACCUAGAAGCUGCUCAGGCCAGACAAAAGAGCUAUCAUGAUAAGAGGCGGAAGUCUCUACAGUUUGAGGUGGGAGAUCAUGUUUAUCUUAAGGUAUCACCCACCAAGGGUGUCCAGAGAUUCGGGAUCAAGGGCAAGUUAGCUCCUCGCUACAUUGGACCCUAUGAGAUCAAAGCAAGUUGUGGACCCAUAGCCUAUCAAUUGGAAUUGCCACCUCACAUGUCAGCAGUUCACAAUGUGUUUCAUGUAUCUCAGCUGCGGAAAUGUGUUCGCCUACCCACUGAAGUGCUACCGGAACCGGACAUUGAGAUAGAACCAGAUAUCAAGAGUACCCCGUCAAGGUAUUAGAUCAAAAGGAGAGAUCAACUCGGGCAAGGUCGGUCAGAAUGUAUAAGGUUCAGUGGAGUCACCAUUCGGCAGAAGAAGCUACAUGGGAAACUGAGGAUUUUCUACGCUCUCGCUUCCCCGACUUUCUGCCCAAAGGAGUCGGUACGUAACCCCAAAACCCCACCCCCAGCUGCCCUUUGAACUCAAUUAUAAGAAAAACAUAGAUAACAAGGAUAGUCUAAGUUGUGGAUUUAACUUAAAAAGGGCUUCCUUCUGAAGUUGCAAAGAGAAUGACAUUCGAAGAGCAGUUAACAAGAGAAACUUGAGUAAAGAAAAAGUAGCACACCUUCAGGCACCCCUCCAAGGGACUCUACCUCAAAUCUCGGGACGAGAUUCCUUUAAGGGGGGAGGGCUGUAACACCCCAGGUGUUACUCAGGGUGUCCACCCAUGGCUACCCCAUUUAACCUAUUAUCACCUGAGAAUUGGUUUGGGCAAAGUACAUCAAACUUGGAAUUCAAGGUCCUAAACAAGUGCCAACCAUCUUGGAUAUCAUGCCCUAUCUUGUCAUGCACAUCCAAGGGGGGGGGAUUUCCCAAAACCCUAAAGCAGACCCCUCUUGGGCAAUAGGAACCCUAAUUGAAGCUAGGAUCAAAAGGUCAUGUAAACCUUAUGAUCAUGGCUUGGGCCAAAUAUAAAAGUUGUAGUGUACUUCAUAACCUACAAAUGAUAGUAAGAAAGUGACCCCAAAAAGAUUUCAGAAAAGCCCCAAAAAGUUCACCCAAGGUUGAGCACAAGGGAAAAUUCAGAAUUUGCCUAAGUCUAAAAAGUAACCCUUGAACAAAGAUCCCACAUGUUCACCUUAAUCCAAAAUUCAAAACACUUCGACCCAAUUGACAAAGUGGCGCCAAAUUAACCCUAGAAUGCCCUGGAAAGAGGUGACACCUACCCUAGGGUGUUUGACAUGACUUGGCACCAUUUUUGUCUCGGCUUGGACCUAGCUGACACAGCCAACUUCUCACCCCUCUACCUCCCUACCCCGACCAUAUCUUGACUUGGAACUCACAGCAAAAAGGUAGGAUAUGGAGCAGGGAAGCGACCAUACACAGUGACUUUGCCAAGAUACGCACGCUAUGGUGCUUAAAUCCACCGUUGAACCAUGGCAGAAGUGAGCUCCCACGUGUUCGACGCGGGCUGACACCCGGGGGCGCGCUCAGAGCACGCCCGUGCGCGAACCCCCGCGCGCCCGCGGCCGCCCGUGACCACGCCCACGCCAUGGCUAUAAAGCCCGUCUCAGUGACUCGGCUGCCUUCCCCGUUGCCUCCUCCGUACCUCGCCUGACUUCCCCGAGCCAGCCCUUAGCUCUGGCGACCUCCCCGCGACCCGCCAGUGCCGCCCGAGAGCAACCACCAUGGCCAGCCCCUUUCCCGUCCUCCUCCGUUCGAUCCAAGCCUUUAGAUAGCUUCCUGGUGAGGCCGUGAAGCUUACUCAAGCUUGAACCGAGGACCCGCGUCACCGGAAUAGUGAAACCGUGCUCGCUGGAGUUCUUCCCCCCGCCGGCGCAAGUGGACCGGGUAAAUCACUAAGCCAUUUUCCGAUUCAAUGCACAGAUAGCCUCUACAUCACCCCAGGGAGCUCACCGUGCCGUUGGAUUGGAAUAGGUCGCCGUGGUUUGGCCGGUACACCCGCCGCCGACGAGGACACCCGCCUGCGCGCGUGGACUGAGCGAUUCCGGCUAUCCCCGCCGGCGAGCCGUACGUCGUUGUGACUGCCAGAGCCUCCCCGAGCCAACCCUGCCCUUCGCCGGACCUAUCUCGCCGCCGGUAAGCCGCGCCACCCUUUUCUUUCCCGCGGGUACUAUUUACAUUGGGGGAAGGACCGCGGGUGAGAGGAAGAGAAGGUCAGGGGGCUUUUUGAACUGUCAGCGACCCAAAGGAAUAGUGGCGCAGGGGUAGAACUGCGAAGGUUGAUUUAGUUUAAACCCAGGGACCUCGGUGUAAACUGUUUUUCUAGGAAACUCUUAUUAAAUCUGUUUUUAAAUUGAACAGAGACUUUAAAAAUUCAUAACUUCUGUGUAGUUCAUCCAAAUUUGGUCAAACCAAUUUUGCCAGACUUUAAAUAAUGUAAACUACUUAAGAAAAAUAUAAAAACCCCUAUGUACUACAAAAAACUUUAGGGUUCUAAUUUAAUUAUUGUUUUGGCCAUAAGCUAAAUAAUAGGGCAAAAAUUAGUUGCACUAUUUUACUAGGGUUAGAAAAAUUUGGAGAAGUUUAUAUCUACCCACUGAUCUGUUUAAAAAUGUUAAACCUCUCUGUCCAUCCCAUUAAGUUAGUUUUUGUCCCUUAUUUUACAAUAUGCUUAAGGUUAAGAAAAAUGGAAAAGGUGAUUUAAAUAAUGAACAAGAGGGCACCCCUAUUUUUGUUAAGGUACUUAUUCAAUAUAGUUCACUGGAAAAAUCUAUCAUACCCUGGUUUAGUAUAAAAUAAGUAGGGUACCUUUUAAUUGAAUAAAAUAAGGAUAACUUAGAAAAACCCUACAAAAAUAAGCCUAAGGUGAAAACACUCCCACCCUUGGGAUAACUAAUGUUUUCUUAAUAAGAACUUAGGAAAAAUAUGAAAUCUGCUGUUUGACAUUUUUCAAAUAACAAUGUAGUAGAAAGUGCCUUUUUGACAUUUAACUUUAGAAAAUCAUAACUAAAUAACCAUCCCUUAGCUCUCUGAGAUUUUUAGCACAGAAGCUUAUUAUUGCUAUUAAAUGCUAGCAAAAAUAACCUUUAGGACAGAACCCACCCCUAAUUAGGAGAUGUAGUGUAAGUGGCUCAUUUUACACAACUUUUAUUAUUUUUGUCUAAAGCAUAGCCUUUUUAUUUUGAACCUCAACUUCCUAGAAGGAGCUAUAGUGACAAAUGACAACCCACUGUAAUUUUUACAGAAUUUUUGGAGAAAGUUAAGCUACUAUUGUAGUUCAAACCUCCACUAGAUUUCAUAAAUAGAAAUUAAAGAAAGAAAAAUGAAUAAUGGAAAGUAGAGUCAUCCUAAAACCCUUGAAAUUGUUCACUAAGGUAUAUAAAAAGGUAAUACUACUUCCCUAUGAUUAUCCUCAACAAUGAAAACCUAAGCCUAAAAAGUAAUAAGCAUAACCCACUGGAAGCCCCGCAUGACCAAGAAACCCUAAGUGACUAUUUAACUUAGUUUUCUUUUUAGCAUAAUGUUAUUAAUCCUGCAUAAUCAUGACAUACAUGUUCAUUGCAUUCGAUAGACUGUAACCUUGCUGACGGAGAGUAUGUCCUCGUGCCGGAGCAAGGAGCUGCUCAGGAGGUAGCCCCGGAUCCAGCCCCAGAGUCUGCAUCAGAGGAUCUGCCUGCCACUGCUUUGGAAGGCAAGCCCCGGUUUAUGCAUAACCUGUUACUUAUGCUAUUUUACUAUACCUAAUGAUUGUAGGAUUGAAUGUGCACUUAGGUGUAGGAGUUGUGUUGAAACCCUAGUUGCAUGAUCUCAGAAAUCCUAUUGAGAUGGAUACUAGUAUGCUAGGACGAGUAGCUGCUUCAUUAAUUAAGAUUUCGGUAGAAGUCGAGUGAUUUUCUAGCACUCGUGCGAGAUUAGGAAAUUGGUUGUAUCCACUUUCUUAUCAUAAUGAUGCUGGUUUGUGGGCAACAAUCCAUGGGGAUUGGUUGUCUACGGGAUAAAAAUUUGAAUAAGGAUUAUGGUGUGGUACCGUGUGUCAAGCGUUUGAACGUACUAAACAUAUGUCGAGAAAUAUGGUAAAUCGGUAAGCCUAGUACCUGAGUGAACCUAGCAGUGGACAUAUCCCCUCACGCGACCUGAGACGUGGUCUCCCAUUCCGGUUAUGGUGGGUACAAGUGCGGUCACUGCACGACGGCAGUCGGGGUCAGUGAGGCAUUGUACGCCAAGGCAGUGAGCCCUGAUCUGCUGACGGGGAAUCGAUGGGGACGGUUGAUGUGUGUGGGGACGGAGUGCCCCUACAUGUCGUGUGUUUAGGUUUACCUUGCAAGGAUAAAAACUCGAUUCGAAUCGUCUGCUUCUCGCAGCUAAUGAGACUGCUUGAUCCAUGCUGCUACAUUGAGUAACAAGUGGAAUUGUGCUGAGAUGAUACAAGAUGUUGAUUGCUAAAAAUGUUUGCUACUAUGUAUGAAUAGAUAGUACAUCUUUAGCCUUAAGAGAGUCACACUUAAUUUUGACAAAGUUAAAAACUUGAUUUAGAAACUCAGCUAGUGCUUUUGGCAACCAAACCCCACAGCCAAACAGCUGCAUGUCUAGAGGUAGAGGAGUAGACUCCUCACACCGGGUAAGUCUAGCUGAGUAUUAGUAUACUCAGCCUUGCUUGUGGCACAAUUUUACAGGUUCUCUGGAGGACAUGGUUGCUGGAGUGACUUGGCCGUCCAUCUUGCCACCGGGUUGGACUGUCGAGUGGGACCCUACCUCGGCUGAGGAGGAGCACGAGGAGUGAUGGGACAGGCUUCCCCAUCCCUCUGUUUAUUUACCGUUAGUUUUAUUCCGCUGCACUUCGAACAAUGAUGACUACUUUUGCAAAACUCCGAUGAUGAUGUAAUAAUUUAAUACUCUUUAAUGCAUGGUUUUAUGCUUUAUUGUAUUUGCUCUGUGACUCACCUUCGAGUGAGAUUGUGGUACUUGAUCCUGUCAGUGGCCAUGUCAGACUAGAUCCGAGGGAUUGACGGGUUAUUCCCAUUUAAGUGUGGUCUAGCCUCUAAGGCGGGGCUCAGGCACUUAAGUUGGAAUAAUUCGGAUAGUUCCGCCAUAGAUGGGAAGCUUCGACAUCCAGCCGAUGGGAAGCAGUGGCAAGAUUUCAAUGAGAACCACCGAGACUUUGCCGAUGAACCAAGAAAUGUUAGGUUCGCACUGAGUACUGAUGGAAUGAAUCCAUUUGCUGAAAGGAGCAGCAAGCAUAGCACAUGGCCAGUGAUCCUCACCAUAUACAACCUUCCUUCAUGGUUGAUGCAGAAACGGAAGUACAUUUUGCUAACCAUGCUUAUUUCUGGACCUACACAACCUGGAGUUGAUAUGGAUGUAUUUUUAGAGCCCUUAAUGGAGGAUAUGAAAAUAUUGUGGGUAACGGGUGUUCAAAUGUUGGAUGAGUAUCGUAAAGAUUCAUUCACGCUGAGAGCAAUUAUUUUUGUUACGAUCAACGAUUACCCUGCACUCUUCACAUUAUCAGGCCAUUUUAAGGGAAAGGUUGGCUGCACAGUAUGCAUUGAUGAAACUGCUUACGUGUCCCUUACUGCAUCUAAGAAGAUAGUGUACAUGAGGCACAGACGCUUUUUAUUGGAAGGACACAGGUACCGCAUGCGAAAGAUGGAUAAGUACUUUGACAAUAAUGGUGAACUACAUUCUACUGCUCCAUCGGGUAACAAUAAAGGUCAUAGAGUUUUUGAAAUAGUCAGGAAUAUCAAGUUUGUUUUUGGGAAGAAGACAAAAGACGGAAAAACAAGGAAGGAUGUCAAACCAGCUCCGGGGGCUAUAUUCAAGAAAAAGUCUAUUUUCUUCGAGUACUUGCCUUACUGGAAAGAGUUAGAUGUGCGGCAUGCGAUCGAUGGUAUGCACGUUCAGAAGAACGUGUUUGAAAGCAUAAUUGGCACCUUGCUAGACAUAAAGGGCAAAACAAAAGAAGGGCUCAAUUCACGCAUGGACUUGGUAAAUUUAGGCAUAAAAAAGGAACUACAUCCUGUUCUUCAAGAAAAUGGGAAGUAUCAUCUCCCAGCAGCAAGCUACAAUCUCAAUGUAGAUGAGAAACAUGCGAUGUGUGUUUGGCUUAAGAAUUUGAAAGUCCCAUCCGGAUUCUACUCUAGCAUACGAAGUAUUGUGUUAAUGAAAGACCUGAUAGUCACCAACUACAACUCACAUGAUUGUCAUGUCAUGCUGACUACAUUCCUACCUAUUGCCAUCAGGGCUAUAAAUCCUUUGUUUUUAAAGAUGGCAAGCACACGGUUGUGCUACUUUUUCAACAGAAUUUCACAAAAGAUAAUUGACCGUGAUGAGUUGGCAUCUCUUCAGGAAUUCGCAGUGGAGACAAUAGCACAGUUUGAGAUGUGUUUCCCUCCAUCGUUCUUUGAUAUUAUGGUGCACCUUGUGGUGCACUUGGUGCCACAAAUAGAGGCAUUGGGUCCUAUGUACUUGCAUGAAAUGUGGACGUACGAGCGUUUCAUGUCAAUACUGAAUGGCUAUGUAUCAACCCGUGCUCGUCCCGAGGCAUCCAUGAUAGAGGGGUACUGUACUGAAGAGGCCAUUGAGUCCGGAGGUCCAUUCUGCAAUAAUAUCCUAAAAGAUCAGGUUGCAAUAGGUCUGCCUCCGUCACGACACGAGGGUAGAUUGUAUGGAAGCGGGAGGAUGGGACGGAAAUCUUUCAUUCCACCAGAUUACAAUAUAGUACUUGAGGCACAUCACAGCAUCCUACAUCAGCUAGCGAUAAUAGAGCCAUUUAUCCAACAACACAUCAAUGAGCUUCACGAGCAAAAUCCUGGGCAUACGGCUGAUUGGGUAAUGAAGCAACAUAAGCAGCGGUUCAACACAUGGCUAAUGGUGAAGGACAUUCCACGUGGAGAAACAAUAGAAGAAAAAACUAUCAAGGGGUUGGCAUCUGGACCAUCACGCUAGGUCACAACAUGGCAAACCUAUGACAUUAGUGGAUUCACAUUUUGUACAAAGUCCAAGGACAAAAAGAGCAUGUCACAAAACAGUGGUGUUCGAUGCGAGGCCAUAGAUGAUGAAACUGGUGAGAUUAUUACAUAUUUUGGCUUUAUUGAGGACAUAUGGGAACUAGACUAUGGUACAUUUCAGAUCUCGGUUUUCCGAUGUCAAUGGGUUGAAGACAAACAUGUCACGGUAGACAACUAUGGGGUCAGAGUUCUUGAUCUAAGUAAGGUAGGUUACAAAGAUGACCCAUGGAUCCUUGCUAAUCGUGCUGCACAGGUCUUCUAUGCUGAACAGAUCAUUUCUAACAAUGAGAAGAAAAGCACCGACAAACCGAAGCAUGUAGUUUUUCCUAGAAAACAACAAGCUAUAGGAGUUGAUGGUGUAUCUGAUUUAGAGGAUUUUAACCAGUUCAACGACAUGUCUCUUUUCAUAGACCAUCCAACCAAGAUAAGGAACGUUGAGCGAAGCAUCCCACGCAAUUCGAUGCCCUGGGUACGCCACGAUGGACAAGGCAGAACAAUAGCUCCCUAGAUUAUAUAGUUGUCAUGUAAUUGAUUAUUGUUAGGACAUGUCAUGUAAUUGAUUAUUGUUAGCGACAAACCGAAGCAUGUAAUUUUACACGACUUUCUAGUGACUUUCUAGAGAGGAGAGGGAGAGGGAGAGAGAGCUAUUGUUGCCAAUGCGCUCGGAGCAGGUCCAGCACUUACCGUCCGUGCGGAUGCAGCACUUUGCACAUCCAGAAUGCCUGUUCUUGCACUGAUUUUACACAGAGCAGAGCAUCAUGCUGGAGCCUACCGAUCAAUAUGUACUGUAUAUAUACAUGCAUGGUAAUCUGACUUGCCAUGAAAACUUCGGACUGGAAGGGUAGGCAGCAGAUGUCGCACUCCAGCGCGUCCUUCUCCACGGAUAGUGUCACAGUCGCCUCUUCCUCAUCCUCCAACCCCGCCUCUUCCUCAUCCUCCACCACCACCUUGGCUUUCUUUGGAGUGUCGCCGUUAGAGGAAGCCGUGGUCUUUUUCCCAGUCAUGGUUUAUCACCUAGAACGUGAGGUAAAAUAAAAGCAGGGAGGACUAUUCGACUAAUAUAUACAUAUCAGGCAGUAAGAAACAAGCAUCUUCAAAGAACAUGUUGUGAAAGAACUUGGAAAGAUGUUUACCAGAUCUGAUACUUGUGAAAGAACUUCACACCAAUGGUGAUGAGAGACGCGAAGCCAGGAGACGACGUAGUAUUUAAACACUGCAAGAACGGGCAUUCUAGUGACAGAGGAGGGAGAGAGAGGGAAGAGAGAGGAGGGAGAGAGGAGAGAGAGAGGAGAGAGAGAGGAGAGAGAGAGGAGAGAGAGAGAGGGAGAGGGGAGAGAGAGGAGCUAGGGAGAGGAGAGAGAGGAGAGAGAGAGGAGAGAGAGGGAAGAGAGAGGAGGGAGAGGGGAGAGAGAGGAGAGAGAAAGGAGAGAGAGAGGGGAGAGAGAGAGGAAGGAGAGAGAGAAGUAAUAUAUAAAUAUAUAUAUUAUGUAUACUAAAUAUAUAUAUUUAUAUAUUUAAUAUGUAUAAAAAUUUAUAUACUUAAUGUAUGAAUAUACAAUAAAAAAUAAUAUACUAAAAACAUUACUACUGGCGGUUCACAACGAAAACCCCCAGUAUAUAUGAUUUCUACUGGCGGUUGUCGAUGAAAACCGCCAGUAGAAAUGGCCUCCACAAUCUGUGGAUGGCAUUUCUACUGGCGGUUGUCGAUGAAAACCGCCAGUAGAAAUGGCCUCCACAGUCUUUGGAUGGCAUUUCUACUGGCGGUUCUCUAUGACAACCGCCAGUAGAAAUGAUUUCUACUGGCGGUUGUCAUUGUCAACCGCCAGUAGAAAUAUCUCCUAUAUAAAGGAGCGCGCGCGGGGGCGAAAAUUUCGCUAAGUCUCUGGCGCCCUGUCUUUCACACUUCCCGCCGUCAGGCUGCGAAAAUUUCGCCCGACGAUUUUCUCCGUCGUGCGUCGCCGUCGUUCACGCCGUCGUCCCCGCGCCGUAGGUAAGUUCUUCUCUCUCUCUCUCCCUUUCUUCGACUUUUCGCUCGGGCUCGGGCAUGCGCGCCGCCGCCGCCGUGCACGCGCCGCCGCUAAACCCUAAGCUAGCCUAGGAAGAGUGAGAGAGUGAGAGGGAAGAGAGAGGAGGAAGAGGGAAGAGAGGGAGACCCCUGCGCGCGUCUCUGCAGAGAGUGAGAGAGAGGGAGAGAAGAUAGAGGAGGGAGAGGGAAGAGAUAGUAGAGGAGAGAGAGGGAAAGGGAAGAGAGAGGAAAGAGAGUGGAGGGAGGGAGAGAGAGAAGAGAGAGGAGGGAGAGGGAGUGUAUAUAUAGGAAAGAGAGUGGAGGGAGAGAGAGAGGAGAGAGAGGGAAAGGGAAGAGAGAGGAAAGAGAGUGGAGGGAGGGAGAGAGAGAGAAGAGAGAGGAGGGAGAGGGAGUGUAUAUAUAGGAAAGAGAGUGGAGGGAGAGAGAGAGAGAUGAGAGAGAGGGAAAGGGAAGAGAGAGUGGAGGGAGGGAGAGAGAGAGAAGAGAGAGGAGGGAGAGGGAGUGUAUAUAUAGGAAAGAGAGUGGAGGGGGAGAGAGAGAGAGGAGAGAGGGGGAAAGGGAAGAGAGAGGAAAGAGAGGGAGAGGGAGGGAGGGAAGAGAGAGGAAACGGAGGGAGAUGGAGAGAGAGAGAGAGGAGAGAGCAACGGAAAGCAUGUUUUUUCCAUCGUAUUCCAUUGUAAACAACGUAUUCUAUUGUAUUCUAUUGUAAACAAUGUAUUCCAUUGUAUUCCAUUGUAAACAAUGUUUUUUUGGCUUCCACUCUCUAGUAAACAAUGUAUUCCAUAGUAGUACUAUUAGCUAGUGAAAUUAGGAGACGACGUACGACACACUUGCGUUGCUUCGAUUAAGAGCAACUCAUCAGAACCCCAUUUGACCAGAGCGAGUUCUCAUCACCUCUCUCCCUCUCUAUAUGUCCUAUACGACUCCUCCUCUCUCCCUCUCUCUCUCUCUCUAUACGUUCUAUACGACUCUCCAUCUCCCUCUCUCCCUCUCUAUACGUCCUAUACGACUCCUCCUCUCUCCCUCUCUCUCUCUCUCUAUACGUUCUAUACGACUCUCCAUCUCCCUCUCUCCCUCUCUAUACGUCCUAUACGACUCCUCCUCUCUCCCUCUCUCUCUCUAUACGUUCUAUACGACUCUCCAUCUCCGUCUCUCCCUCUGUCCCUCUCUAUACGUCCUAUACGACUCCUCUCUCCCUCUCUCUCUCUCUCUAUACGUUCUAUACGACUCUCCAUCUCCCUCUCUCCCUCUCUCCCUCUCUAUACGUCCUAUACGACUCCUCCUCUCUCCCUCUCUCUCUCUAUACGUUCUAUACGACUCUCCAUCUCCCUCUCUCCCUCUCUAUACGUCCUAUACGACUCCUCCUCUCUCUCUCUCUAUACGUUCUAUACGACUCUCCAUCUCCCUCUCUCCCUCUCUCCCUCUCUAUACGUCCUAUACGAUUCCUCCUCUCUCCCUCUCUCUCUCUCUCUAUACGUUCUAUACGACUCUCCAUCUCCCUCCCUCUCUCCCUCUCUAUACGUCCUAUACGACUCCUCCUCUCUCCAUCUCUCUCUACGUCCUAUACGACUCUCCCUCUCUAUACAUAACUCGAUAAUAUUCGUAUCACAAUAUUAGGGGUUAGGGUUAGGGCUUAGGGUUAGUGUUAGUGGUUAAGGGUUAGGGUAUUUGUUAAUAUGAAUUUAAUUAUUGCUUAUGUUAAUAUGUAGCUCAAUGAGUUCUCCAACCAAGGACCAAGGAUUAGGGCCCGACCACAUGGACAAGAGUGUUGCUCAAGAAGAAUCCAACAGUGAAGGAUAUGAAACGCCUAGCGACCCUUUUCCUACCACUAGGAUAGAUAGGGCCGCUGCGCGUGAGUUGCAACGUGACCCUACUUAUGAUCCACAAGAACAUGAGGUAAAUUACACAUCCUUAAUUUCGUGUGUGUACCUAAUUAAUUAGCUGAUUUCACAAUGUCUAUUACACAUGCAUGAUUUCUUGUGCAUUUUAUUACAUGAAUAGGAGGUCUUGUCUCAAUUUCGUGCGAUGCUCGAAAAAGCUGCGGCACGAUACCAAGACGCACCGGAACCGACCCAAGACGCACCGGAACCGAUCCAAGGCGCACCGGAACCGACCCAAGGCGCACCGGAAUCGACCGAGACAACCACCGAGAGGUCAAGGAAAAGGAAGCAGAGCGAUCGGAACAGAGGUGACAGGGGGCUAAACAAGUUUCCUGACAAGACAUAUAAAAUCACAGACGUGAGCCCGAAUGGUCAGCCCCUAGCUCCAGAAGAGGCACUGUCUAAGUUCCGGAAUGCACUUGGGUUCUUAGUUAGAGAUAAUCUUGACAUCACAAUCCGACAGUGGAGAGAUGUAUCAAAUGAUGUCAAGAAUCAAAUGUGGAAUAAGCUAGUAACGAGGUUCGUUUUGCCUGGGGGUUCAGAAGAACUCGUGAAAAAAUACACGAUGAAGCAGUUUGCAAUCAAUUUCCGAAACUGGAGGUCUGAGAUGAAUACAAAGUUUGCAAAGAAAGGCCUAGACCCGACGAAAAAAUAUAAAAUCUCAGCAGGUCAGUGGGCAGUAUUUCUAGAGCAGAGGAGCAGCCCUGAUUUCAUAUCGCUAAGUGAGGCAAAUUCAGAACUGUCUAAGAAGAACAAAUAUCGCCACCACCUUGGCACAGGUGGUUACAAGCGUCAGGUUCCUAAAUGGAGACAAGAAGACGCCGAGAAGAAGGCUGCAGGGUUGCCGACUCUGUCCGAGCAACUUGGUGAAAGGACAGCUAAUUGGAUCCGUGCUAGAAAACCAAGGGAAACUGAGUCUGGUGUAUCUUUUGAUGAUCCCACUGUCAAAGAAGCGGCAAAAAACAUAUAUGCAAUUGCAGCUAAGCAGAGCGAAGGAACAUUUAAGCCGCAAAGGGAGAAAGACAUUCUAACGGCUGGUCUCGGUAACCCUGAGCAUCCUGGUCGUGUACGAGGAAUCUCAUCUAAGGAAGGAUGGAAGGAAGGAUUCGGACCACAAUGGGAAGGUCUGUACAAGAAACGUGAUCGAUACAAGGAAGAGAUGGCAAAUUAUUUUAAGGAGGAGGCCAAGAAAGAGUUCAAAGGCCUGAUGUCUGAAAUGCUAUCGAAUCCUCCUCUAGAAUUGAUGCAGCAAUUGGCGAUGGCGAGUGCGAUGUCUGUUCAACAGAUGACCACUCCACAUAUGCAAAUAAUUCCAGCAACUCAAACGCCGGCUGCCACCGAGGGUACGACCAUCCCAAGCUAUGUCGCGUCAACGGGAAAUUAGGUCCGCUAUCCAGUUGAUGACAUCACAAGGCCUGUGGCAUGCGCACUAGUUAUAAGAUAUGGUAUUAACAAUCAGCGUACAAAGAAAGUAGCCACAGGCCUUGCGAUCCCAGGACGCAAGUUCCAUGGAAACAACAUUCCAGAAGAAUAUUGCAGGGUAGAAGUGACGACAGUCGUCCAAGGAUACGAGGACGACAUGCUUGACAUCCCUGGGCCCGAAGGUAUCGAGACACUUGGACAAGCUAUCAAGAAUUUUAUCCUUUGGCCUCGAAGGGAUGUCGAAUUGGUUGAUUGGUCGAAUUCGUCGCAGGCCCAACCGUCUCCGCCUUCUCAAAUUGUUGUUCCUAUUGUACAUCCAUCAUCACCUCCUCAAACUUCACAUGCUGCUCCUCAUCCUCUUUCUGACCCUCCUUCUCCUCAUCCUCAUGGUGGCCCACCAUCUCCGCCACAUACAUCGCCCUUCAGGGAUCCACCUUCUCCACAGCCAUCUCCACGACCAUCAAAGAAAUCUAAAGUUUCUAUACCAAAAGUAGUGUCCCCGUUUGAUAAGAAAAAGAAGAGUAAAUCCACUGCUGGCACUGUUCGUUUUUUGAAAGGGAUUGGACGGAGCCUCACGUCAGACACUGUUGAUUUGGCCGAUCUCGAGGAGUCCGCAAAAAAGGCUGAGGCAAUGGCCGCAAAGAUAAAGAAGCCAACUAAGGCAUAUUAUAAAAACGUGCCUAAAAAUAUGUGUCGGGCAGACCACUACUCACUUUUGAGAAACUAAGGAAGGUCCUGGCUAAUAUUAAAAGGUUGCAUGAUUGGUACAUGCGGGCAUCUUCAGUUGGCAUCGACACCAUCAGUGUUAAUAUACCAGCCCAUGCUUUUAUUGGUUCAAAUCAAAAGGCCGUUGUUACAUUCGAGGAUAUGUGGUUAAUGAUGAACCUUCAGAGACUCGACGUGCAACUUGUAACCAUAUUUGCAUUGUAAGUGUCACUCAUACUCCACAUAUAUGUGUUAUUAUUAGUGAGUUGUAUAAAUUUUCAAUAUCUGACAUGCACGUGUGCGUUGCAGAAUGCAACAUGAUCAGCAGGAGAUCCUUUAUGGUACCAAUCCCAAUGCUAGUGCCAGUAAAAGGGUUGGGUAUCUCAACCCAAUAAAGAUAUGCGAGGAUAACCACACUUUUAGAAUCGGAAAAGGCAACGAAACAUUACAGGGGCUAACAGACGAAGAAAUUGAGGUGCGUAUCCAGGAUCUGAAGAAGGAUUUUGAAGCAAGAUACGCCACCUACAUAGGACACGCAAUGCUUCAAUUUCAAGACAGGGAAUCCAUAGUGGCCCCGUACAACUUUAAGUAAGUGUGAUUUUGCAUAAAUAAAAUUAAUAAUUUCAAUACACAUGUAUCACAAGUUUGAUUCGUACAGGGACCACUGGAUAUGCUUCUUCAUUUAUCCUAAGGUUGGAAAGGUGCUGGUGCUCGACUCCUUGCACACCGAGCCUUCGGCCUAUUCAAAAUUCCGCAGCAUCUUAGAGUUGUAAGCCUUUUCUAUGCAUGCAUACUUAUAUCGAUGAGAAUUGUAGAAUAACAUGGUGAUUCUAUUUGAGAUCACAGGGCAUUUAGGUUUUAUAAGCUACAUGGUGGAAAGUACGACACGUCCAAAAAAGGUGUGCCACUAGACAUCCAUUAUAACUGGCCAGUAAGUAUGUGAAUUUAUGAAUACAUAUCAUACAUGUACGUACAUAGGACAAUGUUGCAACUAAAUAACCAAUCUCCCGUUAUGUAGUGCCACAAGCAACCACCCGGAUCGGUCCUAUGUGGGUUCUACGUGUGCGAGUUUAUGAGAAUGAAUGGACGAUACAUCACGAACCCUGGCAAGGUAUUAUUAGUAAUAGUCACGUAUGUAUUUAUGUCAUUAAAGAUGCAAAUGUGUUAUUAUUGAGUAUAAAUAGAUGAUGUUUAUAAACUUCCUUUACAGCAAUUUCAAAAAGGAAGCCCGGAGAACUUGACUGAAGGUGCAUUGUAUGGCAUAGUUGAGGACCUGUGCACAUUCAUAUUGAAAGAGGUCAUUCCCGCAGAAGGGAAAUAUCACGAUGCUUCCGGAACAUUAGCUUUGCCAGAGUUUAGAAUACUAACAGAAAUUAGUAGACUAUCUCUUAGCCGAGAUAGUUAUUAGAGCUUAAGUGAAAACUUUGAUGUAUAUAAUGUGUGAUGCAUACAUGGUUGUAAACAAGACUUUGAUGUAUAUAAAUGUAUGAUAGAAUUUAAUUUCAUGUUGCUUUUAGUAUCAAUACUACAUGUUUAUCAAUAUCAAUAUAUAUAUAUAUAUGUUUGUGUGUGUAAAUAUAUAAAUUUCAGUACGAAAAUUUAAAAAAAGACGGGAAACAUUUCCACUGGCGGCUAAAUAAAACAAACCGCUGGCGGUUUUCUUAAUAAAACCGCCAGUGAAAAUAGCAUUUUCACUGGCGGUUGCUUAAGAAAACCGCCAGUGGAAAUGCUUUUUCCACUGGCGGUUAUUGAAUGGAAAUGGCGAUUUCCACUGGCCCCUAACACUGGCGGCACUGAAAAGCGCCAGUGAAAAUGUCUCUAGAACCGCCACUAUAGAGGCUGUGUGUACUAGUGAUGUAAUCAGAGUAUCUUUUUCUUGGAGACAGACUAUGCAUUUCCAAGGAUGUAGCAAAUUUGUAGGAAAGUAAAUGAUAUGUAUAUUUAGUGGUCCAUAUAUCGAAACAUGCCCUCAUGAAAAAAAUGCCUCCAAAAAUGGCAUGUAUAUUUAACCUUUUGCUUGUUUUCCACUCUUUGGAAUUCGAUCAUGAACCCGAACAAAAGGAUUACAUAUACUAGAAUUUGGAAGUCUCAGUAGUAUAUAAGGUUAGCGGUGCAUGCUGCCAACUUAAUUAGCUUGCUGCUGAAGGUCCAUAGCCCGCUGUGCCGGAUGAAUCGAAGGGAAUUCAAAGUCUAGUAGAAUUGGACGUUGGAAGUGUAGACGGCAUCGGGUCUCCAGUUCGCCGGGAUGACGUCUUUGGCGAUGACCUUCUUGCCGGACUCGCUGGUGAGGCGGAUGGAGAAGGGGCCCUUGAGCGCCUUGGCAGUGUCCAUCCUCCAGAUGGCGCCCCAAGAGAGCUUCAUGGGCUUCCACUCAGCCGACAACUUGUCCUGGAUUUCCAUCAGCACGAUGUCGCCGUCGUCCGCCACAUACUUCACCAGCACGGCCAGGUAGUUGGGGUUGCAGCCCUUCUCGAUGUGGAACACGAUCUUCUGCCCGGCGGGGUACUUGCAUCGCACCCUGCAGGAGAGGAGGUUCAUUCAACAUGCAUUAUCUUCUGUCCUGUCCACCAAGAUAUACGAUGCAUGAAUUACUAUGUACCUUCUGAACUCGACGUCCAUGAUGCCGCAGUGGCGAAUCUUGUCGUUGAGCCCGGGCUUUGCCAGGGAGCCGAAGGCCUUGCCGCUCAAGUCGAAGUGGUAGGGAGCGAUAGGCUCGUAGUUCAUGUCAGUGAUGUACACCGUGACUGGAUUGCCCGAGCACUCAGGUUUUUCCUUGCAUCUCACCUGAAGAGUAAAUUAAUUAAGCAGUUAGCUAGAUAUGUCCAUGCAUGCAAACUAAUUAAUGCAUGCUUAUAUAUGCACCUCGUAGCAUGAGCCGCAGCCCUUGCCGUCCUUGAAGAUGGGGACGUUGCCGCACGCCGUCAUGCCGCUGUAGGGUGGCAGGUUCACGUUCUUGAUCCCGCACGCACCGCCUGCGCACCGUUUUAAUCGCAUCACAUUACAUGAAGGAGGAGUAUAAACAUGUAUCCCGCUCGUACCGUUGUCAGGAGCGCCGGCACCGUUGGGCUGACCGUACCAGGUGGCCCUAGCGGUGAGCCACUUGCCGUUGUAGUUGGUGGUGAUGUUGGGGCCGGGUGGCACCUUCGGGGGCCCGCACGACCCGCCGGCGACGAGCGCCGCAAGGACGGCGCCCACGACCAUGAUGUUAUUAACGAGGGAUCCCAUCGUCGCGCUCACCUGUGUUAUUCGAAAUGCCGCUCUGUGUGUGGUUGAUAGACGACGGUGCUGGGAUAGCUACUUAUAGGGAGGACGGGUGGCUCAGCAGAGAGUUCGCCGGCGACGCAUGCAGCGGCCGGCCGUUAGCGCCUGACGGACGACGAUGCGAUGUGCGGGCUUCACGUAGGCCGCUGCAUGCUCUAGGGCUGCCCGGGCUUACCGGUGGUUAGUUUAUUUCACCAUGAUCGGGCCUAAUCGAUCCGCAUAAGAACACUGUGACGAUCGAACAUAAUAUUUGUCAGCACAUCAAUACAACUCCUUAGUUAGACUGUGAGCCCCCUAAUAAAGCCUAAAAGGCCAAACUCAGGCUCAACACACACUAUAGAAGAAGAACAUGCAUGCUUCCUGAUCUGUCCUUUAAUAAUUUUAGUUCUUGUUUCCUAAUUGUUGACGCUUUUUCAGACCAAACACUAACUAACCUUAAAGCAUGCGUGCAUCGUGGAAGAUCUUAAAGACUUCUCUGUGAGCUUGGCAAACCGUCUAUUUUAGAUCACCAGACUGGACCGUCCAUGAUGUCCCACAGAGCUCCGGGAAAAAACAUAAAUCCCGCCUCCCAGGAGACACUACUGGAGACGGCUUCUUUGUCAAGUCCAAAAGGCAGCAAAGAGCCCUCAGUGAACCAAACGUUGGCAACGGUCUCUUUGUCGAGUACUUUCUAUCGGGCACUCAGUAAAGUCUUUACCGAGUGCCAACUGGUACACGACAAACAAAAGACAUCGUGACGAUGACAGAGCCUUUGCUGAGCAUCCGAGUUCCUCGCUUAGUGGCACUCGGCAAAGAAAGCUUCUGUGAGGCCCAGUCGCAGUUCCAAUGUCGAGUGCUUGGGAUGGAACUCGACAAAGGAGCCUAGUUUGCCGAGUGUCUUGGCCAUAGCACGCGGUAAAGCAAGUUUCCCUAUGUCUAUGUAUGUUUUUCUACCGAGUUCUAUGACCAUUGCACUCAGCAAAGGCACCCUUUGCUGAGUGCAAUGCUCGUCAAAGUGAUCAAGGACCCCUUUUUAUUUGUUUUUAAUAUUUCGUCCAAACAAACAUAAGAUAUUAUCAUAAACAUUGAUGCCUAGAUGUCCUUCACAUGAAAUCAUAGAACCUCAAUGUAGACGGGCUAGGUUUCUACACAUAGCGCGUGACAACUUUCAUGAAACAAUCUCAAAUUUUUAUUAGAGUCUCUACAUAUGAUAUCAUGACAUGUCAACAAGUUUCAUGAUUUUCUGACUUUGUUUUUGUUUUAUACAAUUUUAAAACAACUUGAUCACAAGUCCGCAAUCAUGUUUUGUGAGAAUGGUGUUCGAAAAUUCUCGCAUGUUCCUGAAAUAGAUCAUAACUUGUGCUAAAUAACAUGAAUGUCAUUUUUGUAUUCACUGUUUUCCAUUUUUCAAGUGGCUUGUAGUUCAAAUCUGAAUUAUCCAAAGAAAUCCAAUUAAGCAAACUAAAUCUGAUAGUUAUAGCAAACACUUUUAUAAUUGUGCCAAAAUUGAACAAAUAGGUCUAUAUAUUGUAGAAACACACCACAAAAAGUUUGGGGAAAAAGAAAAAACAAAUAUACUUUGUCGAGUGUCAAGGAAAGACACUCGGCAAAACAUAGGUUUACCAAGUGUUUGCCCAGUGACACUCGACAAAAAAGAUAUUUUGUCGUGUGUCAACGCCUGACACUCGCGAAGUUAAUAGCCAUCAACUAUAGAUGGCUGCUGACGGUCCUUUGCCGAGGGUCGCAUUUCGCUGAGGGUUUGACACUCAGCAAAGUCUUCUUUGCCGAGUGUCUUUUUACGCCGAGUGUUUCUCCCUCGGUAAACAAGGUCUUUGUCGAGAGUCUUAUUUCGCCAAGACUGGCACUCGAUAAAGAAUGCUUUGUCGAGUGCUCGAUAAAGUGCACUCGGCAAAGAGCUAGAUUUCGAUAGUGCCAGUAGCUAGAUUUCACUAUGAUGAUUGCGAGCUAAUCCGUGAGUGAGAAACAAAAUGCAUAAUACUUAGUCCUUGACUCACUCAUGUGAUACUACAUCAAACAUUUGCUUGUCAUAGAUUAAUUAGAAUAAUUUAUAUCAUUUUUAGUCUUCACAUGUAUAAUUAGUUUUGUAGUUAUACUAUAUUUGAUGCUCAUGAUUCAUAAUCCAACGUACACAUGCACUAAGCUUUAGUAAAAAACCAAACACCCCAUUAGUCAAUGAGCGCAACUCGAAGAAUUUAGGCUACGGUUAGCUGAUCGUGCAUCAACGAAUAAGGUCGUGCAAAACACGGUUUUGCAUUGUAGACAAUACUGUUUGUCGAGAGGAAAUUAAAAUGAGAAAUGUAGAUUAAGAUGCUGGAGAUAGUCUUAGGAGUCAUUUGAUACUUUUGCUUUCAGGAGAGUCUCCAUUUGUUCUAUGCUUAUGGAUGGAGAUCCUUACUUGAUAGGUCAAAAGAGAUAGCAACUUAAUUUUUGGGAUGGAAAGAGAUCGUAGUAUGAAGUGGUACAUUGCAUGCUUUAAUAAAUUAAUUUUAAAUAUGUCACUCAAUUUUUAUAAAAUUAGAUAGCUAAUUUAUUUAGAUAUUACCAUAUAACAUCCAAAUAAAUUAGCUAUCUAAUUGUGCAAAAAGUUGAAUGAUAUAUUUCUAGUUGACCCUUUUGUUGUUAGUAUGAUUGUUAUGUCAAGAGAUGAGCAAACAGGAAGACCAACCAAUUUGCUUGUCCACCAAAAGCCCGUGGAGAAAUUUUCCAUGCAGUUCAGCCCAAGAAACAUACAAUAUCGAUGAUAGGAGAAUCGCUAAGAGGACUAAACUCUAAUUUAGCAAGUUGUUAAAUAUAUGUUAGGAACAAAAAUAACCUUAGUCUACAACAGUUUUCAAUUUUUAGGUUAUUAAAUAUUUUUAAAUAGGGAUAUUCAUGGUGUGAUUGGUGAGCAAAACAGGCUAUUGGGAGUGCAAAACAACUCCCCAAGUUUAUGGAGUAAAUAGGGAUAUUUAGUAAGUUAGUACAUUUAGGGAUCUCAUUCAAGAAACAGUUGGAGCAUGAUUUUUUGACGAUCGAACAUAAUAUUUAUGAGCACAUCAAUACAACUCCUUAGCUAGACUGUGAGCCUCCUAAUAAAGCCUAAAAGGCCAAACUCAGGCUCAACACACAUAUAGAAGAAGAACAUGCAUACCUCCCGAUUUGUCCUUUAAUAAUUUUAGUUCUAGUUUCCUAAUUGUUGAUUCUUUUUCGGACCAAACACUAACUAACCUUAAAGCAUGCGUGCGUCGUGGAAGAUCUUAAAGACUUCUCUGUGGACUUGGCAAACCGUCCAUUUUAGAUCACCAGACUGGACCGUCCAUGAUGUCCCACAUAGCUCUGGGAAAAGAACAUAAAUCCCGCCUCCCGGGAGACACUACUGGAGACGGUUUCUUUGUCAAGUCCAAAAGGCAGCAAAUAGCCCUUAGUGAACCAAACGUCGGCAACGGUCUCUUUGCCGAGUACUUUCUAUCGGGCACUCAGUAACGUCUUUACCGAGUGCCAACUGGUACACGACAAAGAAAAGACAUUGUGACGAUGAUAGAGCCUUUGCUGAGUGUCCGAGUUCCUCGCUUGGUGGCACUCGGCAAAGAAAGCUUCCGUGAGGCCCAGUCGCAGUUCCAAUGUCGAGUGCCAAGCACUCGACAAAGGAGCCUAAUUUGUUGAGUGUCUUGUCCAUAGCACGCGGUAAAGCAAGUUUCCCGAUAUCUAUGUAUUUUUUUCUACCGAGUUCUAUGACCAUUGCACUCAGCAAAGGCACCCUUUGUUGAGUGCAAUGUUCGUCAAAGUGAUCAGGGACCCCUUUUUAUUUGUUUUGAAUAUUCCGUCCAAACAAACAUAAGAUAUUAUCAUAAACAUCGAUGCCUAGGUGUCCUUUACAUGAAAUCAUAGAACUUCAAUGUAGACGGGCUAGGUUUCUACACAUAGCGUGUGACAACUUUCAUGAAACAAUCUCAAAUUUUUAUUAGUCUCUACAUACGAUAUCAUGACAUGUCGACAAGUUUCAUGAUUUUCUGACUUUGUUUGUGUUUUAUACAAUUUUAAAACAACCGGAUCGCAAGUUCGCGGUCAUGUUUUGUAUGAACAGUGUUCGAAAAUUCCGGUCUAUUCCUGAAAUAGAUUAACUUGUGCUAAAUAACAUGAAUGUCAUUUUUGCAUUCGUUGUUUUCCAUUUUUCGAGUGACUUGUAGUUCAAAUCUAAAUUAUCUGAAGAAAUUCAAUAAAACAAAUGAAAUCUGAUAGUUAUAGCAACACUUUUAUAAUUGUGCCGAAAUUGAACAUAUAGGUCCAUAUACUGUAGAAACACACCUCAAAAAGUUUGGGGAAAAAAGAAAAAAACCAAAUAUACUUUGUCGAGUGUCAAGGAAAGACACUGGGCAAAACAUAGGUUUGUCGAGUGUUUCCCGGUGACACUCGGAAAAAAAGAUAUUUUGUCGUGUGUCAACGCUUGACACUCUGCGAAGUUAACGGACGUCAACUAUCGACGGCUGCUGAUGGUCCUUUGCCGAGAGUCUUAUUUCGCCGAGAGUGACACUCGGCGAAGAAUGCUUUGUCGAGUGCCCGAUAAAAUGCACUAGACAAAGAGCCAGAUUUCGGUAGUGCUAGUACCUAGAUUUCACAAUUAUAUAUGAUUGCGAGCUAAUCCGUGAGUGAGAAACAAAAUGCAUAAUACUUAGUCCAUGAUUCACUCAUGUGAUACUACAUCAAACAUUUGCUUAUCAUAGAUUAAUUAGAAUAAUUUGUAUCAUUUUUAGUAUUCAUCUGUGUAAUUAGUUUUAUAGUUAUACUAUAUUUGAUACUCAUAAUUGAUAAUCCAAUGUACACAUGCACUAAACUUUAGUAAAAAACAUAAACACCCCAUUAGUCAAUGAGCGCAACUCGAAGAAUUUAGGCUACGGUUAGCUGAUCGUGCAUCAACGAAUAUGGUCGUGCAAAACACAGUUUUGAAUUGUAGACGAUACUAUUUGUCGAGAGGAAAUUAAAAUGAGAAAUGUAGAUGAUUAAGAUGCUGGAGAUAGUGUAAGGAGUCAUUUGGUACUUUUGCUUUCGGGAGAGUCUCCAUUCGUUCUAUGCUUAUGGAUGGAGAUCCUUACUUGAUAGGUCAAAAGAGAUAGCAACUUAAUUUUUGGGAUGGAAAGAGAUCGUAGUAUGAAGUGGUACGUUGCAUGCUUUAAUAAAUUAAUUUUAAACAUGUCACUCAAUUUUUAUAAAAUUAGAUAGCUAAUUUAUGUAGAUGUCACCAUAUAACAUGUAAAUAAAUUAGCUAUUUAAUUGUGCAAAAAGAUGAAUGAUAUAUUCCUAGUUGACCCUUUUGUUGUUAGUAUGAUUGUUAUGUCAAGAGAUGAGCAAACAGGAAGACCAACCAAUUUGCUUGUCCACCAAAAGCCAGUGGAGAAAUUUUCCAUACGGUUCAGCCCAAGAAACAUACAAUACCGAUGACAGGAGAAUCGCUAAGAGGACUAAACUCUAAUUUAGCAAGUUGUUAAAUAUAUAUUAGGAACAAAAAUAAUCUUAGUCUACAACAAUUUUCAAUUUUUAGGUUAUUAAAUAUUUUUAAAUUAAAUUUAUCAUUUUUAGUUUAAAUCAUUUUUGUGCACGAGUGCUUUAAUGGCAAACAAAGAGAUUUUCAUGGUGUGAUUGGUGAGCAAAACAGGCUAUUGGGAGUGCGAAACAACUCCCCAAGUUUAUGGACUAAAUAGGGAUAUUUAGUAAGUUAGUACAUUUAGGGACCUCAUUCAAAAAACUAUUGGAGCAUGAUUUUUUGUUACUAAGCCUAUCUGUAGUACAAAUUUCUCCACAUCAUUACUCUAUACCACUAUUUACAGUCUAGUCAACAAUAUUCCUUACUCUAUAUCACGGUCCUCUGCAUUCAUAUUCCUUUAUAUAUUCCUUCUAUAUCAACUACCACAUAUUAUAUUCAUCUUAGUCUAUCUAUCAUAUUCUUUUUCAAGCUACCAUAUAUAAAUUGUGUGUGAACAAAGCCGGUAGCGAAGGAAAUAGCUUACGCUUUGUAUGGGAGCCAUACCGGAACAGGUAGCACACACCACUGCAGACCAAUGCUCUCUAUAUUUGCGUUGGGGGAAUUGUAGCGAAUGUUGGUGCGGAUAGCCUAACACCCUAAAUUAAACUUAGAGUGUUUUUUGGAAACUAGUGGAGAUGCUCUAACAAUACUAUCUACUAGACCUCAUAUCAACAAUUUAGGUAAAACAACUAGCUCCAAUAGACCUUUUAGUAGAUCAAUUUAUAUUCUCCCGCCACUCAUUCCUGUUAUUGAGGUGUUUGCAAUUUCACAUCACCGGUAGUGUGCUUCACUACUAUGUCAUCGGGCCCACAGAUCAUAGACACAAAGGGACCCACAAAUCAUAGGCACAUAUGUAUAAUAGCAAAGAGGCAACACAUGUGGGUUGCAAAAUUACAAAUAUUCCCCUGUUGUCCCCUUACUUGAGUCAUAUGUCUUUGUCCCCACUUGACUCCACUUGGCACCCGCAGCCUCGACCAUCCAACUAAGUGGUCCUGACAUCCCCUAUCUUUACUAGCGGUGAAAACGGGUCAGAUAUACUAGGCCGAUAUCAAAUAUAGAUAGUAUGAAUAUCCAUUUUUUAGGAUACAUGUACAAAUACUUUUAUACCCUAAACGGAUACGAGUAGUACUCGGAUAAUGUAGAUUUAGUUUCAGAUCAGAUUCGAAGCCAAAACUACACACUAAAUAUCCAGAUAUUCGGGUCAGAUACGGGUUUCUAGGCUUGGGUACCCGUUUUUUAUUUCUCUAUAUAAUAGUUUUAUAAAAUCAUAACAUUUGCAUAUGGACUAAGAUGAAGAUAAAGUUUGUAUAAAGAAUUAUAGAGCUCGUAGAGUUCUACAACUUUGUAGUACAUCACAUUUUUGUUUGAACACAUCUUCAUGUCAAGAUCAUUGAAAUAAUGUCUAAAUUUAUAUUAAAGUAACAAACUAUACAUCACAUGUGUAACUUCAAUACUCCAUAGCUUAUUAAUAGACUAUAUAUUACAUAUGUUGGACUAUAUAUCUGUCGGGGACCAUAAUUAGGGGUACCCUCAAGACGCCUAAUUCUCAGCUGGUAACCCCCAUCAGCAUAAAGCUGCAAAGGCCUGAUGGGCAUGAUUAAGUCAGGGAUCAGUCCACACGAGUGACUCGAUCACGCUUCACCCGAGCCUAGCCUCGGCCGAAGGCAGCCGAUCUCGAGAGACUUCCGUCUCGCCCGAGGCCCCCUUUUUAUGGCGGACACAUCACCGGCUCGCCCAAGGCCUUGGCUUCGCUCAGAAGCAACCUUGACUAAAUCACCACACCGACUGACCAAAUUGCAGGGGCAUUUAACGCACAGGAGGCCUGACACCUCUAUCCUGACACGCGCCUCCGGCAGAGCCGAGGUGACCGCCGUCACUCCACCGCUCCACUGGCCAGUCUGACAGAAGGACAGCGCCGCCUGCGCCACUCCGACUGCAGCGCCACUCGACAGAGUAAGUCUGACAGUCAGUCAGGCCUCGCCAAAGGCGCCACGGCGAACUCCGCCCCGCCCGACCCCAGGGCUCGGACUCGGGCUAAGACCCGGAAGACGGCGAACUCCGCUCCGCCCGACCCCAGGGCUCGGACUCGGGCUAAGACCCGGAAGACGGCGAACUCCGCUCCGCCCGACCCCAGGGCUCGGACUCGGGCUAAGACCCGGAAGACGGCGAACUCCGCUCCGCCCGACCCCAGGGCUCGGACUCGGGCUAGGACCCGGAAGACGGCGAACUCCGCUCCGCCCGACCCCAGGGCUCGGACUCGGGCUAAGACCCGGAAGACGGCGAACUCCGCUCCGCCCGACCCCAGGGCUCGGACUCGGGCUAAGACCCGGAAGACGACGAAACUCCGCCUCGCCCGACCCCAGGGCUCAGACUCCGCCCUGGCCUCGGCCGAACGACUUCCGCCUCGACCGACCCCUUGGCUCGGGCUCGGCCACGGCAACAGAAGGCAGACUCAACCUCGGCUUCGGAGGAAACCCUACGUCGCCCUGCCUAGGGCACAGACCUCCACGUCAACAAGAGGCGCCAUCAUCAUCCCACCCCGAAUCGACUCGGGUCACGGAGAACAAGACCGGCGUCUCAUCCGGCCAGCUCCGCCAGAGAGGCAAUGAUGGCGCUCCACAAGCUCUAUGACGACGGCGGCCCCUAGCUCUCUUACGGAAGCAGGACAACGUCAGCAGGGACUCGACCGCUCCAACAGCUGUCCCUCCAUCAGGCUCCGCCGCACCUCCAACAGCCACGACAUCACGCCAGCAGGGUGCCCAGAUCUCUCCGGCUGCCACAUUGGCAUGUACCUAGGGCGCUAGCUCUUCCUCCGCUAGACACGUAGCACUCUGCUACAUCCCCAUUGUACACCUGGAUCCUCUCCUUACGACUAUAAAAGGAAGGACCAGGGCCUUCUCAGAGAAGGUUGGCCGCGCGGGACCGAGGACGGGACAGGCGCUCUCUUGGGGCCGCUCGCUUCCCUCACCCGCGUGGACGCUUGUAACCCCCCUACUGCAAGCGCACCUGACCUGGGCGCGGGACGAACACGAAGGCCGCGGGACUUCCACCUCUCUCACGCUCGGCUCCGGCCGCCUCGCCUCUCCCCCUUCGCGCUCGCCCACGCGCUCGACCCAUCUGGGCUGGGGCACGCAGCACACUCACUCGUCGGCUUAGGGACCCCCUGUCUCGAAACGCCGACAGUUGGCGCGCCAGGUAGGGGGCAUGCUGCGUGCUGACGAACAGCUCCCCGUCAAGCUCCAGAUGGGCAGUCUCCAGCAACCUCUCCGGCCCGGGACGGUGCUUCGUUUCGGGACUCUUGAGUUCAUGUCCUUCGACGGCAGCUACGACAUGACACUUCUUCCACCGCCGCGCGACUACGACAAUGGCGGCCGACAACCCGCCCGCCGGCGGCGGAAUCGACGACGUCUACCCCGCGUGGUGGAAGAGCAACAUUCGGGCUCGCUCCGUUCUCUCCCCCGCCAACGGAGGAGGAGGCGGGGCCGUCAAGGCCAGACGGGAGGCCACGCUUCGCCGGCCGUCGAGCGAAUCGACGCCCCCGACGCCCCGACGGAAGGCACGCCGGACGUCGACCUCGCGUUCGAGACGGAGGCAAGCGCCGUCCCCCCACGGCACGCUGACCCCGAGCAAGAAGACGACGCCGGCGCGCUCGCGGAAAGCCUGCAGGACGUCGCCCUCGAACCAGAGAUGACGGUGCAACCAGUCCCCGAUGUGACUACGUCGCUCCACGUCGACCAAAAGGUAACGACUAACUCCCAUCUUGCGUCAUUUCGACUCGGCCUCAACCCGCCAAACGACCUCGUUUUGGCGGGCGCUCUCAUUGAGGCGAGUGCAACCCCACUGAGGUUCUGUAUGCGGUCGCCUUGGGACCGACUGACGGACGUCUCGACCUACGGGCCCUCCGGGUCCGAGGAAGAUGACGAUCCCAGCAUCGGUUGGGAUUUCUCCGGACAUGGCAACCCCAGUGCCAUGCGGGACUUCAUGACCGCAUGUGACUACGGUCUAUCCGACCGUUCCGACGGAAGCCGCAGCCUCGGUGACGAGAGCUGCGGCCCAAGCCGCGAAUGUUUCCACAUCGAGCUAGGGGAUCCCACCGAAGGCAACCAUCUUGGCAUGCCGGAGGAUGGUGAUCUCCCUAGGCCGGUGCCUCGCGCCGACAUCCCACGGGAGCUAGCUGUGGUCCCCGCUCCGGCGGGGGGUUACGACCCACAACUCGAGCAAGUCCGCGAGGCGCAGGCCGGGCUCAACGAGGGAACAGGGGCGCUUGAACCGAUCCGUCGGGACGCCGGACAGGCAUGGGUGGGCCAACCCCUGGCCGUAGAAAUACGUCAUCUGCCCCAAGGUCUCCAGCACCGCGUCGCCAACGACGUCAGGAUCAGGCCGCCGCCCGCAUCCAGCGGGGUCGGUCAGAACCUGGCGACCGCAGCGAUGCUCAUCCGCGCGAUGCCGGAGCCGUCAACCACCGAGGGGCGGCGAAUACAGGGAGAACUCAAGAAUCUCCUGGAAGGCGCUGCGGCCCGGCGGGCCGAGAGCACUGCAUCCCGGAGGCAAGGAUAUCCCUCGGAACCUCAUGCCGCGACUUCCCGAUUCAUGCGGGAGGCCUCGGUCUACACCGGGCGCACGCGCAACACCGCGCCUGCGGCCCCGGGCCACCUCGGCAACGAGCACCAUCGACGCGACCGUCGGGCUCACCUCGACGAAAGGGUGCGCCGAGGCUACCACCCCAGGCGUGGGGGGCGCUACGACAGCGGGGAGGAUCGGAGUCCUUCGCCCGAACCACCCGGUCCGCAGGCCUUCAGUCGGGCCAUCCGACGGGCGCCAUUCCCGACCCGGUUCCGACCCCCGACUACUAUCACAAAGUACUCGGGGGAAACGAGACCGGAACUGUGGCUCGCGGACUACCGCCUUGCCUGCCAACUGGGCGGAACGGACGACGACAACCUCGACAUCCGCAACCUCCCCCUGUUCCUCUCCGACACUGCUCGCGCCUGGUUGGAGCACCUGCCUCCGGGGCAGAUUUCCAACUGGGACGACUUGGUCCAAGCCUUCGCUGGCAAUUUCCAGGGCACAUACGUGCGCCCUGGGAACUCCUGGGACCUUCGAAGCUGCCGGCAACAGCCGGGGGAGUCGCUCCGGGACUACAUCCGGCGAUUCUCGAAGCAGCGCACUGAGCUGCCCAACAUCACCGACUCGGAUGUCAUCGGCGCGUUCCUCGCCGGCACCACUUGCCGCGACCUGGUGAGCAAGCUGGGUCGCAAAACCCCCACCAGGGCGAGCGAGCUGAUGGACAUCGCCACCAAGUUCGCCUCCGGCCAGGAGGCGGUCGAGGCUAUCUUCCGAAAGGACAAGCAGCCCCAGGGCCGCCCGUCGGAAGAAGCUCCCGAGACGUCUGCUCCGCGCGGCGCCAAGAAGAAAGGCAAGAAGAAGUCGCAAUCGAAACGCGACGCCGCAGACGCGGACCUUGUCGCCGCCGCCGAGUAUAAGAACCCUCGGAAGCCCCCCGGAGGUGCAAACCUCUUCGACAAGAUGCUCAAGGAGCCGUGCCCCUACCAUCAGGGGCCCGUCAAGCACACCCUCGAGGAGUGCGUUAUGCUUCGGCGUCAUUUCCACAGGGCCGGGCCACCCGCCGAGGGUGGCAGGGCCCACGACGACGACAAGAACGAAGAACACCCAGCAGGGGGGUUCCCCGAGGUCCGCGACUGCUUCAUGAUCUAUGGAGGGCAUGCGGCGAAUACCUCGGCUCGGCACCGCAAGCAAGAGCGCCGGGAGGUCUGCUCGGUGAAGGUGGCGGGGCCAGUCUACCUAGACUGGUCCGACAAGCCCAUCACUUUCGACCGGGCCGACCACCCCGACCAUGUGCCGAGCCCGGGGAAAUACCCGCUCGUCGUCGACCCCGUUGUCGGCGAUGUCAGGCUCACCAAGGUCCUGAUGGACGGGGGCAGCUGCCUCAACAUCAUCUACGGCGAGACCCUCAAGCUUCUGCGCGUCGAUCCGUCCUCCGUCCGAGCAGGCGCUGCGCCCUUCCACGGGAUUAUCCCUGGGAAGCGCGUCCAGCCCCUCGGGCGACUCGACCUCCCAGUCUGCUUCGGGACACCCUCCAACUUCCGAAGGGAGACCCUGACGUUCGAAGUGGUCGGGUUCCGAGGAACCUACCACGCCGUGCUAGGGAGGCCAUGCUACGCGAAGUUCAUGGCCGUCCCCAACUACACCUACCUGAAGCUCAAGAUGUCGGGCCCCAACGGGGUCAUCACCGUCGGCCCCACGUACAAACACGCGUUCGAAUGCGACGUGGAGUGCGUGGAGUACGCCGAGGCCCUCGCCGAGUCCGAGGCCCUCAUCGCCGACCUGGAGAACCUCUCCAAGGAGGUCCCAGACGUGAAGCGCCAUGCCGGCAACUUCGAGCCAGCGGAGACGGUCAAGGCCGUCCCCCUAGACCCCAGCGGCGACACCACCAAGCAGAUCCGGAUCGGUUCCGGGCUCGACCCCAAAUAGGAAGCAGUGCUCGUCGACUUUCUCCGCGCAAACGCCGACGUCUUUGCGUGGAGUCCCUCGGACAUGCCCGGCAUACCGAGGGAUGUUGCCGAGCACUCGCUGGAUAUUCGGGCCGGAGCCCGACCCGUCAGGCAGCCUCUGCGCCGAUUCGACGAGGAGAAGCGCAGAGCGAUUGGCGAAGAGAUCCACAAGCUAAUGGCGGCAGGGUUCAUCAAAGAGGUAUUCCAUCCCGAAUGGCUUGCCAACCCUGUGCUUGUGAGGAAGAAAGGGGGGAAAUGGCGGAUGUGUGUAGACUACACUGGUCUCAACAAAGCAUGUCCGAAGGUUCCCUACCCUCUGCCUCGCAUCGACCAAAUCGUGGAUUCCACUGCUGGGUGCGAAACCCUGUCCUUCCUCGAUGCCUACUCGGGGUAUCACCAGAUCCGGAUGAAAGAGUCCGACCAGCUCGUGACUUCUUUCAUCACGCCGUUCGGCAUGUACUGCUACGUCACCAUGCCGUUCGGCCUGAGGAAUGCAGGCGCGACGUACCAGCGGUGCAUGAACCAUGUGUUCGGCGAACACAUCGGUCGCACAGUCGAGGCCUACGUCGAUGACAUCGUGGUCAAGACACGGAAGGCUCCCAACCUCCUCUCCGACCUUGAAGUGACAUUCCGGUGUCUCAAGGCGAAAGGAGUCAAGCUUAAUCCUGAGAAGUGUGUCUUCGGGGUGCCCCGAGGCAUGCUCCUAGGGUUCAUCGUCUCUGAGCGAGGCAUCGAGGCCAACCCGGAGAAGAUUGCGGCCAUCACCAGCAUGGGGCCCAUCAAGGACUUAAAAGGGGUACAGAGGGUCAUGGGAUGCCUCGCGGCCCUGAGCCGCUUCAUCUCACGCCUCGGCGAAAGAGGUCUGCCUCUGUACCGCCUCUUAAGGAAGGCCGAGUGUUUCGUUUGGACCCCUGAGGCCGAGGAAGCCCUCGGCAACCUGAAGGCGCUCCUUACAAAGGCGCCAGCCUUGGUGCCGCCGGCGGACGGAGAAACCCUCUUGGUCUACGUCGCCGCGACCACUCAGGUGGUUAGCGCCGCGAUUGUGGUCGAAAGGCAGGAGGAAGGGCAUACAUUGCCCGUUCAGAGGCCGGUCUACUUCAUCAGCGAAGUGCUGUCCGAGACUAAGAUCCGCUACCCACAAGUUCAAAAGCUGCUGUAUGCUGUGAUCCUGACAAGGCGGAAGCUACGACACUACUUCGAGUCCCAUCCGGUAACUGUGGUGUCAUCCUUCCCCCUGGGGGAGAUCAUCCAAUGCCGAGAGGCCUCGGGCAGGAUCGCAAAGUGGGCAGUGGAGAUCAUGGGCGAAACGAUCUCGUUCGCCCCUCGGAAGGCCAUCAAGUCCCAAGUGUUGGCGGAUUUCGUGGCUGAAUGGGUCGACACCCAACUACCAACGACUCCGAUCCAACCGGAGCUCUGGACCAUGUUUUUCGACGGGUCGCUGAUGAAGACGGGGGCCGGUGCGGGCCUUCUCUUCAUCUCGCCCCUCGGAAAGCACUUGCGCUACGUGCUGCGCCUCCACUUCCCGGCGUCCAACAAUGUGGCCGAGUACGAAGCUCUGGUCAACGGAUUGCGGAUCGCCAUCGAGCUAGGGGUCAGACGCCUCGACGCCCGCGGUGAUUCGCGGCUCAUCAUCGACCAAGUCAUGAAGAACUCCCACUGCCGCGACCCGAAGAUGGAGGCCUACUGCGACGAGGUUCGGCGCCUGGAAGACAAGUUCUUCGGGCUCGAGCUCAACCACAUCGCUCGGCGCUACAACGAAACCGCAGACGAGCUGGCCAAGAUAGCCUCGGGGCGAACGACAGUCCCCCCGGACGUCUUCUCCCGGGAUCUGCAUCAACCCUCCGUCAAGCUCGACGACACGCCCGAGCCUGAGGUACCCUCGGCUCAGCCCGAGGUACCCUCGGCUCAGCCUGAGGUAUCCUCGGCUCAGCCCAAGGUACCCUCGGCUCAGCCCGAGGUACCCUCGGCCCCCGAGGGCGGGGCGUUGAAUGUCGAGGAAGGGCAGAGCGGGGCCACGCCAGACCAAGAUUGGCAGGCCCCAUACCUGCAAUAUCUCCAUCGAGGAGAGCUACCCCUCGACCAUGUCGAGGCUCGGCGGGUAGCGCGACGCGCCAAGUCAUUCGUCUUGCUGGGCGACGAAGAGGAACUCUACCAUCGCAGCCCCUCGGGCAUCCUCCAGCGAUGCAUCCCCAUCGCCGAAGGUCGGGAACUGCUGCAAGAAGUACACUCGGGGGCUUGCGGCCACCACGCAGCACCCCGAGCCCUUGUUGGAAAUGCCUUCCGGCAAGGCUUCUACUGGCCAACGGCGGUGGCUGACGCCACUAGAAUUGUCCGCACCUGCGAAGGGUGCCAAUUCUAUGCGAAGCGGACACACCUGCCCGCUCAGGCUCUGCAGACAAUACCCAUCACCUGGCCCUUCGCUGUAUGGGGUCUGGACCUCGUCGGUCCCUUGCAGAAGGCGCCCGGGGGCUACACGCACCUGCUGGUCGCCAUCGACAAAUUCUCCAAGUGGAUCGAGGUCCGACCCCUGAACAGCAUCAGGUCCGAGUAGGCGGUGGCAUUCUUCACCAACAUCAUCCAUCGCUUCGGGGUCCCGAACUCCAUCAUCACCGACAACGGCACCCAGUUCACCGGCAAAAAAUUCUUGGAUUUUUGCGAAGAUCACCAUAUCCGGGUGGACUGGGCCGCCGUGGCUCAUCCCAUGUCGAAUGGGCAGGUAGAGCGUGCCAACGGCAUGAUUCUACAAGGGCUCAAGCCUCGGAUCUACAACGACCUCAACAAGUUCGGCAGGCGAUGGAUGAAGGAACUCCCCUCGGUGGUCUGGAGCCUAAGGACGACGCCGAGUCGUGCCACGGGCUUCACGCCGUUUUUCCUGGUCUACGGGGCUGAAGCUAUCUUGCCCACUGACCUGGAAUACGGCUCCCCAAGGGCGAGGGCCUACACCGAACAAAGCAACCAAGCCAGCCGAGAGGAAUCGCUGGACCAGUUGGAGGAAGCUCGGGACAGGGCCUUACUACACUCGGCGCGGUACCAACAGUCCCUGCGACGCUACCACGCCCGAGGGGUCCGGUCCCGAGAACUCCAGGUGGGCGACCUGGUGCUUCGGCUGCGACAAGACGCCCGAGGGAGGCACAAGCUCACGCCCCCCUGGGAAGGGCCAUUCGUCAUCGCCAAAGUUCUGAAGCCCGGAACAUACAAGCUGGCCAGCAAUCAAGGCGAGAUCUACAGCAACGCUUGGAACAUCAAACAGCUACGUCGCUUCUAUCCUUAAGAUGUUUUCAAGUUGUUCAUAUACCUCGCACCUACGCAAAGUUUAGUUGUCAAGGAAGGGUCGGCCUAGCCUCGGCAAAACCCGACCCUCCCUCGGGGGCUAAAAGGGGGGGACCCCCUCUGCGUCGAAUUUUUCCUCGAAAAAGGAUCUCUUUUUAGCAGGAUUUCUUUCGUGCUUCUUGACUACUUUGGAAAGCGGAUCCUGGAAACGACGAGGUACACGUAAGCAGCCAAGGCUGACCGAGCCGAGGGACUCCUACGCCUCCGGGAUACGGAUACCUCACUCGUCCCCUUCUGCGAUAAGUAACUUGCGCUCGGAUAAAGCGACUCCGUGGACCGAACGAGUCAUCACGUUCGGAAGCUCUCCUGCCGAAGCAGUCCUUCAAGCUUUCUCGACUAAGUCGGGGACAGGGCCUCAUGGACGGGUGAAAGUACGCGUAAGCGGCAAGGCCGACCAAGCCGAGGGAUUCCCACGCCUCUGGGAUACGGAUACCUCACUCGUCCCUUCCGCGAAAAGCAGCUCUUGCUCACACAAACAUCCCUGUUACCGACGAAGUCCAGAUGCUCGAAACAGGAGGAAAAAAGGCGCAGCUUCGCAAGUGCAGCGAGGGUGUUUUCUUCUGGCCUCGGCGGCCGCAGGAAGCACACGCUACAAGAUGAUCGGAUCCUGCAGGCUCGGGUCUUCACGCCGAAGGGAGCUGUAGCACCCUCGGCAUCGACGAUGUCUUCAGCAAAGCCCGACCCAGCCUCGGGCGGCGCCGCAGUCCAGGGGGUCCUCCGGGAAUCCGGCCCGAGCAGGCGGCUCAACCGGUUACCCCUGGGGCCUCGGUCAACCGGCUCCCAAGGGCGCCAGCCCGAUCCGAGGCCUCGACUGAUCGACUUUGGCGUCGGCCCCGCUGACGGACAACACGGCUAGGCUCCGGCCAACCAGGUUCCCAUUCUCGAGCCAACUCCGCCUCUGUUCAUACUGAUAUCGCUAUCCCCGGCCUCGAUCCACCGAAGGGCGACCGAGGGGUCUCUUCAACUAAGCUAGAGGAGCCUCACAUAACAAGGCCGAACGGGUCGAGGGAUUCCUACGCCUCCGGGAUACGGAUACCUCACCCGUCACCUUGACACGGGGCAACUCAUGCUUGGUAAAGCGGUUCAGAUAAUCAAACAGGCGAGACCUAGUGCUCGAAAAUGAGGAAAAAACACGGCUCCGUGCCAAAAUUACAUACACGUUCAGGCCUCGACAGCCACAAUGAACGAACUCACUGGCAUUCGAAGUGCCAUUACAAACGGAACUCCGGUUCCCCCUCCGCAGGUACGAACAACCCCACUCCGAGGGGGAAGGCCUGCGGAGCAACGGAAGGCCAACGAACGGCGCGCCGUCACCUACUCCAGCAGUGGCGACGACGGCGACUUCUGCUCCGGGGGGCCGAACAGCGGCAACGCUGACCUCAGGGUGGAUGCCGCUGCCAGGAGGCCCCCGCCCGUGCCAAAACUCGUGAGGCAAGGACGGGCAGAAGGCCGUAGAAGUUGGAGGUCAGCCCGUGGCCGGUCCCGGCCGCCGCGCCGGCGGAAGAACCUCUUCCGGCUGCCGUGGCAGACGCCGACGCCGCAAGUGGCCCCGAAGCCACUCGCGGCUGAAGACCAGGCACGCUGCAGCUGCCGGACGCCACGGGCAAUGCCCGCUUCUCCCCCCAUCACUGAGUGAAGGAGCGGGCCACCGCCCACGCAGGGGCCGACCCCAACUCGGCACUCUCCCCUCCCCGGCCUUGGUGAUGAAAAUCCUUGAGGCUGAGGAAGGGGCAGAGGCCGCAGCCCGGCUCGCUUUCCCCCACCAUCAAGCUGGAGGUCGCCAUCUCGGGUGACCGCCGGUGAAGGGGUGCGACCGGGCUGCGUGAUGAAAAUCCUUGAAGCCGAACGAUGGCUGAGAGGUACCAGCUCCCAUGGAGUUGCGUUCCUCCAACGAGGAGGCGGAAAGGCGGCGGAUACCCCCCAUCCGGGGGCUUGGAAGACGGGAAGACCCGACGCUUAAGGGAGGAAGAAGACAUGGUUGCCUUACGAAGGGAGCCUCCCUCCUUUUAAAGGCAACUCCCCCUACGUGCGCCCCCAAGCGCCGCGGACCGAGUCUUCUCCAACACGCUCCAAGGCCCUCCCCUGCGACUCGGGGGCUGGGUCCCGCAUGUCAUGCAAGCCGGCUCAGGGCAGAAGAAGCCAAACCGCCGCGCAUGGUGCGCACGACCGUCCAGCGGUUACAGGCGACCCCCCAUUUUCGCCCAGACCAACGGGCGGAAGGGGCGGGCAGCCAUGCAGGCGGCAUGCAACCGCGCCAGAUGGACGCGCUUCUCCGACUUCCGACACGCCAGCCUGGAACCCAGGCCCACGCGUCGAGCAACCGGCACGCCAGUUGCUGCAUGCAAGCAACCGCACCGCCACUUGUGCCACCAUCGCGCCUCUUCGGUUGCGAAGCCUGUGCCACGACUCGAGGCGACCCAACAGCGCCAGACUGGCGCGUCGGUCAAAGCGACCGAAAGUGGGCCAGCAGUAAUAGCGGUGGCAGGCGGGCGGGCACAGCAGUCACGUCGUCAGCCAGGCUCACGUCCCAUCCUGAGACAGCAAGGGAGCCUCCUCUCACGGCGUGAAGACGGUGCACCCGUGACCCAUUCCUCGAACGGAUCGCACGCGCGCAACGGCCGCCCCGCCAACCACUCACCCCGUCGCAUUAACUCCGCGGCGAGACACGCGGCGCUUCUGGCAGGAGGAGCGCGCGACGCUUCACCUUCGCCGUAAUAACCGCGUCAGAAAAGGUACGCCACGUCGUCCGAUUUCGUAUCCUUUUCCGUUUUCCUCUUUCUCUAUCUCUUGCAACAGGGACCGGGAAAGGGGGAUACCCCGAAAGGGAUCCUUCUCCACGAAGGAACCGGGCUCCGAGCCCCCCAUUACUGAUCAGGGGUUCGAAGGCUGGCCCCCGAGGGUUCAACAGUCGCCUCAGAUCGCGUGGGCCCGACACCCACUACUGGUCAGGGGUUCGAAGGCCAGCCCCCCGAAGGGCUUCAUGGCCGCCUCAGGCUACUCGGGCUCCGCGCCCAUUACUGAUCAGGGGUUCGAAGGCUGGCCCCCGAAGGGUUCACAGUCGCCUCAGACACCGAGCGAGGGAUGACCAGGGGUACGUUCGAUACAUAACCGAGGCUCGGGCUGCGCUCCCAAGGUACCCUAGGACAUUUCCGAGACCAGUGGGAACGAUCUUGUAACGGAAUCCCAUCGGAGGGAGGCAUCGAGCCCUCGGACCCCGUCGCCAGGGGACCGGGUCCGGCAAAUCACCCGCAGGUACUUUUGGGCGUGCCUCUGGGCCCCUAGCCGACCCCCAACGAAUGGGGCACGGACGUCCACUCGGAUUACCCGCUUGCAGCUCACCGGAGACACCAUGUUCGGUGCCCAUCGAGGGUAACAUGGCGCACUCCCCCCUCCUCCUUGCGGAAAGGCGACGUAGGGGCGUAUGUAAAAAGCCGAGUCUGUCCCUGAUCGUCCUCUCGCCCUGUGCAGAGGCUCGGGGGCUGCUCUCGCAAAAACCGGCUCCGGCCAAAUCGUUGACAGCGUCAACAUACCAGCCCGAGAGUUUGGGCCCCGACCGUGCACCCGGGCUACGGCCAGUUCGCAUGAGGGAACGACCAGACCAGCCAAAGUAUUAAGACCUCGAAGGAGUGUAACCACUCCUCCGAGGCCUCGGGGGCUACACCCGGCGGGUGCGCUCGCGCGCACCCACCGGAACGAAAUGCAACCGAGAAAGGCUGGUCCCCUUGCGAAAAAGUGUGACAAAAGCCUCCAAGCGAGUGCUAACACUCCCUUCGAGGCUCGGGGGCUACUGUCGGGGACCAUAAUUAGGGGUACCCUCAAGACGCCUAAUUCUCAGCUGGUAACCCCCAUCAGCAUAAAGCUGCAAAGGCCUGAUGGGCAUGAUUAAGUCAGGGAUCAGUCCACACGAGUGACUCGAUCACGCUUCACCCGAGCCUAGCCUCGGCCGAAGGCAGCCGACCUCGAGAGACUUCCGUCUCGCCCGAGGCCCCCUUUUUAUGGCGGACACAUCACCGGCUCGCCCAAGGCCUUGGCUUCGCUCAGAAGCAACCUUGACUAAAUCACCACACCGACUGACCAAAUUGCAGGGGCAUUUAACGCACAGGAGGCCUGACACCUCUAUCCUGACACGCGCCUCCGGCAGAGCCGAGGUGACCGCCGUCACUCCACCGCUCCACUGGCCAGUCUGACAGAAGGACAGCGCCGCCUGCGCCACUCCGACUGCAGCGCCACUCGACAGAGUAAGUCUGACAGUCAGUCAGGCCUCGCCAAAGGCACCACGGCGAACUCCGCCCCGCCCGACCCCAGGGCUCGGACUCGGGCUAAGACCCGGAAGACGGCGAACUCCGCUCCGCCCGACCCCAGGGCUCGGACUCGGGCUAAGACCCGGAAGACGGCGAACUCCGCUCCGCCCGACCCCAGGGCUCGGACUCGGGCUAAGACCCAGAAGACGGCGAACUCCGCUCCGCCCGACCCCAGGGCUCGGACUCGGGCUAGGACCCGGAAGACGGCGAACUCCGCUCCGCCCGACCCCAGGGCUCGGACUCGGGCUAAGACCCGGAAGACGGCGAACUCCGCUCCGCCCGACCCCAGGGCUCGGACUCGGGCUAAGACCCGGAAGACGACGAAACUCCGCCUCGCCCGACCCCAGGGCUCGGACUCCGCCCUGGCCUCGGCCGAACGACUUCCGCCUCGACCGACCCCUUGGCUCGGGCUCGGCCACGGCAACAGAAGGCAGACUCAACCUCGGCUUCGGAGGAAACCCCACGUCGCCCUGCCUAGGGCACAGACCGCCACGUCAACAAGAGGCGCCAUCAUCAUCCCACCCCGAAUCGACUCGGGUCACGGAGAACAAGACCGGCGUCUCAUCCGGCCAGCUCCGCCAGAGAGGCAAUGAUGGCGCUCCACAAGCUCUAUGACGACGGCGGCCCCUAGCUCUCUUACGGAAGCAGGACAACGUCAGCAGGGACUCGACCGCUCCAACAGCUGUCCCUCCAUUAGGCUCCGCCGCACCUCCAACAGCCACGACAUCACGCCAGCAGGGUGCCCAGAUCUCUCCGGCUGCCACAUUGGCAUGUACCUAGGGCGCUAGCUCUCCCUCCACUAGACACGUAGCACUCUGCUACAUCCCCAUUGUACACCUGGAUCCUCUCCUUACGACUAUAAAAGGAAGGACCAGGGCCUUCUCAGAGAAGGUUGGCCGCGCGGGACCGAGGACGGGACAGGCGCUCUCUUGGGGCCGCUCGCUUCCCUCACCCGCGUGGACGCUUGUAACCCCCCUACUGCAAGCGCACCUGACCUGGGCGCGGGACGAACACGAAGGCCGCGGGACUUCCACCUCUCUCACGCUCGGCUCCGGCCGCCUCGCCUCUCCCCCCUUCGCGCUCGCCCACUCGCUCGACCCAUCUGGGCUGGGGCACGCAGCACACUCACUCGUCGGCUUAGGGACCCCCCUGUCUCGAAACGCCGACAAUAUCUUAUGCCAUUUUAAAACUAUCUUGUGUUUUAUUAGAGUAUUGUGUGACCUAAAUCUUGUCAUUGUUGGACUAUUAUAUGAUCUUAUGUUGUUGUUAUAUUGUCAUAUUAAUCUAUGGUCUAUGCAAUGCUCGUGCGUAACUGUAUUACGUCCAUCAUCACCUCCUCAAACUUCACAUGCUGCUCCUCAUCCUCUUUCUGACCCUCCUUCUCCUCAUCCUCAUGGUGGCCCACCGUCUCCGCCACAUACAUCGCCCUUCAGGGAUCCACCUUCUCCACAGCCAUCUCCACGACCAUCAAAGAAAUCUAAAGUUUCUAUACCAAAAGUAGUGUCCCCGUUUGAUAAGAAAAAGAAGAGUAAAUCCACUGCUGGCACUGUUCGUUUUUUGAAAGGGAUUGGACGGAGCCUCACGUCAGACACUGUUGAUUUGGCCGAUCUCGAGGAGUCCGCAAAAAAGGCUGAGGCAAUGGCCGCAAAGAUAAAGAUGCCAACUAAGGCAGAUUAUAAAAACGUGCCUAAAAAUAUGUGUCGGGCAGACCACUACUCACUUUUGAGAAACUAAGGAAGGUCCCGGCUAAUAUUAAAAGGUUGCAUGAUUGGUACAUGCGGGCAUCUUCAGUUGGCAUCGACACCAUCAGUGUUAAUAUACCAGCCCAUGCUUUUAUUGGUUCAAAUCAAAAGGCCGUUGUUACAUUCGAGGAUAUGUGGUUAAUGAUGAACCUUCAGAGACUCGACGUGCAACUUGUAACCAUAUUUGCAUUGUAAGUGUCACUCAUACUCCACAUAUAUGUGUUAUUAUUAGUGAGUUGUAUAAAUUUUCAAUAUCUGACAUGCACGUGUGCGUUGCAGAAUGCAACAUGAUCAGCAGGAGAUCCUUUAUGGUACCAAUCCCAAUGCUAGUGCCAGUAAAAGGGUUGGGUAUCUCAACCCAAUAAAGAUAUGCGAGGAUAACCACACUUUUAGAAUCGGAAAAGGCAACGAAACAUUACAGGGGCUAACAGACGAAGAAAUUGAGGUGCGUAUCCAGGAUCUGAAGAAGGAUUUUGAAGCAAGAUACGCCACCUACAUAGGACACGCAAUGCUUCAAUUUCAAGACAGGGAAUCCAUAGUGGCCCCGUACAACUUUAAGUAAGUGUGAUUUUGCAUAAAUAAAAUUAAUAAUUUUAAUACACAUGUAUCACAAGUUUGAUUCGUACAGGGACCACUGGAUAUGCUUCUUCAUUUAUCCUAAGGUUGGAAAGGUGCUGGUGCUCGACUCCUUGCACACCGAGCCUUCGGCCUAUUCAAAAUUCCUCAGCAUCUUAGAGUUGUAAGCCUUUUCUAUGCAUGCAUACUUAUAUCGAUGAGAAUUGUAGAAUAACAUGGUGAUUCUAUUUGAGAUCACAGGGCAUUUAGGUUUUAUAAGCUACAUGGUGGAAAGUACGACACGUCCAAAAAAGGCGUGCCACUAGACAUCCAUUAUAACUGGCCAGUAAGUAUGUGAAUUUAUGAAUACAUAUCAUACAUGUACGUACAUAGGACAAUGUUGCAACUAAAUAACCAAUCUCCCGUUAUGUAGUGCCACAAGCAACCACCCGGAUCGGUCCUAUGUGGGUUCUACGUGUGCGAGUUUAUGAGAAUGAAUGGACGAUACAUCACGAACCCUGGCAAGGUAUUAUUAGUAAUAGUCACGUAUGUAUUUAUGUCAUUAAAGAUGCAAAUGUGUUAUUAUUGAGUAUAAAUAGAUGAUGUUUAUAAACUUCCUUUACAGCAAUUUCAAAAAGGAAGCCCGGAGAACUUGACUGAAGGUGCAUUGUAUGGCAUAGUUGAGGACCUGUGCACAUUCAUAUUGAAAGAGGUCAUUCCCGCAGAAGGGAAAUAUCACGAUGCUUCCGGAACAUUAGCUUUGCCAGAGUUUAGAAUACUAACAGAAAUUAGUAGACUAUCUCUUAGCCGAGAUAGUUAUUAGAGCUUAAGUGAAAACUUUGAUGUAUAUAAUGUGUGAUGCAUACAUGGUUGUAAACAAGACUUUGAUGUAUAUAAAUGUAUGAUAGAAUUUAAUUUCAUGUUGCUUUUAGUAUCAAUACUACAUGUUUAUCAAUAUCAAUAUAUAUAUAUAUAUAUAUAUAUAUAUAUGUUUGUGUGUGUAAAUAUAUAAAUUUCAGUACGAAAAUUUAAAAAAAGACGGGAAACAUUUCCACUGGCGGCUAAAUAAAACAAACCGCUGGCGGUUUUCUUAAUAAAACCGCCAGUGAAAAUAGCAUUUUCACUGGCGGUUGCUUAAGAAAACCGCCAGUGGAAAUGCUUUUUCCACUGGCGGUUAUUGAAUGGAAAUGGCGAUUUCCACUGGCCCCUAACACUGGCGGCACUGAAAAGCGCCAGUGAAAAUGUCUCUAGAACCGCCACUAUAGAGGCUGUGUGUACUAGUGAUGUAAUCAGAGUAUCUUUUUCUUGGAGACAGACUAUGCAUUUCCAAGGAUGUAGCAAAUUUGUAGGAAAGUAAAUGAUAUGUAUAUUUAGUGGUCCAUAUAUCGAAACAUGCCCUCAUGAAAAAAAUGCCUCCAAAAAUGGCAUGUAUAUUUAACCUUUUGCUUGUUUUCCACUCUUUGGAAUUCGAUCAUGAACCCGAACAAAAGGAUUACAUAUACUAGAAUUUGGAAGUCUCAGUAGUAUAUAAGGUUAGCGGUGCAUGCUGCCAACUUAAUUAGCUUGCUGCUGAAGGUCCAUAGCCCGCUGUGCCGGAUGAAUCGAAGGGAAUUCAAAGUCUAGUAGAAUUGGACGUUGGAAGUGUAGACGGCAUCGGGUCUCCAGUUCGCCGGGAUGACGUCUUUGGCGAUGACCUUCUUGCCGGACUCGCUGGUGAGGCGGAUGGAGAAGGGGCCCUUGAGCGCCUUGGCAGUGUCCAUCCUCCAGAUGGCGCCCCAAGAGAGCUUCAUGGGCUUCCACUCAGCCGACAACUUGUCCUGGAUUUCCAUCAGCACGAUGUCGCCGUCGUCCGCCACAUACUUCACCAGCACGGCCAGGUAGUUGGGGUUGCAGCCCUUCUCGAUGUGGAACACGAUCUUCUGCCCGGCGGGGUACUUGCAUCGCACC
rnacentral:lncRNA from 1 species